GGAUUUAAGGUCCACAGGGACCCUGUUCUGUCACCAAUUGGCUGAACAGUGAUUCUUUGUGAGUCCCUCUUAGAUUGUUUUAGGGCCGAUUUUUCGAUUAACUCUUGCGUUUGUUUAAAUUAGUGAUUCUUUGUGGGUUCCCUGCUUUAGGGCCGAUUUUUCGACUAACUUCUGCGCUUGUUUCAAUUAGUUGGAGACCAGAAAAUGGGAAGCUCUCAAAAUAGGAAGGAAUGGUCCCCUUUUAUCCCACUCCACUUUUGCAGACGAUAUUGUGCUCUUUUCCAACUGCUCAGAAGCUUCUAUUAGAGGAGUGAAGGAUGUCUUUGGCAAUUUCAACUUAAGAUCUGGAUUAUUUAUUAAUCCGAACAAGUCCAGGAUUUUUUUUCUCCAAAAUUGUGAGCCCACACUCGAAGGCCCAAAUAACUUCCUUCUUGAGGAUUGAUGAGACUGGAGAACUUGGAAGAUGCUUAGGAAUUCCCAUUGCUCAUUCUAGAAUCUCCAGCCAAUCCUUUAGCUUCAUUUUGGACAAGAUUCGGUCUAAACUUAGCUGGUUGGAAAGCUAGUCUCCUUUCUUUUGGGAAAUGGGGCAGGAAUGGCUGUCUUCCUAAAGGUUCACGGCCACGAUGUGGCCUCAAAAAUUUGUGCGGUUCAGAUUAUAGCAUGUAACUCGAUUUUCACGCCAUGUGUGAGACCCACAAAAAAUUAUAAAGUUACUCCAUGUGUAAAAAAAGUUACGCGAUGUGCAAAAAAUGUUACGCACUGUUGAAAAAUGCACAAACCGACACAAACGGUUACUGCCCUUGUCCUUUCUUUUGCUAGAAGGAAAGCAGUCAUCCAACAAGUUACCUUGGGCAUCUCCUCCUUCUAUGCCAAUUGCCCAUAGCACCCCGCUACCAACUGCAACUUGUGAAGCCAUAGAUAAAAUCCAGCAUGACUUCUUACGAGGCUUCACCCCUGAAAAAGAAAAUUGCACUUAGUCAGCUGGGAGCUGUUACUAUGCCAACGUGUCAGGGGGAACUUGGUCUACAAAAACCUCUUACGUUAAUAAAGUAGCAAUGGCAGGUCUUUGUUGGCGAUUAAUGCACACCCAACAGCAACCUUGGAGCCAUAUUCUACGCCAUAGGUAUACUAAUGAGCCCCAAUCCUGGCAACAAAGGAAAUUAGCACUUGGAAUCCUCAGUGACAUUUUUUCUAUGCCAACCCAAUGCCACCUAUAAAAUUGUGCAAGUGUUCUGUUAUUAUUUACACUUGUAUUAAACCAAAUCAAGUUGAAUUAUUAGAAAAUUAAAGUGUAAAUAAUAACAGGACAUUUGGCGCAAUAUUAUAGGUGGCAUUGAAUUGGCAUAGAGAAACAUGUCACCGAGGAUCCCAAGUGGGAAAUUAGUGCUAUCAUCAAGACAAGGUUCCAUCAAUCAAAAAAUGCUUUACCUUAGGAAGGAAGUUUAUAAUAAAGGGUUGGGAUAAUAUUAGAUACCUCCCUUGAAAUUUUUUCUAAUAUCACCUAACACCCCUAAAAUUAUACAAAUAUUACUUACUGUGACAGACUCAUCUUCCCCUAAGAUGUACUCCAAGGGUUAACGGACUACCUAUCCAACUAUCAUCAGGAUUCACUACCCAAAACGAUCAACACAACUUCAAAACAUCACAACCCAAUGUUAUAUAUAAUAGAGUCACUAUCGAUUCAAACUAAGAGCACAAGUCAAAGUUUUCAAUCUUACAUGAGUACAUAUAAGGUUUACUAAUACAAAAGAGUUUAAACAAAACGCCUAAGGUCUAGUACUAGAGUUCAAACUCUUCCCAAAAUUACCAAACCCAAAUCUUCACACUUGAAUGUUCAAUAAGAUACCACAGGGUCAUGCAGUCAGAAAUAAAACGAAAAAACAAAAUCACAUAGAUCGGUCAUUAAGUUAUCAAACAGAAGUAGCAAUUUAAAGAGACAAAUGAACACCACAACCAACAUAGAGUGAUUCAGGUAAAAGGAUAUAGUUAGAUCUCGAGAGCUAAAUUCCCAAUCGCAAUAGUUUGAUCCAAACCCGUUGACACUCCGUCAACAUUUAGAGAAGCAGAAACAUUGUCUGUGGAUCACCGCUUUACACCAAUUUCUGUCCACCAUUCAUUCUCUUUACCGGGCCCAAACACCAAACAGUGAAGGUAAUAUUCGAGUAUACCAAAUUUCGGAAUAAAAUCAGAACUCAGUGAAUCAAUAACAAUUUUCCCACGGCCUGUCAAUUUAUCUCGACCAAACCUUUGCCAGUUCGAUUCGAUUAACUAACCAAUGAGAUUUGGGCCCAAAUUCACAGUGUGGUCAUUGGAUAGUAUGUUCCAAAUGACAUUCAAAUAAAACACAAGUAAUAAAUUUCAAAUGAACAGUAGAACAAUCACCAAUCAAGUGGGAUCGAGUGUGAUAAGGUACACACCCCGUCCAGCCAAGAGUAAAUCAAAGUCACGAUCAAACAAUCAUAACUUUCAAUCACAUAGUAGUUCACCUAAGUAACAAGUCAUAUAGGUGGUACACUCACCAGUUCAAAGCAGAACAAUGUUAGACGUUUGUUUCCCAGUUAUUCUUGUUCACCGACAAACCCUAAGAGCAAUCAAGAUAAAAAAAUAUUAUGAUCUAACCAUCCAAAACUUAGGUGAACCAAGGAAAAAUUCAAAUAUAUAUUGGGGCAAUGAUUCAAAUAUAAUUUUGGAGUGAAAAGAAAGCAUUUAAACCCAAAAAACAUGAGCAACCAAAGGAAAAAAAUAUGAAUUUAUAACUCAUGAAACUCAGCAAAACAUACAUAAAAUAUACACACGACUUUUGAAAGAAAAACGACCAAACUCGAGUUUAAAGUCGGACAAGUACAACUAGAAAACACGCUUGAAACAACCAUUACUUUCCUCCUUAUAUCAUAUAUGAUUUUUGACAAAAAUUCAGUUUAUGCGUCACAACCAAGGUGGAUUUAAGCAACCAUAAGUAACAUAAGUCCAACAGACCAAAAAUCACACCUCUACGCUCACUCUUAUUCACUUACAUCAAAGACAGGGAAAAAAAAAACCAGCAGCAUCUCCCCUAAUUUCUUUAAGUUUCUUCUGCAAAUUCAAAGUUUAACUUCAUGGCAAAUCAACUUUAAUCAAAACCACAAGUUAUAAAAUAUAAGAGGUACUUGUUCUAGACCACAAAAUUAACUAAACUCACAUAUAAACCAUAUCAAAACUGAAAAUGAACCUUAAAUUGAAAUUUACAAACAAAAGUUGAAAAUUCAUAUAUUGAAACCAAAGUACAUACAAAAAUUGAAAAUUUCUCAUAGCAAAACUGAAAUUAGCAUUUCCAGACUAGAAUUUCUCGAUCAAUGCUGGAAAUUUCGAACUACUUCACAAAAUUAUGAAAUUUUUCAUGAAACCUACCAUAAUCAAGUUAUAAAUCCAUUCAAGUGUAAAAUAAAAGAGAAAAUGUAAUUUCUUGACAUGAAUAUCUUCAAACCCUAAGGAGAAAUGCAAACAAGAGUGUUCUUUUCCCCAAAUUACUCCACACAAGCUUUCCCUCCUUCCUUGAUACAACUUCCUAUACGGAUUGGAUUAGGGUUUUAGGAUGAAUUUCUAAAGGAAUCAAGUGAGAAAUCAAGUUGAAAAUUGGAGUUUUUUUUCUCUCUCUUUUCUCUCCUUAGAGGUUCAGCCAAGAGCAAGGUAAGAAUGAGAGGUUUUUGGUUCAAAUUUUUAAGAUAAAGUCAAAGACUAAUCUUGUCGAGAGAGGUUUAGAUCGUCGACAAGUGGCGGCUUAGGGUUUCAAGCUUAUCUCUUUGUCUUUCCUUUGUCUCUAAUCACUAAUCUAUAUUGUUUUCCUCUAAUUCACUCUUAACACUUCUAAUCACAUAAUCUUUCUUGCCAAAUACCUAUUUUUGUCCACCAAAUUUAUUACACAACUCACUAGUAGGUCUCACUUUCAUAAUGCACUACAAACUUAACAUGUACUAACUUAUAGAAGAAAAACAAUAAAAUAUUGACUCACUUAUAAAAGUAUCUAAGAAAUUAAGGCAAAUAAACUAAAGUAAAAGAAAACGUAUUUAAAGAAAUAAGAUAAAAUAUAAAAUAAUUUUCAAAUCCUCACAAGUCCUUAUACUUACCUCCCAUAGUAAUUGCAAAAAAACUAUAUUAACUCUCACUUCAAAUAUAAUUCACAUAUCAAAUAAAAGGAGCUAAAAAUUAAAAAAAGAAAAAAAAGUCAUUUUUCUCUUUUUCUUUUCUUCAAUAUUCUCUCUUACUUAUUUUUUUGGAUGACUACGCAAUUUUAUUUGUAAAUUAUAAAUAAAUUGAAAUUGGUUAUCUUUACUAUUUAUAAUUGUGAUAGAGUGGGGUAUGAUUUAUUUGCUUAUUUUGAAUUAUUUUUUAUAAUGAUCAGUACAAUUCAAAAGUUUGGGCACCAGUUGAGAAGAAGUUGGAAAAAAAGAUAAAGUUCAUAAGAAAUCAAUUUUGAGCAUACAAAGUUAAAUUGGUCAACUAUAUUUCUUUGCAAAUAUUUUUAAAUAUAUAUUUUUAUGGACUAUAGUAUUAUGAUGUGGUAGUACUACUAGAAAUUAUUUUUUAAAUGGUAAUUUUCUUGAAGUAAAUAAAGAGAUCUAGGAAUAUUUUUAUUUAACAAGUAGAAGGGUAAUUUAGGAUUUUUUAAAAUUUUGUUACACAAAUAACGAAAGUAUGAGAGAUAAGUGAUAUUUUAAAAAUUUUAAGGGUGUUAGGUGAUAUUAAGAGAAAUUUCAAGAGAGGUUUCUGAUAUAAUCCCUGAAGGGGUUGGAUGAACUAUUGGGAAUGGAAUCCUGGCCAAAGUUUGGUGGAUGAUUUGAUGGGCCUAGCCCUUUAAGACUACUCAUCUCGAGGCCUUUUGAUGAAAGGAAAGAUAGAUUAGUAGUUAACCACUUGAUUGGCGAGGGCUCCACUUGGAAUCGAAACCAACUAUCUUUCAUCUUAUUAGAGAGGAUUGUUCAUAUAAUAAGGGCUAUUCCAAGGUAGCAAUGGACUAAUAUGGAGGAUUCCAUCCGAUAGAAAGCCAAUCUUAAUGGGUAGUUUGGCCUGAAAUCUGGUAUCGAGAGACUGUGCUCUAAUAGGGAAAACUUCAGCCAAAGUGAUCUUUCUUGGAUCUGGAAAGUGAAUGCAAGCAAUAAAGUCAAGAAUUUCCUUUGGCUGGCAUGUGGAGACAAACUCCCUACCAAAAGUAAUCUUCAUAGGAGAAAUAUUCUACAAGAGAAAGCUUGUCCUUCAUGCAAUCUCACUUAUGAAGACAUCUUUCAUGUUCUUGGCCAUUGUUAGAGAGCAACAAUUUUAUGGGCUAAAUUGUCCCUGCCACACCAAUUGUGGCUUAUGGAGAACUAGCUCCUUCAUAAAUGGUUGAAGAGCUCUUGCUCAAAUUCCACAAUUUCUCCUACUACCAUUUACGCGUGGGCAACUAUAAUAACCUUUGGUUGUUGGAUAUUGUGGAAAAAGAGAAAUAUGCUGCUGUUUGAGCCACAUAACCUUCUCAGAGAUUCAGCUAAAGAUACAUUAGCUACCGUCGCUGAAUAUCUCAGCAUGGGACCUGGCACUAGCAAGACAUCUCGUUCUAAAGAGCUGAUCCCUAUCUGCCGAGAUCCACAUCCUCUCAACUCUUUUAAACUGAAUACUGAUAGGUCCUCCUUGGGAAACCCAGGUCCAACUGAAGCAGGAAGCAUUAUGCGGAAUCAUUUUGGAGAAUGGGUUUCAAGCUUCACUAGAAACCUGGGAUAGGCCACAAAUACAACAGUUGAACUUUGGGUGCUGAGGAACGGAUUGUCCCUAGCAAAAUCUCUUUACAUCCAGCACUUACAUAUGGAAUUGAAUGCAAAAAUCUUAGUUGAUAAGCUAUUUACUAAGAAUUGUCAGACUCACUUCGCCUCCCCUUUUCUUUCUGAUUGCAGGACUAUCAUGCAGAGCUUUCAAGCCUGUACUAUUAGACAUGUUUUCCGCAAAGCUAAUAGAUGUGCGGACUUUUUGGCAAAAUUGGGCACUGAAACUUCUGAAGAAUUUAUUUUGUACCCCUCCCCCCUAUACCCUUGUUUAGGAUUUCGAAUGAUGAUGGUAGGGGACUCUACUUAUCCCAGCUUGUAAACUCUUAAGCUUUAAUUAAUUUCUAUCCCUAUUCUUACAAAAAAAAAAAAAGUUUAUCUGGGGACAUAAGUCAAAAAUUCAUGCAUAUCCUAAAGGAUAAUUUCAGAAACCUUCCCUGAAAUUUUUCACAAUUUCACUCACCUUCCUUCAAGUUUGAAUAAUUAUACUAACAUCUGUUUAUGUAGUAAAAUGACUAUAAUAUCUUUCAUUUAUAGAAAAUUCUACAAAAAAAAAUCUACAACUACAACUAGUUUUUCAUUCUAAAACAACGACUACCACACAAAAUAAAUUCUUAUUCUCUCUCUUACCUUCUUUUUCCUAUUUCUCAUAAUCCACUAGUUUUAUACCAUCUAUACAACUAUCUAAUACAUCUUGAAUCCUCAUUAUUAUGGAAAAUAGAUCCUUCUUUUUUUUUUUGCCUUUUUUUGUCAAUAUUAUUGAAUUAAAAUUGCUAAAUGACAAAUUGGCGAAUCAAAUUUGUUGUCAAAGUAAAUGAAGAUGAAAAGGACGGCGGUGAUACAGAGUACGGAUAAGAAAAUAAAAGUGAUAGCUAAAAAGGGAACAUGAAUUAAGGAAGGUUACGUUACUAUGCCAAUUGUGUAUAAAGAAUUUUGGGAUAUAAAAAUUGCAAUCAGAUUUGCCAAGAGACAUGGAAUGUGGCCUCUAGUCUGUUUUUGGUUGUUUCAUGUUGACAUUCCUGGUGGGUUAGAUUAUUUUAGUAUCAAUAAGGUUGCAGCCAUUUGUAUUGAGUUUGGAUAGUAGCAUUGAUCAAUUCAAACAUUGAAUUUAGGCAAAAAAAAUUGAGGGUAAAGAUUAGGUUGAAUGCAAAUUUUAAUUGUCACAGUUGAUUUGCAUAGGAAACUAUGAGACGGCAAUGGUAGGCUGUCAAAAUCGUGAGAAUAUGAAAAUUAACCUGAAGUGGUUUAUUAAGUUCGUGAGGGUGAUGAUUAUAACGUUUAUAAUAGUUGCAAUUCAAAGAAAUUUAUUAGUGAGCUUUUGCCUAUUCUAAGUAAUAAAGGGGUAUUUUAGGAUUUUUUAGAACAAAUUUAGCAUACUGGGUCUAUAUUGUUAUUGAAAUGCUAAUCAUAGAGAGGAAGGUGUAAUUUUUUAAACUAAAGGGGAGCCUCCUGCAGUAAUCAAAAACCUUAGCGGAGGUUUUUCAAAUUAUCCCUAGGGAAUUUCGCCAUUUCGUCCCUAAACUUUUACAUUAAAACCAAUUUCGUCAUUUAUGAUUUUUUUUAGCUAAUUUAGUCCUUUGACUAUUUUGAAUUUCCAAUGUAGGACUUUUGCGACGGUGACACCACAUUUUACAUAUUCUGUACAACGGUGAUGGGUAUAUCUAUCAUUUUAAAUUAGAUUCUUUAAUUUAGACGGAUCUUUGACCAUAGUUCUUCUUCUUCGAUGAAUUUCACUGAAAAUUUCAUUUGGAUUUAUUGGAAACUUGCAGAAACUCUCUCUCACACACUCAAAUCAAGAAACAAAAUCCAUGAGAAAAAAAUAGAAAACCAAGAACCAAAAUGAAAAUUGAAGCAAAAUUUGAAAGAGAAAUCUCUCUCAUACACAAUUUUAAAUCUACUCACCGGCAAACUCAUUUUGUUUGGUUCUGAUUCUUCGAUCCUCCAUUCAUGGUUGCUAGCAAAGACACCACCAAUUGUCACUACCGAUCCACUUUCAUCCUUCAACUCUCUCAUGACUAGUCAUCAUUCAUUUUUCAUCUUGAGUUUCAUAUGAACUCAUAAGAAUCUCUCCAAAAUCCUUGUGGAAUCUUAGUUGUAGAGUUGUAUACUCCAUUUUAUUUCCAAGAAAAGAACCAAAAACAGAAAACCAACAAAAACAUUGAGGGAAUCCAAGGUGCAAGGGGAGCUCGCUGCUGCUGCCAGCAUCAGCAUUGCCGGAGUUGCUAUCGUCUUGCUAGAACCACCACUACUUACAAAUCAUCAUGACGAAAGCACUGUGAGGUUUCCAUAAUCCUUUUUUUCUUUUAAUCUCUAGGUUGAGAUGAUUUUCUUGGCCUUUGAAAUUGCUAUCUUUUUCCUGUAUGCUUUGUUUUGUAGAUGAAUGAAAUUGGACAGUGAUACUUGCUGCAAUUUCGUUGUUUCUUUUUCACAUUUUCUACUUAAAUGAGGCUUGACAAGAUAUUUUUCGACUCAGCCAUAGUCAAAUUUCAUACAAAAAUAUUCAAUUUUUGUGAUGACCUUAAUCUGUUUGACAAAAUGUCCAAACGAAAUGAGUUUGUGAGUAGGUCCGAGAGUAUGUUUGAGAGUCAUUUCUCUUUUAAAUUUUGCUUCACUUUCCUUAUGGUUCUUGAUUUUAUUUUUUUUGUUUAUGAUUUGAGUGUGUGUGAGAGAGAGUUUGUGCGAAUUUCUGGUGAAUGGAAUGAGAUUUCCAUUGGAGAAGAAGAACAAUGGUCAAAGAUCCAUCUAAAUUGAAGAAUCUAAUUUAAAAGGACAAAUAUAUUCAUCACCGAUUGUACGGAAUAUGUAAAAUAUGGUGUCGCCGCUGCAAAAGUCCUACGUUGGAGACUUCAAAAUAGUCGAAGUACCAAAUUGGCUAAAAAAAAUCAUAAAUAACAAAUUUGGUUUUAAUGUAAAAAUUUAUGGACGAAAAUGGCUAAAUUCCUUAUCCCAAUACUAUAAUUAGUAUCUCAAAUAUGGUAUACCUUUUCAUCAUGGUCCAAGUGGACCAGCAACGGAAACAGAAAAAUUUUCCUUAUUGGCCCAGCCGAUCUGUUUCAUUUCCUGGCAAUCAAUCGGCUCAACUGCUGAAUUGUGACUGAACUCCAUCCAGAAUAAAUAAAUAACGGCCGUAAAGACUAAAAAGUGAUCUUUGACAGCAGAAGGGAAUAUCCAGUUUAGAGAGUAAAAAAUCCAAGCUUGAAACAUCAACACUGAUGACAUUGUCUGGAAAUUUGCAUCAACCAUGGAUUUCAAUACUUCCUUUCUCUCCACAAUUCAAAACCCAAAUGGACAUUAAUCAAAUUCAUGCAAAAUUACUAACCACUGGCCUCAUCAAGAAUCUUUACUUGACCCGAAAACUUAUCCUCAAAUUCUCAAACUCACCACACAAACCCCUGAUACAGUUUGCCAAAUAUCUCUUCUUCUCAAGUCAAGCCUUCGACGACUCACGAAAUAAAGCUGACCCAUUGAUUUGGAAUUCAGUAGUCAAGAUCUAUUCGCAUGGCAGUGACCCUGAGAACGCUUUGAAAGUGUUCGUUUUAAUGCUUGAAAGUGGGGUUUUAGUAGAUGAGUACUCUCUUUCCUUGGUGUUAAAAGCGUGUUCCAGAGUGGGUUUGGUUAAAAAUGGGAUGCAGAUACAUGGGUUGCUGAAGAAAUGCGAAUUUGGGUCUGAUUUGUUUCUUGGAAACUGUUUGAUCUCCAUGUAUGUAAAAUGUGGCUGCAUAGAGUAUGGUCGCCAAUUUUUUGACAGAAUGGCUGACAAAGACUCUGUUUCGUAUAACUCAAUGAUUGAUGGGUACGUGAAAUGUGGGAUGGUAGAUUUUGCACGUCAAUUAUUCCAUUCUUUGCCAGCAGGGAUGAGGAACUUGAUAACUUGGAAUACUAUGAUCGGUGGGUUUGUGAAGUUAGGGGAUGGUUUUGAGUCGGCGUGGGAGUUGUUUGAGAAAAUGCCUGAGAGAGAUGUUGUUUCAUGGAAUAUGAUGAUUGAUUGUUGCAUAAAGAGUGGGAAAAUGAGGAUGGCCCAAAUGUUGUUUGACACCAUGCCGAGAAGGGAUGUUGCCAGUUGGGCUAUUAUGAUUGACGGUUAUGCCAAAAGCGGAAGUGUUGAUGUUGCUAGAGGCUUCUUUGAUGACAUGCCAGUAAGGGAUGUAAUUUCUUGCAAUGCAAUGAUGGCAGGGUACCUAAGGAACGGUUCUUAUGUGGAAGCACUAAAAAUGUACCAUGAUGUGUUGAAUAAUAGUGAUUUUGAACCUGAUAAAACUACUUUCUUGAUUGCUCUUUCAGCAGCUGCACAUUUGGGCAACAUCAAUGAGGGGGUUACCAUACACAGUCAUAUGAAGAAUAAUGGUCUUUUUGCAGCUGGAAAACUUGGUGUUGCUUUGAUAGACAUGUAUGCAAAGUGUGGGGACAUCGAUUGUGCUUUGAGCGUAUUUGAGGACAUCAAAGAGAAAAGUGUUGAUCACUGGAAUGCUAUGAUUGGGGGAUUGGCUAUUAAUGGCUUGGGUGAGCUAGCUUUUGAUAUGUUCAUGGAGAUGGAGAGGCGUUGCAUAGAACCAGAUGAUAUCACUUUCAUUGCUUUGCUUAAUGCUUGUGGGCAUGCUGGCAUGCUUAAAGAAGGUAUUAUCUGCUUUGAAAUUCUAAGAAGAGUCCACAACAUGGAUCCGAAACUCCAACACUAUGGGUGUAUUGUAGACAUUCUUAGCCGAGCAGGACAUAUAGAGGAAGCCAGGACAUUUGUCAAGGAAAUGCCCAUUGAGCCCAAUACUGUGAUUUUGCGUACUUUAUUGGGUGCAUGUAAGAAUCAUGAAAACCUAAGCACUGGGGAGCCUCUUGCUCAGCAUCUAAUUGGACUGAAUUCCCUUAACUCAAGUUCAUACGUCCUUUUGUCAAAUAUAUAUGCUCAACUCGGUUUGUGGGACAGUGUUAGGUGUAUCAGGACAAUAAUGAAAGCAAAGAAUGUGAAGAAAUUCCCUGGCUGCAGUUGGAUUGAACUUGAGGGAUUAGUUCACGAGUUCUUUGUUGGAGAUACAUCCCAUUUUCAAGUUAAAGAGAUUUUUUCUACGUUGAACAGAUAGAUUAGUUGAAGCUAUGAGGCUUUGAAGCCUUGAAAUUUCUCGAUAUCAAAAAUGGGAAGCACAAUGUGAAUAAGUAGAUAAUUCUGUAGCCAUAACAACAUAUUCUCUGCUUCCGUCAAGGAUAUCCACAUCCGCUGUUUCUCCUUGAUGCCAUACAGCAGCUAUUUUUUUCUCAUCCCAAGUUCAUGUACAACAUGCAAAGUUCACUUAGUAUCUUGUAAGUUUAUGAUGCAUCUCGAGAAAGCAAUUGCAAGAAAUUUCAAGUUACAAAGCUUACUUCAGUUUGUCUUUUAGUUGUUCCAUUCUUAUUUAUGAAAAAGAAGAAAAAAAAAGUAAGGUUGAAAAGACAGUAGGCAGGUUUGUGUUGCUAUCUCAUAACAGCCAUUUUUCAUCCAAAAAUUAUAUCAUUUUCGUAAUUAUAUUUUUUUAUUAUUAUUUUUUUAAAUACAUCAAAUCGUUACAGUAAUUUUUUUAUAAAAAAUUUAAAAAAAAUACAAUCCAAACAAGUUUAGAUGUUACUGGGAAACUUAUCCAGUGACAGAAACAUCAAAAUCGCAUUUGUCAUAUAUCUUUGAUAUUUCAGCAAUUUCGAAGAAUUAUCUUAAUAACAUUCACAUGGUCUACAAGUCCGAUUCAAGAUGUAAUGUCUGCCUGCAUGCUGCAUCAUUACGAAACAUCAGAAAAGUCAAACUCCACAGCUCCACAGCUAGACAACCGGACUACCAAUUAGUAGUACACACUGCAAGGCUGUAAAAGGUGAUUUUGGGGUGAUUGUCCUCUUGCACCCAAUUUGUCCACCUACUCGUUGGCCAUUUCUGCUUGGGGAAUGUGUUUUCAACACCAUCACGGGAUCAAACUUUGGAGGGAUAGCAGCACUUGGAUUUUACUGCCCGACUGCUAAUCAGUGUGUAGUGCUGAAGUCUGUUGAGGCACAUGAUGGAUGGAGGUUGGUGGGUCCAAAAUAAAGGUUGAAAAAGAUCAUAGCGUGACCUGGAGGAAAGUAUAAUUGCAGUAAUCUGAGUGGGAAACAGGUGGAUAAAUGCAAGAAGCUGGCAAUGGGUAAAACCCUGACUCGGAAUAGUUUAAUAGAAUCCACUGUUGUUCAUAACAUACGCGGGCAGUGCGUUGCAAAUUAAAUAAGUUACACGACUCAGACCAGCGAGUAACUCGGUUAAAUGGUCGGUUUAUCGAAUUCGAACUACUUGAUAAGGUAAGGUAACUGAGUCAAAUUCGAGUAGAAACUAUUAAAACUUGAUUACUCCUUGAUUUUUAUCGAAUAGUACACUCAUAAUAUAAUUUUAAAUUAUUUAUUAGUAUAAAAUUAUAAAAUUUACUAAAAUAGCGAGCUUGAAAACUCAAUUAAACUUGAUUGAGUUUGAUUAACUCAUUUUGGUCGAGUUCGAGUAAGGUAAAAUAAGUUCGAACUAGAUUUUAAGGAGCUCAUAAACUUGAUCUCAAUCAAUUUCAAGCAUUUUUAUUUAAGUAAAACUUGAGCAGUACACGAGCCAAACUCGACAUGAUAGCAACCCUAGACUAGUAACUAAUAAAUCUACCAAAGAAGAUACCCGAUGCCAAACCUAUAGGAUCACAUUUUUACAAUAAUUUCUGAAAAUUGGGAAAAGACCUCCUUUCUCUACAUCUUGCAAGCUUCUUCGAUCUCCAGUUCAUGAGAUAUUUUGAACUAAUUAUGGCACUGAAAUUAUAAGCUUUUAGACUCAGAAAACAUGUUUUUGUUCCAGAAUCUCUGAGAACUUUUAGAUUGGACAAAUCUACAUUAGGUGAUUUUCUUUGACAAAAGAGAGAGUUGCUUGCGCUUGCUAGCGAAAAACAAAAUGAAGGGGCACCAAAUCAUUUGGAUUAGAAACUGGACUACGAAAGAACUUCCCCAUGACCUAGUCGGUAGUCAGUGAUUAAUCAACUACAUGGUUUUGAUUGCACUAGGCUUCAUACAGUGACUUCUACAAAUAAACAGGGCAAUUGGGAAUACCAUACAAAUUUUAGGUCAUGCUGACCAUGGAUCAUUGCCAAUUACACAAAGCCCGCCAAGACACAGCCUAAAUUACAUAAUGUGACAAACCAGGGAAUACCUUCCCAUGCUAUCUACGUCCUGAAUGCUCCUACAUGUUACAAUCUAAUCUAAAGCAGGCUUUGCAUUUCAAAACUGUUCUUUGGAGGACAAAGCAUACUGAAAUAAGAUGCCUACUCAUCAUCAGUCAGAAGUUAGUGAGCCAUCUUGAAAUGGUCAUACUUGGGUAACCAUUGCAUAUGAUGAUCAGGAACUGCAGAUUAGUUCAUUCAAUUGUUGCAUCACAGUUUCGAUGGUAGGCCGAUGAUUAAGAGCUUCAUGGGUGCAAAGCAGAGCAAUUUUUCCAAGCUUAACUGCCUCUGAUUCUCUGAAGUUCCCUUCAAGAUUUGUAUCAACGAAGUCUUCAGUCCUUCCCAACUCAGCCCCUUGACGAUUCAACUGGCUGAUUUUACAUUUCCCAGAAAGGAUCUGGAAUAUAAUCAUGCCAAAGCAUAUAUGUCACUCUUCUCGGUGCAACGACCUGUAGUGGUAUAUUCAGGAGCCAAAUAUCCCAUUGCAGCACUGCCCUUAAGGGUUGAAUACACGAUGUCAUCAGCCAAUAGUUUGUGCAGUCCACAAUCUGAGAGCAUUGGGUGGUAAUGUUGAUCAAUGAGCACCUUUUCAGCUGAUAUAUUUCUGUGGACUAGAGCAGGUUUCUUUCCCUGAUUCCCAUGCAAAUACUCAAUACCUGGUGAAUUAGAAAAUCAUAAUUUAGCACACAUAAACAUCAACAAGGCAUCGAAAUGGCAUUAAAGAGGAAUCAUACAUAAUUUCUUUAUUCUGCAAAUAAAGAAGUGUGAUAUUAUUCUGGAUAAUCUUAGGCCGUCAUUCCAGUCAUGAUAUGAACCAUUCAUUUGUUGUCUUGAAGUGUUAAUCGUCCCAGGAAUCAACUGCUGCAGAGAUGAUAGCAAAAGCACUAACCUCUAGCAAUGCCUUUGAUGAUCGACGUUCUGGUAGACCAUUCAAGAACCUUGACUUUGCACCCUUUGUGUCAAGGUAUUGCAACAAGUUUCCAUUAGGGACGAAGUCAUAUAUGAGAAGCACUCCCCCUGCCUUUUUGAACAACAGAAGCCUCUUAAUCUCAGGACAUUUUCAUGUUUCAAUGAGGUUAAUAAAUUUAAUCCUUUCAAAAAUUCAGAUUCAUCAGACUUGCAGCUAGUUUUGGAAAUGCACUUUAUAGCUACAAUGGACCCAUCCACAAUAUCCCUUUGUAGGUAGCUGAGAAACUACUCUUGCCCAACAGAUUUGUGUCUGAGAAGUGUUGUGUUGCAGACUCCACUUCAUCCAGAUUGAACAUGAAGCUGUCAAAUUCUUCCUGUGAGAAACCAUGACCAAUUUGGGCGUCUAGCCAAUGGAUCCCAGCCAUGGGAGUAUUCCAGACUGAUGAGAGGAGAAGCGCUUCUUCUGCACACCUCCUUGACCUGGUCAGUGCUGAGUCGACUAUCUGAUGCAUCAUAAGUACUCCAAUCUUCUGCUUCUGGCGACGGUACCAAAAGAAGGUAAAAACUCCUAUUACAGCCACAACUGCAAAUAGUCCAAUAAGUCCAACAAUAAUAGCUGUUUGAGGUCUUCUAGAUUGAUUCAAGCUGUUUGGCUGGACGUUUGCCGACUCAGGUAUAGCUUUAGAAGGAAGACGACUUGAACCCGGACCAAAUGGUUCAGGUUUAUUUGGGUUUAUUCCAGAAUCAGUGCAGACAUUCAAGGUGGAAAACCCAAUUCCACAUAGGCCUGGGUUAUUUGCAAACUGAAAUCCUUCAUUCAGUCUCUUCAAGGCUUCGUUGAGGGGGAAAGAGAAAUCAGGGACGAUUGAGUAAAUUAGCACACUUGAGAACACUAAAUUUGGUAAAAAGGAUUAUGCAGACAUAGACUAGGUGAAGCAAUUACCUAUUGGUACAUUUCCAGAUAAAGUAUUAUUUCUGAUGUCUAGAAAUUCCAAAUUUGGGGAAUUAGCCAAUUUGACAGGAAUGGAACCGAAAAGGCCAUUGAAGCUUAAAUCCAUCCUCGUCAAAUUCACUAAGCCCCAAGACUUGCCGGAAUCGCUCCACUCAACUGAUUGUAUUGCAGAGCAAGUACGUUGAGCUUCUUUAAAAAUCCAAGUUGAGUGGGAAUGCUUCCAGUCAACUUGUUGUAACAGAGUUGCAUUACUGCAAACAAAACAAAAUUCAGGUAGAAUCUAGCGGAGCCUAUUCAACAGUUUACCUGCUUUUGCAGCAAAAAUGAAUUUCAAGCUGAUCCAAGCGUAUUACUUUCUAAAAAGAUUCAAGCUCUACUUCAAAAACAUCCAGAGCACCUUUUGUUAGUAGAAUGUUGCAGCAUUAAUCCUUCUAAACAUUGAACCUUUUAAAGUCGUGAAACCUUAAAUUCCAAGGGAACUUACAGGAGUGAGAACUUACAGAUUCUCUGUGCUAAGAGUUUUCAAAGUACAUGCGGUCAAAUACGCUACAUUGAGGAAUUUAGUGAGCAAAGAACCAAUUUCCAUACACCAGAAGAAGUCCAGUAAGAAAGUCAAGCUUCAGAUCAAACUAACUGUUCUAGUGACCAUGAAAGCCACAAUUUCUGGAAAGUUCAGAAAGGCAUGCAAGCCAAAAGUAACAUUGACCACGUAACCGUUUAGUCUCUCCACUCAGCUCUUUCUUCACCCAAAAACAGAAUUGCUCAAAAGAUUUAAAAAAGGAAUGGUAAUAUAGAGGACAAACAACUCAAACAGUUUUAUGAAAAUACAUGCAAGAACAGAUCUAGUAUCCAAGGCUCCAACUUUCUUCAACAAAAACCCAAACCACAUCAUAAAGAUUGCAUCUUUAUUCUAAAAAGAACCAUAUCAUAAAGAAUACUUACCUUGAAGACUAGGCAUAUUUCCCAGCUCAGGAGGUAUUUCACCAGUAAGAUUAUUGACAUUUAGGUACAAGUCAGAGAGCUCAGUCAAGUUAGCUAUCUCUUUAGGCACACCUCCGUGAAGCUGAUUAAAAUGCAGAUACAGCCCAGAUAAGCUUUUCAGCUGACCAAUCUCAGGUGGGAUUUUUCCAGCUAGCCCUUUACCCUGGAGAGAAAUAUUAAGCACUUGGCCAUUUCCAUUGCAGGCAAUGCCGACAAAUGAACCAUUGCAGGGGUCAGUGGCAUUGGGAGACCAAGAGGAGAGAAUAUGGUCUGAUGGGUCUAACCAGACUUUGAUGCUCAGAAGAAUUGAAAGGGUGGUAGAGUCAUCUGCAGAUGCGGUUGUGAUGAAGAGCAGGAAGGUGAAGAAGAGAAAACAGUUGAAAACGAAGUAAAACCCAUGUUCUGGAUUUGGCCUUUUUUGGGCUUUGGGUGUUUCUUCCUCCUUUGUCCUUGGUAGCCUGGAAAGUUUUCUCUGUUUUUGGUUCAAAAAUGAAGAAUGAGACUUGAGGGGGAGAAAUAAAGGGGGGGGGGGGGGAGAAAUAAGGGGGAUGGUGGGAUGGUUAACCUCUCGGAUUAGGUUGGGUCUGUACUCUGUAGGACGUACAGUGGUGGAGUGAAUGGCGUGGGGCGGGGAUCGCGAAAGUUUUAGGGUCCGAGGAGGACGGGAAAUUCGAAUAUGAGUGGGUUGAAGAGCCGGUAGCCGGUACCCAUCUCACGUGAAAACAACAAUAUUAUAAUUGUCUCCGUUUAUCAAAUUGAGCCAUUAUUAGAUGAUGACUAAGCAGUCAGUCGACAGUAAAACUGCAAAAGGCUACUUGUAAAACUCGCGUGAGAAAGACAGCUUUUUUGUGCUGCUGAUCUUGGUAGGAUAUUGUACUGGGUACAAAUUUACCAGUUGGAAUUGAAUGCUGUCAUGGUUGUGGUUGCUUGCCCUUUUGAUCGCCAUUGUUACUUCUGAUCUUGACAAGAACCCGAGGUGAUGGGAACUUCUCAGACUUUAUGUGCUUCAAUUUGAAUUUCUUGCAAGCAUUGAACAUGUUUCAGCCUUGGAAGUUCAAUUUUGAGUGCAAACAACUGCUUUCUGGGUCUUGGCUAGUGCUACAGAUGUUCAUUCAUUGUAAUGAAUCAGGUACACUCAAAACUGCAACGAGGAUUUACUUCUAUGACUUUCAAAUACGAGUUCAUGGUUAAAUCAACUUACUAGUAACAAAUCUUGCUUAAUUGGACGAGUAUUUGAUUAAUAACACAAAAGGUGAAUAGUAAAUAAUGCAUAUGACCAAAUUAUAACAUCAGCUUCAAGCUCAGGCGAAUGUUUACCAAACUGGGAAAAGAGUUCAUGGCGAAAUUAAGCAGCUAGACGCAAACUAGGAGAGAAGAAUUUUCAACGUAAUGACCAAACGACUAGCAAGUGGGAGAUUUUAUGAAAGCCAGCUGUUUCUGAUGUUUUUCAUGGUACAAAAUUACGAUGGCUGCUCUAUGUUGGAUCUUUGUGAUCAAUCUGCAGCAGGAUUUCAAGUGUUGAAACGGCAGUAAAUGCGUAUUCACAAAUUUGAGGUAAUAAAUGGUGCUCAGUACUUAUUUACUCGGACUCUCUAACGCUUGAAGUCGUUAACCCGUGAAGGGUGAUGACAGCAGAUCCUCCAGUUCAUUUAACAGAUGGAUGGAUACUUGCAGACAGUACAUCAUUUCAAAAUUUAUCCUGAUCACUUCCAAAUGUCAAAAAAUGAAAUCUCAAGGAAAAAGAGAAAGCAAAAACACAAAAUGAAUCAAAGAAAAUGCACAAUGCUGAAAUGCAUGGACUUCACAGAGAAGUAAAUAUUACGAAAAUUCCAUUAAACCAUCGCCUUCCUGCAGUUAACAUUUUAAAGAAACAUCCGAAACUGAAAAGAACAAGUUGAUGGGAGGUCAGGUAAUUGCAGAAAAGGUUAAAGACAGAUCUGUGUAAUUAGUAUGAGAUUUACACAAAGGUUGGCAUAAUUGACCCAAAACAAAUGGUGUUCCUUUCAAAGGCGACAAUCAUUUGUUCCUUUUUUUCUCAAGGCCCACUAUCGCAGGGAGCAGAAUUUAAGUAGGAAUGGCCCCUAUCAUGGAAGAAGAUGAUGGGAUUAAAUUCACAAGCGUCUCAAUCAGUUUCAGGAGCAAUGCGUUGAAAAGUUCCAUGAUGAAAAAGCUCCACUCUUUCUUGUUCUCAAGCUAUUCAAUUCAGCCCAUGUGAAGGAAUUUUAGUCCGGUCAGAAGUUGCCCAAUUUUAUCACUGUUGCCGAGGUCGCUUACAGCAUAUGCAGAUUGCCCAUGACACUAGUUAUUCCUACCAUAUUAUGACCUGAUCCAUGAAUUGUAUUGAAAACGAUUGACAGGGAAUCCAACUAUAUCUAAGAGGGAGAAUAAAUAAGAACAAAAAAAAUGUACGAGCCUUGAUCAAAUGAUACGUAAUAUCCUGUUAGGUAAAACGUUUCGAACUUAAAAUCGCAUUGAUCCAAACAGUCUACUCACCAUGAUAUACAUUGGUAAGCACUAGCUAGGAUGAUAAGAUUUUAGAGGUCGACCCGCAUAAAGUCAAAAAUUUCAUCAACAUCUGCAUGAACGGAUGAUAUGCGCAGGAGGGAGUGCAUCUUGAGAGGUCCGGGAUUUGAGUUCUCCCACUGAUACUAAAAAAAAAUAGAAACUUGAUUGCUGUAAAAUCUAAACAAGAAAAGUAGAGAACCCCACUCUCAUGAGAUAACUGAUAAUUUGCACUUGUCCCUCUUUGUCCCACAUUCUAUGAGCUAUGUUGUUGAUCACCAGGAUACUGAUUGAGGUGGUGUAAAACAAAAAUGUCCUGCAAAGAACAUGCUAUUGUUAAGGCGUGCUGGUGUGGCACUGCAUUCUCUACAACCUUCACCUUUUCUAAAUCCCGUGAAGCAUGCAACAACACCUUUUUUUGGCUAAUUUUGGCUGCCAUUUCAAAUUAAGAAAAGAAGUUCAAUUGGACUUGUGUUGUUGUACCAGCACUACCAAACUGCAAGAAGGAAAAAAAAAAAAAAAAAAAAAAGACGAUGUUGCUAAUGUGGAGCAUGAUUGAACAUUUUGAAUUGGAGAACAAUAUGGCUGGAAAGGGGAAAUGACUUUUGCUUGUGAAUUGCGAUCUACUUGUGUUACUUGUCAUGUAUCAAUGAUCUCUCAGGUAGAUGAUGAUUUAGGAAUCCAUGUUGUGGUUCAGCUUUUCAGAGGAACUCAACUAUAGUUCACAUCAUUGCUACUGUCCUCUUUCUUUUUUUUUUUUUUUUUUUCGUCAAUCGUCGUCCCUACUCCUAUAUCUACUUCAUCCUAAUCUAAUUAUUACAAAGAGAUCCAACUGGGCCUGAUGAAAGAUCAAUGGAGACAGAAUCACUGCUGGACUAGACGGGUGCACAACGCACCCGUCUGAAUUUUUUAAGAACCACGACUGCGGCAAAUUAGUGAAAGGCAAGGUUCGCGCCAAAGCCUUAAAGGCUUGGUGGUGGCCACCAGCUGAUGGUUACAUCAUUGCUACUGUCCUUUUUUUCCCCUUUUUUUUGUUUACAGGCAUUUGAAUUUUUUUUUCGCCCUCGACAGCGGCAACAACCUACUCUGCCCUUGCAAACGUUUGAAAAUAGGCAAAUCCUAUCGUGUUCACUUUUCCAGUUGUUGGCUUCCCACAUACGAACUGUUGUAUGUUCCACAAUCCGUGUACGAACUGUAUACGAACUGUUGUAUGGCCAAGCGAAGCAAGCACAUGUUGUGACUAUCCAAGAAAUUGACUCAGGAGAGGGUAGAAUAUGCAAUGCAUGAGAAAAGGGACCAAAAAGAUUAUUGAUCCAAAUAAUUGUGUGUAGUGAAUGAUUGAGACUUUUUUAUACAAGGGAUGCAUAGAGAGAUGAUUCUUACCGUAGUUAACAUUGAAAAAUGCUUGGUCAUUCCAGCUUUCCUAGGGAAAUGGUGGUUCCGAUAGGGGUGAUUUCAAACCAAGUUGAACUCAAAUAUUCUCAUACUCAAACUCGAGAGCUCGAUGCUCAGACACACUAUCGAGCUCGAAUUAGUUAUAUUGCGCUCAAGCUCGACCUGAAGCAAUAUAUCCCAGGUUCAAGCUCGACUCGUUGGAGAUCAAGUUAGUACUCGAGUUCAAUAUCGAGCUCAAGUAUUCGAGCUUGUCAAACAAUUUCCAACUGAAGGAAUAAUUUAGGUAUUUUUAUAAUAUUAAUUAAUAUUAUAACGAGCACUCGAUAGAGUUCAAUGAUCUAUCAAGUAUGCAACAUCUCUAUUCAAUCUUGACUCAUAGACUCAAUUGAGUAGCUCGAACUUGACUUCGACGAGCUCGAGUCAAACUACUCGAUUGAGUUGCAGCCCUAGUUUCCAGCCAUGAUUGGCAAAAUAUAUAUAAUAGACUCAAAUUAUUACAUGUACAUCAUUUUUCAUGUCGUGUGUGAGACCUAAAAAAUUUUAUUAUAUAUUUAUUUUGUGUUCAAAAUAAGUUACACCUUAAAAAAAUAAAAUAUACAUCUUGUGAAAUUGAACAAAAUCAGACACAAGUGGUUGACAUAACAACCGAUUUAAGGCCCCCCCCCCCCGGUACUUGGAGGCUAGUAGAGUACACACUUUGCCAUGCAAAAGGCAGUUGCUAACUUCUGUUGGCUAGAGGCCUCCUCCAGCCUCAGAGAUGAUGAAUCAAGUGAAAUUGUGGAUAUAAUAUGAACUAGAGGUGUUAAAAUGGGUGAUUUGGGCAGGUUUGGGUUGGGUAAAUAGAUAAUGGGUAUAAGUGAGUCAACUCAUUUAUACCCAUUUAAUUAAAUGGGUAUAAAUGGAUAAGUCAAAAAAUAAAUUGGGUAACCCAAUUACCCAUUUAUAACUCAUUUAUUUUAACUUUUUGCAAACUCAUUUAAAUCCAUUUUUGCAAACUAAGUUAUCAAUUUAUACCACUCUUUAUACCCAUCAUUAGUUUUAAAUAUUUACUUAUAAUGUUCAAUAAACUUAAUUACCAAUUUUUUUCAUUUAUACUCUAUGUCACAAAAUUACCUAUUAUUUAAUAAUUGAAUAAUACGAAUAUAAAAAUUUGAAUUAAGUACUAUAAAAAUUAAUAUAAAAACUUAAUCCAAAAAAUUUUGAACCCCUAACAUUUUUUCAUAUAUAAAUUUAAAAUUUCAUUUUAUAAAGAUAAGAAAAUAGGCUAAAUUUUUCAUAAAUUGGUAAUGCUAAAAAAUGAGUAAGUUAACAAACUAAGAAAAAAUAAAAUAAUAAGAUAAAACCAAUAAAUAAUAAUAAUAAUAAUAAUGUUAACAUCAUGACAAAAUGAAAAAUUUGAAAAAAAAAAGGUAGGGGAAAGAAAGAGACUUGGGGGAAGAGAAUUUUAAAUGGGUUAAUUGGAUUUGAUGGGUUACCCAAUAAUACCCAUUUAUUAAAUGGAUAUUAUUGGGUAACCCAUUUAUACCCAUAUACAAAAAUUUAAACUACCCAUACCCAUCUAUUCAUGGGCGGAUAUGGAUAAAUCUAGUUAAGUGGGUUGAUUUGCCACCUCUAAUAUAAACUAAACCAUUGCAAUUAGUACGAGGGGGAAGAAUCUUAAAAGGAAGAAAAUUUGUUGCAACCAUAUCUCCAUGCCAAAAGUCAAAAGGAAAAAAUGAAAAUUUAAUGCAAACCUGUUUGGAAUGAAUUUUUGAAGAGUUCUUUUUUUAAAUUAUUAUUUUUUUAUAGUUAUAUAUAUGAGUCAAAAAGUUGAUUGAUAGUUACAUAAAAAUUAUUUUAAAAAGUCAAAAAAAUUAUUUGUAACAAAAAGUGCUAUCCAAACAUGGCCGCCAAAAUUUCUACGAUAUAAAUGGUUGAAUGAAAAUCAAUUCAUAUGUAAUUUUUUUAUAGUUAUAUAUAUGAGUCAAAAAGUUGAUUGAUAAUUAUAUAAAUAAUUUUUAAAAAGUCAAAAAAUUAUUUUGUAACAAAAAGUGCUAUCCAAACAUGGCUACCAAAAUUUCUAACCAUAUAAGUGGCUGAAUGAAAACAAUUCAUAUGUAUUUGGUUGGUGUAGACACUAAAUUUUUGCCAAAUUUUAUCAAAAUUUUAUGUUUUCUUGAAUAUUUUCUAUUUGAUGAGUUAUUUAUUUUCUUGCAUUUUAAUAUAUUUUUUUUUCUCAUUUUUGUAAAUUUAUUUAAAAAAAAAAUUUUGAAAAAAAAUCAAAUCAAGAUAUAAAAACUUACACAUUUUAAUCAUUUUCCCUACCAAAACCACUGCUAACCAUUUUUACAAUCCAUUUCCAGGCACCUUUCCUUCACUUGGUAAAAACCAUCAUUUGACAAGAACCAAACUUAUUCCCCCCAACACCUCUAGAAUUAAAUCCUUGCUCCCACCAAAUUGUUAAUAGGUGGCACCCUUGCCUCCCUUCCCGUAGGUUAGAAACUUAGAAUAGAUUAGGUUAACCGACUUCUACCGUUAAAAAAAAAAAAAAAUAUCUCUCGGCGUCUCCCUCUCAAGACAAGAGGAGAAGAAAAAACUCCCCUCAAAGGACUCUCUCGGCUCUCUAUCCCUCUCGCUCUCUCUCAAUUUGGACCGUCAAAAAAAAAAAAAAACUGUCACACAGUACACAAAAGAAGGAGAAGGAAAACAUCCAACAAAAACACAUACAACUCAAACCCAAUACCCCAACUCUCGGUCCCUUUUUGCCUCUCUUAAGUUCACACACCCAUCCAGAAAUCAACAAAAGGAGAGCAAGCGGUCAGACCAUUGAGGUUUAGGAAUUUCAGCACAAAGCUCAACCAAGUGACUGCAAUAUUCUAGAGGUAUUUUUUCUUCUUUUUUUCAAUUUUGUUUUUCAUAUUAAAUUCAUAUUUCGUUGCUUAUUUUCUCCUGUUUUUGCUGUUUUGCAUUGUUGUUGUUGUAUUGUUAAAAUUUGGGAAAUGGCUUGAGCUAAAUUGAGGAAAGGGAAAUAUUUUUGUGCAUGCAUGCCAGUGUUUGAAAAAAUGUUUAAAUGGGAAACCGAAUUAAAGUACCAUUAUUGUGCAUAUUUUUUUGUUAAAAUAGAUUAUUAUGGUUAGUGCAAGGCCUGAAAACGUGGGGUUGCUCAAACAUUUUGAAGUUUUGAACUUUAGAAGCAUGUGAAUAAUUUUUCUUCAUUUUGGACUGUUUUAUUUUAAUUUUGUCAUAUUGUUGUUGCUUUUUUAUUGAUUUCAGCUCAUAGUUAUGUUGUAAAAAUCAUAAGGAGUGUUUUGGUAUAAAUUUUAUGAUUUUUGUAGUGGUUAUAGUGUUUUAAAAAAUAAAAAACUGGGCUGUUUUUGGCAUUUUGGCCACUUUCAGGUUAUUUUUUGUAAAAACUAACUUCAAAACGAAUUCUAUGUGAAAAAUAGAGUGAGGGGGUUUUGUGAUAAAAAAAUCGCCGGCGACCGGUGGCUGUCCAUUUCUCCAACUUUCAUAAGCUUCCUCCAACUUUCUCUCCAUUUCUCUUCAAUUUGGGAGGAAAAAUUUUGCCUACUAUUCAUCCUCUUUAAUCCUUCAAUUUCCCUUCUUUUCUUUCCUACUAAAAACUAACAAUGAAAGAAAAGUUAACUUUCUCUUCUUUCCCUUUCUUUUCUGUCCAAAUCCUCCACUCCCAAACGAAGCCUAAGUCUCCUGCUUCUCCUUCCCUCCAUAGUAGCAGCUCUUCCCGGUCAUCCAUCGAUGUGGGCUACUCUUACUUGCAAUAGCAUACGAUUUCUGCGCUACCGCCUUACUUCUCUGCCGCCGGUAUCUACUUCCGCCUCAUACUCUCGUCUAUUGACGCGCUUUAACUUCAUAGUUUUCAUGGAGCCCCAUCACAAUAGCUUUUCUCGUCUUCCUCUUCAUCUACUACUUUCUCUCAUUCCUCGCGCAGGUAAAUAUUUCUCUCUACCUUUGAAUUGUAGUAAUACUGGAUAUUGCCACAAGAUUUGUGUUCAUUGUAUUUCUUGUGUUGCUAAAUUUUUGUUGUGGAUUCUUGGCAGUGGAGGUCGAGGAAGAGGUUUGGAUAGUAUGAAAGAUACUACUAGAGAAAGGCACAGAGGCCGUGGCGGUGGCAAGUGGCGGUGGAAAGAUAAAAUUGAUGCACUUGGAGGCUUCUGUGAGUAAAACCACUAAAAUUUGAUCUUUUGUGUUUUCUUUAUUUAAUUUCAAGAUGAUAAAUGACUGUUUUUCUUGCUUUGUUCAGUAUUGAUAAUGGCUGAUAACUUAUUAUCGUAUUUUGGGCAGUUUUGUUAGUGAAUCCUACGAAGAUUUAUCUUAUGUAUAUUUUGUUAUAAUCUUGGUGAUGCGUGGAUUUUGUUGUUCUGUUUGGUUAGCUUUGAUCAUGGCUGCUAAGGGCUAUUCAAGCAUAUAUGCGUCUUGACAUCUUUAAUUGUUUGAAUUGAGAUUUAUGCUUAAACAUUUUCUGUCUGAAAUGUUUCAGAACACGUGUUUUGCGGCAUAUGGCUUCUGAGUUAAACUUGAACAUGAGGAAUGAUGGAUUUGUUAAGGUUGACGACUUGUGAAGCUUAGUUUGAAAACGUUGCCAAUGAUCCAUUAAGAUCACAUACUGUUGAUGAGUCCGAGAGUAUACAACCUGAACUUUACUUUAGAUCAUAAAUAUAUUGUAAAUUGGGAUGUUGAAAUUAAAUUAGACAAUUCGAUUUCGAAAAAGGAAGAAGAUUGGAUCUCAAUUCAGUUGUAUGUCAUAACUAGAAACUCAUCAAUAUGCACAUGAUUCUGCUGUCUAUUAUCUUAAUGAUGGCUUGGUACAUUGUAUGGACACACUGAUUGUUUAUUUCUACUUCAUUUGCUUUCUAUAAAUCACUGAGUACUAGACUUAUUUGUUAUCUUCUUAAAUUUUCUAGGCUGUCAGGAGAGACAAUAACAAAGAUUUAGCCUGGUGGAAGAAAAUGGAGAGCUUUGGAUACGUGCAAACCAAGGCCACACAAUCACAGUAAUGUACCCUGAAAAUGGAGAUUCUAUUCUUGCUAAACAGAUUUUGAUAGAAAAUUUGAAAAGGAUAAAUUUGUCCACUGUGCCUUACCCUUGUUAAUAUUCUGGAAAAUCUUUUCUUUAGUCUGUCACAGUUUUCUUCUGCUUCUAUGUCAUUCUGGGAAGGUUAACAAAUCAAUGUGGAUCAGUUCAUUCUGGCUUAUUGUUAUUUACUGAUUUGUAAUUGCUAGGUAACUUGAUUUUUGGUGCUUUUGAAGUUUACAAAUAACUAGUAUCGAAGACAAAUACUACCUAUAUCUAUUUUUGGAUCCAAAUAAAUAAGUCAUUCUAUGUAUCCUUAACUGUAAGCAAGUGUGGAAUUUGUAUUUUCGAGAAGGAAUACAUGUGGAUUGUACUAGGGAAUUCAGAGUAUAACCAUUGAGUUCCUAAGUCGACUGUGAAAUUAUAGUUCAUUUCUGCUAAGAGAGAGGAAUUUGUCAAAAUAUUUGUUUUACUCAAAAUAAGUACUAUUCAGCAAACUAAUUUGAAUUAACUGAUCUCACUAAAAUGAAAAUACUCUAUUCUUAUAGUGUCUAUAAUUGAGAUUCUUGCUUUAUUUCUUUCUAAAAUUUUAGAUUUUAGAUCACAACUAGAAGUUAUGAUGUGGUCUUUAUUGCAACUUUAAAUAACUGGAUCUCUUCUGCUGUAUAUUGUUGGUAAUUUACCUCUUUACUGACUAUCUUCCUGGAACAUUUGUUUGCCUCAUGCAACAUCUGCGCUUAACUUAACCUUUUUAAGCCAUAACAUUGAUCUUAUUUUAUCUUUUUCUCUUGUGGAUUGGCACUUUACAGACAGUUGAAACUGAAAGCUUGUUGAAGCCUAUUCUUCUGCUGAUGAAGUUCCAGGUGAGCGCACUAGACCAAUAGAACUUUGUUCUCAACACAUAGUUUUUUAUACCGUGUUUAUAAAGUUCUUUUACAUGUUUAUAUUUAGUCUGUGUACACGGGACGUACAAGAGAAAUUUGGAAUCAAUUUUGGAACAAGGGCUGAAACGCAUGAAGAGUGCAUGUCCCUUUUCAUGUGGUUUGCCAACAGAUGGUGAAGUAAUAAGUGGUAAGUUAUUAGAUUAAUUGAUUAAAGCAUGGCAUUGUGUUGUUAUUCUUGUAACAUGAGUAAUUUUGUCAUCAGUGAAUUAUUCUUUUUAUUUUUAUUUUGGUAAACCAUGGACAAGAAGGGAAUUCACCUCAAAAAGAAUCCAACAGAAAUGAGGGCUAUUUUCAAUGUACUAUUAUCUAAUUACAUCGAAUCACACUGAUUCCUUUCAGAAGCUCAAAUUGCUUUGGUCAAUAAUGAAUUUCCAAAAAGUGAAUGCUCUCAACUGCUGCUGCUGGUUACGUUUAGUUCUAAAUGCAGUAAGAAAUAUGCUUCUCAUAAAUUAUAUGCUUCUUUAUGCCUAGUGAAGUACAGAGAUAUUAUCCUAGAGCUGACAAAACUUAUUUGUUAGCGGGCUGGAUAUGAAAUGCUUUUUGAGUCAAUUUGUAGUUAAGAUCAAAUUUGGAAGAUUUCAAGAUAGUUUUGCCAUGUACAUUCCAGAUUGAUAUAAGAUCACUUUGACAGGUAUGAGACGAGGUGUAAAUAUCCUGAUCUUUCUUGAUGUGAGAAAAGCUUUGGAAGGUGAGUCUUGUUCACUUUGGGAAGCAAGCAAGAAUAUGUUACUACUUUCUAGUUUUCUUACAACAAUAUGCGAUGAUUGUUACUUCUAACGUGUUUCAGAGGGAAUGAAGCUUUAUAUCUCAGACAACAAGGUGAUCUUGACUGAGGGUUUUGAAGGUGUUGUACCAGCGAAAUAUUUUCAGAAGAUUGAAUCAUGGCCAGACAGGAAACCCAUUUCCUUUUGAUCUUUGUACGUUGUAUAUUAACAUGUAUAAUUUGAUGCUGGCUAGGUAUUUUUUUGUUACAGCAAUGGCUACUGUUUAGCUUGAAAUAGAGCUCCUUUGGAGCUUUGGUUCUCUCUUUUACCCUUUUUUCCCCCUCUCGAGUAACGAGAGGGUUUUUAGCUUAAAUUGCAAUGGAAGGCGGAGGAGUAAUCUCUGUAAAAGAUCCUGUAUUUGAAGCUUUAGACGGGGUUCGUUUUCAAGAUCAAACCAUUUUACGUACUAAAAAAAAAGGAAAGAAGGCCAGCACUUAAAUGUGGGCAUUAAUUAAGUUGGCCCAAAAAAAAAAAAAAAAAAAAAAGGACGGUGCAAUGGCUUUGGGAGUUUUCAUUGAAAGUAAGUAUAUUAUUUUCUUUUAGGGUUAAUUACACUUUGCUCCCCUGAACUUGGGCACUUGUAACACUUUAUUCCCUAAACUCCAAAUAUGUGCAUUUUAUCUCUUGUGGUCAAUUUUUUGAUCGUGUUAAAAUAAAGUUAUCUUUUUCAUGACCAAAUUAGCUUCCAACUAAUUUUUAAACGCGCAUAAUAAUUGUAAGGACAUUAAUAUCAUUUUAUUAAAAUUUUGAAUGGAAAAUUUAUCAUUAAUGUUUGACGAGUUAAUGAAAGUGGUAAAAUGUAUAUAUUUAAAGCUUAAGGGGGCAAAGUAUUAUAAAGGAUCAAGUUCAAGAGGACAAACUAUAAUUAACCAUUUUCUUUAAGCAUCCACUAAUUAAUCUAUCACUUGCAUUCAUAACGGUUUUAAUUCUUUGACAUUUAAAAUUAAAAAUUUACUUCUUUUCAAACACUUAUUUAAAGAAAACAAUUGUAUUCCUUGUCAAUAGGCUAAUGUGUGCAUUUGUAGCUUCUACCUUCGCGAAAACACAGCAUACAUGAAUUUUCUAUUAAGAGUUUGAUAUCAAAACGAUCCAAGCCCAAUGAGAGCUCCGUUUAGGGUCGCAGUGCGCCUACAAAAAAGUACUUUUAGAGUGUUUAAAAAUUAAUUUUUUAUAAUUUAAAAAGUCCAAUUUUCAAUAACACAAAAACACCUUUUAUUAAAAUACUUGUGUUAGAAGUACUUUUUUUUAUACGUUAUAAGUCACUGCAAUUUCAAAUGAAACCUUUGUCUAAUUCUAGUCUUCAUGCAUUCUUUUUGAGAUAAAUAUUGAAAUAAAUGUAUUAUAUUUUUAAGAAAGGAGAGUAUGAUUAAGAGAUCUUGAGUUCAAAUUUUCUUCAUUUAUACUAAUAUAUAUAUAUAUAUAUAUAUAUAUCUUAUUUUUUUUUACAUAUAUAAAGCAUGAAUUGCUUAUGAACAGAGGACAAUGGGCCGGUUAUACUGUGAUUGUUGUGACUUUGAGGGGCGUUUCGGUCUUUUGGCAUUCGGUGGCAAUGGUUCUGCUGGAAUUUCACGCGGACGAUUUUGGCAGUCAGCAAUUUCUGCUGACAAUUUUGGCAGUCAGCAAUUUUUGCUUCACUGGUUUCAGCCUCUAGAAUCUGGAAUGGUUGGACGAAAAUCAACAAACCCAUCUCCCAAACUGCCCCAAAACAACGCCUGUGUACUCAACCUGGCCGUACCAGCUUAAGCAUUGGAGCUAUUAUUCCUGUUCUUGUUCUCAUUCUAACCAGAAUAGGGGCUAUAGUAGCAGCAGCAGCCUUUUGGCCUUGAAUGAUCUGAGCGACAACAGGAGCUCCAGAAAGCAGAAGACCCGGAAAGGCCGUGGCAUCGGGUCGGGCAAAGGGAAAGCUGCAGGGAGGGGUCACAAAGGUCAAAAGGCCAGAGGGACUAUUAAGUUUGGAUUUGAAGGUGGCAAAAUCCCUCUUCGCCGCCGCCUCCCCAAACGUGGGUUUAAGAACCCUUUUAGCCUCAGUUUUCAGGUGAAUUCAAUAAGUCUAUCCACCCAGUCUUCGUUAUUACUGAUCUUUUAUCCUUUUCUGCAGUAGGAUGUACUUAAUUCCGUUGAUUGUUCUUUCUUUUUUUGUGGGAAAAUUAGUGAAAAGGGUGUGUUCUUGAAGCUCCAAUGAUGAAUGGGCCACAAAUUUGGGCUAUUGAUUGAAUGUAAUUCUAAAUGCACACAAAUAUAUUUACUUUUUGUAGAAAAGUCGGUAGAGAUGCCCCUUAACAGAAGCUGCUCAAAUUUAUGCGCCCUUUUCAAUAAUUUUUCCCGUGGUAUUCUUUUUGUGAUUGAUUAGUACCAAGUUUACUGAUUUUGUUGUUGAUUUAGUUUGUGUAUUAGUUCUUCACUGUGAGAUGGAGAAUAUGAGAGUCGAUUUUUUUGUUUGGAGGAUGAUUAUUAGCACUUUGGUGAUUUUUGAAGCAAUGUAGGGUUAAUUUGGUUUGGAAAGUGUUAUUAAGCUUGUAAGAGUGGUUUUUCUUCAACAAAUUUCUGUAUCAUGAAGUUGGUUGCAAGAAAAAGGGGAAACAAAUUUGGCAAGAUUUUUGUUGUGAAUGGGAACUAUUUGUAUUGAAGUUACCAGUAUUGGAUUUGAACUACUUAAACCUUGUUACAUAUACACACAAAUUGAGAAGUUUAGGAUGUAUGCAAAUGACAGGGUUGUCAGGUUGGCUAUACAACUCAUUGCAGGAGUCUUGCUCACUGGAAAAUAUGCAGAGGAAGAUAAUUUUGGAACUAUGUGUUGUGUAGUGAGGGAAAAAUGUGCUGCUCACCUAGAUUUGCUUAGAAUGUUGUGUGGUGUUUAUUGUCCUUCCUUUGGAUGAAAAGCAACUAUUUAGUAGCUUGAAUCCACAAUUUAGAUUUCUUUUGUUGGUUGCCCCUAGCAGAAUUAUGAUGUUUUCUGCAAGGAGUCUGAAUAAUUGUCCUGAACAACUGUAAAGACAUAGUACUCAAAACCAAAUGAACUGCAUGCUUAUGUCCAAUUCAAAGCUACAAGCAAGUCUAGCACUUUUCAUUGCUGAAGUAAGUGACCAUGAUGAAGUACAGGAAAAGCACAAAAUGCGCAAAGUGAAGAACAAGCCUGGCGCUAUUUUAGCUUUGCUUUUCUUAAAGGCCAUUGGAUCUGUUUUUGUCUUAUAUUGACCCUUGGUCAGUGAGCAGUGGGAUUAGUUCAUUGGGCUCAGUGGAUAAGUUAUUAUAAUUAUACAAAAGCCUUAGAUGACUUGAUUAAUGAAGUGUAGGAGCUUAAUAGUUGUACUCAUUAAUGCUGCUUUAGACUAUUGAUUCUUGAGGCAUAUCUAAUUUUUUUGCUGCACUUGUAUUAUGGUGCAUAUGUUAUUUGUUAUGGUAUUUCAGUUUAUACAUAUAAUCUUUGAUGGACUUAUUUUCUCUGUUUAUGCUAGAAUCUGUUAUUCAGCAUGCAUGUUUUAUUGCUUAAGACGUUCAUGAACAUUAUUGUUUGACAGUUGUGAGUUCACGAACAUUAUUGUUUAAGCUGCAAAUUUAUAGGUUAUUUUGUGUUCUUAAGAGAGGAAGAAUUAUAAAUAGGUAAGAAUUAUAAAUCAACAACCAAGUAAGAGAAAGAAUCAUCAAAUAGGUAAGAAUUAUAAAUCCAAAGAACCUAGAAAGUAGAACAGAAAAAUUUUAAGCUCAAGAAAUUAUUAGAUAUUGUAUAUAUCUAAGCCAAUAUCUUAGUGAAAAUUCAAAGAGCUUCUUCCAUGCUCCUCGUACUCACCACAUAAAGUGUUGCCUCUCAUACAAAUUAUCAAAACCAAAAUCAUCAAAAUCUCAAAAAAAAAAAAAAAAAAAAGAGAGAAAGACAGCCUAAAAAAGGGAAGAAAGAUAGAAAAAUAAGAAAAUAUGUAUAUUCACCCUUGCAAGUUAAAGUUGUUCAAUAUUGAGAGUCCGAGGCUCAUUUUCAAUAGAUGAUGUCCUAUCCAAAGAAACCAUUGUUGCUCCCUCCAUUCUUGAACACUUUUAAUCUAUCAAUCAAACAAUCAUUUGAAUUGAUAACAAAAAGAAUAGGAUCCAAUAUGAAAUCCUGAUUGGGAGAAAUGGUAGUAUAUAACUAUAUAUAAACCGAGGUCAUGGUGGGCUAGAGUUGAAUAAGAAUUACGUGUCAUGAAUAUAGACCUAUUAAUGUAUAACAAAAAAGCCACUGAAUAUACAAAAAAGAUUAAUUCAAUUUUACAUUGGUUUGAAAUAUUUUUAAAUAUGUUUGAAUGCUCAUUCAAGUAUAGCAAACAAAAGAAAAUGACAAACCCAUUUUAUAAUUGUCGUUCUUUAUUUCUUUCUUCUAAAAGAUUGUUAAAUGUGAAGUACUAGCAAACAGAAAUUGUCAAAAAAAUUGGAAAUUGUCAAAUUGCUUGUCUUAGAGAAGUAACGUGACUAAUAAGCAAUGCGACACAUUACAUGUAUAGCUAUAUGCCUUUUAGUUCUACCUAAUUUUAGGCAUUACUUACUGAUUAAUGCUACAUUAAGAAUGUUAAAUAAUCAUGCCUUUUAGUUCCGCCUAAUUUUAGGCAUUACUUACUGAUUAAUGCUAUAUUAAGAAUGUAAGAUAAUCUGAUUUCAAACUCAUUUUAUUUGUGCAAUUAGGAAAAAACACACACUCACACAUAUGGCUACUAUAUCUAACAAAGAUAAAAAAAAAAACACAAACAUAACAGCAAAAUAAUGAGUCUCAGCUACCUGACGCAUGGCGUCAGGGCUGGAAAAAUAGUAUAUAUAUAAUCUUUCCAGAAAAUAAUUUACCAAAAUAAAUGAGAAAUAUUAACCCUUUGGUAUGUUUGUAUGGGCCAACGCAAUAGAAUUGGGCAGCUUCUCUUGGGCCUGUUUCGGGUAUGUUGAGCAUCGGCCCUUUUGUAUUCUUGCUCUUAGCUUGAUGAGCUGAUUGAGCCUGGCUAAUUGGUGAAUGGUGAUACAGUUGUUCUCUCUGAUUCUUUCUGCGGUCUUUCAUCUGUUUAUAGUUGAAAAACACUUCAGAAUCCCAGAUUCAGAGAGAGGCUAUCUAACUAUUGUUGGAUUAUCGCUGGCCAAAAAUCGCAUCAAGGUAGACUUUUUUAAUCCGUUUUCAGUAAUCUCUUUACUUCAACUUCCCUGCAAAAUGAAAUUUUAGAUAUUACCUGCAAAAUCUUCAAGAUUGCAUACUUCAAAUAUGUUUGAAUUCCUGUAAACUCUGCAUUGUUUUGAUUUUUGGAUGUCUUGUUGAAAUACUGGUGCUCAUGACACAGCUAGAAGAAGAAAGAAAGAGGACGAAGGAGCUGAAAAAGAAGAAGGAAUGAAGUUUAAGGAGUGUGAGAAGAAAAGCCAGUUGCUAGUUUUUGUUAUUUAACAAAUCGGCUUCUGUACUUGUGGGAUAGGAUUAAAAUUAUUGGCAUCUUUUUAGUAUUGAUGAUUAAAGAAAAAAUAAAUAUUUGCAUGGAUAACGCUCAUAGCUCAAAAUUUGGGGGUUUUUUUUGUGCGUGUGUGUUUGCAGUUAAGAAUUGGGAAAAGAAUUAAAAACCUAGUUUUAUUAGUUUGCAAAGUUUUUAUUUCUCAUUGCUUUGUAAAGACUACCUUUUUGUUCAACUCAUCCGACUCAGAAACUAUUAUGUAAUUUUGCAGACGAUAGAAGGCUAGAUUCGGCUUCUUCUUGUACUUUGAGGAGUGCAUCGAACUGGUUUUUUUGAUAGAAUUUGAUGUUUGCAAAUAUGAGAGCUUGCAGUAGAUGGCGGAUAUUCCUUCUAUCUGUGCCUAUGAUAUUUUUCUUGCCUCAUAUACUAUCAGGUGAUACUUUAUUUCUUCCAUGAUAAUAAUAGGUUAAUUGCUACUAUAAGUUUUAAAUAUGCUUCAAGUUUUUAUGAGUAAGACUUAUGGGAUGAGGAUGUGUAUUUAUUCAGUAUUGAAGUUGCAGGAGGACUUAUCUGCACAAAAUUUGCACCGAGACAAGCCCAAGAAAUUCGAUCAUUUGGUUCUUGGAGCUGCUGCGGGGGUUGGUUUGCCUGAUCGCCUGCAGUGCGAAGGUUUUAUUUGCUUCAUUUCUUGAGAUAGAGUUGCAUCCCACCUUCUGCUUUUUCUAUUUUGCUUAGAUUCUGAUUUCCAUGUCUAUUUUGUUUUUAUUGUUGGUUCUUAUGUGUAUGUAGAUUAUUUAGUUUGCUUGUAUCAGAAAUACUUUGUGCAAGAAGCGUGUUUGUGCAUCAGGAUUUGGUUGCAAAACUAUGACGAGUAGUGAAUUGCUAAAACCUCUUUACAGUGUAUGCGUAGGGCUUGGAUGGCUGACUUUGCUCAUAUUCUAGAACUUUUGUUGUGCAGGCACCAGAGCUCUUAAUAGGACACAGUUUUCUACCUUCUCUGAGAAUUCCAUCAAUGGGGACCAGAUAUCCUUUGUCACAGUGUUCACAACUUACAAUUCUAGUCUAGAUGUGCAAAUAGAUAGGAAAAUAAUUGACUUAGUAACUGUGGGGAACAAAUCAUACAACAAGGUGAACAGAUCACUGGCCAUUUUGAAUGUGUUCAUUGAUUUCAUUCAGGUAAAUAUCUGCCUUUUGAUAGCAACAGUUAUCAACAUAGGGGACAAUGAUGUUACAAGUAAUCUUCAAAUAAUGGCGCCAUUCUAAGGUUUUUUAUAGGGUUGAUUAUCUAUCGGGUGUUGCACAUGCAUGCAUCACCUGAUUUUUAGACAUAUUUUACAUCAGAGGGGAUUCUUGGGGUAAAAUAUGUAUAUCCAAGUAAUAAGAGCCAUGAGUGUUGGAUUGGCCUUCACUCUCAAAUGUCUUAGUACCUUUACUAAGUGCCAUGGGCUCUAGAUGGUUAAUGCUGUCAAUUUUUCCUGUAUAUGAUUAUUUUUUCCACGUCUAUUUAGAUGGUUCAACCAAACAUACAUCAGUGAAAAGCAGAAGAAGAAGCGUCUCUGAUCUGUUUGGCAAUAUCUUGAUUUUGUUUUCAGCCACCAUUGAUGUGACAAUUUUGUUACAAAUACACUAUAGUCCCUCUAUUUUACAGAAACUAUGGUAGACUUUAAAAAUGUGCUGAUAAAAGUAAUAACGAAAUGAGAUUCUUCAUAUUAAAUUUAUUUUAAUUUGGACAAGGUGGAGAAUUGGAGUCGCUACCUUUUUGAUGCAAAACAUAUAGUGAAAAAAGGAAUAUUUUUUGCAUUAAAAAAGUUUGUUUGAUCACUCUUAAGAUGUGAACUAGGUUGUUUUUAAUGGAGGGGUAAUAGUUUUGCAUGCAUCUUCUGUUCUGCUAUAAGUGUUGAAGAUGCUUAUGAUGUCUACUUACACACAAGUCACAAGGUGUUUGUGCAGUGAUUUCUUUUUUUUCUUCCUUUUUUUUUUUUUUUUGCAUGUAUCAAGUUUUAAACACGUGUGCAACAAACUGUGCAGGCAACCAUGUCCCACAGCAAAGUCAUCAUUCUUACUGAUCCAUCUUCUGAGCUUCCAGUGCACAGAAACAGGGUUACCAUACAUCCCAUUCAAGGUGAAUAUUCACGAGACAGGUUGAUGCUUCAAAGAAUCAGAUCUUACAUUGUAAGAGCAAAAUGCAUCAAGUGGAAUAGCUAGAAUUUUUUAUUAAUUUGUGUUACCCUAGCUUGUCCUUGUGUGUGUUUUUUUCGUAUCCUGAUUUUUUCUAAGACAUCGUGGUCCUUUUAGUGAUUGACAUAUCUGCUUUUCAAUCUGCAUGUGUUGUUUGUGUUGUUUGUGUUGGGGGGGGGGGCGCUUGCCCUGCAAUUUCUUGCUUGUCUGUGUAUAUGUGUGAGAGAAUAACCUAUUAAAGUCUCUUAGGAUCAGUACAACCUGUUAGUAAGCAGCUUUUUAGGUGAACAUCAAAUACUAAUGUAUACACUAUUGACUAAAGGUUCUACAAAGUGGUCGUUAUUUUCCUGCAUCAUCAGUGAUAUUUACACUUUUUAUUUGUGACCAUGUAAUGUAACUCAAUUGUUUGCUUUUCAGAAUAACUUAGACCAAUUAUGAAGUUUCGUAUCUAUGUUUUUCUGUGUAAAGCAUACUUUGCAUUCAGCUGCAGAAAACUUAAGUACUUAUAAAUUGCAUAUUGAUGUUCAUUGCACUUCUCUCUCUGUUGACAGGUCUUUCUAGAGACAAGGCUUGAAGAAUACUCACUGGGGAAGGGACAAAUCAAUCAUUAUAUUUUUACUGACUCAGAUAUAGCAGUCAUUGGUGACCUGGGACAAUUCUUUCGUGACUAUCCGAAUUUCCAUCUGGCUCUCACCUUUCGGAACAACAAGGAGCAACCGCUAAAUUCAGGAUUUAUUGCAGUUAGAGGCACUAUUGAUGGAAUGAAAAGGUGCAUUGGUUUUUAAAUAACAUGCUAUUGGUUAAAUAGAUCAUGCAAAACCUGUUGUCAUAGACCAUGCAAGUUGGAUGGUUAUACUCGUACAAUGACCAAAAUGUCUAAACUCUUCAAAUGGGGUUUCUGUUUCCUUGAUUCCUAAACUACUCCUGGUUAUUUGAGCAAAACCUGUUGUCAUAUUAUGUAGUCUAUUUACUUUUGUCUGUGUCAGAUCAUGAGUUUCCUCUUAGAAAAUUUUUCUUUCUUGAUCCUUCCCUUUUCUUUAACAUUUCAGACUCCUUUAUGUGCAGGGCCAAGGCUUUCUUGGAGGAGGUACUCAAAGUCUAUAUCUCGAAGUACAUGAGAGCUUCCAGAAUGCUUGGAGAUCAACUAGCUCUUGCUUGGGUCGUAAAAUCUCAGCAUUCCUUUGAUGCAAGAAUGUUUACCAAAAAACAACCCUUUCUACAUGACAUUGAUGGUACCUCAGUGUUAUUUUUACCAUGUGCUAUCUAUAACUGGACACCACCAGAGGGUGCUGGGCAAUUUCAUGGGAUGCCCUUGGAUGUUAAGGUAUAGUUUAGCUAUCAGUUUACGCUUUGCAAUGAUCUCUGUGAGGAGCUCAAGCCAAUUUUUAUUUCUUGUGAACUGAAUUCGUGCACCCAUCAUGAUCCGAUGGUCUUUUGAGGGCACAUGUGUGUAACGCUGGUGUGUACCUUUGUUCCUGGAUGCAGGUGGUUCAUUUCAAGGGAUCAAGGAAAAGACUUAUGCUUGAAGCUUGGGACUUUUUCUCAUCAUCUAAUUCUGACAUCUCAGAUAUGUUGUGCCUCAUUCUGAAGAGUGGGAGGACAAAGUAUGAUUUUUAAAUUUUGCUUUUUACAGUUUUCAGGCAGUGUUUAUGUCUGUUAAGGAUUUGAUUCAUUCAUUUGUGGAGAAAGAGGAAAGUGUUCAUGCCAGUGGAGAUUUGGCAUUCUAGAAGCCUGCACUUUAACUUGGCACAAAGGAAAAAGCCAUCCUUUGGCCUUCAGUUCAUUGUUUGGUGUCGUCGGUUGGCUGGUGAUCUUUUUCGUCUUUCCUACUCUCUUGAGCAUGGAAAUCAAAUCGUGUACCGAACAAAUGCGGAAUAGAUUCCAUUGUGAGUGCUGAGUUUUCUGCAGUUAAAACCUUGAAUGUUCUACCAAGCCCCAAAGCUCUUGCAAAAGCAAUACGAGAAUUGCAUUUUAGAGUUUGGGCUUGCGUUUGAGCUGACAGUUUUUCUACAUUUCUGCAGAUUUUACAUGAUUGUUACGAGCCACGCGACAUGCAAAUGUACACUAUACGGACUUUUUCCAUGUUCUUUCACAUAAGCGCCAUCUUUCUUGUAUUUUUUCCUUGUACUUUUGAGUAGCCUAUCGUUGGAGGUGGGAAGUAGUUCAAGAUGUAGACCCACCUAAAUGGUCUACGUCAAUAUAAUGGCAGAUUGUUUAGAAACCUGGGUUGGACCAACGACCGAUUGGACUAAAAAUCGGUCAUGAUUUUGGUUCGGUUUCAUAUUUUGGAUAGAUUGAAUUACAAAUCGGUCAAGAUUUUGAUUCGGUUCAUAUGUUGGAUAGAUUGAACUUGAGAACUAUGCCGAUCAAAUCAAAAUCAGAAUGAAUCAUUGAAUCAAUGGUUUAUCUGUUCUCAUUCGUUAAACUGAACGGAAAAGGAGACUAAUCAUUAGGUGUUACACGGCUCACUUUCUUUACACCUUUUGUCUAUUAUCAAAUUUGUAUGUCUACUUUCUAGUUUUCUAAUUUCCUUUAGAUUCCAAGUUUCUUUUUAUUAUUAUUAUUAUUUAACAAAGCUGUAAUCUUUAAUUUUUAAAGACAUGGUUUAAAAUUUAAACCACAAUAUCUAAUUCUCAUUACAUGAAUUUCAUUUAAUUUCAAAGUAUUGUAGCGUUUUUGGGUGUAUUUAAGAUUAUUUUUUUGAUAGAUACAAUUGAAAUGAAAUUUAUUUGUUUGAAUUUGAAAAAUUUAUUUGUGAAAUUUUAAGUUGUUUGAAAAUAUUAAACUGUUUUAUUGGAUAAAGUCUUAAAUUAGUUUAUUGAAUGUCUCAUUCUGUGCAUAUAUAUAUAUAUAUAUAUAUAUAUAUAUAUAUAUAUAUAUAUAUAUAUAUAAUUUAUUUUUUUAAAAAAUUCAUCGAACUAGAGUUGAACCAGCCUGAUCGAUUGAAUUGCAACUCAAAACACCUCAUUCGUUCAAUUAACCUUCAAUAUACUACUAAAAGACAAUUAUAAUUUUAUUUCCCUCCCCAAAAUCUGAGACCACACAAGGCCUUAACGUUUAUGUACAAAAGUAGUAAUAGUAGUAGUACUACCAACUACCAAGUCGUCGCCGCAAAUCAAUACAAAACGGAAAUAAACUUUCAACGGUCAGAAAACCGGAAAAGGGAGGGACGACUAAGAUCAAGAUGUUGUAGUUUUUGUCUUUUCUCAACGGCUGCUAACCCAACCCCCGCCCUAUCACCAUCUUCAUUGCUGGGCAAUGCCUAUAGGUAACCGACACACAAGGUAAUAAUGUCCCAUGAAAAUAGAGUUCCAACCUAUUAUUGGUCAGUGAGAGAUAUUCCAAAAUUCGCUGGUUGAUGCAGAAUUCAAUCUAACUAAUCAACAAAAAAUUUUCUACUUUCGAGAGUAACUUCAAUGUUGGUUUACAGGUUACGUUGUGAACGGUCAGGAUAAGUGCCCAUCACAUCUUCUGCUCCCAUCCAACAAAAACCUACACUCAGCACCGCAAGGUUACUGCAACAAUUAGGCUUUGCAGCACCUGUUAGAGGCUUGGACACCAGAAGGUCAGGUGUGAAGCAGGACUUAUCCGUGGCAUCAGUACAUAUGAGUUUUGAAUCUACAUAUGAUUCCAUCCAGCUGAUUGCAUGAGUUUUCAAAAAGGUGAUUGAGAAAUGCAUUAAUGAUGCAAGCAAAUAAAAUUUAACGCUAUCCAGACAACAUAUCAUGGUCUGGAGGAGCAUUGUAAGUGGUUAGAUAAUACUACUACUGCAACUAGAAAGCUAACACAAAUAUAAUCAGACAAUGAGAUGAUAUUUCACGCAGUUCUGUUACGCCAACUACAUGAAAGCAGAAACUUCAGUUCAACUGCUGAACCGCCAGAUCAAGCAAAUGUAAUUUACCGCCUCCAAAGAAAAAAACAAUGGAGCUAGUAAAGACACCAGAACUUCACUUGUACAUCAAAAAAAUCUCAAUAAAGUUGCAAGUGGGUAAUAAAUCUAAUAUUAUGUAGCAACCCAAAAUAAAAUAACUUAUGUCACUUUGAUCAGUGCAUGCUAGACCAAGUCCAUGGGUAUUGUAAGUUCGUGAAAAGCAGGCAAGGGCAUUCCUCUUCUCUGUUUCGUUUUUCUGUAUUUCUAAUUUUGCAAACUCUAGAUACAGUGCAGCAAGAACUCAGAGUAAAGAUACAAGGCAAUGAAGAGCUAGAGUACCCCUUUUGUCGGGGAAUAACACCAUUUUGUAACCUCAUAAGGAAAAUAAAUUUUAACUUCAACAAAUUAAAAAGAAAAGUAUGGCAGCCACUUGAUCAUCUUAAAUGCAGACAGAAAAGUAAAAACGAGAUAGUCACAAUAGGACUUGUACUCCACUACAUUCCCAAAUCUCAGCUGCAAGGAAAGUGUAGAAGAGUCUAAUUAGAUGAUUAAGAAGAAAAUAAAAGAAAGCAUAACAAGCACAACCGUCCCCUUCAUGGUUAUUCCGUCAGUGAGCUUCCAGUUCUCAAUCAACAUUUGAAGAUGCUACCAAAUAGAAUAAAAGAAACAAAAGAAGCAAUAGGUCAUCCAUCUUUGGUAUAUGUAUCAAAAACCCCAUAUUUAGCCGCACAAUCAACACCCUUUGAUGAAUAAAUCAGUAUUUUACCACCUCAUAAAGUCAAUUUUCAAUUAACUUCAUCUAUAACGCAAGCACUUCAGCUUUAUAAUCUUCACAAACUAAAAAAGAAUAUAUGUGAAAUUGAACUUAAGAUGUAAACUUCAUCACUGUUCCUUUAGAGCACAUUGCAUCAAAAUACUGUUUAAAGCGGACAAGAUAGGGAAUUAAACAGAUCUCCCAAUAAAAUAAACUUGUUAAGCAUAUGAAAGUUCUCAAAGCUUCAAUGCUUUAACAAUCAAGAUAGUCGUCCAUCUUUAACAAAAUGAAAGCUCUGAAAUUUUCAUAUUUCCUUUAUAAUUGCACCCAUAAUUCAAAUAAAGUUUAAAAGGUAUUAGUUUUAAAAAUGAAAUUAUAACAGUAAUAAAGUUAGCCAGGUUGAUGUUCUACACAAAGCUGCACCUCUUUCAGAAGAGGGCCAUAGCAAUGUUAAGGUGUAAAAGGAUCAGAGUUAGUUUUCUUUAUUUGGGAUAUUUUGUUAGCGCCACAGGGAAGGGGAAUAAAAGGAAAAAAAAGUUUCACAGAAUCCCUGACAUUUCAAUGCAGGUGGCUGACUGAUGUGUGAACCACAGUACUGCCUAAAAAUUCAAAUUGCAGGCAUCAAUCAUUUGAUUACUUCUCAUUAAAGCUUUAAACUUCUACGUUGCUAGUCCAGCUCAAAAAAAUGCAAAAUUGAUAGACUCCAGAUUAACUUCUAAAUUUAGUUCAGCCAACAAACUUUCCUGUUUCCUUAAAUGCGUUCUAGAGAUUGUGAUUGCUAUAAGAUCUAUUAAUGCCUAAAAGCUCAUCCCAGGCACAAUCUGGUUGCUCUUGGACUAACAGAACUAGCAAGACGGUAACUUGCUUACUGAUUCCAACGAUCAGAAUAUGGAAAAACAAAUAUGGCAGCAGUAGGAAAAUUGGAUCAUUCGUAGUGAUAAAAUCAAACCAGAAAACUCUAGCAGGUCAAAAUUAUAAAUUAAAAAAAAACAGCAUUUUGAUCAUUGAUUGAAUAUAGAUGUGAAAUAGGCAUCACAGUUAACCUCAAAGUCUCGAGCAAAUGCAUCAAUAAGUAACAUAAUAUCAAACUGCUUAAGUAAAAAAGAAUAAUAGCCAAAUUAUUGUGUGCUAUUUUAUUUGAGUUCCAUAAAGAUGAUACAUGUCCACCAAUCGGCAAAUUGCUAUAUGUUACGAAUUCUACAAUAAUGAAGCUACAACAAAUUACAUCCCCAGGACUGGCAAAAGGUUGUUUUCAGGUUUCUUUUGAACUGAUCAGGAUGCCCAGCAAAUAAUUGUCCAUUGACCACCAACCUUAAAAACACCUUCAUCGUGGGAUUGAAAUUGCCUCCUUAGAAGGCACCAUGAGAUAUAUGCGAACAAGAUUAUGGGGCAAUGAACACAGAUAUGUUAAAAAACAAUCAUAAGAAUCAAAAUGAAGAAGAAUCAACUGAUCCUAACCACACAAAUGAAAGAAUAUAUCACUGGGAACUCUUUUUGCCAUUACCAUAGUAGCUGAGAUACCAUCUAACAAACUUCUUCAAACCUGUUUGUAGAUCUGUUGUAGGCUUAUACCCAAGCUCCCUCUGAGCCAAGCUUAUGUUCGCAUGCGUAAACUGCACAUCCCCAUUCCUUGGCAACUUCAUUAUAGUUCUCUUAGCCUUCACCUUCAACAACCUCUCCAAAAUGCUAACAAGAUCCAAACUGGCACAGGUGAAGUAUUCCCCAAAUUGUACACCCUCAACUGAGCUGGCCCUUUCUUCUUCCCACCACUGCCAGUACUCUUCUCUGCCGUAUCCAAUGCUGCCAAACAACCCUUCACAAUAUCAUCAAUAUAGGUAAAAUCUCUAGCAACUGUGCCAUGAUUAGCUGCCUCAAAAAUCUGAAUUGCCUUCCCCUUCAAAAUAUCCUUCGUAAAAAAGAAAUAUGCCAUAUCUGGCCUCCCCCAGGGUCCAUAAACUGUGAAGAACCUCAACCCUGUUAAUGAAGCCCGUAAAUGUGAUUAUAAGUGUGUGCAAUCUCCUCGCCAGCCUUUUUAGUUGCAGCAUACAAACUUGCGGGGUUAUCGGUCCUAUCCUUUUCUGAAAACGGGACCUUAGUAUUCAAUCCAUAAACAGAACUAGACGAUGCCCAAACAAUCGCAGGCUGAGGAUUCACGCUUUUGCAAACCUCGAGAACGCUAACAAGCCCAGCAAUAUUACUAUGCACAUAUGAGCUAGGAUUUUCCAUGGCAUAUCUGACGCCAGCCUGAGCAGCCAAAUGCAUAACAUGGGUAAAUUGUACAAUAUCAAAAAGCUUCUUCAGGAGGGCGACGUCAUUGAUAUCACCCUCCACAAUGUACACCCCAGAGCGCUCCAAAAGCGCUUGCCGGGCUCUUUUCAAUGACUGAUCAUAGUAAUCAUUGAAAUUAUCAAGCCCCAAAACGCCGUCCCCGCGGCGUUUUAAGGCAGCAGAAACAUGGGUUCCAACAAAACCAGCAGCCCCGGUAACCAAAACAGACAUACCAUUUCUUGACCUGACUUUAGCUGAGGCUUUGAUCCUUUUCUCCCAAUCAGGGCCACCAUAGGAGCUGGUUCUGAGGGACCUCCUCGAGGGAUCUGCGGUGAGAGAUUCUGGGGAUGAUGAAGAAGGUGAUCUGAAGAAGAAGACAAAGAUCAGGCCCAAGAAAACAAAUGACCAAAAAGUCAGCUUGGCCAGAGAAGAAUGGAGCCUUAAUCUGUUAUAAGGGGAUUUCUCCAUCUUGAACUUUCCUGGGGUUGAUGGGAUAUUGUCAAUGUGCUUCAUUUGGGACAUUUAUUCCGCAAAAAUCUUGCAGAUUUGAGCAAUACCCUUUCUGGGUUGCUCUUCGUUGGGGCCAAUCUGGUGGAGGGGCGUUACUUAAAAAAAAACCAAAACAAAAAAAAAAAUUAAGGAUAGGGUAAAGCCAGAAAAAAAUGAAUCUUUUUUUCUUUGUUUUGAUUCUCUUGUGUAUUUGAUUGGUUUGGUGGGUGGGAAGAAGGCAAAGGGAUAAUGGGUUGAGGAGAAAGAUGAAAAUGGGGGGGUGUGUGUGUGGAGAUGGUGAUAUUGAAGGUGGAUGAUGGAGGUGGUAAUGGUAUGGGGAGUUUUAAAAGGCCUCUGGAUUUUUUUUUUUUUUUAAAGGGGAAUCUUCUGGUUUCUUGGGAGGGACUGGUUGUUGUUGGUGGUGGUGGUGAUGGUUUUACUUUUGUGGGGUUUUCUUGUUUUGGUUCCAGAGAGGAAAGAAAAAAUGCUUUCAGAUUUUGAUGAAUGAUAAGGAAUGGGUGAUUGGAGAGAGAAAUGUGAAAGAAAGAGAGAUAGAGAGAGAGGGAGAGAGAGAUUUGAGGGGAGUGGACUAAUGGUGGGGAGGGAGAAGAAUCAGGUUUGAAGCGUUUUGAAAAAUGUGACUGUAAUUAAGAUCGGUGAUGAUGAAGAUUCAGACUGCAGAGUUGGAUUAAGCAAAGAAGUUCAGUCAAAAGAUGACAGUAAUUAAUGAGUUGGAGCAGACUACCAAAUGUUAGUAGUUAAUCUUGAUCAACUUGAGAGAGUUAAUUUAUUAGGGUUUUUAAUCAUUAUUGCCAUUUUAGGAAAACCAGAGUCCACAUGCAAGCUUGGGUGGAAUGAGUUACAGCAUGGAGAAGAUAAAAUGGCCAGUACAAGUAGUUUCAAUGGUUGAGGAUGCCUCUUCAAAUUAAGGCCCCUUUUCAUGCAGCUCCCCUGUGUAAGUAAGACUUUUUUUUUUUUUUUUAUGCUGGUUUGGUAUGGGAUUUGUUAGAUUUAUCCCUUUUUUGGUGUGGGAUUUGUUUAUUUUGAGUUUAGUGGAUAGAUUUUGGGAUUUGAAGUUUGGUUUUGGGAGGUUGUUGGAGGUUGUGUGGAGUAAAUUUUUAGGGUAAUUAUGAGGGGUUACUAAUUUUCACAUAUCAUUGGAUGGGAUGGUGUGUGAGAUUUGUGGGGUUUGAGAAUUUUUAAUUGCCUCAUUAACAACCUAAUCAUUCAAAGCAUUUUGGAGUAGACCAUGUUCAAUGUUUUCUUCCUAUAAUUUUAAGGUUUGACAUUAAUAGGAAUUGUGAGUUGGCUAAAAUUAGCAUUAUGGUAUUAGACCUAUUAGUAAUUAUUAUUGUUGUUGUUCAACACAGGGGAGAAAGAAUUGAGUGUGCCCUAUUUAAUGGGUAACGUUACAGACUUACAGCUGUAUUUUUUUUUUUCAGAGGAGCAGGAUAAAUAAUUCUACUCCACUAUCAAUCAAGAGGCGCUUAGGUGUUCUGUAACUUCUUCCUGUCCAUCCCUUCAUCCAAUGCAUCAUCAUGCAUGGCAUCCAAAUAAACCAUUGAAUUUUGACCCUAAUGUUUUUUCAUUUUUCUCAGAUAUUAAUCCAGUUGAAAUAUGUUUGGAUAGCAGAUUAUUUGAAAUAAUUACUGUAGUAUUUUUUGUGAUGUGAUGUGAUGUAUGUGAGAUAAAAAGAUAAUUGUGAAGAUAAAAAGAUGUAUUGAAAAUUGUAUUUGUGAUGUAAACAAAUAAUUUUUAACCAUUAUUUGGCUAUCCAAACAUAAUAUGUCUUUUUUUUUUGUCUGUUUUCGGUUGAAGGAAGAAUAAUCCUAGUAAUUAUAUGUAAAAGUUUCAAAAAUUUCCCAUCAAAUUAAACAAUGAAACAUAACUAGAAUCGAUCGUCUCUCAAACACGAAAAUAAAAAUUAAAAAAAAUGAGGGGAAAUAGAACUAGGAUUUGAAGGCAAUGACAUUUAAAAAAAAAUUGGUGAUAUAUAAUGCUUUUCAUGUCCCAUAUUAUCUAAGUUGAUUGCGAUAAGAAAAUCUGAGAUAUGAUCCUUAUGCAACGACCGAUUUUGAUAAUGUCACCCUGAUUCUCGUAACUAUAAUAGUUACAUUAAUGAUAAAAUGUGCCAUAAUUAUUUUUUUUAUCAUUCAUGAUUGAGAGACCAACUCCAUUAGAACUUCAUAGCCAAACAUCUUAAGAUACAACGCAGUAAUUCAUUCUAGAAAAGCAAAACCAUAAGAAACCAUCAUUUAUGAAAAGUUGAAAAUAUAAAGAAUUAGUUCUCGAAUUCAGUGAAAAGAAUCAAGUAUUGCACAUGAUAACUGGAUACUAAUAAUACUAUAGUAAAUCACAGCUAGUCAUAAGUCAUUUCAUGGCCAAGAAUAACAUGUGCAUGUAUGUGCCUAUUAUAUUCUAUACUAUAUGGCUCGACAUUAUAUAGCAUGUGUGUAUAAGUGGAUAUUAUUAUAGUGUGUAUGUAUAUAUAUGUAUGUGCGCGUGUUUUAGCGUGUAUUCACGUACAACAAAAGUUUAGGGUUUAAGUUUAUAUCUAUAACAUGUUUUAAGGUGAGAGUCGAAUAUCAAGUACAAGACGCUCAACCACUAACUUUAUUUCCCAUUUAUCUAUAAUUGAAAAAGAAAUCAAAUUUGUAACGCAGUCAUAUAUAUAUAUUAUAUAUAUAUACAUAUAUGUAGUACAUAACAAUAAUUACACAAUAACACAUUUUGGAAUUCAUUUUUGCAAUGGCCAGCAAUAUGUGAAGAGGGCAACUGCCGAUGUUUUUAUAUUUUUGUCUUUUCGUUUUACAAAGGGCUAGUAAGCCAGCAAUAUGUGUUACUUAUGGAUUCAAUUUUCUUGCUUCCUUCUUUUUCACCUUACUAAAGGAGAAAAGAAAAUCUACACCAAGUCUAUGAGUAUAAGUUGGUGUAAAAUGACAAUAAUAUCAAGCUUAAUAUGUAAUAUAUAUCACGGUCAUAACUCGGUAAAAAGAAGCAUAAAAUUUGGUUCUUUUGAUAAGAACAAAAGAAUGAAGGUUAAUAAUGAUUUCAUCUUUUCAUAUAUCAUUUUCAGCCAAGAUUCAUCCUACCUAUUACUAUUGCCUUAGAAGGAGGCAAAAGGGAAAAUUUUCCAUGUUUUGGCUGUUUGAUGAAACUAGAACAAGCCCAACUAACUAGUAUAAAGUUAAAAAAAAAAGCACUACUAUCUUCUGUUACAGAUUAUUUCGAGCAUUAUUUGAGUGCAAAAAAAGGGCAACAAUUAGUUGGAAGGUUAAUUUUCAAGAUACUUCAAUUUUGUAUUGACUUUCAGUGCUCGAAGCAAACCCCCAUUUCUCUUAUAUAUCCUCAUGAUCAUAUCCAUUAGAAACACUACUUCAAAUUUUUAGAUCCCAUAAGAAUAAUGACAUUAAAGGGUAGAUGAUUAUGGUAGGUUACAAGAAAUAAUAAAAGAAAAACACAAAUUAAGCAAAAAUCUGUUGCAUUACGUUGACUGAUCAUCCAUCCUUAUAACUUCUGCAUGUCAUUUACGUUAGGGCGAAUAUAUAGUACAACUCAAAACUAAGAACCGAAACAUGCACGCACGGGAACUUUCACUAGUGUUUCGUAAAAUAUAUAAAUCUCUAAAUACGUUUCUUCAAGCAUUGCUACAAGCAAAAACUCAUACUCAGGCUGCAAAAGAAAACGUCAUUUUUCUUAAAGAUAACGUUAUUUUACUCUAGUAUCAUGUUUUACUCCAAAAAAGCUACACAUUAUCCUGCUAUUCUCAAAUAAAAAUACUACAAAUAGCAGCUGAUGAGUACGAGGGAGAAGAGAAGUAUAAUGGAUUGGAACUAACAAAUCAAUGGAAAGAAUUGCAUGCUUUCACUAUUAUCUUUCUUGAGAAUCAAAACAAAGAAAGGCUUUUUCUUUUUCUGGCUUGGAAUAUUUUGAUGAGGAAUAUAAUUCUCAUAAGAAGCGGACUUUCGACAGUACUGUUGAUAUGGACAGCAAGACUUUUGAUCUUUUCCCUCUGCAUGAUUGAUAAUUAAUAUGUUUUCUUCCUUUCCACCGGCUUGCUGCAUUCAUUUUUUCUUUCUCUGGAAACCCGAAAUUUUGGACUUGGGUUUUUCCUUCAAAACAUGGCCCUUAUCUUCUUUCUCUGCAUUUGAUCAGUUUGAGGUGGGGGUGGGUCGGGUGAGAUUUGGAGUGAAUUAAUGGUAGAGAGGAAAGGAGACAAAAUCAUGUGAGAGUUGGGGUUGUCACACUUUAGUGUGUGGUAAUACUUGAAAGGAAGGCAAAAGCCCCCUUUCAAGAACUCUUUUAUUUCUAGUGUCUUAUGUCCCAAUUUUGGUUAGGCUACUGCUAGCAUCAUGUGAUGAAUGUGUACGUGCAGAUUAUUGGUUAGAAAAACAGCACUAGACUGCUAGACUUGACCAAACUAGCUAGUGCUAGUUCCCUUCAGCUCAAAGCUCAUUGUCACCUUGUAAGUAAAAUGGAGUGAUCUCCAAGAUACUCUAAAAAAAGUUUUGCCACCCAAAUUCCUCACUAGCUACCAUACGCCUUAUAAUAAUUCUAUUGUUGUCAUCUAUGAUUAUUAAUUAGGACUAAAAGUCCAAGCAGUAAAGCAUCUCCUUGGUCCUCUGCAGUAUGUAAUAUAGGAUUGAGAUCCUCUGCAGUCAAUGACUAUAUGGGGUGUUUUGAAAUUGGACUAUAUUUGUCAUGUCAGUGUUAUAUCACUUUGUUUGUUUUAUUUUUGUGAUAUUGGUGACGGUAGAAACCACACCUUUGACGUAUUAAUAUCUAUCCUUAGCUCCUACUACGUAAAUCAUAGCAAAUGCUGAGUAUAAAACAAUAGAAAUCUGCUUGUGCUCUUGUACUAAAAUAGUAGGAUAAAUUCCUAGAGCAGGAACUGACAGUUUGUUGGGUAUCCUAUUUUACAAGAAAAGUUAAAUCUGCGGUCGAUGUGCAAAACACUAGAAAAAUAUGAAAUACUAACAUGAAUGAGACGGCCACCGUCUGCUACAUGUGACUAUCUGAAGCGGAAGGUAAGGGAACCAUGCCUUUCCUAGCAGUUUCUUUUAUAAGUCAGCAUCAUGUUCCCUGCUUUUCUACUUAAUAAAACCCACGCAAGCAAGAUUGAUAGAUAAAUGAACUUUACAGAUCUGAAAAGCAUGAAGACAAGCUCAUAGAAAAAGAUGGAUUUGUUGUUGUUAUUGUCGGUUCCCAGAUUUUCAGCUCCUCUUCAGGUUCCUAAAUGCACAUUGUCAAAAAUUCCAUAAACAAUGUGAGAAAAGACUGGAACUUCUUGAAGCCAAAUUCUGCACUCUUUGUUUUCUUCUGUUUGCUUGUUUUAAGGUGCAAACAAACUUAUGACAUAGUCAUGGAAAGGUAAAAGAAAAGUCUGAAAGUUCAACAAGCGCAGGGGGCUUGGAUGCCUACUUUAACCUACUUAACGUAAGGAAAAUGAAUUCUGCCUUCUCCGCGAAAGACUCUAUGCAUUUGAUUAAAGCCAGCUAAGUUUGUCUGGUUUCCAGAAGGUAUAGUUAUUGCAUUCAACCAGUAUCACGGUCUGUCUUUGAAAGGACUCGGGGCUUCUCUUGCUGGCAAAUGCAUUCAAAGUCAAUACUCUCAAGUUUCCUUGUCUAGCAGCCUGGCAGCUCACAAAGAGCCCAUCAUCAGCCUACCAAACUUUUUAAGAAGUUGCAGACUGAUUGCCAUGUAGCAUGCUGCGGGAAUCUACUUUCUUCCAACUGUUUUCUACACGGCUUUAACUCUAUCUGCAUGUCCCACGUUCUUUUUAGUGUCCAUUCGUGCAAAAUACAAAGUUUUCACUUUCCACCGCGCGAGACUCUGACCAAGUAAAUAUAAUACGGAUAUCCAAUGUGAAACUAUCAAUUUUAAUGACUUUCAUUCAAAUGCAGAGCCAACAAAAAGGGAUCUUUCCAUGUAAUAAGUUGCUAGAGAUACACACGCGUUUACCAAGAAUUUGAGUUAAACCAGUACACAGAUUUUAAUCUAUCCAUGGCUUCAGCAAAACAACUUGACUUCCUGACCCAUGUUGAACACUCUCACUAAGAUAAGGGGCAGCAAGCAUCCAACAUCUCCUGCACAAAGAGACUGGAAACUCCAUUCUUGUAGCAGCCCUCUAAAAUUGUUCACAUUCUUUAUGUGAUGCUACAUAUCGUUUCAAAAAGUUUAUUCAGUGCUUUGAGAACUUUUCAAGGACAUCAAAGUAAUCAGGGAAGGUUUUGCGUGUGCAGCCAGGAUCCUUGAUGGUUACAGGAACAUCUGCACAUGCCGCAAGAGAAAAAGCCAUAGCCAUUCUGUGAUCAUCAUAAGUAUCAAUUGAUGUAACAUUUAACUUCUCUGGUGGAGUGAUUAUGCAGUAAUCUGCCCUUCUUCAACUGUAGCCCCUAACUGAAAUUGUAGGAAAUGUAUGGAUGAGUGUUACAAGGAGAAUUUUCGAGAAAAAUGCAAGGCUUGUGAGAUUGAAAAAUAAUGAUGCAUCACAAAAUUAACCUUUCUAAGCUCUGUGCAUAUAGCAAUCAUCCGCUCAGUUUCCUUCACUCUCCAGCUAGCCACUGAGAACAUAAAUUAAGUCAGACGAAAUAUCUCAGGGUGAUGAAGAAAUAGCAAAGGAAACAGACAGAGUAUUAAAACAGAAAAGAAAAGCUAAAAGCAGAUUAUUGGAUCAUGCAUACUGACGCGGAGCUAGGACUGGUAACCGAUCCUAACCUCAAAAAUCUAUUGGAUUCUAAACUCAUGUACUGUUCAAGAUAAUCCAGUUCUCAUAAGUUACAGACCAGAUUACCAUACGAUCCAAACAUUUUCACAUUAUGCUGUAGACAAAGAAAACUGAAAUAUCAAUUUUCAAGGAUGAAUUCAAAGAGGUAUCCUUAACACGACAAUAAGUCCUAUUUUAAACUUGCCGUACAGCAUUAAUCAAGGAAUUCCUAGUUUUCUCAAAAGAAUUCACUUUGCAUAAAGUAUUAUAUUAUGGAAUAUGAUUCCAAAUUAUUCAUAUUAUAUAGCUUAUGAACACAAGAAACUAAUGGCAUUUUGCUUCUUGUUAACGAAAAGCCAAUUAUGUCCUGAUCAGUGAUCUAGAACUUCUGUUAUUCCAAUGAAAUUUGAAACAGCUUUAAUUAACUCUUAUAUUCGGUAAACCAGUAACAUUCAUACCAUCUCUUAUUGCAGUGGAACCAUCCGCGAAAAGUGCAACUACAGCAAGAGUCAUGGCAACAUCUGGCAUUUUGUUCAUGUUGAUAUCAAUGGCACGAAGGUGUUUUCCUCUGGAAGAAUCCCUCCGCGGUCCUUUAACAAUAACACUGUUUUCUGUCCAGGUGACUUCAGCACCCAUUUGCUCAAGAACCUCAGCAAAUUUCACGUCACCCUUUAGAAAGGAAAGAAACAAAAAGAAAUGAGAUGAUGAAUGCCAUGCAAUUUACGUGCACAAAACAUUCAAAACCAUGUUAGCAAGGUGAUACUGCAUAACCUAUUUAAAUCCAAGAUACUUUAAGUUUGCAGCAACACAACAUUCACUUCUCAAUAAAAGACAAAAGUCAAGUUUUCACCAUGGACAUAACGCAGAAAGGGCCUUCUUGUCUGAAUGACGUAAUUAUCUUCAGAACAAGAAAAAGAGAGAUACAACAUGCCAGCAUGCAUUUUACCUGUAAACUGCCAGUCCCACAACCUUCGACGGUAAUGGUACCACCAGUAACAGCUGCACCAGCUAAGAAGUAACUGGCACUUGAGGCAUCACCUUCAACAUAAGCUUUUCCAGGAGACCUGACAAAAUGAUAAUCUUUUUACUUGCUACACAACAAGCUACUAAAGUCCAUUUUACUCAAUACAAGUACACUUACUUGUAUUUCUGACCCCCAUGAACCAGGAAUCUGUCCCAACUACCACUAUGCUCUACAGUGACCCCAAACCGUUCCAUCAGUUUCAAAGUCAUUUCAACAUAAGGAACAGAAAUGAGUUUAUCAAUAAUUUCAAUCUCAACAUCUCCUAGAGCCAGUGGAGCUGCCAUGAGUAAAGCAGUUAGGUAUUGACUACUGAUAGAUCCAGAGAGCUUCACCUGCCAGUGAUGAUCAAAAUACAUGUUCAUCGUCAAUCCAAGUAACCUAUUUCAAAAUAUAGUAAGAUAAGAAAAAGAGAGCCCAGCCCCACGAGUCCCAUGCCUUUCUUGGUAGGCCAUGCCAUUUGUGAGAAGUCUUUCUUCAUUCAAAGGCAGAGAAGCAGAAUUGCAAGGAUGAAAUGAAUAGUGAUUCCCAGUACUAAACCCAAGAACCCAAUAAAGAAAUUUUACCAUUGUCCCAUCCAAUGCUGUGCAUAUAUGAAAUUGUAUUUCUCAUUCACAGAUUCAUGUUUGUUUAGACUAAUCACCCACACUUUGGUCCUGCUUUUGAUUUUGUUACUAAGAGGGGAAGAAAAUCAGGACCAAAUGCUUGGCAGUUCCUGGUGGAGCUUAUUGAGUGCUGAACCCAAUAAGAAAGUGUAAAAUAGGUGGUCUUUGCAAAAAUGUUUUGCAAAAAUAUACCCCUUGCAUCUUGGUCACUUUUACAAUUUCAUUUAUAAGCAGUCUCAUUACUUUGAAUCUCUCAUUUUCUAUACUUAAUUGUCUAAUUAAGUAUCCGUUUCUUGAAGCAGGACUGAAGCUAAUCCAAGCUUCACAACAAAUUGAAAGAAGAAAACAGAUUGGCGAAAUGACAUUGGGCCGGAGCCUCGACAAGGGGAGGUGAUAGUGGAUAUUCUGCUUGUCUUGGGGUGUACAGUAGCACCUGAUCAACCCCCAGAAAUUAAUAAAAUAAUUACAUUAGCCCAGAAUCCAAAAACACAAAAACAAAAGAGUAUGGUGAACAUCAUUGUCUGCCCUGCUAACAAGAGGAAUGUCUCAGAAGUGGAGAAUGACAAGUCAGCUGCAAUGUCUACACAGCUCUUCUUUUCUCAUGCAUGCGUAUAUUAAUAAAGCAUGGAUUGUCCUCUUUGCUUUUCUUUUAAAUCAAGGAAUAAGCAAUUAAGCAUGUUUAGACAAUGUUAAACUCACCUUUCCCCAGGAAGGCCUCCCUUUCCCACUACACGAACUGGGGGGCAAUUUGUACCAAGAAAACAAUCAACAUCAGAACCAAGCUGCUUAAGACCAGAGACCAGAUCACCAAUUGGCCUCUCCCUCAUUCUAGGAACUCCAUCAAGUACAUAGCUGAAACAUAAAAUUCCAGUUUGAAUUUAACUUCACUAAUUUAAAAAACAAAGUAACUGUCCCGAAAAUGCAAUCAUGGCGAGCAAUCACUAAUUUCUGAGGAAAAUUUUAAACCAAUUUGCAGCAUACAUAUUAAUAUAUAAAAGUUGGGUGACAUUUGUAACUAGAAAAAUAAGGAUAUGGACCUUGAAUUCCCACCAGCAGCAGCAACUGCAGCAGUCAAUGGGCGCAUAGCUGUUCCAGCAUUUCCCAGGAAUAGUUGAAUUUCACCUUUAGAUUCUUUACCAACAGGAAAUAGACCACCACAACCUUCUACAAUUGCUUGCUGUACAGCGCGAUUAUCUUCCACAUGCAGACCCAGUGUCUUUAAAGCACCGAGCAUGUAAUGGAUAUCAUCACUGUCCAACAAGUUAUCAACAACAGUUCUUCCCUGGGAAACAAGCAGAACGGAAAUCCAAUAAGUUCUUGAGAUUGAGGAUUAUUGUGAUUCUUUAACAGAAAUACUACUUUGUAAAAGAACUAAACCAAAAAGCGAUUAGAAACAUUUUAUGUAUGCGUUGCUAUUGUAAACAAUAGCCAAUCCUGGGGACGAAAUUAUUAUAUAAGAGCAUUCUGUUAGGAUAGCGAAACUAUAACAUAAUGUAGACUACAGUUAAGUUGCAUCCAUCAGAAGAGCAAUCUACAGAAUUAUCAAUAUCUUAUGGUCUGUUUUGAGGUGGAAAACUUCUCAAUUCUGAAUGAAACUACGAACUGUAGAACCAGCAUAAACAUGCCACAAUUUGGUCUCUUCUUGCAGGCAAAAGAUUACAGGAGCACCUUUUCAAAUACAAGAAAAUGUCAUUUCUUUCUUGCUUUUCCAUAUUCUUUUGUUUUAUUUUCUUCUGAAUGGGUGGAGAGGGAGAAUAGAGUGAGGGGCGGACUUAAACACAUAUUGUAGAAAAUCAGUUCUAACAACUUUUAGUGACCAAUUUUUUAUAGAACUUCUUUCCUUAUAGAAACAAAGUAAAAGACAGAUAAAGUCUAGUUAAUUUCGUAUAAGAACAACUAAAGACAAAACAUGAAGAACCCAUUAAAUUUUUAUCCAAUAACUGCAAAUUUAGAGACAGAAGUGCAUGAAAAUGCUGCAACUCAAGUUUCCAAUCUCAGAUAAUAGACUAAACAAAUAUACAUAUACAUAUACAUAUACAUAUAUAUAUAUAUAUUAAAAGUUGUGCUUGCAUCUAUAUAGCACUCUUACAACAAUUAUGAACUUCCAAAAGAUUGCUCUCAAGAGUCUUUCAGCUCUCGUAAAGUCACCAUGACUAGAAUCCUGAAUCAUCUCCAACACACUUGGCAAAACUAGAAAAGUCAAGUGCAAAAGGUGCUUAACAUUCCCUCUUAUCUUUUCAGUCAUUAAUCUGUAAUAAAAGCAAGUGAACACUGAACAAGAUUUGGUUCUUUUGAAUAUACGCUCCAAAUUACUUGCAUCGUCUGACUGAAAGUGCUUUAACUACAGUCCUUGAACCUAACCAGUCUCCAUUAGCCAACUUUUGUAAAAUACAGCAUUCUACUGCAUGAAGUCUUUCAAACACACGUACUCCACAUCCCACAAUGAACUGAAUCAAAACUCCAGGUUAAUUUGAAAAAAUAUAUAAUUCCUAUAGAGGAAAGAAGUCAAAAUCAACAAUUCAUCAAGAGUAUAAUGAUUAAACAGAAAUGUAUAGCACAAAGAAGAAGAAAAAGUCACUCAUAGUAGCUUUUACAAUCAUGGUUCGCAGUCGCGUCUCGUCUCGGUCUCGACCGAGACUGAGAGACUGAGACUGAGACCGAGACCGAGACCGAGACGACUCGGCCGAAUCGUCACCGUCUCUCGAUCCCUACCGAUACAAUAUCGUGACGAAACGAUACCGAAAUACUUGACUCGUCGAGAAAUCGACCGAGCCGCUAUCGCAACGAAUUGACUCGACCAAGUCAUAUCGAGUUACUCUGAAUUAUCCCGAAUCAAGACAAAAAAUUAAUCAAACGAGAAAUCAGCCGAGUCAUGCCGCGACGGAUUGACUUGGCUGUUUCUUUUGCUAAUUUUUAAUUAUUUUUAUUUAGUAUACCUUUUUAUAUUAUUAAUAAUUUUAAAAUAUUAAAUACUUUAAAAUUUACGUCUCACCGAGACGGUGAUCGAUAUGCCGAGAUCGAUGUGGAACGUUUCGAGCCGCAACACCGACCGCAACUGUGGCUUUGAACCAUGUUUACAAUGCUUAGCAGAAGGGUCGUAUAACUGCACGAUUCUUAAAUAUUAUAGAUUACCUCAGCCAGGGCAGCAAGGAGAAGAAUGCGAUUGGAGAGGGAUUUUGAGCCAGGCAGCUUGACGGUGCCAGAUAUCUCUUUAAUAGGCUGAAGCACAAUCUCCGGCACAGUAGACGGCUUCUCAGCCGCGGCCACUGAAACAAAAACCUUCAAAGGAGACCUACCUCUAGUCAACAUCGAAUCUCUACUCAAAACCCGUGAAUAUUUUGGUGAACUUUUCGCAAUUCUUGACCCAAGUAUUAAAGAAUGUGGUGAAGAAUACUGGUUUUGGAGUUUCGAGACUUUAGGUGUAGUGAAUUGAGGAGCUUGGAUUGCUUGAGCCAUUUCUCUUUUUGCCGCAGAAUAGAGGGGACAAGGAUGAGAAGUAAUCCCUCUUUCUUUCUUUAUGUUCUUUCAAUUUAAGCUCUGAUGCAGCUACCUACCGGAAAUGGGGAUGGAGGAGGCGUUAGGUAGGCAGGGCAGGGAAGGGAAGUUGGAUUGGAAGACUAACUUGGGGGGAGUUUGGUUUGGUGGGGAUCCAUAACAAUAGUGAGAAAAUAAGCAAUUCGGCAAGAAUGGUCCCAUGACAAUAAUGAUCCCAUAGAUUUGACUGUCACCAACCACUUCUGUCCGUUAAACAAGCACAUGGACUAUCGCUGGAGUGGUGCGGGUGCCUAAUGGUUUGCCAUAGCUUAAGAGCAUUACAAUUUGAGUCACUUCCAACUUCAAGAACCUUUUGCAUUCCCCCAACUACCCCUUAAUCCCACGCCACGCCCGGGAGGAAAGAAAGAGAGAGAGAGAGAGAGAGAGAGAAUCUUUCUGUUUCUUUUUAUUUUUUUGUCAUUUUGAUUAUACGAAAAUAGCUGUCAAUCAUAUACAUUCAUUCAACUUCUGGUUUAACAAUUCGGCCAAUGUUUGCUUCGAGAUAAUCAAUUAUGAAUUAAUGUUACUGACAGUAUAUACGGUUUUGUUAUUGAAUGUACGUCACUUAAUUUCAAAUUAAAUUUGAAUAUCACUUUUUUUACAUACGUGGCAUAUGUUAAAAAAAUAAUAAAUUAUCGGCUGUCAUUUUUAUCAUUAUUAGAUGCAUGUCACUUAAUUUUAAAUUGAAUUUUAAUAUCAUUUUGUACAUAUGGGACACAUAUUAAAAAAUGAUAGCGUAAAGAUAAACUCAAUCAAUCGUAGUCCAAGUUUAAGUACUUUAAGAUUUUCUUUUCGCUCUUCCAAACACUUUAAGAAUGUAUUAGGAAUAUGUAAUUAAUAAUAUAAAAGUUAUUAGUAAUAUGUUAAUUAAUAUGCUUUUAAAGUCACAUAUUUGUUUAUAAGCAUAAAUUAUAACAUUAUUGAUUAAUACAUUAAUAAUAUGAUAUUAGUAGGCAUGAAAUAUAUUUUUAAUUAAAAUAUGAAGUUCGAUCAUUUUGAUCGGUGAUCUGGAAUUCAAGAAUCGUAUUUCAAUAUUCAUUCCCAAAUUAUUUUACCAAAUUUUAAGAUUAGACCUUAAGCAAUUUUUUCGAAUUCUGCUUUACCAAUAUCCAAUUUUCGAUCUAAAUUGAAUCGGUCAUUCAAUUCUUUGGAAGUGUGAACCCUAAGUUAAAGGGCUGACAAAGCAAAUCCUUUGUCUUCGUUAACAAAAAAAAAAAAAAAAAAAGUGAAAUGGGUGCUGAAUGGGACCUAAUGAGGUGAGCAAUGAGAGAAAGAACAAGCAAGAAUCAAAUUCAACAACUUGCUGAAGGUGCCAAGCAAGCUUGCUCGAAUGGUUUGUUUGGAUUGUAAGUUGUUUGGGAUAUUUUUACUGUAAUACUUUUUGUAACGUGAUGUACGUGAGAUAAAAACGUAAUUGGAAAAAUAAAGCAGCAGAACAUAACAGGGAUGGAGACUCGUCAACAUUGGAGUUUCUGACAAAAAUCUACUACAGCAAAUCCAACCUAUGGAUGCAUGGACAACAACACAUUAAUACUCCUUGUUUUACAAAUACUCCUUUUGCCUAGAAAUAGUGAAUAGAAAUGAUCUAAAUGUUCAGUUUAGUACCUUAAUUAUCAAGAUAUAAAAUGGAUUAAUCCCAAUCUUUUGUGCUAAUAGCACAUUGGAUUGUAUCGAGUCAUCAUUUAUUUUGUAAAUACUUUUGUUUCAAGUAAUACAAGCGAGUUAUUUUGGUGCUUGUCUAAAACUUUACUAUUGAAGUUUUUAAAAAAAAUUUUAAAAUAUAUAAAUUUUUAAAUAUUUUAAAAUAUAUAGCUUAAAAUUUUUUAAAAAUUUCGAGGCUACUGUAACUGAGCAAACGAAAUUUUUAAAAAACUUGUAGCAGACAAACUUGGUAAAAAACUCAACUGCCAAACAGAGGUUCGACAAAAAAAAAGGGCUUAACAACUGCGCGGUGCAUGGUUGGGCCAUGAACCAGGUUCACUCGACCUUUUACCAACCCAACUCCUCCUCCCUUAAAGGCUUAAACCCUAACAGUCCUUGAGUUACUGCUUUCCUUUCCACGACUCCAUCUCUCCCUCUCUCUUGUCUCUCCCAUGGGAGUCUGAGCGUAAAACUUCAAUCCCUCACUUUCCCAAAUCCCUCCCGGAUCAAAGUCAAAACCUUAAAAAUCGAUUCGAAGAAUGGCGUAUCUUUCAGCUUCGAAACCAUCUCAUUUCCAUCCCAGAAACCUCUCAAAUGUCUCCACCCCACUUUCGCUAAAAUCCCUCUUCUUCUUCUGCUCAUCCCCAGGUGGUAACCCCGAUCAGGAAACAGCGGCCAUUUCACCAACUGAAUCCACUGGGCCAGAAACACGGAAUGUUGAUCCUGCGGCAACGCCAUCCAGAAGCCCAAGAGGUAAGCAUCGUCGUCUUCAGAAAAACCCAGAAAAAUUAGAAGAUAUUAUCUGUAGAAUGAUGGCUAAUCGUGCUUGGACUACCCGUUUACAGAAUUCUAUUCGCAAUUUGGUUCCUAGCUUUGAUCAUGAACUUGUUUAUAAUGUACUUCAUGGUGCGAAAAACUCUGAGCACGCGCUCCAGUUCUUCAGAUGGGUGGAAAGGGCUGGACUUUUUCAGCAUACUAGAGAAACCCAUUUGAAAAUUAUUGAGAUUUUAGGCCGAGCUUCGAAGCUCAAUCACGCCAGGUGUAUUCUGUUGGAUCUGCCCACAAAAGGGGGUCGAGUGGGAUGAGGAUAUGUGGGUUCUGUUGAUUGAGAGCUAUGGUAGCGCGGGCAUUGUGCAGGAGAGUGUGCAGCUGUUUCAAAAAAUGGAGGAGUUGGGGGUUCAGAGGACGAUAAAAACGUAUGAUGCUUUGUUUAAGGUUAUAAUGCGCAGAGGGCGGUAUGGGAUGGCCAAGAGGUACUUUAAUAAGAUGUUGAAGGAGGGGAUUGAGCCCACAAGGCAUACCUAUAACCUUAUGAUUUGGGGGUUUUUCCUUUCUUCGAAAGUGGAAAGUGCGGUAAGGUUCUUUGAGGAGAUGAAAAGUAGGGAAAUUUCACCUGAUGUUGUCACUUAUAAUACCAUGAUCAAUGGGUAUUGUCGUGUUAAAAACAUGGAGGAGGCUGAGAAGUAUUUCGUGGAGAUGAAGGGGAGGAAUUUAGAGCCAUCAGUGAUAACUUACACGACUUUGAUUAAGGGUUUUGUUUCUGCUGGGGGAGUUGACAAUGCAUUGAGAUUUCUGGAAGAAAUGAAGAAAUUUGGGAUUAAGCCAAAUGCUAUUACGUACUCAACCUUGUUGCCAGGGCUGUGUGAUGCAGACAAGAUGUCGGAAGCUGAUAAGAUUUUGAAGGAGAUGGUCGAAAGACAUAUUGCUCCAAAUGAUGACUCAAUCUUCACGAGACUGCUGUCUGGACAGUGCAAGGCAGGUCAUUUGGAUGCGGCUGCUGAUGUGCUCAAAGCAAUGAUUCGCUUGAGUAUUCCAACAGAGGCUGGGCAUUAUGGUAUCCUGAUAGAGAAUUUCUGUAAGGCUGGUGCGUAUCAACGAGCUGUUCAAUUGUUGGAUAAGCUUAUAGAGAAGGAAAUCAUCUUAGACCACAGACUACUUUGCAAAUGGAGCCUAGUGCUUACAAUCCUGUCAUUGAGCAUCUAUGCAACAAUGGACAGACAAGAAAAGCUGAGAUGCUUUUGCGACAGUUGAUGAAAAUGGGUGUCCAGGAUCCAGUUGCCUUCAACUAUCUGAUUCGUGGCCAUUCAAAAGAAGGUACUCCUGAGUCAGCUUCUGAACUUUUGACAAUCAUGGUUAGGAGGAAGGUUGUUUCAGAAGCAAGUGCUCACGUAUCACUUAUCGAAAGUUACUUGACCAAGGGUGACCCUGCUGAUGCUAAAUCAGCUUUGGAUACUAUGAUUGAAAAUGGUCAUCUGCCAGACUCGUCUCUAUAUAGGUCAGUGAUGGAGAGCUUGUUUGCAGAUGGAAGAGUUCAAACAGCAAGCAGGGUGAUGAUGACUAUGCUGGAGAAGGGUGUGAAAGAGCACAUGGAUUUGAUUGCUAAAAUCUUGGAGGCUCUCCUUCUGAGGGGCCAUGUUGAGGAAGCCCUGGGAAGAAUUGAAUUGCUUAUGCAAAAUGGACUUGCACCUAACUUUGAUAAUCUUCUGUCCAUUCUCUGUGAGAAAGGGAAGACAAUUGCUGCUUUGAAGUUGUUAGAUCAUUGUUUACAGAGAGAUUAUAGUGUUGACUUCUCCAGCUAUGAUAAAGUUUUGGAUGGCCUUUUAGCUGCUGGAAAAACUCUUAAUGCAUAUUCAAUUCUGUGCAAGAUAACGGAGAAAGGAGGAGUUACAGACAAAAAUAGCUAUGAAGACUUAAUCAAGACCCUUAAUGCAGAGGGAAACACUAAGCAAGCAGAUAUUCUUUCAAGAAUGAUCAUGGCCUCCAAUAGCAAGAAAGGAAAGAAACAAGCGUCUAUGGCAUAGUUGGCCUCUUUAUUCUGGACUCUUUGAAUUUCAGGGUUACAGCUUUUGAUUUUAGCUUACUUUAAUGGGAUAUUAUGGGUUUAGCUAAGUGGCAGAAUAGUUCAGGUCGAAUUGCAUGUCUUUUUUAAUCUUAAAUAGCAGCAGAAUCUAAUUGUUUUCUGUAGAAAUUAUGAAAGUCUACCUCUUCAGAAUAAAUAAAAGAAGGAAAUAUGCUGCUGAGGUUUUCAUAAAAGCAUAUAACCUUGCAUUCAUAUUAUUGACACUUUGACACUGUACUGUAUACAUGAAAGCCAAAUUUUUGCAUUUAAUUAUCUGGUUAUGGCUGUUGAGAAAUGAGAACUGCUAGAGCUUUGCAGGAUCAUCUCUCAUUGAAGGAUUUCUCAUUCCGAUUUACAUGGAAAGCAUCCGUCUUGAUAUCUAAGAGGCUCUCUGCGUAGGAACAGCCUCUGGGUACAUUGUGCUUCAGCAUAUGACACUAAUAUUCCAGCUCGUGGAAAUAUAAUUACAUUGUUGUCUCUGUGUUUUGGUUUUUGAUAAGGUCAACUGUUUCCUAUUUUCUUAACUGCACCUUGAUGAUGAGUGAAGUAUGGCUUAUCUUGCUUUGUUUUCUACCUUUGUUACUGUUGCCUUGAUAAGGAUUAAAAUUGGAUUGGGCAAAGUAAUUUCUGCUUUUGUUGAUUAAAGAUAGGAUCAUCCAUCGUGUGGUAUGUCACCGUCACGUUAGUGGUACCUCAAGAGUUUUUUUUUUUUUUUUUUGGGUCACACACUUAUUUCUACAGUGUGAUUUACCUUUCAACAGCGCAAAGAAACACACGCACAUAGAAUCUAAGGUAAUACGCACAUAGAAUCUAAGGUAAUUUCACCAGUUUACUCAAAAGACAAUUGCUGACUUCUGGAUAAAUUCACGGACUUUAAAUCCUAUUCACACACCUCUUACAACCGAUGUGGAAACAAGGAGUUGGGGGAAAGGGAACACAGGAAGCUUAAGAGCCUUGACUAAGAACCCAUACGGACACUGACACUCCUCUCCUGUUUUCCUUUUUCUUUCAACAGCAGUGUGAUUUACCAUAAUGUGGUUAUCACAUCACUCUGUAGAAUUUUCCUUAAAAAAAUGUCUACAAAGUAAAUAAAGAGAAAAGGCUGGCAAACAGGUCAAAGGGCUCAUUCUAUUUGGCACUUCGUUGCCUUACUUUCAAGUACGCCAAUAGGGCAGUUGAACACUAGCUAGCUUAUGCCAACUGGAGUUUAGUUGGGAUGGCAAUAUCAGUUAGCUCACGAGGUACUAGAGAUUGUUCUUCUAAACCAAUUCAAUUUUGGGACUCUUGAUUUCAACUGACUGUGUUACAGAUGCAAUGGGACUCUUGAUUGAGGUCGAUUCGAUUGUAGUUUUUUUUUUCAUUCAGAUUUCGGCAAUCUUUCGUCUCUGUGAAAAGGAAAAGGAAAAGAAUGGACUGGAAAUGUCUGAAUUUGAUAUGAAUGAGGGCUUUGAUAUGAAUGAAUCUUUCGUUGCUUUGGCAAAUAUUACACUUAUGCUCGGUGGGAACAGCGGAUGGACGAUUGCCCAUGUGACACUCUCCUGUUAAUACUCUCAAAGAUCUACACCUAACGCAUGAUUCUGCUUAAUAAACAAUUAUACAGAACAUCACUGAUCUGAAGUUGUUGGAUAGUACUAAAGUCUUGACUUCGAAGUUCCCGGUAAGGUAGGUGUUGAAUUGUUCUAUGCACUAUCACACGAUUCUGUACAAGAGUUUUUUUGACUCGGGGGAAUUUUUUUAAUAAACGACCAUAAUUGGAUUAUUCUUAAGAAACUGGUUAUAUCUAAUAAAACUCACUCGUGAGUGUCUCACCAUUAAAUCAUCCUGUGGUUAGGCCAUUGGACGUUUGUAAUUAAAUAAAGAACUGCGUUGCAUUUUGCAUAGGAGGAGAAUAUGCCUUUUACCAUUCUCAAGGCAUAUUAUUCCAUGGGAGGAUACUUUUUUCACGGUCCAUACCAAACCAUACUUCCAACUUCCAGGGAAAUAAAGUGCAAUAAUUUGAGCUCUUCAGCUAAGCUAAGGUAAACCUGUUGCCUCUGCACAAGAAAAUGGUACUCUGGUAUAAUACUAGUAGACAAGUACGUACGUUGAGGAUAGGCAGGUUGAGAGCCAGAAGUUCAACUACCACAUAUGAAAUAGCCACACCCGCAACAUUCAACAACCACAUAACAAUGGAUGGAUCAUCAUUCAUCGCCCCACUCCCGGUCCCAUACAUUGUUUGUUUGUUUGUUUCUGGCUUAGGAAAUCCUCAUUCUCAGCCUAAAGAGAUUGGGUUGCCCCACACAGGUUUUGAAAGGUUUGAAGCUCCGCAGCAGUCCAUCUCAAUACAAAUUCUGAAAUUUACUCUAUGUGUUUAUCCAAGAUAUCAUAUAGCGAACAUUGGAACUCUUAUUGGUCCGUUUAAUAUCGUUAAGAAGCGCCGGACAUCACAUUUCCAAUCGCAGCAAAAUGACUCAGAAAAGCUACUCACUAUUCAAAGACUGCGAGCAGUUUUGAUGAUACAUGGCAAUGUGGAGGAGAGCUUAUUAGUCUCAUUUAUCUCUAUUAAAACAUGAGAAAACAUAAUAAAGAGGGGAAAAAAACAAACAAACAAACAAAAAGGACCUCCAAUCAAAUAACCACAUCAAAUUACAAAAACCACGUUCCAGUGUACAAGUUCAGAAGCAUCCUAAACUGCCUCCUCUCUGCAGCCUCAAAUUGCUCCACCGAUGAAGGCAGCUGCUAAAGCAAGAAAUUUUUCUUCUCUUAUUAUGAAAUGUCAAAUGGCAGUCAAUUGAGCCAAGAACCUCACCAAGGGUUUUUGCUGUAAACUGCAGCCUCAUAUAACGAAUCCAAAAUACCUCAGCACAGAACGAGCAACUGGAAAUCCCAUUUUCUGAAGCCUAAGAAACACUUUUUGCUGCAGCUACAACAGCCUCUGCUGUAAUGCCAAGCUCCUUGUAUAUUUUUCCUGCAGGAGCACUAGCACCAAAUCGGUCAAUUCCGAUUGCUUUUCCUUUAGGUCCAACAAUCUUCUCCCAUCCGAAUGUUGAUCCUGCCUCGAUGCUAACCCUAGCUGUUACAGCCGCUGGAAAGACACUUUCCUUGUACUCAGCUGAUUGCUCAUCAAAAAGCUCCCAUGAAACAAGAGAGACAACUCUGACGGCCUUCCCUUCCUUUCUUAGUUCAUCAGCAGCUUUGGCUGCAAUUUCCAACUCUGAACCAGUUCCAAUCAAGAUCACAUCAGGCUUGUUGCCUGAAGAGUUGUCUGAUAUAAUGUAGCCACCCUUUGCCACUCCUUCAAUAGAAGUUCCAGCAAGUUGGGGCAACUUUUGCCUUGAGAGAGCAAGGAUUGAUGGUCUCUUCCUAUUGAGGACAGCUACCUUGUAAGAACCAGCUGUCUCAUUCCCAUCAGCUGGACGCAACAUCAAAAUAUUAGGCAUUGCCCGAAAACUUGCCAAGUGCUCAAUUGGCUGAUGGGUGGGUCCAUCUUCUCCCAGCCCAAUUGAAUCAUGAGUCAUCACGUAGAUAACACCGGCCUCAGACAAGGCAGAUAUCCUAAUGGCAGCUCUCAUGUAGUCAGUGAACACAAAGAAAGUUGCACAGUAGGGAAGUAGGCCAGGGCUGUGGAGAGCAAUCCCAUUACAGAUGGAUCCCAUACCAUGCUCACGUACACCAAACCUAACAUUACGCUCUUCUGGUGUCUUCUUUUGGAAGUCACCAAACAUCUUAAGAAGGGUCAUGUUAGAGGAGGCAAGAUCAGCACUCCCACCAAGCAGACCAGGGAGAACCUUAACAAGGGCAUUAAGAUUUUGCUGAGACAGGUUUCUGGUGGCAUCAGCUGGGCUCUCAGGAGUGUAUGCCUGAGGGUAAAAGUAUAAAAAUCACAACUGAAUUAAACCACAGGACAAGGGAAGGGAAUGCAAUGCCAGGUCAAUAGAUCUGACUUGAAAGCAGACACUAAAUAUAAUUGAGUCCAAUUUGUUUAGUCCAAAAGAAAAGUUUCCAAAGACAAAGGAUAAUAUAUAUGCAAAUUAACAGAAUGAAUCUCGAUGUCACAAGGUGAAAUAAAAGAGCAAAUCUGUUUCUUAGCUACUUACAGGAAGCGCUUUCUCCCAUCCAGCUGGCAAUUCACCAGUUAUGAGGGACUUCAACUCAGCAGCUUCUUCUGGAUAUUUUUUUUCAUAUUCAGCAAAUUUGGCAUUCCAUUCAGCUUCAUAAGCAGCACCCACAGGAACAUGGCGGCUCCAGUGUCUGAAGAAAAAAUGAUCACAAUUGUAAGUUUUCAAGAAAAAGUUAGCUAAGUUUUAUCCAAUUCAAGAAGCAGGCGAGAUCAUUCAUACUUCUUGACAUCCUCAGGAACAUGGAAAGGCUCAUAAGGCCAUCCAAGGUUCUGCCUAGUGGCCUCUACUUCCUUGGCACCCAACGCACUGCCAUGUACACUGUAUGAGUUUGCCUUGUUGGGGGAUCCAUAACCAAUUGUUGUGGUUACCUGUAUGGAAGAAAUAUAUUUAACAAAAAUAUCCCAAUUUGAAGAAUGCAGGAAGAAACACCAAGCAAUCAAGCUGGAAAUAUUUCAAAUCUACCAGCCCAUUCAAUUUAGCGGAGGAACUGUUUUAGAGAUAAAUGCAGCAACAACUAUAGGAAAACAUGAAGUAAGGCUCAAGAUGAAGCAUAAUCAGUAUCUGACCUUGAUCAAGGUAGGCUUGUCUUUUACAGCCUUUGCUUCCUUGAUGGCAGCACGAAUUUCAUCAUAACCUGUAUUACCAUUCUUGACCCAGAUAACAUGCCAUCCAAGAGCCUCAAACCGGAGUUCGACACUCUCGGUGAAAGCAAUUUCAGUAUCACCAUCAAUUGAAAUAUGGUUAUCAUCAUAGAAGGCAAUCAGCUUUCCAAGUCCCCAGUGGCCAGCAAGGGAACAAACUUCAUUGGAGACCCCCUCCAUUUGACAUCCAUCACCAAGGAUAGCAUAUCUAUAUAAGAUGUAAAAGUCCCGUCAUUAAACAACAUAGAGAACUGGUAUUUGAGACCCACCAGAAAAUUGAAACAACUAUUAACAAUUCAGGAAGUCAUAUUACGUGUAGUGGUCAACAAUCUCGGCAUCCGGUUUGUUGUAACGAGCAGCCAAGUGUUUCUCAGCAAGGGCUAAACCAACAGCAUUUGCAAUACCUUGGCCAAGCGGACCUAAUCAAAAGCAAUGAGAGACAACGAUUAGUCCCACCACUCCGUUCAACGUCCAAAUAUACUAGCUGAACUAAAUUCUAACCAGUGGUGACUUCAACACCAGGGGUCUCAAAGUUCUCAGGAUGACCCGGAGUUUUGCUUCCCCAUUGGCGGAACUGCUUCAAAUCUUCCUCCUAAAUAUCCCAUGGAAACACAUUCAGUCCAACGGGAGAAAAAAAAACCCACUCCAUAACUCAAUCCAGCACAAGCAAUGUCAUGAAAACAACUUGAAACCUUCCUGCACAGGACAAUAUCACCCCCAUCUUGCUACUUUAAAAACCCAGGCUCCAUUUACUAGCUCAAGUAAUACAAUCAUCUUAUACCAGGUGAAUUAAACAAACUACAAGCAGACCAGUGAAAAAAAAUCAGCAACCAACUCUAAACAGUACCAAAUAAUUGAAAAGGCAACAGAAAAUAAUAAAUGUAAGCUAAUUAUAAAACAAGAUCAGAUAUAAUCCAGUAAAAUUCCAUUCAAAAUCCAAUUGUUACCAGAUUCUCCACCAAAACCACCUCCAAAAUGAGGUGCAAAAGUCAAACAUCACAGCAAAAUGCAUUGAAAAUCCGAUCUUCAGCAAUGUUCUAACAAGCCGACCUCGAAAAUGACAUGCAGAGUUGGAAAACCACAAAUCCAAGAAAAAACCAGAUCCAAAAUCCAAUCUUCAAACCCAAAAAAAAAAUAAUAAUAAUCUGGGACUGCACCAGUUAGAUCGGAUAAAAGGAUGAAUUCACACAGAAACUACGAUUAAUAAGUUUUGACCUUGACAGAGUCAUAUCCAGCAAGGUGAAGCAAAGCAUACUGAAGCAUACAUCCAUGGCCGGCUGAGAGAACAAACCGGUCCCUGUUGAACCAAUAAGGAUUCUUGGGAUUAUACUUCAUGACCUCAUCAUAAAGAAUAUGACCCAUUGGAGCGCAACCCAUGGGUAGACCCGGGUGACCGGAAUUAGCCUUCUCGACAGCAUCGACGGCCAAGAAACGGAUGGUAUUGAUGGACUUUUCUACAAGGGCCGUGCCGGUUUUCUCCAGAGUUUCUACUGCAGCUGAGGCCAAGACCUGGGCUUGGCGUCGACCGCUGCUGGGACGGAGGGACUGCGGCGGCGGGAGGCAGCAGUGGUGGUUGUGGAGGGGGUGGAUUUGAGGGCAGAAAACGUGGGGAAGGAAACAGAAGGGAGGUGGGGGUUGGAAGAGCCAUGGCGAGGGAUGGAGCCGGCGAGAACGGCCUGGGAGAGAGUGAGGGAAGAAGAAGAAGCCAUGACUCUCUUGUGGUAGUGGUGUUGGUGGGGACUUGGGAGGGAGAAGAAUUAGGAGGUGUGUUUGUUCGGGGUGGAUAGAUUAUAUCGAGAAGGGAGGGAGGAGAGUUGGUGGACUUUUUAAUUUGAUUUUGUUGCUGUUUUUAUUUAAUGAUGAUGGAUAAUAUAUAUGACGUCGUACUACAAAAACACAUUGGUGUGUGCCGUGAGAAAGGGAUAAAAAGAGGCUCUAUUGGAGACCGAAAGAGGUACAAAAGCUUUGCUUUUUUUUUUUUUUUUAAAAUUUUGGAAAAGGGUAUUACCGAAUUAUAGAAGAGUGUUUAAUUAUAAAUUUGUAGCAUUUAAAAUGUGAAAAAUAAUUUUUAAAAAUUAUUAGAGAUAAAAACAAGGAAUCGAAACGAAACGGGCCUUGAGCAUAUGUACACCAAUUGAGUCAAUAAAAAGCCGUUAACAGAACCUCAACUGUAAACGCUGCUACUAUUACUAAUAUCCAAUUCUUGUGUAUGGCAAGAGAUGAACGGUUGAAAGGACAAAAGAUUUUAUUAUUGAGAACUGGGGUAAGGAAGAAAAGGGACAGAGAUUCGAUCAAUGACAGACAGAGACUGGGGAAGAAGAAGAGGGAGAGCUUGUGGUGGCAUGAGAUAGGAUGGGGGAGGAGAAACCGAGGAAGAGAUCGGGGCCGUUGAGUAAGGGUAGGAUAUCAAUGCUUUUCAAAUUUUUAAUGAAUUAACGUUGUCCGCAUGCAGAAUUUUCUGACUCAAGUUGUGCAUUCGUUUGCUUUGUAAGGUGAAUUAAACUAAGAGAGCAACAACGACUAAUAAAGUCUUGAUCAAACCUCCUUAGAUUAGAUUAGAUUAGAUUAGAUUAUAGGCGGGGUUCAGACCUCAAACCUUCAAGGCUUCAACCAAAAAAAAAAAAUUUAAGAAUAGUAUUAUAGCAUUUUUUUGAUUUAGUUAAAUCUGUAUACUCACUAAUCUCUAACACAUGCCUCCUUAAACUUUCCUUCCCCUUAAAUAAGAAUAGAAUAGAUUAUACAAUGUAUCGUUACUGGCACGACAAAAAACGCAGCCCCCAAUUUGUUUGGUGAGAUUUGCGUCUGCAUGACAUAAAUUUUUGUUUGCAGCUCUUGGAAUAUUUGCUAUGCAUUUCAUCAAUCAACUAACUAACGGGUCUUGUCUUGAAAGAAUGGCUCUAAAAUUUUAAUAGACCAAACAUAAGUGGUCGUUGUAGGAGAAAAGAGAGAACAUAGGUGGAGUCGGCGAAAUGUUUUAAGAACAAAUCUAGGGAUAGUUUUCGCAUCCUGUACAAAUUCAACCUCAUUGACUAGAAAAAGUUGAGCCGCCAGACUCCACCUACCUCCGUAUCCAAUCCACCAUUUCUGUUAUUGUUUUGGCAACCCUUCAAUGACUUAGAGGCCAUUCAGAGGUUGCUGAGCUAUAUAUAUAUAUAUGCGUAGGGCAAAAAAAAAAAAAUGGGUGGGGGGUUAGAGUAUAUGUCAUUGGUUCUGUGACCUCAGUCCUCUAUAGCCGAAAGUCAAGCAUCUUCUAUCUCUUAGAAUAAAACACCUAGAAGGCUAGAACCAAUACGCAAUAAGUGACGCAAUAACUCAUGUGGGCUUUUGGGCAUACAAGUGACGCAAUAAUAAGACAACAAAAGUAGAAGAUGAUGAUCUUCUUCAACAAAUUUGCAACCAAAUAAGAAAACCUCAAAGCACCCGACCCGAGGACAAAAUUUUCAUAAAUGAUGAAUAGGAUCGAUGUUCAACACAACAAUGAGGCUAAUCCCUUUAGCGGGCGUGUAGACAAGCAAAACAAGCCCUAAUAUCAAAAGAAAGUACGAAAGUUAGAGAACAUAUUGCAUGAAAACAAAUAAUAAUAAUAAUAAUAAAAGAGUACCCCAAAAAAGGCUGGAUUUUGACAUGAAAAAUUCUUGGCACCCUGGAGACUAGAAGUUUGCUACUCAAAAGUCAGCUUCAGAUUAAACUUCUGCAUAUAUGCUCAUCGUGCGCAAGUCUAGCACGGAGUCUGAAGGGCAAAAGCUUGUUCAAACAAGGAAUGGCAGCUAGUAAUUUAUUUUUAAACGACAAAGGAUGAAUAUAACAUCAAGAAAAAUACACCAAAUCUAUACUCGUCAAAUGCUGAAAAGUUGACUUCUAAAUUUUCAGAUGUAUCCAUGGUACAUUACAAAUUAUGUUGUAAGAACAGGUGUUCUCGAAAGUUCUGAAGUCCUUGUGAUGGGGAUAAUGGAAGGAGAGAUGACUAAAACGUUGAUUUUACCACCAGACGAUUUGAUUCAUUGUCAUUCAGCCUCAGACAACAAAUUGGUUCUAUAAUUACAAAGCUACAAGGAAACAAAGCACCCCUGCAUUGAUUUCUAGGGAAUCAGUAUAAACUUACAUCAGUUUGACUCGUUUACAGUUUGAAGCCAAAUUUCGGAUCCCUCGGCCAGUUACAGCAUAUGGAGCAGAUGCUGAUCGAAUAGAAGGUGACUUGUCAAUGUGGGCAUAGCGUCCAUUGCCAUUCCAGUACAAAAUGAUACGAUUUGUACAAGCAUGUGACCAACUAUCACCUGCCCAGCAAGAUUUAGGAACUCAGAAAAGGAUAUGUCCCUGAUGACCAGAAUCUGGAAUCAGGUUGGAUGAAAGACAAAGAGGGAGGAAAAAUUAACUAUAAAAACAACAGUAGCAGAGCACCCAAGGAAAGACAAGUAUAAGAAAAUUAUUCUUAAAGAAGACAGAUUCUUACCUAGAGCAAGAGUCAGUUGAAAUGAACCUCCCGAAUACUUGGUGGUUACUUGAUUCAACAAAAUAACCUGUAUUAUGAUGUCCUCUGGUCAUUAGAGUGCACAAACAUGAAGUAAUGCCAUUCAGUUGGAUAAGAAGGAGACAGCUUAAAGAAUAUGAGAAGGAAAAGAGAUAGUCUAAUUCUUACCGCUAGAGUAAAUUUCUUUGCAAGUUUCAUCAACUUCAAGGCCAUUCCACCAAGUAAUCGAGUUCUAAGUGCCAUGUCAUCAAAAUCUUGACGGAAGUGAAAAGUAAUGCUGUCAACAAUAACAACCUUGAUCUGUGACAGUAGAGGAAUGUCAAUAAUUUACAACGAAAAUUUGCAUAAUGCAAGCUCUCAAUGACAUCACCAACAUCAUUAAAAGAAAAGAAAAAAAAGAACUUAAAUACUACACCUACAUCUUUAUGCUCUGAAAUGAACUUCUCCAAGUAAUUUAUCACGGCGAUUUGCUCUGUGUAACUGCAAAUGCGAAAGUAGUAUAUAUUGGCAAGAAAAUCAUUUGCCUGCAGAUUUACUUGACGGGCUGGCAAAUCUUUACGUAGAAAGCUAUCAUAUUCUUGCAUGUCUUUGAUGCAUGCUUCAGCAACUUGCUGAACACGUUCAACCAUAAAGCUGCCUUCUGUAUCUAAAAAAAGAACUCAUAGAAUCUUCAGUUGAAAUGCCUUUGGAGAAGCAGUAGCAGAUUUAGUCACACCACCAUGAGUAUUUUGUGUACCGUACUUACCAAUAUAAACUGCUUUCCCUGCAAGGCCACCAUAUUCAAGUGGAAUUUGAACAUUGAUGGCAAGUUGAAUACUGCAUGCUAGUAUAUGUCUUAAUAAGAACCAAAAGGAACAGAACAAAAUUUGUCAAUCAACUGUAAACAGGAACAAAUUCUUACCCAAGUUGUGUUUUACCAAUUCCUGGCACUCCACCUGACAAAAUAGAAAGUGAUAAAGCUUGAGAUUGUCAGCAAUUUGUAGAUGUCCUCUGUCUCGUUCUCUCUCUCUCUCUCUCAAUGAAAGUGUUUAAGGUACCAAACAUGGUAGGAACCACCAUAGAGAUGAUAAAAGACUAACCAAUUUCAGUAACUUCUUUGCAACUUAUUCCUCCACCUAGGAUGUCAUCAAGAUCUGCACAUGAUGUGGUAAUUCUUCUGCAUGAUUCCUCCUCAUGCAACAUGUCCCAGGCGGUCUGUGCCCCUAAACAAGAAGAAAAAAUUAAGAUUCAGUUAGCCGAAUUUUGUGCAUCCCUUGUAAGAGGCCGCAUCUAGCAGACAAAAGAAAUAUCUUACACAACAAGAUCUAUGGUUAACAAAUUCCUUCAUUCACAAUCCUCAGUAAACAAAAUUUACACACACACAAUCGGUGAUACACUUUUACAACUUACUGUGUUGGCAUGCCAGUAAAAUGGUAGAAAAACAAGAAGAUAUUCACAUAUUCACCUAAAAAAAAUCUCAAGUACAACAAAAGUGCUAAUUCGGCAUAGUAGGUGAAUCUUCAGACUAUAUAUUCCAUAACGCGAAAUGUAACAAAGCAAGAAAAAACUAAACAAGCCCAGCAUAUCACUGUAGAUUUGCCCUCCUUAAAAAUAAUAAAAAUAAAAAUUUUGUAGCUCCACGAAACGGAUACAUCACACCUAUUUGGUAAAAGCAAAAGGAAAAGAUUACCAAGUACAAUCCCUUUAUGAUGAUAGUCAUGACUCAUGCAUUAGUGAAGUAAAACAAAUAGAACAACUCCACAGCAACAUCAAAUUCCACAGCAACAUCAAAGGCCCCCCUCAAAAAAAAAAUCACAAUAAUAAUAUAUAAUCAGCAUUGAUAAAUUACUCAAACCAUCAACAAUAGAAUGGUGACUUGGAAUGGUUCUCUCCGGUCCACCCCUUUGGGAUGCCACCUUCAAAAUCCCAGUAGCCUCGUUCUCUGAAAUCCCCAAAUCUAGCCAUUAAACAAGAGAAACCCGUCAGGGGAAAUGUUAUAAAAUAUUCAAAAAUUUAACUCACACUCAUUUAGCGCAAAGAUUAGCUAUUAUCCAACAAUGAGAUGUAUUUGCAAUCAAAUACGAGUACACAAGAAAAAAGAGAAUAGAUGACAUAACAGCUCUAGUAAUACCAACAAGAAGGCAUACCACGGGCGAGGUGGGCGGCGAGAUAGAGCUGAGGGAGGAGAUAGAAAUGUAGCCGGCGGAUAUCAACUUUGCUCUAUGCGAAGCUGAAAUUGGGAGACUCGAUACUUCCAUUCUCUCUCAAAUUUGUCUCAGUGUGUGACUGUGUGUUUUUGUUUAGAAGCUUUUCGCGGUUUUUGUUCAAUUGAGAAUCUGUUCAAAGGGUUUCAAUUUCAAUUCAAGUGCUGCUGCAAAGGAAGCAUUCACAAUACUUAAACGCUGCGUUUCAGAAACAUUAUAAAAGUUUCUUCGGCCCAGAGACUCUACCAAGCUGGCCCGAAUCCGUUGAACUCGUCUUAAUUAGAGAAAGUUCUGGUUUGCUGUAAAAGGUUGAUAUUGAUUUUGUUUCCUAUCGUUCGGCCGCUGCUACAUACGCGCAUCGCAGCAGAAGGCUUAUUUCAUUGGGCCCGAGUUUUAUUCACUCUUGAGUCUUGACCAGUUUGAAUUCAUUCAUCAUUUAGGGUCCGUUUGGUUGGACUGACAAUAUUUUCCCUAGGAAAAUAUUUUCCAUCGAAGCCACUUUCCUGAAAAAUCAAUUCCUUCCCCAAAAUUUUCCAGUGUUUGGUUAUUAAGUGAAAAUAUUUUCCAAAUUCCUUUUUUAUAAUUUUUCAGUGUUUGGUUUGUCAAUCAAAAACCUUAUUCAUGGUACAGAAUUAGAACUAUUGGUACGUAAAAGCACCCUAAUCAAGUCUAGAGUGACUCAAAUCCCUGCUUUAAAUGUUGUCGGCCUCAGUUGGAUCAAAAAUCUGGAACAAUUCAAUACAUACAGAGGCAAAUAUAUGCCAAAAUAUAAAAUAUUGCUCAACAAAAACAAAAAUCACAUCUCCAAAUGGAAAAUGGUCCCAAAAAUAUCAGUUGCCCAGGCAGUAAAUCAUGGUUACAUCAUUAAUAGCACUGAAGAUUAUGUCCUUAAUAGCAGAGAUCUUCUGAUCUGUGACCGAUUGUGGAGAGAUGUAUCCCCUAUCAAUCUGCAUGUCAAAAAGAAUACUAACCAAGUCAUAUUUAAAUCACAAUUAUCAAGUAAACAAAACGCAAAGCAGGGGAAAAAGAUUUUCAUAUCAAGACUUGGGAAAGGCAUGGGGAAGCAGCUCGAACAGACCUCCAUUCCUUCCUCCACAUUGACUGUAGUCUCAAAGGAAGAGGAUGACUCAAUGGACAAGACACCAUCAGGUCCAACCUUGUCAAUUGCAUCAGCAACCAUGAUUCCAAUAGUUUCAUCAUUUCCAGCAGAGAUAGUAGCAAUGGCUGCAUAUAGAGGAAGAAAUACAUCAAUACGAAUUUCUCUGGUGACAUCAAACUAGGAACUAAAUGGACAAUACAUAUGGAUCCACAUCAUAAGAGCCAAAAGAUAUACCUUUGAUAUCUUCACGACCUUUAACUGGCCUGCCCUUUUUCUCUAGCUCAUCAAUCAAACCUUGUGCAGUGGUUUUUGGGCAUGAAGAAUGAGAAUCAUGGGACAAUAACUUCACUCAUCCAUGGUUAUAACAGGCAAUGAUAAAUUUUUAGGAUUGUUAUCUCUGCAGAGCACUCCCUGCAACGGUAUUAGCAUAUAGAUACAGGGGCUGCUAAGACGUGGACGUAUCAAAGAGCGGCAGAAAUAAUUAGACACGAUACAAAAUGAACAAAAACAUUUAAUAGCUCCAAUGCCUCUCACGCAAACAGCUUUUCAGUACCGAUAGUUAAUAUUUGGAUGCCAGUACAACCAUAAAUAAUACAAAACCAUGACAGAAAAGGAUGACCAUAUUCAAUAUUACAGUUGAGACGAGAUUUUACAAGAGCGAAAUCUCAAAUGUUAAAAAGUUACAGCUCAACUGAGCUUGAAAGUGCCCUGCGGGUACUAACAUAAGCCUCCACUAGCAAGAAACUGCUGACUGAGAGUUUCAUUUCAAGGCAGAUAUCUAGUUUAAUAUAUACACUUCAGAAAGAUCUGUAUUCAAGUUCAAAAUUCUUCGAUCAACUGAGUUCCUAGCUAACUAACUUACAUCCUUUCGUCGGUCUAUUUGUGCAAAUAAACUAGCCUACUGUGUGACUAAGAAGCUACUAACCAGUUUCAUGUCUUAAAUAUCCAUCUUGAGUACAAUAUUGUUGACAUUGCUCUCCUGUAAUUUCUCCAGCGCAACAACCUCAGCCCGAUAAGCUGCUGCUGCAGCCGCUGUCCUUGCCCUCUCUCCUUGAGGAAGUUCACAUGCUUCGCUGAGAGAACCCAAUCUCAACUCAGCAGGUGGAAUGAAACACUCUCCCGACAGACCAGGAGCAUUAAAGGCUACUUCCUCGAUGGUCCAUGCUUCUUCCAUCCUGGUUUUGGUAUGACUCAUUGCUGUAUCCCGAACCUGAAAAGGAUAACCACUGAUCGCCCAGAGUGAGCAAUCACGAUCCCCUCAACAGGCUCACCAGAUUGUAAGAAAACACUACCCUACCCUACCCUACCCGGAUUCUGAUUCCAAGAAUCAUAAAACCCCCAAAACUCAGCAGCCAAAUUAAUUCAUUAGCAUCAAUCAAAUCAGAUUUAACACUAAUCAGAUAAGAACAAACUAAAACAAAAGCAAUCCACAAAUAUUCAUUCAAAUCCAACUUCAAGAAUCUACACCAGUAAUUCUAGACAAUUUUUCAAAAAAAGGGAAAAGGGAAAAAAAACUAAUAAGAGAUCAUCAUACCUCUGGAAAUACUUAAGGAGUCUUCACCUUUGUUGAAAAUGCUAUUGUAGGAACGGGAAUGAGAUGUCGCUGCCAGAGUGGGAUGAGCCGUUGAUAUUGGCCGCCGUAGUUGGAGAUGCCGCCGGCGAAGAAGGGAUUUGUUUGCUGAUGAGAUGUCGCUGGAGAUGGUUUGUUAUCACUGCCCCGAAGAAGAGACUGGUCUUUCAUCGAUGGUUCCUUGCUUGAGGCUGUGAAAAGAAGACUGCUUUUACGAGAGUGAAGUUAUUUUCCUCUCGUAAGUGCAACUUAUUUUUCUCUCAGAAAUUAUUUUUCUAAAUUAAUUGACAACCAAAUAAUCAAAAAUAAGGAAAAUGUUUUCCAAAAAACCUUUUUCAUCCAAACAAACAGACCUAAAAUUGUUGUUCAUAUGGGCUCUUUUUAUUUAGUUAACAAGAAUCAUAAUCAUAUUAGUAAUAGAAUUAGUUCAUAUGCUUUAAGCAUCAUUCAAAACGAGAAAUUUGAAUUUCUUAGUAUCAGCAUCAUUCAAAACGAGAAAUUUGAAUUUCUUAGUAUCGAAAUACACUGAUUGUAUAAUUUCAUCGAACCUUUACUAGAAACUGUAAAGCUUUUGUUAAUUUAUAAAAUCACUUACCGUUCCGAAAAAAAAAAUCAUUUCCAGCGAACAUGUCUUUUUCUUCUUUGAACACAAUUAUUCGUUCGUAUACGUCCACAGAAUCCCUGAACAGUUUAAAAUACUCAAAGGUUGUCUCGACAACUUUGCUGAUGCUAGAUGACUCUGUUUCUUCUGCAAAAGCUGGGAAGCUUUCUAUUCCUUUGCUGUUAGAGUACAAAUACUUGAUGGUAUAUUGGUAUUGAUAACAUAACGCACUCUAGCAAUAUCAAUUCCCAAUGCAUAUGUCAACCCGGUAAGGUAUUCUGUAGCGUACAAGAACUAAACAAACUGAUAUUGAACUUGGCAGAAUUAUCUCUAAUGCAUGCGUUGCAGUUUUAGAUUUCCAGCGUAGCUAAAAUGCAAUUUUCAUCUCUAAGUAAGUGAACGUUUGAUCAAUUGAUACAACUGCACAUGGGGGAAAAUUGCACUCUACAAACCAAAAUUUAUGAAGCAUUAUGCUUGUGCAUGUACAGAAACACAGUGCAGAUAACUGAAUAAACUCUUUUACGUCCUGAGAUGAAAUAAGACCAAGUUGUUUAAAUUGCAGAGAUCCGGGGCUUGUGUGGAUUUAUAUGGUACGAGUGUUAGCUAGUUAAUUGAGGGCAUAAAAGCACAAUACCAAGAAAUGUUGAUGGUCAAGAGGAUUUCAUUUUCUUCAUGAAGUCUUCAACCCUUGUAGCAGCAUCAUGCUCUUGUUUUGUCUAAGUUCAUCCAGGAGCAAGCGACAGGUAACAUAUCGAGGGGUUAUGUCUUGAGCUAUCAUUUUCGUGAAGUAAUUAUAUGCCUCUUCAGGUUUAUUUACUUUGCACAGCCCAUGGACCAGAAGUGCAUAAGUUGACAAAUCAAAACUCAGAUGAUGCUUGCUAGACAUCUCAUCCAGCAGCAUACUCAAGCGAUCAUCUUUGUUUCCACCUUUAAAGCAUGCCUUGAGCAGAGGAAAAUAUGUCUGCACUUCAGGCUUACAAUAAGUCGACUUUUCCAUAUCCCUGAGAAACUCCAACGCCAAUUCUUCUCGUUCCUGCUGACAAAGCAUUGAAAUCAUUGUAUUGUACGUUGAUGUACUUGGGCAACCCCCAUCUGGGGCAUUUCUACCUUGAAAACAUGAAUAGCAUCACUAAUUCGUCCAGCCCUGCCUAAAGUAUAAAGAAAAGCAUUGUAGAACAGUGUAUCAGCUUUACAUCCAACAGAUUUCAUUCUAUCAAUUAUCCGCAAGGAUUCCUCAAGUGCCCCAGACUUCGUUAAUGAAUGCAUGAUUGUGGUGAAAGUCACAACAUUUGGGGUGCACUUUUGAUCUUUCAUUUCAUCAAGCAGCUCAUACACCCUACUGAAGUUAAAUUGAUGGCAGUAGAACUGAAUAAUGGUUGAGUAGCUGAUAACAGUGGGCCGAAAACCAUGACCUUUCAUCUCUUCAAUUGUCCAGUGUGCCUCUUCGACCCUAUUAAUUUUGCACCAACCAUGAAUAAAUAUGUUAAAAGUACGAGCAUCUGGGGGGAUGUGCGAUUUAAGCUUCAAGAAAAUUUCCCGAGCCUGCCCAACUUUUUUCUCUUUGCAAAGUGUGUCAAAUAACAAAUUCAUGGAUUCUGUAUUCUUCUGCAACCCGAACUUUUCCAACUCAUCAAAUAUCCUUACAGCAUCUUCCCACUCUCCUGCACCAGCAAAUCUUCUCAUAACCUUUGCUAUGGUACUAAGCGAGACAAGAUGAGCCAUGUUCAUUUCAUCUACAAAAGCACACAUCUUUUCCAUCUGUUUCAUUCUUCCCAAUGUGUCCACCACUUUAUCAUAUAAAUUUGGCAAGGGCUUAUAGCCUCGAUGUAAUUCUGCCCAUCUGAAAACACCCAAUGCAGACUUCCAAUCAUCCUUUAACCUGUGCAGCAGCCUAUUAAUAAGUUCAUCAGUUAUCUUUGUAGCAUCACAAGCAGGGUCUUGCAUGAGAACCUGAAAAACCUCAUCUUCACUGUUUACACCAUUAAUUUUAUGCAUAAGAAGAUGAAAAUCGAAAUCUCUUUUCAAAUCUAUGCAUUCUUGUCCCUGAUCAAAAUCCCUUUCUCGAAUGAAAUGGUACUGCCUCACCAGAGAGUGACUACAGAAGGCAGAAAAACAGCAAAGGUAAUUUCUAAAUAUAACAUGGGAAGUGGCUUGGUUUACCGUUGCAAGUAAUAUAUUCUUCCUGGAAAUGGUGCUAGACAUAGAAUAUCACGAAGAAACGUGAAAAAUUGUCUUUCUGCUUGUUCAAUCCAGCAACCCUGCACACCAAGAAAUUAGUUAUUUAAUGAUCCUCAUUUCUUAUAAUCUGAAUACUUAUCAAAUCAUACCACAAACAAGAAUAUUCACGAAUUUAUCAAUCAAAGUGUACAAUUUAACCAAAAAAUGUACAAUCAACGACAUGCCAUUGCCAGCCGAAUAAGGUGCACAUUUGCUAUAUGUAAAAGAGAAGGGAAAUGGAAAAACAAGAAAUGACCAACUUUAAAAAGUGUAUAUAUAUUCCGUAGAAUGCUAAAAUAAAAACAUGAAAACAGUGAUUAGCAACUUGUUCUUUCUAAUGGUUAAACCUAAAACUUCUUACGCGCCAAAGAAACCACAAGGAAAAUGCAGGCAUUUAAGGUGACAUUUCCACGCCGGAAAACAAUAAGCAAUGCUUAUUAUUCAGCAAAAGUGGUAAACAUCUGAAAAGAAAACACAAUAAUGCCGAAGAAAUUUCAGAUUUAUUAUUUCUGUGGACUAACUACAGAUAUCCUCCAAAGUAACAAUCCAUAAACGAAAAGAGAAAAUUUGCAGCCAUUUCCUUACGAAAACUUGAUUAGGACAGCUUGUUAGCAAAGCUAAUAACAAGCCAGAAGUGGAAGAGUAAAUUCAUUAAUGAAAAUGCAAUGGAAGAACGGAGGGAUUACAACCCGUAAAGAUCACAUUUUUCAGGCACUGGGGUUGAUACAGAAGCUAAAAUAAGUAUACAAGCUGUUUGAUCAUAUGCCUCGGACCAAUAAAAUUGGCGAGCGCAUGAACUAUCACUGACACUAAGCUGGCAAAAACUGACAGCUUUGAAAAAUUUAAGCUCGAAAAGUAAAGAGCGGCGGCUUCAGACAGUAGUUUAUUCAAUCGAACGACAGGAAAAAAAAAAAAAGAAAGGAAAACCGCACUUCAUGGCAAUUACGGUUUGCAGAAUUGCAGCUACAGCCACAGCCCCAGAGAAGCAGAGGCAAUGACGUCUGAAAACUUCAAUUAGUAUACCUUGGGUGAAAAGGGAACUACGUCUCCGUAGGGAAUGACAACGGACGGAUUGCCGGCGGUCGCCCGAACUGUACCUUCGGUGAGGAAAUGAGGAAGAGUAUAUUUGUUUCUUGAUGGGAAUAGAAUGUAUUUGGGACGAACAUAAAUAAAAUUUACACACACAGCAAAGUAUUAAGGGCAAAAAGCCUUCUCGAAUUUUAACAAUUUUAUAUUUCUAACUCUUCGACUAUUAGUUGUACAUUUUUUUUGCCCUUGAAUUAUUAAAAAUGUACAUGUACAUCGACGUACAAGGUUAAAUGGAAAGAAAAAGAUUUUCUAUCGAAAUAGUAGAAAGAGCAACUUCAAAUUAGAAUUUUAAACUUUUCACACUCCAAGGAAUAUUUUGGUAUAAAAUUUAAAAUAAUUGGUAAAUUAGUGAUAGAUCUGCUAAUUUUAUUCAGUGAGAUUCAUUAAAAAUAGAGCCAAAUUUGAAAUCUACAUGAAAUCGAAGGCUUGGAAUGUAAUUUGAUCCAAUUUUGACAAUGAUAAUGAUAUUGAAUAAUUAUAGUUGUCAACAAACUUGAUUUGAGAAGGAAUAAUGUCAAAAUGACUUUAUUUUGGGCUAGUCUCAAUAUUUUGAUAUAAAAUUUAAAAGAAAUGGUGAAUGACAAGUAAAAUAAUUGAUAAAUCUACUACUCUUUAUCUAAUGAGAUUCAAUAAAAAUGGAGUGCAAAUUUGAAAUCUAUACGAAAAUCGAAGGUUUUGAAUGCAAUUUGAUCAAAUUUUGACAAGCCAGUGAAGAGUUGCACUUGAUUUGUACGAGAAAGGAGAAUAUAUAUAUUAAAAAAAAAACAUCGUUUAUGAGAUAGUUUCGUUAGAAUUAUCGGGUUCAAAUUUACGAGAGGACUAUAAAUACACGCUUUUAAUAGUUUAUAGGCUAAAAAUAUGCAAAUAAUAGUUAGAGGACUAAAAUUAUAAAAUAGUUGAAGAUUUUGAGAGCCAAAUGGACUUUUUACCCAAGUAUUAAUGUACAUCAUAUGACGUAAAACUAAACUGCACAAUCGUGCAAAAACAUUUACCUGCUCCAAAUCCAUAAUUUUAUAAUACUCAUGCUAAAGUUGACAUCUCCUUUAUUCGUACUUAAAAGGAUAUUUUUUCUAAUGAGCUACUUGGGCCUUAAAAGAUACUAGAUAAAAGGAACAUACACAUGCAUAUUGUUUAAUUUUCUAUUUUACAAUUACCUUUUCUAGCAUUUUUUAGCCAAAUAAUUUUUUUGGUAUAACUAUACAUUUGCAAAUGAAAAUUUGCAAAUAUGAUGCAGCAUAUCAUCCACUGCACGAAUUGUUGAAGAGACCUUGUUUGGAUAGUCAUUUUCCGUCGGAAAAUCACGUCGUUUUUCGUGAUCACAUUUCCCUAUUACCUUUUUUCCUUACAUACGUCAAAUCGCUACAGUAAUUUUUCUAAAAAAAAAUCCUAGAAAAUGCAAUCCAAACACUACCUUUGUCUAAUCUCUAACAUUUUGGCCGCACAGCAUUGCUCUAUAAUUAAAAAGACCUUCUAGGUCCUGUACAAUCCAAAGAUAGAAGGAAGAGUGUAAUAGCUCACUUAACAGAAAAUUGGCUUAUGUUCAUUCUAUCUAAGUCUAAACACUGGUACACAAUGAGCAUUGAAUAACUUAUGCCGUGCUCUAGAAAAAUGUUCCUUGAGCAGAAAAUCUUCUAGGGUAUCAGCGAAUCCACACAUUUAUAUUGACAAGGGAAUACCAAGAACUGUCCCCGCAGAGCCAGUUUCUUGAUAAAAUUUGAAAACUCUUACUUGAUGCAAACGUUCAGCUGGCGACAGUGUGGAGUUGCAAGCUAUAUCCUUCAAAAACAUUAGGGCUUCAGCCAUGACAUCAUUCAUUUGAGAAAGCACCAGUAACCUUCACACUGUGGGCUUUGGCUGUCCUAACAGAGAUGCCUGAACGAGAGAUGUCAGCGACGGAUGAAUCCGAGCCUUUCUCAUUGAUCGGGCAUCACUUCUUCCUUCCGCAUACUCCUCACCUAAUGGCCACCUUGGCCGCAAAUCAAGCUGUUUCAUGCACGACAUUCGUCAACAUAUUACUAUCCAAAAAAAGAUAGAAGCAUAGAUUCUUGCUACUUUUCAAAAUGAAAAUCCUCAAGACCACAUGAAAACAAAAGCAAUGAACCCAACCACCUGUAGAUACUACAUUUCCAACAUAAUUCUUUCAAAAAAUGGAGUUCCUCCAAUCUCCACUUAAGGUAGCCUGAUCCCUUAAUUUGUAAUCAGUUCACGUUUAAACAUGCAAUUCAUUUGUCCAGAUUAACUAAAUAGAGGAAUUUUGAGGAUUGCUUUACAAACCACGUUAACCAAACCUGAAGUAACACAUUUGCCCAAUUCUUUGCUUAUUCAAAGUUCAAGAGAGCAGAAAAUGGAAAUUGACUAAGCUAAUUAGCAUUACGGCAGCAAGUCUGAUCCAUGCGACCACUUAACUUUUUCUCCAUCAACUAAUAGGUUUUGGAAACCCAUAUGAAGUGAGAAGUCAUGAAUUAAUCAACUUCUUCUUUCAUAUGAGAAAAGAGGCAGUAAAGACGAAAAAUAUAGAGCUUACUCUUCUAUUAGAGAUAUAGCAUCCAAAUCAAACAAAUUCUAGCCAAAAAAAUCUUUAAAAAUCCAAAUGAAAGCACCAAAAUGACAAAACCUGGGCAUCUUCAGGUUCAUUGGCAGGUGGUGGAGGAUCAUAUCUUCCUACCCGGAAAUGUUCCACGCCGGUCCAAGCAAUCAUUACACCUUUCAGAACAAGCCAACAUUAUUCUUCAAGACAAGGCCCAACGUACUAGCUUUUCAAAGUUCAAAUAAUUUAGGGUUAAAAACAAAAAAGUCCCCUGUGAUAUACCUAAUAUACAGAAAAGGCCCACAUGGUUUCAAAACAUACAAAACGACACCUCAUGUUUUGAACUAAAUUAUAAACUAACAGAAUUUGUUAAACUUAACGAAAUGACAAUUUCGCCUGUUAAACUUAACGAAAUGACAAUUUCGCCUGUUAAACUUACCGGAUUCUGUUAAGUUUACCGUUAGCUUUACCGAAUUCAGUUAAAUUUUCAUUAAGUUUACCGGAUAACGAUUUCGUCUGUUAAACUUACGGGAUUCUGUUAAGUUUACCAUUAACUUUACCGAAUUCCAUUAAAUUUUCCGUUCAGUUUACCGGAUUCCAUUAAGUUUAACGAAUUAUAUUAGUUUACAAUUUAGUUCAAAACAUGAGGUGUCGUUUUGUAUGUUUUGAAACCAUAGGGGGUUUUUCUGUGUAUUAGGUAUAUUACAGGGGAUUUUUUUGUUUUUAACCCAAUAAUUUAACAUUACCAAGAUUUGGGCAACUUUUCCACAGAUGCAAAUGAACCCCUACCAGGCCUAAAACAAAUUAAUUAUGUUCUCAAUGAUGGGUAGAUAUCUAACAGAUUACCACCAGAAAUUGAAUGCCGAUGCAGCUAUUCAAUUGAGACUAGCCUAUUCACUUUAUUUUAAAUUGCAAAAGUAUUGUCUGUAAUGAGCACUUGGAUCCAUCCUUAUGUUGUAGUACACGAGCUUGAACCACAGAAACCACACACAAUCUAUCUACAAGUUAUUUGUCCGAAGUUUGUAUUUUUCAACUGCCAGUUAUUAAAAUCAAGUACCUCUGCAAAUUAAUCACUUUUGCAUUUUCUCAAUGUUAACUGAAUUAGCAGGAAAAACACUUAGCACCUUACCAUUAUCAGUACAGAGGCUAGGAGGAGGGCACAAAAGUUGCAGGGCAUUCCUUUCCACUACCUGAUUAAGGCGAGAGCGGACAAACUUGUUUGAAGCAACACCUCCGGAAGCUACCUACGAUGGGAGUAUAAAGAAAUUGCUCUGAGACAAUAUUCAAACCAAUAUAAAGCAACAAAGCGCAUGAAGUCUAGAAUUCGAGAGUACAACAGCGUGGAAGCCAAUUGGGAAUCUUAUUUCACGCACCAAAUACUUCACAGAAGGCUCAAUUUUCAAUGCCCAUUCAAUUGCUCGUUGGCAUUUUUCCUCUAAAUGUAAUACUGCAACUCGCUGCACAAAGAUACUUCGCCAAUGUUUAAAAAAGAGUAAAGCAAUAAAGAAGAAGAUGCUCAUUGAACACUAUUGUUAUAUUAUAUUUAAAGAAAGCAGACAUGUGGAACUAUAUGUUAAAACUUGAUUUUAUUUUCUUUUCAUGAAAUAAAUGCCAAGACCAUUAUCACCUGGAAAGAGGCAGCAAUAUUUGCCCUUGCACCUCUAUCUUCACUACUAGCUGAAGAAAUGGGGAUUUCAGCAUUGCUGCAUGCACAACGUCCAAGGAACAAAAUAAGGUCAGAGGUGAUGGAGAGAAGAGGAACUUUGAACAUCUAAAUGUUGAAAUGAUUGAUUGCUGGGUUAACCAACAAUAGCUGCAGGGACAGAAAUUGUUCCAACUACACGAUUAAUACUUUUUCCAAGCAUAUUCAACAUGAUUGACACAGCUAGAAAAGAAGAUUCUUUUAGAUCUUUUGGCAUAUUUUCCCAGAUAUGCUAUAGUCCACAGCUAAUAUUUCAGCAUUUUAUAUCCAAAUAGAAGAUUCAAAAGGAAGAAUCUGGGACAAGACGUGACCUUCUUAUCAACAGCAAUAAAGACAAUAUUUCUUCAUGGGAAAAACAAUGUUUUUCAUAGGCUAAAAGCACCUACAUAUUCUGUGCUUCGAUUUCCAACCUCACUUGAUUCUUUAGCCCUGCAUAUGAGAAGUUGCAGUCUUUGUGUUGUUUCAUAGGAACCUAACAAACAACCACUUCAAAACCUGAGCUCAAUAUGAAGAUCAAAUUCUGGUCAAACUGUUUCAAAAGAAAACAAAUGACACUUGACAUAAAAUUUCUCCAAACUUACUCUGAAUUUGACUGCUUCUGCAUCUCCCUCAUGAGCUAACUCCUCAAUUGCAGGCCCUCCACUCCUCCUCAUAUCAAGACCAAGCCAUUUUGCAGUCUUGUCAUAUGCCUCCCCAAUUGCAUCAUCAACUGUGGUACCAAGUUGUAUGUAAUGGCCAAGAUCCCGGGCAAGAACUAAAAGGUUGUGUCCUCCUAAUGAUCAAAAUGUUAAAAGUGCAUUGACUUAAUAAGUUCUUCCCCCCAAACCCCCCCCCUUCUUCCCUCUAAGCAAAUUGACUUAGUAAGUUAAACUAGUAACUAAGUUAAAAGGGUCGAAGACUCAAUCCAGUAAAUGACCAAAAUCAUUUCACCUAAGACCCAUGUGCCACUUUACAAAAAACAGUACAGGAAAUGUGUUAGAAUAAUGUAGAGCCCUCUGGAGCAUAAUUCAAGAUUUCUUAAUUUUCAAUCCAGGUAAUUGGUCCUACAGCACAGCUAAUUACUUUUUCUAUUUUUUUUAGCAGAACUCUAGUCUGUCUCAAUUCUUCUUCAAGUGUGUGCGUACUGUAGCAUUGAUGCACAUUUGAAAAUGGGAAAAUAAAUGUGACAAAUUUAAAUGAGUGCUGUGAUUUAUCAUACCUGAGAUGAGCAGGGCGAGAAAAGGGAAUUGCAGUUUCUUUUCUACUAACCUAGAGAGGGGAAAAAAAUUGAAUAAGGCAAAUGAUUUUCAUGAUAAGUUGAAGCUCAUACUCUUUCAACUUUCGACGAACUGAGCAUAGUUGCAUACAAGAUUUUUGAUAGUAAUAGCUACAGAUUUAUUAUUAGAAUUGGAGUGCAAAUUCCAUCCACGCUUUAAGGCCAGAUCUCUUUAUGUUCACCUUUACAGAUGAGGCACCGGAAGACAAACUAAUUGGAGAAAAACCUAAAUCAAUAGUACUUUUAAGUAUCAGGUAGAUUUCCAAGUGAUUUUCAAUGCCUCAUUUCUUCACAAACCAGUUAAGUUGACCCUCACCAUAAGACAAGAAAAAUGAAAGUCAUAUCUCAUUAAGCACAUUGAGUAAUAGAAGUCUCUUAAAUGGACAAAAGAAGGAAACGAAAAGGUCAAAACAAAGGUCUAUCUUGUAAGCUUUUCUUGCAGAGCUCACAUCUUGCCACCAAAUACAAUUUUCUCCUCAGUUUAUUUAGUUCGUCUUUUCUACCACAUCAAUCAUAGCCAUUACAUUACUGAAUUCUCAAUUAGUGGCUGAAAUCAUGAAUGAUCCCCCCCCAACCCACAAAACAAAAAAGAAGAACCCACAAAUUUUCCAGGAACAUGCAACCAAAAAUCAAACUGAAGCCAUUUAGCAAAGGAAAUAGCAAGAAGAUGCAAAAUUUAUAUAUUGGCUUACAAACAACACAUAAAGCUAUUGUAUUUUACUCAACUAUCUGAUAAAAUUUCAGGGGAAAAAAGGCAACAUGGCUAAAGGGCAACCAUGGCAUUGAAUUCAAAAAAGUAACACUCCUAAUAUGCUUUUAAAACAAUUUACAGUAAUAUCUUAAAAAAUGUGAUUUUGAGUAUGAAUUGAACAUGUAUUACCUAGCUACUAAGGCAUGUGCUUCCAUGUGGUGCACCCCACUAUGGGUAGAUUCAAUCUGCCAGCAAUUUUCGAGCCUUUUGCACACCAACUACAUGUGAAUUGAAGAAAGGAUGUUUAAGGAAUUUUAUCAUGUUGCUCUUUGGCAAACAAACAUCUAAAUAACAUGAUAGAAUUGUCAUUUGACAUCUUAAACAUACAAUGAUCCCUGACAGGGUUUCACAAUUUCAUAUGGUCUAAGGUUAAUGCUUAGGGAAACCAAAUGGUUUAUCAAUUAGAACCACAUCAUCUCCAGAAAAUUCAAUCAAGUUGAGUUCUGGAGUUUUAAAUUAAAAAAAAAAAAAAAUUACCACGCAAACAAAGGCUUAAACCAGGACCAAUAGUGACUGCAACUGCAGUAAGCUCCUUCUCAGUCAGUUGAGCUUUAUCUAAGGCUUCCUGUACUACCUGCAAAAUAAAUUAUUAUACUUGGAAGAACAAACAAGAAGAGUAAAUGAAAGAGUUACAACUCUUAUUUGAUAAUACACUUUAAGCCAUGGAUAUAUCUUCUUUAAAAUUCAAAACUGAAGCAGGAAAUCCUAAAUAGAAAUUCAGAAACUAAUUCAAAGCCACUUAACUAUUAUCAUGAAAAUAGCGUAAGGUAAGAAAGAUACAGCUAGCAACCACAAUCUCAAGAAAGCUGUUCUAGUAGAUCAUGGAACUAAAAGGAAACAAAUCAAUAAUGAUGAUGAUAUAGUUCUGCAACAAAAGCAAAACUGAAGAUAAACAUAAUUGCCAGAACGCUGACAGCAGUAAAAAAGGCAACUCCAGUUAAAGACAUGUCUUUUAAUUUUUUUUCUUUUUUUUUGGUUGCGAAUAAAAUCAAGCAACAAACUUAGUUCUUCUAUUACAUGAAACACAAAAGCAGAGUUUGAAAGCCAGAAAUGGCAAAUAUCAUAAACUACACAAAAAACACAGAGAAGGAUUAAAAAUCAUAGGCAGCAUACUCAUGUCUAGAUUCUGUACCUGAUCAAUUACUUGUGCAUGUGCUUGUUCAGCCAUUUUAGGUGCAACCCCCCAUAGCGAGCAAGCAGAUCCGCCUUCAUAUCAUUAGAAUUCAUAUUCAAUACAACAGAUACCACAGUUGCAAAAACAAAGGAUGGUUUGUAUUGCUUGGGAAUUUUAGUAUAAAGAACACACAGAAAAUUUGUUUCUACUAUUUGGGGAGUAAUGUACAUAGACAAUAGUGACAGCAACUUGAUUAUAGUAUAAACCUGCACUAAGUUUAUAACCCAGCUUUCAUGAAUUAAGAUUAAAUUUUAUUAUUACAAAAGCUAACUUAUAGUACUUUGUAUCUUGACAUGAUUAAGCACAACAAAAUGUCAAGAUCUAUACGAAGCUUAGAGUAUAACAACUAUCAAGAAUAACAAUACAUUUACAGUAAGAACAGAUAUAUGUACUUGUACUAAGAUCAGCUACCAUCAAAGUUUUAUUCCCGCUAAACAAGAUCACAUUUUUUAUAUUAUGAAAGUAGCAAGAGCCAGCAGAAUCUUUCAUGCUUCUCAAUAAUUCUCAAUCACAAGCGCGUCAAUUGAACUAAUGCACAUAAGCAAAAGCCUAUACUUUUACUUACACAAACCUAUAAGACAAUACCUGAGAAGCCACAACUUGGCUCAGAAUCUCACCACUGCUUCGAACCUGAAAAUCCCAAUAAACAAAAAACAUGUUAUUUAUUCUGUAAACAUACAGAACCCCCUUCAAAAAAUGUUGCACCAUACAAAAGAGCGAAAAGAUAUUCAUAACCUACAACAGCAGCCGCAGUAUCAUCACAGCUGGUUUCAAUGCCCAAAAUGACUAAAUUAUCAUCUGAGGAUAAUGGGUUUGCUUUUGGACUGCUGCUGAUUUAUUGGAAUACGAGGAAACUAAAUGGGGCGGACUAGAAUUGAGUGGAAAAGCAGAGGAGAGAGGUGGCAAUACAGGUCUGCUUGGAAUUCUCAAAGCUUUGAAGGCUCUAAUUGUUACGUAUUGAGUGGUUUUGUGAAGUAGGUUUAGGCGCCAAGAAAUUCUUGAAGAUAGGGUCGGUACCAACCCCGUCAUCUCCAAGUCCCGCCCAGGUAGGGUGAGUGAGUGACCUGAUCUUCCUUGGUGUGCCGGUGACCCCAAAGUAGGACGUAGAUUUACAUCUGGGCGGAAUUGCAAAUUUCCGGGUUCAUUGGUUUUAGAAGCAAAUAAUGCGAAUUUUACGAUUAAACCUCUGUCAAAGAGCUAUGGCAAUUUUAAAAUGAGACACUAACGGCAUUUCAAUAUUGUUUAAUUUCCUGUCUGUUCUUUUUUUUUUUUGGUCAUUGUCCUUUUCCUUUCACUUUUUCUUACUUUUUUUUUAUUGUUACCUUUCAUUACUAGAGAAUUUUUCUUUUGAAAAAACGAAAAUUCUAGCCAAGUUCACAUUUUUGCUCAACUAAAACUACUGUGUCACAGAAAAAAAAAGUAUUAUUUAGACUUUUUUGGGACAAAGAGGAAUACUAACAAUACCAAAAAUACGUUGAAUUUGACUAAAAUAUGUGCAAUUUUUGUUCAAUUUUACUAUCAGUGUCUUAUUACUGUUGACAAUUCAUCAAAAAAUUGACUGAAAAAUCAAACAAAAACAAUUUUAAUACAAUCAAAUUGUGUCAUUAAUUAGAUAUGGUUUAUUGUUUUAAACUAACUAAACCAUUUCAAACUUAAGUUGUAUUGCUCGAUUUUGGUUCUUGACUAUCAAAAAUUAAAAGUUUGAAAAACUAAAGUUCUUUUUUUUAAAUAAAAAUGCUGUAUUUAAUUUUGUUUUUCACGAUGCACUGGAAAAAUAUAGUGAUUUGAGUGCUAUUAGGUGUUGAGAUCUUUCCUUAGAUAAAUUAGAAAUAUUUGCUUGGAAAUUGCAAUGACGUAAUUUGUGAGUUGCUCUCUAUUUUUAGGGAAUUGAGAAAGAUCGCUAAUUGUUAAAAAUAAAAAAAUGAAGAAAGGAUAGCAAAAUGACUUUCAAAAGCACUAGAACAAUAUGCAAACUCAAAGGAGUUUUCUGUCAAGAAAUGAGGUUAAUGAAACAUUCGAAGUUGUGUGGAUCUUUUACAAGGGUUUUCGGCGGAAUGGUAUAAAAAGUAGAAGUGGUCGAUUAUGUCGCCAAGCCUGUUUUGAUUGAUCAAUAAGUAAAGGCUGAAAAACCAAAUUAAAGUGCUAUUGCAAUGGCUGAUGUUAUCGAGUUAUUGUUAAAAGGAUUAAUCGCACUUUAUCCCCUUUUAAGUAUAGGUCAUUUACACUUUAUCCUUCAACAUUUGUUUUUUGUCAGUCUACCAAAAAUUAAUGGUCAACUCUAAUGGACAUAAACAGAAUAUUGAAAAGACAAUAAUAUCCUUAUGAAAAUAUUGAACAACCCAAAAAUGCCCAUAUAUAUUGGUUUAUGAAACGCAAGUUUUCAAAAUUACCCUGAAAUAAUGGAGGAAAAUUUCCUUCCAUUUGCACGGGACAGAAAAAGAAAAAGAAAUUAGGGAACACAAAAGGUUCCCUUUUGUUAUUGUCGGGUCACUUUCUCUUCCUUUUUGCCAUUGUCGGGUCACUUUCUCUUCACUUGUGCCCGAAGCCUCAGCAAAACCUCCAUUAAAAAACUUGAAAAUUCACCAGUAUCUUGAAUGGAAAAACGGGCAAUCGAUGAAGUUGUUAGCUGACGGCAGAAUUGAAUUUGAAAUUGUGAAAGGAGAUUCUGAGAGCUUGGGCAACCCUUAAGGUUAGAUUUUGCAAUUUUUUCUCGAUUUUAGAAAUUUCUAAUUUUUAAUCAAUUGUAUUGCACAAAAACAACGAUAUGGUUUUUUUAAUGGCUACAUGGGCUUUAACGUGUAGACAAUUAUUUGUUUGAAAUCUAUUGGUGUGUCCCUUGAAGUUCAUAACAAGUCAUUAUCGGGUUAUGAUGAAAAUGAUGGGUUUUUAACAACUUUUGUUUUUUUUAAUUAUUAAUUUGCUGGAUUCUUUGUUUACUUUGGAUGGUUAUAUGUCAGCUGUUACAUAGACAAACUAGGAUUUUUUAUUUUUGUGGGACAAUAAAAGAUGCCUGCUCUGUAUUACCUGUGCAUGCACUAAAAAAGUUGCCUUUGUGUGAUUACAGAAGAAUGGAUUUUAAAACCUAUGUUUUAUAGGUUCACUACGGAGGCCAUUUUGCCCAUGUCCCAAAUUUACAGUGUGUGCGGAAGAAUUUGCUAAUUUUGAUGAUGUUGACCCUGAUUUGAUGUCAAUUUUUGAGUUAAGAGAUGCUUUUAAAGACGUUGGAAUUUCACAUGAAACAGAGGUGUGCUAUAGGGUUAGGAAUCUUGACCUUGAGGUUGGUCUUAAACUGUUAAACAGUGACCAGAUAAUUCUAGAAAUGUUUGAGGCAAAUAGAACUCAAAGCAUCAUACAACUUUAUGUUGGUGAGAUCCCUGAAGAAGAUUUGCAUGCUGAUGGAACUAUUGUAGAGGAUAAUAUUGAGGUUAAUGGUGAACAAAAUCUAAAUCCUAAUACUGAACAACCCCAAAAUGAUGAGGCCGAAAGUGAUACUUCAGAUGCUUCACAUAAAGGUGAUAGGGAUGGUUGUAGGGAAGUUGAAUAUGACUCUGACUUUGAUUUUUUCCUAGAUGGGGAUGAUUUAAAUGAUACAUGUGACUCUGUAGAUGAUGUAGAGAGGGAUGGUGGUGAAGUAAAUUGUCACCUAAAACAGCCUGAAUAUAUUAAGUAGUGGAACUGAUUAGUGAAGAAUAUAAUGCAUACCUUAACUCCAAAGGGAAUGGAAAACUGGUCGAUGAUGACGAUGUUAGUGAUGAUGAAAUACUUAAACCAGAUUAUGAUUCAAAAAUGAAGGCAUAGAGCAUGAAUUUCCUUGAGUUUAACAUGGAAAGGGAUCUAAAAAAUCUUGAGUUGACUGUAGACAGAAUUUUCACCAACAUUAUGAUUUUAGAGCUGCAGUUAGAAUAUAUUCAAUUUUGAAUGGGUUUGAAGUUACCUUCACUAAGAAUGACAAAGACAAAGCUGUGAUUAUAUGUGCAAAUAAAUGUGGAUGGAGAAUAUAUGCUAGUGGCUAUAAUGGAAGCAAAGUUACACUUCAAGUGAAGUCCAUUAAAGGCGUACCUCAUAGAUGUCCAUGGUCUUUCAAGAACAAGAGUGCAAAUUCUAGGUGGCUGUCUAGGAUGUUUAUAGAGGAGAUUGCUGAUCAUCCGGAUAUGAAAGUAAAAGGGUUCGAGAAGAGCAUAAAAAAAAUAUAUAACCUGAACUGUACAAACUCUCAAAUGCAUAGAGCAAGAGAGAAAGCAGAGGAAGCACUGAAAGGGUCAUGUGCAAAGUAGUAUGCAAGAUUAAGAGACUAUUGUGCUACACUUUACAAAGAAAUCCAGGUUCAGUGGCAUUUAUUCUAACUGAAAAAUCCCAACUUUGUAAAAGCCCAAUCUUCAAGAGAAUAUUUGUUAUUUUACGCACAAAAGGAAGGUUUUAUAAAUGUAUGUAGGCCUGUAAUAGGAUUAGAUGCAUGUCACCUUAAGGGGAUCAUGGGAGGGCAGCUUAUGUCUGCAAUUAGUAGGGAUGCUAAUAACCAAAUGUUCCCAAUUGCUAUGGCUCUUGUUGAGUCUGAGUGCAAAGAUAGUUGAGGUGGUUUUUGGACAGUCUUACUGAUGCCAUUGGGACUCUAUGAAAAGGGUUGGGUAUUUCUAUCAGAUAGACAAAAGAUCAGCACACUACAAUCUGAUUUACUUUCCUUUAUUCCUCACUCACUCCUUUCACUAAUUCUGUGAUUUAUGUUUUUAUGUCAGGGAUUAAUUGAUUGCAUUGAGAAUAAGUAUCUUGCAGUGGAACAUCGAUUCUGUGUUAGACACAUGUAUGCUAACUUCAAACUGAAAUUCAAGGAUAUACCUAAGAGAUUUAAUGUGGGGGCAGCUAGGCUUAUUUACCCUGUCACUAUGAAAGCAAAAUGAGAGAGUUGCAAUUAGUAAUCCCAGAAGCACAUGCAUGGCUUAGUUCCAUACCAGCUAACCUAUGGACCAGACACACCUUUUCUCCAAGGACAAAAUGUGACCUUUUAAGUAAUAAUAUAUGUGAGAGCUUCAAUCAAUACAUUAAGGAUGUUAGGGAGGAACCCAUUUUGACUAUGUUUUGAAGCCAUUCAAAGGCAAAUAAUGUGCAAAUUUCAAGAAAAAAAGACUGGAUUCAAAAUGUGAAGUCUCAUAUUUGUCCGAGAAUUUGUCAGAAAAUUGAAGAGAGGAAAAAACAGGUAGCUCAGUUUGAUGCACUUGUGUCUACAAGAGAGGUGAUGAGGGACUGGUAUAGUAGGAACUUUUGCUGUUAAUGCAAUUCAAAGGUCUUGCACAUGUAAUGAGUGGGAUAUGACAGGAAUUUCAUGUGUCCAUACAUGUGUUGGACUUGUGCCAAGACAACAAAAGCCCAUAUGCAUAUGUUGAUAAUUGUUACUCAGCGGAAACAUAUAAAAAGGCAUAUGCUAGUGUUAUUAUGCCUAUGUCAGACCAAACAAAUUGGGUGAAUGCUAGCAAUGACACAUUACUCCCAUCUCAUAAGAAGAUAGCCCAGGUAGACCUAAAAAGUUAUAAGAAGACUCUAUUGGAGGACUUAUAUGUUGGAAAGCUGUCUAAAGUAGGGCUGCCAAUUCAUUGUAGUCAUUGUGGUCAUAAUGACCACAAUGCCAGAAGUUACAAGGUCACUGAUUGUUCAUUUGUGAGGCAAAAAAAGCAAGUGAAUGCUCAGGUAACUUCAAUCAAUAUAUGCUACUUGGUUAUUUUCUAUCUACAUCUGACUGUCAUUUUUGAUGUGUCGCAAGGUACAAGGGUCUACUAAACGAGGGAGGAGCUCGUAGGACACUCUAGAAAUGCUGAUACUGAUGUUGAGAGAAAUGUUGAUGCUGAUGUGUAGAGGAUGCUGAUGGACUAAAUUUACUACUGCAAAAGGCCCAAUUAGAGCUAAAAUGAGAGCGUAGAGUUACAGGCAGGGGUAAGGGUAGGGAUUCAGACCAUAAUAAUGACCAAACUAUGUGGCAUUGGACUUUGGAAUGGCCAAGGGAUAUCAAUAAGUAAAACAUAUAUCCCAUUUGAGUCUAACAUGGUGAGUUUCUUUUUAUUUGUAUGUAACUAAUUUAAUUUUAGACACUUGCACUGAUUAAAAACUACUUUUAUUAUGCAGAUUCCAAGUACUUCAAAAACUGGCCAGCCCCCUCCAACCCAACUGGUAAGCCUACAUUUUAAAACUCUGCAUGCAUGGCCAUUUUAUACAUGCUCACUUAUUGUUUCCUAUUGAUGAUAUAAUGGACAAGAACACCUACAUCUGGUGUCAAUUUGAGUACAACUACUGCUGUUGCUACACACCAUUCAAAAGCAACCACUACAAUAACAACUAAAAGACCAAAAACCAAGUUGGGUGAUGCUAAAACUGAAAGUUCUAAAAGCAAUUCAGGUGCUGCUAAAACUGGAAUGGUGAGUUCAAGUCUUUUGACUAUGUUUACAUGCUACCACCCCUAACAGUAGUUUGAUGCACUAAGAUACCCCUCAUCCAUGACUCUAGUUUCAAACCAAGAGUACUAGAUUUGGAGAAGCUGUGUUCUCUACCCAAGGAUCUUCAACUGCAAAUGGACGUUCAACGUUAUACGCAUACCUGAAUGUGUUUUGAUGUGAAAUAGUGUUGUUGUUGCUAUUUUUGUCAUUACUAGUACUUGAUUGCUUGUUUUGCAACAAUGUUAGAAAUUCUGAUGUUGUUUUUCUUUUGCCAUUAUUUGACAUGUUCUACGAUCAUGUUUUGGUUAGGUUCUACUAAAAUGGCCUUUGUUUGGGUGGCCAUGCAGACACAUGCUACGAUGCUAAUCUAAUAUACAAAAUGCUUUUAAUUUAAUAUAAUUUUCUUUCAUAUAUAUUUGCUUACAACUAUGGUAGAUAAAACAGAUUUUUGUUACCUUUGGUUCUGAAAUAGAGUACAUAUACAUAAUGCUAGCAAUCAGAAAUGUAAUGGCUAAUAUUUUUCUCCAUGAUGAAGAUCGAGCCAGCUUUGACCAUCAUGUAUGUUAUUGUAGCUGUUGGUUUUCAACUCGUAAGACAUAGACUUCUGUUUCUAAGGCUUCAUAUCUGCUUUUCAAUUUUUCAUGCUCCCUUUGUAAGUACAUUAGUUUCUCUCUUUUCGCUCCACCAGUUUAGAUUGCAGCACUGCACUUACUUCUUUUGUUUUGCUACAAACUUCAGAUCUACCCAUGAAAAGUGUCCACAUGCGUGUCGGAUCAAAAUAAAAAAAAUUAGUUGUUUAAACUCUUUCUAACUUAUUCAGGUAUAGAGCAAAAUUAAAGACAAUGUUAAAAAUUAUUAAUGAAAAAUUUUUACAUUGUAAUUUGAAUAGUCUUAAAAUUUUCUUCCCGAAUUUUUAAGUGUCCAAGAGGCAAGAGGUGCACAAUGAUGUCUCUUUCCACAUCCACAUAUUUUUUGGGGUGAUCUUUCAACAUUAUUUGAAGCACUUUUGAUAUUUUAUGAUGCUUUUGGUUGACAAAGAGAAAUUUUAGGAACUUUGAAGAGAAAUUUUAGAACUUUGGAAUAUGCUAAAAUGUAUGACAAAAAUUGGCUGCAAAAUACCACCUUUAUAGAACCCAACCAACGGCUUUUUGAGGGAAAAGUAGGCUAAAAGCAUCAGACACCAUUGAGGGGCAUUUUUGUUAGCCAAAACCAACAGCCCUUUUCGUAUAGCAAUUUCAAAAUCUUGAAAUUUUUAACGGUGCAAUUGCUGACGGAGGGAGUAAACUGACGAAAAACAAACGUUGGGGGGUAAAGUGAGAAAUGACUAUACUUAAAAGGGAUAAAGUACGAUUAACCCUUGUUAAAAUCCCCCAGUCCCUUCAAACCAACUGCGCAAGAUUGAGAUGUACAGAUCCAACAGAGUCAAUAUCCAAGGAAACUUAUGCCUGCAAGUGACGGAGUCAGGAUUUUUUUGGGGGGCCAAAUUUUUUUCUAAUAAAAUUAUUUUAAUAUAUUAUGUUCAAAAUAAUUUUCUUCUUUUUAAAUAUAUGACAUCUAAAAAUAUCAAAUAUUAAACUUAAUUAUAAAGGUAUGUUUAUUCAUAAAAUGCGGUAUACUCAUAACAAAAAUUAAUAAAAAAAAUAACUUUUGAUUAAAUAUCUUGUAACAUCACAAACCAUCCAAUUUGCACAUUAUGAGAAGAUGCUCUCCAAUGUGUCACCUAUGCAAUAUAUAUAUAUAUAUAUAUAUAUAUAUAUAAUAUAUAUAUAUAUAUAUAUAUAUAUAUAUAACCAUGUAAUAUAAUGUAACUAUUUUCAAUUGAAAAAAAUAAAAGUUAUGUUAACAUAAUUUGAAAUUUCAACAUCUUUUCUAAGAAGUAAAUUGAGUUCUACGCUCUUUCAUAGAUAGAACUAAAUGCAUUUAUAAUUGAAUCACUGCUAAAUUUUUCAGCAAUUUCAUUUUCUAUAUACACAGUUAAACAAUCAUUCAAGAAAUUAUCUUCCAUCUUGUUUUGGAACUUUAUUUUGAUUAUUUUCAUAAUUGAAAAUACCCGCUCUGUAGUUGCAGUUAAUACAAGAAAGUAAGAACACAUCUAAUCAAUCUGUCAAUAAGAGAAUAUAUCACUGAUAUUCUUGUCUUCACCAAGUCUUGACAUAACUCAUGAAUACCGAAUAAUUCUUGCAAUUCAGGAUGACUUGGAAUGUCGAGUUCAAAAAUAUUGAAGUUCUAUUCUUAGACGUACUAGUUCUUGCUUUUAACAAUUAUAAAUUGGGUCUUUUUAGCCCAUUAACAAUUAUGAAUUGGAUCUUUUUAUUCUAAUACAUCACAUUGGGUCAAUUUACUAUGGAACAUCAAAUUAUAUGUUUAAUUUUUGAAAGUUAAAUAAUUAGUACAAUAAAAAAUAAAUAACUUUUUUUGAAGAAAAAAAUUAAUUCAAAGAUGACUAAUUCAUAUAUAUAUAUAUAUAUAUAUAUAUAUAUAUAUCAACUCUCAUAAUAUAAACUAAAAUUGUAAAAAUUUAGGGGGGGCCAAUUUUAUUUUGCACACAUAUUUACAUAUCAUGAAUUAAAAUUUUCAAAACUUAGGGGGCCGUGGCCCCCUUUGACUCCAUCAUUGCCCGCACCCAUUACAGAUAUUACUCAUAAGAACUUCAUAUAUAUGUCCCUUUUCUUUCCUUUUUGUCAAAUAAGAACUUCAUAUCAUUUGACAGUAGUAUUAUUUGCAUGCAUCUCCAUUAAUUUUUAUAGUUUUUUUUUAAAAAAAUUCAAUAGGUUCGACUCUAAUUACCACUAUAAAUUAGAGCAUGCUUCCAAAAUCACAAGUCACUUAUAAAGAUUAAUACAAUAAUGCCUACCAACACUUCAUAUUGAUAUGUAGUUACUGAAAUCAAUUGAUAUGUAGUUCAUAUUGAUAUGUAGUUAAACAUACGAUUUUGUGAGAAAGUACCACAUCCUUGCCAAUAAAUGGUCCACUUUGUAUUAGUUAAAAGUCAGUUGACUUAGCUGAACAAUCUACUGUGGUCCAAAAUCUUCCAAAUAGACAAGUAUCAUUAGCUAGCUACGUUCUUUAUAGAAACAACAGCAACAUUUCUCGUAAUGCAAUCAAUUCCCACAUUCAUUUGAAAAUCUUCAUAGCUUCCGACAAUCAAACAGUUGAUAACCAGAACCUCUUGAUCUAACAACCCAAAAGGGGCAAAAAAAAAAAAAAGAUGCUAAAGUCUUCAAAAAGAAACAAAAAUUGAGCAGAUGUAGGCCGUACAUCCCCCAGGCUGUAGCGGUGGAUAUAUACUGAAACCAAGUACAAUAGAAAAACAGGAAGAAAGAAUGAAGUGUUCAUUACACAAUACACGCGAAUAAGUCACGCUGAAAUCUAGAACACCGUUUUUGAUUCACUGUUUCUCGAAAGAGUCAUGUAGUAUUAAUUAGUCAUCAAGUUAAGUUGAGGAAGAAGGGAACAUAUCCGGCAUAUAUCACCGGCGGCUUUGCAUUGCAAUUGCAUGGCAACCACGUAGUUAAACCACUAGAUACCAAGUUGGUAUUUACCAAUUCCCAUGUCCCGAUUAUCUUCUUGCCUCCUCCUAUAAAUUCUCUCUCGCCACUUUCUCGCUUCUGCUCCCCUUCUCAUCAGUAAGAUAAAAGAUGGAGAUGACUCAACAACAUAAAAUGUAUGAGAAUUUUAACAUGUCAAUCACCAGCAACGAGUCCAAAAUGUACACUCUUUUGUAUAAUACGUCAGAUUUUCUUCUUUCUUUACCUAUAUUGGGAUUAGAAAUUUUAGAAAUUAGACUACGUACCAUAGAUAUCAUGCUUCUAAUUAUUGUCCCCGCUGCAGCACAGAAUCUUAUCAGAAAACUCAUGAAAAUCUACUUACAGCAUUUUUUUUCCUUCUAAUUUGGUUAAUUUUAGUUGUACUGUAUUCAUCUUCUACAGGUUAAUGUGGCGCCUUUAAUUCUUUUCCAUCUAACAAAUGAGUUUCCUCGACCAUACUAAAGGUGGCAAACUUCGUCAUUAAGUUUCAGUACGAAAAUCAAGACGUUGAAUUCACAGAACGAGUCUCAAAGUUCAAGCCAGCCCUUUUAGAUAGACGAAGCAAAUAUAGAAACGUGGGGAAGCUAAUGAUAUUCAUGAAGAAAAAAGGAAAGAAUACAAACAAAAGUAAAAAGAGAAGGGAUGCAUUGCAUGUGAUGUGAUACUAAACAACACAAAACAAAAACAAAAACAAAAACAGUAAAGGCAGCCACGCAUGUGAUCCCUUACAGGAAAUUUUUUUUAGUGGCAUAGUGAAGAAAGUUUUUUGGGGUGAAAAAAGAGUCUUUUGGGGUAAUUUUUUUUUUCUACAAUAAUCGUGGUCUUCCUGGCACGAGUUCAUCAUUUAGGCAUUUGCUGAUGUCUGUAUCACCAUUGUUCCAAAGUUCACAGCAGAGGAACAAAGCGAGCGACUUCUAAUUAUGUUGUCGUGUUAGUGAAAAUCCAUAAUUUGUGUCUAUCCUAAAAAAAUAUCAUAUGCAAUAAUGUCCCAUUUUGACAGUCAAAAAAGAAAAAGUAUUUAAUGUCACUUUUUCUCUUUCGGUGUGAUUAAUGGAAUAUGAUACUUAACCUUAUCUAAAUUUUUUUCUUAUUGGUGGGGUUAGUGAAAUAGUAAGUUGUGUCCCAUUGAAAUCGUAGGCUGUUCAGUUUCUGUAUUCUACUUUGAUAAGAUACUUAAUUUGCCAUUUCACUCACCAGCUUUGGACAAGAUUUCUGAGACCGAAUUUGGUAAAACUCGUGUACAUUUUGGAACUAGCAUUUUCAAGCCAUUGAUAUGUGUAAUUUUGCUGGACUGUAAAGUUCUCAAAAUAAUCAUCAUGUGAAUUCAUACCUUUCUACUUCAUAAAAUGUGCUGUAAUUGCCUUCGAGUUUGAGCUAUUUAACUUCAGUAAAGCCAUCCAGUCUUAUACAUUGCAACUAUAUGGUUUUACUCAAGACUCUCAGGAUUCCACUUCAAUUUUGAUAUUGUUUGUAGUGAAUUUAAAAGAAUAGUUCAUAAGCUCUUUACAUCCAUGUUAUACUUUGGGCCCCUGUACAAUCAAACAAAUCUCUUCCCAAAGAUUACCUUUCAAAAGAAUGAUACGGCAUGUACAAGCUAUUAUAAUUGCGAGGUGUCUUUUAUAACAUUAGAGUGAAAGCCAUAUCAUAAAGGGUAAAUUGUUUAACAAAUUUUAGAACUUUUUAGAAAAGAAAAAAAUGAUUCUGUCUUUGGACCAUCAAAAGAGUUCUUGAAGACUCUCGAUUGCUGAAGGGACGUAAUCAUAAACUGAAAUUUAGGUACCUGUUUCUAGAUAUUGUUAAUUUCAAGUAGUAAUGAAAGUGGCUUCCUAGAUAUUAGGAUUUAGGAGUAAAGUCCUUUUAAGCUCAGGGCUUUAUUUGGAGAUUAGUUCAACUGUGUAUUAUAUAUUUGUACUGGUGAAAGUAUGUUUCAUAUCAUUUGGCCACUGGAAUUGAAUUACUAUCUUACCAUUAUUGUAUGGUUCUUGGAAAAUUUCAAGAACUGCACUUUUCUUUGAAAAUAGAUGUUCUAGUAUAACAUCUUUAAAAUUUUGAAAACUGCAAGAAAAACGUACGUUCUAUACUUUUAAACAAAAUUGGUGUUAGGUGGGAUGAGCUUGAUCUCCUAUAAUGCAGGAUGCAAGAAAUAGACUUCCAAAUACUUGCACAAAAGAUGGAUCUUUUGACAGGCAUGGGAAACCAGCGAUUAAGGAAAAAACUGGUGGAUGGAGAUCAGGGAUGAUUUUGCUAGGUACUUUUUACGUUUUCUUGUUUACUACACUCGCAAUCUUGGUAGCCUUAGUACCCGCUUAUCUAAAUUAAAGUACCAAUGAGAAGCCUGAUUGGUAAGUUUACGAUUAAUUGGCUAAAGACAUGCCGCAAUAUAUAUGUGUUGUUAAAACAUCAUUUUAAUGUAAAUGACACAUUUUCCUGCUCAUGGCUUGUCUAGUCAAUGAAGGACUUGCUGCAGUUGCAUUUACUGGGGUGGAAGUAAACAUGGUUCUUUUUGCAAAGUCAGUCCUCAGGCAAUCAAAUGCAGAUGCAGCCAAUACGUUCAGUCGGUGGAUGGGAACCCUCAACAUUUGUGCUCUUAUAGGUGCAUUUCUCAGUGACUCCUAUAUGGGCAGAUAUGUCACUUGUGUUGUUUUCCAGACCAUAAUGGUGCUUGUAAGUGAACAUGCCAGAAAUUUUCACUAGUUCUUUAGGUAUUUCCUCUUUUCUAUACAUUUUGGAUUGCUUCUCCCUGUGAUUGGUAAACUUCAUUGUUGUUGCAGGGUUUGAUUAUAUUAACUCUUUCAACGCGCAUAUUUAUGAUUGAACCAAAAGGAUGUGGGAGAAUAGGAGAACACUGCGAUAUUAAGUCACCACUUGAAACUGCAAUAUUCUAUAUAUCAAUCUACUUAGUAGCUCUUGGUAGUGGUGGAAUGGAACCAGCACUUGGUACAUUCGGUGCAGACCAAUUUGAUGAGGAGGAUACAGAAGAAAAGCGAUCAAAAACUGCAUUUUUUGGCUAUUACUAUGUCGCUUUGAAUCUUGGAUCGUUGAUUGCUGAAACAGUCUUGGUUUAUAUAGAAAAUCUGGGGAUGUGGGAGCUGGCCUUUUGGAUUUCAACAUCUGGUGGUUUUUUUGCUUUGAUUUUGCUGUUAUGUGGGAAUUCUAGAUAUAGGCACUUUAAGCCUGCUGGCAAUCCCGUUUCAAGGUUCUUUCAGGUAUUUGUGGCUUCUACAAGAAAAAUGAAACUCGAAGUUCCCUCAAAUGGGAAGGGGCUCCAUGAACUUCAGGAGAAAGAUGAAAAAGACAGUACCAGAAAUAUAGUACAUACAGAUGAUUUCAAGUAAGUUUCUUCAAGUCAUAUGCCUAUCAAAUAUCAUCAGUGUACAAAACAAUGGCCUCAUCUGUACUUCUGCAGAAAAUUGCUAUGCACUUUUACUUUCUAGACUAACUUGCAUUUAUGUCAUUUAAGAUUGUAUGAUAUGAAAAACUCGUAUAUGCACUCAUCGAAUUAAAAACUUGAGUUUAUCCAAUCUGACAGUUUCAUCAAAAAGAGAAUAAUAAAUCCAUUUUCAGGUUUCUUGAUCGGGCAGCUUUUGUGACAGCACCAGACAUGAUAACCAUAUUACCUGGCAAAAGCCAAGCUCCAAAUCCGUGGCGUCUCUGCACUGUUUCUCAAGUUGAAGAAGUAAAAUGUGUGCUGAGGCUAUUGCCAAUAUGGUUUUGCACCAUUGUUGCCUCCAUAGUCUUUGUACAAGUUCUUUCUCUCUUUGUUGAGCAAGGAGCUGCAAUGGAAUCAGUAAUCUUGGGAUUUCACAUCCCUCCAGCCAGCAUGACUGCCUUUGACAUUAUAAGCACAUCUACAUUCAUCAUUUGCUAUGAGAAGUUUAUUGUUCCUUUUUAUGUGAAACUGACUAAAAGGAAGCCAAAGACUCUAAGUGAAUUACAAAGAAUAGGAAUUGGACUGGUGAUUUCGAUUGUAGCCAUGAUAAUUGCAGGAUUUGUCGAGCUGCACAGACUAAGACAUGCAAUCCAAAAAGGUCAAGAAACUAGUUCCCUGAGUAUUUUCUGGCAGACUCCUCAGUAUGUAUUAGUAGGAGUAGCCGAAGCAUUUGUAAUUGUUGCCCAGUGGGAGUUCUUCGCUUCACAAACACCAGAUAGAUUGAAGAGCUUGGGGCUUGGUUUAUCGAUGUCUUCUUCUGCGUUAGGUAGUUACUUAUGCAGCAUAGCGCUGACAGUGGUGAUGAAUAUCACAUCGAGGCAUGGGAAGCCAGGAUGGGUUCCUGCAAAUUUAAAUGAUGGCCAUUUGGACAGAUUUUUCUUCCUUUCAGCAGCUCUCAUUGCACUUGAUCUGGCAAUGUUUGUCGUGGUGGCUAAGAGGUACAAGUGCAUAACAUUAGAGAAGCGAGAGGGGGGAGCAGAAGCAGGUGCCAUACCUUGAACUAAUCAAAUUGCUUCUCAUGUCUAUCUCUAUCUGGAUCACAAGUACUUGAAUGAGCAUUUUUGUAGCAAGAUCAGUAGACGUGGAUUGUAGAAGUGAUGUAAAACGCAAAUAUGACAACUUCAUGACGAAAUAUAGUAUUCUCUUUGUAUUUUUCUCAGUAGAUCCUAUAUAUAUAUAUAUAUAUAUAUAUAUAUGUGUAUGUGUAGUUUAUUAGAACUCUCUGUGAUGAUGACACCAGAAAGUACAGCUCAUAUGACCCCGUUUACAAGCUGGUUCAGCAACCAAUUAUGGUAAUUGCAGCAGUACCUUGUGCAGACAAGAAUGGUAUAAACAGCCACCCAGCCAGAUGGAGGCUCAGAUCUGGAAAGCCUCCUCGCCUUCUAUAACGCUUCUGGCACAGCAUUGGGAGUAAAUAAAUCUGCAAGAGGAAAUAUGAGACACAACCAUAGCGUAGCGUCUAACAAAUAAAACACCAUGUUAAAGUAAUAAAGAAAAGGCAGAAGACCUCUUUGGAUUAAACGAAAGAAAUAACUCAACAAGAAGAAUUUGGACUGAAGACAUUAUUCAUUCUUAUUUUUGUUCUCCACAAUAAUGAAGGAGAUUAUAAUGCAUGUAUGAAUUUUAACAUGGCAACCAACUAGUAAAUGGAACAGGAAACUGUGACAGUUGAAUUCCUUUUCGAGCUAGCUGCUCUUCAUACAACACUAGGGAGUGAAAAAUGCUUGGUGUGCUGCUUCCCUUAUGAAGCUUUUGGGCUUCAGUGUAGCUCUUUAUUGGCAACAUCUGUUCAUCACUUUGAUAUCUUUGCAGUGAGUUCUCUUACAAGCUUAGCAGCAACCAUUGCUGUCAUCCCAUCAACAGUAUCACGCUGGGGUUGAAUUCCACCACGUCUGCAGCAAUAACAUUACCCUGAAGAUUGUGAAGUAUGUUGAGAACAUCACGGAAAGAGAGGCCUCCAGGCUCAAUGUGAGACACCCCUGGGGCAAAUGCUGGAUCAAGAGAGUCCACGUCUACUGAAAUGUAUACACCCUUCACCCCUUCACCAAGUUUCUGCAAAUAGAGUAGACAUUCAGAAUAAGGUAAAUUGAGUAUGAACCAGAACACCUUGAAGAGUAGACUUGUUUGUUUGCUCUAUAGCUCCCCUUGACCAAUGCAUAAGUAUUGGAUGAAAUGUAGAUUUCAGUUCGUGAAAAGGAACCCAAGCAUUUGACAAUGUCUAAAGAAUGAAAAUCAGCUUUGUGACAUAGGGAUUUUGUUUUGGGUCAGCAAAACUUGGACUCCAAGACUAGACGAUAAGAUGACAGAAACUAUGCAUAUCAAAUCUUUUCAAUUUGAGAGUUGCUAAUGAUGAACCUCCGUGAAUUUGUGUGUCUGUGAGAGAGAGAGAGAGAGAGAGAGAGAGAGAGAGAGAGAGAGAGAGAGAGGGGGGGAGGAGAGAGAGACCAAGUUCUCCAAUAUGUGACGGUCUCUGGAAAAGGUUCGCAUCUCAUAUUGCUCCACACCAAAUCUUUUUCCUUGUUCACGGCCUUCCUUUGUAAUUGAUCUAAUUCCAACCUGUGCAACAAGCAAGCGCUUUAGCAUUAUACUUCUCAGACAUGAAAUGUCCGAUUAUCUCCUAUUCCACCAAUUUUUACUCAAGAGCAGAGCUCCACUCAAUCUAAACAUACAGAAAAGGACAAAUGCCAUUGAGCCUUCAAAUACCUUUCUAAGAAGAUAAUGAGAAAGAGAAGCUUAACAAUUUUUUAAUAUAUUUGGAAUCAAAUAAGAAAAGUUAUUAGACAGUCUAAAGCUGAUAAAAACACCUUAGAACUAGCGAAAUCAAUUUGCGUUCCUAAAAAUUAAUUACAUCAAAAGUGAAUGCUUUUCUCAUAUCAUCACCAAAAUAUCUUUGACCAGAGAAAAAAUUGGAAGUUUGAUUUUUCAAAACAAAAAAAAAAGCAUGUAAUUCAAAUGGCUUACAUAAUAAACCUAAAGGAACAAGUUAGAAGAAAAAUAUCAUUCUAAAGACUACCGCUAAACAGAAAGUAGAUUUGGAUACUAAGUUAAAGAGGAAUAUCAAUAAAAUAUAUAGCAAUGCAUUCAAAUGGCUGGAUUACUUGCAAAAGCCGGCGAGCAUAACCACCCUCCAUGAUGCGUGCAAAAGAAGACGCAUGAGAAUAUUUGUUUCCUUCAAAGGCAUGAUAAAUAUCAGGAUGGGCAUCAAGGUGAAGAAUAUCCACAGGACCUCCAAGCUUCUCAGAAACGGCUCUCACAACAGGGAAUGAUAUAGAGUGAUCCCCACCCAAUACCAAAGGGCGCAAUGGAUCCUGCAUUUACAAAAUGCAUACACAAGAAUUUCCAUUUAAAACAGUUGAAAAUCAGUGGAAGAUGCAAUUGAGCAGACAACAAAAGGCAUACUAUUGUCAUCAAGAGGGGAAAAUAUUAGAAUCAUCUGGAACCAUUCAGAAUCAGGAGAAUCAAGGACAAUGCAAUUUCUCAUACUCCCUCCGUCUCACUUUGAUAGUCCUAUUUUACUUUUUCAUCUGUCCCAAAUUGUAGUCCACUUUCUAAUUGAAGAAUGUAAUUGUAUUUUAAUUUUCCUAAAAUACCCUUAUUCAAUGUAAGUUAUUGUUACUAUAAACCUACCCCAUUUAAUAAGAGUUGAUUCUUUUUUUACCAUCAAUUCAAGUUCCCAUAAAGUUGUACUCUAAUUAAUGUGAGGGUAUUUUAGAAAAAUAACUAUCUAAAUUGAUUGUUCCAACAAAGUUAACUACUUUUUCUUAAACUGUAUGAAAAAAAAAUCAGGACUAUCAAAGUGGGACGGAGGGAGUAGUAUUUUCCGGGUAUCAUGAGAUGUAAUUAGAACUUGUAUAUAGAAUCUGCACUCAACACAUGCUACUUGGAAAUUUUACUAAUGAAAAAACAGCUAAGAAGAAAAAUAAUGAGGAUUCUAUUUCAAUUAAAAAAUAUACGGAUCUUAAACAGAAGACCAUGGAUCUUAAUCAGCACACAGAAUUGCAUCUUACAAGGGCAUCAAGUGAAAAGCUGUCCUAAUGAUGACUAAGACACUAAAAGCAGGCAUCUGGAAGGGAAUGAAAUCAAGUUGAAACACAGUAGAGGUUCUUAAAGAGCCAAUCUUUGACUACAGAUGAAUGGUUUGCUUUCCAUAUAUUUGUUCAUCAAGAGGGAGAUGGAUCACAUUAGAGCUAUGGGAUCAGUGAAAAAAUUCAAUUACUUAAUGUAUAUAGGUCAAAAGGUAACAGUUCAAGCACAUGCUGUAGCUAUAUAAAUAUAAACACAUAAAAAGAUGGAACUCUUUCAUCUUUGAUGCCAAUCUUGUAUUUCUUUUUCAGAAAACAUAAUCUCUAAAGUUUCAUUGUCACUCAUCAAAUAAGUCCCUCUACUGCAGAUUCCCUAACAGAGAGAGAGAGAGAGAGAGCUUCUUUCAUACAGUACAUUCAUCUGUCUACAAAUCUUCAAGAAAAUUAGUGGCAAAGCAGGAAAAAGUUUCUAGCAUUGUCAUCUCUAAGCUAAUUCAAAUACAUCCUUCCUUCUCAGAAACAUCAUGUUGGCCCUAGCAUUCAUGCCUCUACAGAGAGAUAGAGAAGAGAGAGAGAGAUUCACUGUUAAAAACCGGGAAACAUUAUAACCAAAAUAGCUACAUCAGAUGAGCUCUUUAGCUUGAUUCUACCAGAGAAAACAGUGUAAUACGUAAUAGAAAAAAUACGCAAAAGGUGGGCUUACUUCUUCCAUUACUAGCUUGACUGACUCACUUAUGAUACCCAUUAAUCUAUCAUCAUCUACACCACAAUCUCGGAUCUCUUGUACUGGAACAUCACCAACGUCAGUUAAUACUCGUGGAUCAUUCAAUUCCUUGCCUGCAUAAGACCAAGAUCAUGAUAGAGGGAGAAGAUGUAUUUUUCAAAUAUUUUCUAGUAGAAAGCAUCAGCAGUGUAUAUUUGUCCAAAUUUGUUGACAAUGCAUGAAAUUAUGAUCAUAAUUAGAGAGAAAACAUAGUAAGCUACCAACAUUAUUAGGGGAACUGAUCCUACCUAUCAGAUGAAAUUUAUCUCCUAGCUUUGAGAAAAGUGUUAAGGUAAUUUCUCGAUUCGAAUAAGGAAGUAAAGAUUGGCAAAGGCUCAUAGAACAGUAGGCAGCAACAAAAUAAUGGACCACAAACAAGCCAAAAAAACUAUUAAUAACAGAGACCAAAUCCUACAGAAAGUAAUAAAAACCACUAGCAUCACAAGGGAAGGGGUUUGUUUUCCACCUCCUUUGGGUGGGGAAUUGAUGGAGGCUUAUGAUGAUGUCCUUAUUUAUGAAAUGAAGCCAAGGGGAUCCAGUAGAUGGCACAGCUAGAAAAUGAUAUUGACUUUUUUUAGUGUCAGUGCAACAAGGAAUAUUAGAUGUUCCUCUGCAACUGGUUAAACAUAAAUAAGACAAGGAACCCAUAAUCAACAGUCAAAAUCCUUAUCAAAUACUAAACUAGGUUAAAAAGAGACCAGUGGCAAGACCGAAAUGAAGACAUAAAAUCCUCUUAAUCACAAUGAAACAUUUCUAACCCUCUUAAUCAAAGCCUUAUGCACAACGGUUAUAUGGAGGCAUUCAUGGUUGCCUGAAUGCAAACACUAAUCAUUUCACAGAUAAUUUUGCUUUGGACAACAUGGAGCUCAACAUCCAUAUGUGUUUACGUAAUACUAGCAUAAAAAUGGCUUCACCUUCUUCAGUUGUGGAGUUUGUGCUGCCACACCAGAUAGCCUCUCUUAUACGAGGGGGAGCAAAUGCAGGCCCCUGAAGGAAUGAAGAGUUAUGCCCUAGAGGAACUCCAAGAAGGGAUGCUGAUGCUACAGCUCCUCCUAGUGCUCGUAAAAGUUCUCCCUAACAUUAAUUUUAAAAUUAUUCUCAUAGAACAAAGGAAAACUUGAAGAUGAAAAUUUUGACAGAGAUCAAAUCAUACCUUGAGCUUAGCUCUCUCACGGAUAAAGGUAAGAGAUGCCUCCAUAACGCGAUUCUGCCCCCUCUCUAACAAGUCCUUGGGCACAUUUGCAGCAUUUAGUUUGUGCAAAUAACGAAUUCCCAUCCUCCCAAGAUUCUUCAUAUUGUUAGAUACUGAAUACAGUGCCAAAAACAAUCCCUAGCACCACCAUGUACAAGGUAUUCAGAGAUUAUGAGUGUAGCAUAAAUACACAACAACACACCCUUGUGCAAAAAUGGUAGUUUAGGGUGCUAACUUGAAAAGGUUUUUGAGUAAUCCAUUCCAUCCCUAUAAAGUUUUUGAGUAGUGCCUUAGAUAGAGGUUAGCAGAAGCAAUAGGAAGUAGGACAAUAAUUUUCAAAUAGUCAUAAAAACAGUUAAAAUCAAAAAGCAAAACAAUGCCUUCCCUUUUGAUUGUCGUCCAGUUAACUAUCGUCAAACAAAAGUUGCGCCCAAACAAUCAGAGCCCACAAUUUCAUUCUUUUACCCCUGUUUCUGCACGAAAAAUUUCGGGGUCCUUGGAUACAACGGCAAAAUCCCGUUUUUAGGUAUAUUGAGGUGCCCAAUUCACUAUUUCUCUAGCUUUUAUCUCUGCGUCCAUCUUUUCCGCUGGCAAGUGUCAACCAAAUAAAAAUAUUUUUGUUCUUUAAUGGCACUGGAGUGUAAUUCUGUAGCUUUCUUUAAUUUUCUCGUCUUGGCAACCAAUAUUCACAAUCAACCAUGCAAAGUUGAAAAAAGGAAAACAACAGCUUUUCUCUUUCACUAUUCUAAACAUCAUCAAGACACGAUUUUUCAAAAGAAUAAAGACAGGACCAAAAAACCAUAGCAACAAAAAAAGUCAAGAACUCGGGAAACUGGGGAAGAUGGAAAGAACAAACACUUACCAGCCCAAAAAGAGACACAGAGAAAGAGAUUUGCAGGGAUGAGCCUUGGGAAUUUCAAUGGUUGAAGGGUUGUUUGUGUUGCAAAGUUUUGAGUUGAAUUGAUACAGAAAGAAGAAGAGGAAGAGACGAAAAAAGUAAUGCAGGUGUUUGGAUUUUGGUGGGGUUUUGGUGCCAGUGCUUUGAUGACUAGUGCUGCUGUUUUCUUGCCUGCUUGGCUACUCGCAGCGAAUGGGUUACGGAAAUGGAGCCAAACUUUGUGAAUAUUGAAUUGGAUAUUUUAAAGUAUACUCCAUGGAAUGGAAUGGGGAUUUGUGGAAUCGGAUUAGAACGGUUUACACGUAAACAGUACGAGGUAUGAAAGUGUUUGCAGUCUUGUACGCCACUUGCACUGCCAUUUUUUCACUUUAGCCACUCCAAACCCAGUGCAAAAAAGAUUUCCCUUUUUUUCUUUAAAGAGUGAGGGUCUUCCUUGUGUUGUGGCCUGUCGGAAGCAGCAAAAAUGAGAGCUUACUCGUACUGGGAAGCUCAGCUGAUAAAUCAGUGCUUAGCGAUCAUUCAUUUUGUCAUAAUUAUAAUUAAUUAAAGAAAAGGCAUUCUUCACUCUCAGGAGGCACAGCACAAAGUGAGCAAAUCGACAAACGAACAGUUCCAGAUUUGGAACGUGUAGCAGCAGUCGCAGUGGUAGCAGUAUUGAUUUGGGCACCAGUACUCGUGGAGAUUUUUUGCGAGCCAUCAUCUCAUAACGACUUGUGACACGUAAAUGAAUAUCUUCCUAUAAAACUAUGACUAUUGCUUAGUUUCCAUAUAAUAGUACUUGAUUUGCUUGCAUAUUAAACAUAAGUUACGAAUUAGAAAUAUCCUAAUAUGAUCUCACACACGUUGCCAUCUUUGUUAUUAAAAUUAUGUUUGACAAAUUUUUGUAUUUGGAUUGCAUUUUUCAUGAUUUUUCAUGAAAAAAUUACUGUAGGGAUUUGAUGUAUGUGAGAAAAAAAGGUAAUCGAGAAAUGUGAUUACGAAAAACGACGUAAUUUUUUGACGGAAAACAACAAUCCAAACAAUAACUAAACUUGUUAUUUUAAAGAAUUAACAUGUUCAUCACUCACAGAGACAUGCAUAAAUACCACAAGUACAGAGCAUUGAUACGUGAUUAUUUGAACUUGCAUCAUGAAUAUGUUUUCUAUACUCUUCUUUAGAUCUAUUCAUCUGUUAAAUUCGUACUCUUUUUAACUAUAGUAGAUAUGUAAUUUAUAGUGUGUGUUUAAUCUAUCAUUAAGACAGACAGUGAUGUAAUCAAAUUGUGUUGGACAAUUUCUAAAAAUCUAUUGUAAUAAAUUUGUUAUCAAAAAAAAAAAGUUUUCAAUACUCUUUUAAUCUUUCUAACCAUCUUUUAUGUCACGUGCAUCAGAUUAAAAAAAAAGUAUCAUAACAUUAUUUAAAAGAGGCUUUUUGUAAAAAAAAAUUCUAUUCAGAAACUUUAUAGUAAUACUUCUAAAGAAAGACUCAAAACCUUACCGGAAAAAUCUAAACAUCUAAACAGCUGAACAAAAAACAUGCAUGCGUCAUGCGCGUGGUACCGAUUGAUGGCUAAAUGAAUUGAGGUGGGUCGCAGAUAGCAGGCCAAUCAAUGCAACAGCCCGAGCAACAUCGGGCAGGAUGAAUGAAUCUCGGUUACAGUGUUGGGCUAAAUGUCUAGAAGCUCGUCUGUUUAUUUGGGACUUAUUAGCCCAAUACAAUAACACAAUCCAUUCCAAGGUUUCGGGCAGCAACCUCCAACACGGUCCCGAUCUUGGGUUUGGAACCUUCCAAAACGUUCUUUGUCCGCACCUCCCAAAUUCCAACUUCCAGAAGCGCCUGCUUUUCAGCAAGAAUUUUCACUUUUAGUCGAUUUUACGCCACUGCCUAACAAAACAGAGGCAGAUGGCCGAGAUGCCUCUGCUUCACCAGAGACUAGCUCUGUCCCUCCACCACCAUCACCAUCUCCUCCUCCUCCCGCCGCCACCACCACCACCAAAAGACUAUCCCAAAGAAUCCUCAAAUCACCAUGUCCACGGCAGCUUCAUCACACUCUCCAUCCACCCACCAACACUCGUUAGACCAACAACAACAGCAACAAAAGAUCAAGUCUUGAGUACCAUAACCAAACAAAACACAACUUCAACAACUAUGCCCGUGGCCUUAUGGCCUUGACUGGGCCAACCAACCCAACCCUUUUCGCCGUUACGUAUCUUCCCACUCCUCCCUCUUCUGCACCCUCCCUCACCCAAUUCUCCCGCUACCACCCGGGACGGCUCUCCUCCUCCUCUGUAUCACACGGUUUUCAAUUCUUUACCGUCCCCAAAACCCAUUUCCAAAACCACUAUUUCUCAAUUUUUAUGAUUCUUUAGCCUUAUCAGCCUGGAAAACUACUGGCUUCUCCACUUGGUCCCUCAGGGUUAAUCCCAGCAGUGGGAAUCUUCACCCACUGAGGCUUACAUCAUUGCACCAAUUGAUUCUCUGAUUGAUCACUCAUUUGUCGCUCAUUAUGCUCCGAAAGAGCAUGGUUUGGAAAUUAGAACCGAAAUUCCAUCUGGGUUUUUCCCAAAAAUUUCCCCAAGAACUUUUCUUAUUGGAUUUUCCUCUAUUUUCUGGAGGGAAGCUUGGAAGUAUGGUGAGAGGGCCUUUAGAUAUUGUAAUCAUGACGUCGGGCAUGCCAUUGCCGCGUUUCGAUGGCCGCGGCGGCUUGGGUGGGAAGUUAAGGUUUUGGAUGGUUUGGGAUAUGAUGAAUAGAGAAACUAAUGGGACUUGAUGUUUUUUCCCGAGUUCAAAAUCCCGUCCAGGCCGGUCAAGGGGAAGAUGCCUGAGAUUGAGUUUGAGCAUCCUGAUUGUGUGCUUCUGGUUUUUCCUAGUGGAAGUGAUUUUGCGUGACUAUAAGGGGUUGAGUUUAGCUAUAUCCAGUUUUCAACAUUGGAGUGGAAAGGGAAGCCGAAUUUGCUUAGUAAAGAGCAUGUGUGUUGGGAUAUUAUUUAUAGGACCGCCGAGGCAACAAAAAAUCCUUUAAACAUAUUCAAUCAAUCCAUAGUUGCUCCUUUCUGGCAGUGGAGACAUUAGUGAGAGUUCUUAUAAAGGUUUUAGUUUGAGGGAAAUGGUUAGAAAGAGAGGAGUGCAGUAGAUAUGGAUGGUUCUACCACAAUGGCAAGAGAGACUUUUUAUCAGAUUUUGCUGCAUUGUAUGCCUUCGGGUUUUGGAGUGGAGAAGCAAAGGAAACAGUUAGCAUUGCCAUUUAGGACGCUUUCAUGGAUUGUGAAGUGCAUGCUGCCCUUUUUGUUCAUAGAGUUGUCGGAUUGCCCAAGGGGUUGUAUUUUUUGGUGAGAAAUGAAGAGCAUUUGGAUGAUUUAAGGAAAUCUACAAGGUCUGAAUUUAAGUGGACCAAACCAGAUGGUUGUCCGGAUGAGCUUCCUUUGUAUGAACUCGCAAAGGGUGACUGUCGGGAGCUAUCAAAACGCCUAUCCUGUCAUCAGGUGUGUAUGUUGACGACAUUCCUGAUGGCAUUACUACUGAGCUCUUGACUACUAUCGCAAUUCAUUGUGGGAUACUUGUUAUUUGUGUGUUGUUUAAUGUCCAUUUCUAAAUUGUAAGUGUCGUAGUUUUACUUCGGAGGGAAUUUAUCUGCAAGGUAGAAGAUUAUAUCCAAGCAUAAAAGUAAGGAACAUGCGAGUCAUGGAGAGAACCAUCUAGUGCCACAUACUAGUUUUUUAUGAUAUGUUUCGAAAAGUAAAUAGAAAUUAGUUUCAGAUGGACUAAAAGUAAAGCAUAAACUUAAUUUGGAGCAAAGGACGAGUAUCUUCUAAAUGCACCUGGCGUCAAAUUUCUGAAUUACUAAGUCUGGAGUGUGCUUCACAAGUUCCUACUUAGAUCAGUAAGCAUAGGCAUUCGGCCUUCUUUUUGGUUCAUGCUGGGAAAGUGUUUAUAAUUAUCAAAUAAUCAUGAGAAAAGAAAGUUCUCCUUUAAACUUUGAUGCAGGAUGAAGAUGUGUUCAGUUUUUUCCUCACUUUAUACCCUGCACACUUCUGUACUGAAUAUCGCUAAUUAUGACUAACAUUUUAAUUGACAUUGGAGCUUGUUUCUAUUUGCAAAUCAUGAGGAUGAUGAGGAGUUUGGUUGCAUUUUAUGUUUCUUUAUUAGGUGUUUGACAAUAUUGGAGUGCAAACUAUAGGUGGAUCUGCAAUACGUUAUUUUUUUUCAGGGCACAUGCCCUUUUGGACAUUCACCUUGCAUCUUUUCUUUUUUAUGGCACUGGAAAAUGUUAUCAUAGAAAAGUUACAGUAAAUGUUCAGCACAGUUAGUAAUUUUGACAAAGGUUUUCAGCAUUAAUUGUCAUAGCAAUAAGACUAUAUGGCUUUGUGAAUUCUAUAAUAGAUAACAAUUUGACGUCUUCCCAGACACAUUGAAUAUAAGCUGCCCCACGGAGAUUAUGUUUUGGCAUAACUGCUACUUUGACUCUGCGCCACAAGCAGUGGCUGUAAAUUUAGUUGUUUAUGUUUCUGUAAAGCAGGAAGGUUGAGAUAGACUGCUUGUGUUAGAAUUUUGGGGCUACUUGCAUAGAGUCGACUUAUCAUCCUGAUUCAGAGGAUCUAUUUAAUGGACUUCUCAAACAUGACUAUCUAAUUAUAUCUAAUUACAGGACAUUGCCAGUGAUGGUUGCUUCAGUCUGGGUAUGGUGGCUCAUUUGGAGCCUACCUUGCAUGAAAAAGGUUCAUGGAUGUAUCCUCGGUUAUUUUGGGAGACGGGGGUCCUUGGCCAGGUCUUGUACCUUGAAGCCCAUGCAGUUGGGAUCUCUGCUACUGGAAUUGGUUGCUUUUUUGAUGACCCUGGUAUAAUUGUCUCUUUGACAUCAUGUUUCAUUUGGAUGGUCUACUUCGUUUUGUGUGUGUGCAUGUUUGUUAUGCAUCCUCUCAUUCAAAAGUUCCAUUUCCGAGAUCAUGCCAUCUGUAAUGGAUGAGCUUCUUAAAAUCCGAGUUAACACAUCACUGAACCAUAAAUCAGGGAUCCAUAUAUGGGAUAGUUUGUAAUUGUAUCCGAACUGCAGAAUUUGUAAAGGCAAAAUGCUCUAUUUUUGUAUUUAGUCCAAUUUCAUCUAUGAGGUAUCAGCUUUAUAUCUUGAGCACCCUACCUAUGGACACAAGAAAAUCCACGAUUCAUAAUUUCCUCCCUUUAUUUUUGACAAAAGGAACUUCACUCUUUCCUUGAUGUCCCAUUGCCUGUAAGUUCUAAACCUUUCCUCGACUUCUUGUACCCAAGUUUCUGAUACCCCGUACUCUACCAAAUGUCAUUAAUGGUUGCUUACUCUUAAAGUGUCAUCUUGGGGCAUUACAUGUCUCUCCUCUCGCUCUUAAAUUUUCCAGCAGAGGAGGGUGGGACUCAAGAAGCUUUUUUUGUUUUUUUUUGGUUUGUUUUUUGUUUGGGGGGGGGGGGGUCGUCUGAACCCACGACCUUUAAUUCCUGGAGUUUCAAGCUUAGCCACUAGACCAAUGCCUCGUCAACCACCUCUCAUCUCUCGGCCACGAACUCUGCUAAAUUACAUUACUGAGAUUAUGAGAAAAUUUGGUCUGGUUAGCUAAUGUUUUAGCCUUCAUGUUAGGCUUUUCUUAUUCAGGGUGAUUUAUUUCCUUUGAUUGUCCUUGGCCAGAUUAGUAUGCUAGAUUUAUUUGAAAUAGGUUCGAAUUUUGGGAAGAAGGAAUAGUUUAUCUUGGGAUGUUUCUUUGACGCUGUUUUGUUUCAUUUAUGUCAGUACAUGAAGUUCUUGGGUACGAGGAUCGAAGUAUCAAAGCCUUUAUCAUUUUACAGUUGGAGGCCCAGUUAUUGACAAGCGUAUAAUGAGUUUACCAGCAUAUCCUGGCCCAGGCGUUGAUGCAUGAUGAGAGGAGAUUAGAAUGAUACUCAGCUCACCCCUUUCUGCAAACCUUAUACAUACUACUGAGAAAAAUCUGCAUUAGGCAGUAUUGUUGAUUCUUUCCCUCUGUAGUUAAGCUAUCAUUCUCCUCAAUUAUUGUAAAUGAUGUAAAUUUAUAAUGUGUCUGGUCAGUUUAUUCACAUAAACGAAGAUGAUCUGCAACAAGUCUUCUCCUACGAAUUGUGGUUUGCUGCACGCAUACUGAAUUGUACUGGCGGAGAUGGUUGCCUUGAGCUUCCCCAAAGGAUGUCAAGAUGGUUUGUGUAUGGCAAGCAAAUUGCAAUAAUUUUUGCCUUUGUGACUAUCAGUACGUAAAAUUAUGCAGGAAGCAGAUUGCAAUGAAACAAAUAAUGAGAAAGAUACUUCCUUGUACUUUGAUACUUUAGAAGGGUUCGAAAGUCCACCUGAUGCUUGGAGCUCGCAUUGAAGUGUUAAUCAGACUGGAAAAUUUUUGAAGGAAUACGGCUUAAAUAAAAUCCUUCCAAGUUACUGCUAACAUUCUGUUAAAUGGAUUAGCUUCAAUUAUUACAGCACAAUAUGCCAACAGGAGAGUAUUUAAUGGAAAAUUUCCCAUGAGAAACCAAGGGAUCUCCCAACGACCUGACUUAGCCAGAAACGAGUUGGAGAAGACAUCGCAAGUGGCUAGCUAGGAACACUCGACCUGUACGGGUUUAUGACAUUGCCGCCUCAUAGGCUGGAGCUUUCACUACAUCGCACAAUUGAAGAAUUAAACCAUUGCAGGACAUUUAUCAUUGCCCGUGCCUGGGGGUUUAUUGCAGGGACGAGGACAUGGUUAAACAAUAAUGAUGAAUUUAUUGAAAAAAUAUGAACAUAAAGAAUUGCGGAGAUCGAACGAGUUUUAUUGUAAUUGUAUGUUCCAGAAAAGAUCCUAUCAGUAUCAGCUCUGCUGCUGGAAAUCAUAGAUUUACAUAUGGGAUGAAAGCUGUACUAGCGUCAUCUUGGUCUGUUACUGUUUCACCUCCAUGCUGUGAGUAUCAAUGCCUAAUCAAACAACUAGCUUAGAACUCGGCAGAGCUCAUCUGCUUCUAGCUACCAAACUGUGGUCGCAUCCUGCACGGCACUGAAUGAUUGUCUAUAGUACACUUCAACAAGAAAAGAAGGAUUUUGUUAUACACCUUUUUCAUUUUAUAGGCUUAGACUACCCUUUCUGCAUGGAGGCUGAGGAUGAAUAGGUUAAGCUGUUGAUAAUACUCCUCAAUUCCCAUAUCCCAGCCAAACUGGAUUUGAAAGUUAAAAAUUGCCUCCUUCCAAGGCUGACACAGGAUAAAUACUCAUCUUUAAGACAUUAAAUCUCUACCACACACAGGACCUUGCAUGUUGAUUUGCAGAGGAAGUCACCAGCUAAAGAAAAUCCAUCAGUCUUGGCCCGAAAGAAAUUGCAGAUGUGUGAAUCAUAAUUGUCCCUGUCCUUUAUGCAGAAAUCAGAAUUUAACAAAAUCAGUGUUUUUUUUUUUAAAAAAAAACAAUUAAAAUGAUUACUUACCUCAGGUAUGCCAAACUGAUACUUCAGAGAAAAAACAGGCGAGAUUCACAUGUACGGCAAACUACAUCGUCAUUCUUCUGAUUCGUGACUUCAACAAUUCUGAUUAAAUGUACUGUCUCGUUACUUGUAGAUCUACACUUAACACUGUCAGACAAGUUGUUCUACCACCAGGAUUCAGCGCCUUCCAUAAUGAGGGCAGUUGGUUGCAAGCUAUCUUCCCAAAUAUCUUCCUGAUUAUUCAUUAUGUUUGAGCAUAACCAGUUCAAUAGCCCUCAUCAAGAAUGACAACACCCAAUGAGUGGAAAUAUGUCCAAUUGUCAAGCGACUGGCUUCAUAAAGAGUCUGAUGUCUCCAUCUAGUACUUGAAGGAAUCAAGAAAAAGACCAAGAGAAAGUCCAGCUUUCCAAUAAUUAAACAUGAUGAUUAAGCCCCUCAACUUGCCAAUCAAAGGCAGAGAAGCUUUAUACAUGAGAGCUCCAAUUCCCUCCACUACAGCAACGGCUAAUGCAGCAGAUAGAAUAUCCCAGUCACCAGUUUGCCCAAUAACAGUGGCAAAGGCGUUGCACUGUAAAAUCCCACCAAGAAGAAGAGUAACUUCAUACGGGAAAUUCUUCCUUAACUCCCUGAUUCUUGUUUCUAACUUGACCCGAAUGGCUUGGAUAGCCCUAACAAGUCGAGUUCCACUGCUGCUAUCAUCUGUAGGGGAAGAAUUUAGCCUGUCACCAUCUGCAGCGCUUCUAAUAGACCACUCCCAACUCCUACAUGAUUAAAGUUGGAAUUUUUAAUUACAUGCUAGAACUAUGUAAAUUCCUCAUGGUAUGAUAAAAGUACAUACAACGUUUACCUAGUGACCUCAUGCCAAAAUGGAGCAUUUUCUACUCGUUACAUCAAGAGAGAUGAAAGAAUCUAUAUGCAUGCCAAAAUUUCAAUAUCUUUGAGGAGUCUAGCAUGAAAGACAUACAUGCACACAUCACAAAAGAAUGUUCAUACAUUGUAAAUGGCCAAGUCAGAAAGUAAUAGUUAUGUGCGGUUACAAAGAAACUCACAUGAAAUUGUUGAAUACAGAAGGACGUGCCAGGUGAGAGAGAGGGAAAUGACGAUAUAGAGCAUUCUGCCAAAAGAAAAGGCAGUUUUAUUAACACGAAGACCAAGGUACACACCAGGUGGCUUGAUCUUGGGUCUUUAGGAGUAAGAAUUGUGGAACUUGUAGGAUAGCCAGUCGAUGGUAUUUUCCUGGCUAUCAUGGAGAACCUGCAUGUCAAACCUAAAAUGACCACAUCAGUACGAAGAUAAUCAUGAAUAAGAACUGAUGAAUGGGAUCGAUCAUUUCUAAAAGAUUUCCUUUCCCACCUGAUGAUGGUAAUAGAAGAGAACAAUUGAGAUCAUUUGCGAUCAGAAACAUGAAACUGACAUUUCCGACUUAAAUAAGAAAAAGACACUGACAAACGCUUUGGAAAGUUUGACAUAAUAAAUGCAUUGUAUCAGAAAAAAGUUGAAAAUUGUCAAAUUUUUAGGAGUAAUGACUUCUUAAAGAACCAUCUGCUGUAUACAUUACUGUUGUGCUCUCUUCUCCCUUAUACUUCAUAUAUAGAUGAAAUCAAUGGAUGCUAUGUCAAAAAGAUAUUACAAAACUGAGAUGCCAUUUGACAAAGAUUUUUAGCUUCAAAACUUCUGCUAUAUACAAUUCAGCAAGCAAGCAGAUGAGACAAAGGAUGGCAGCUAAUCAAUCAAUAAUCAGUUUCUCAAAACAUAGGAAUGCAAACCAAUGCUGAAUCCUUAAAAUUGCAAGUUGUUUCUGCAACAUUCUUGGUAAUUUUGGACAUGCCUCAGGAUCCUUCAGAAGAUUGCAACUCAUUCAACAGUUUAUCACCAAAACCAAGUGAACUCAGUAGAUGUCAAUGGGCAUGUCUUGCAAUUAAUUGGCUAUUAUUCCCUUUGAGAUAUAAAAAUGAGAAACCUCUAAAUACAGUCAGUUUGAUUUGGGUUUUUUCUUCAUUCCUCAUACAAAAUUUGCAUGUUUUAAUAGCCAAAUUGGUUCUUACAUCAACAACCGUGACAUUAAGCAAGAAUGACAGAUGUUAUGUAACUUCAGUUACCAAAAUACACUAGCACUCACAAAUGGCUAAGUCAUUCAUCCUCUUCAAAUCCUAUCAAUCCCACACAUCUUCCGGUAGCCUCCAGCAGAAAAUUCAGAUCCCACUCUUUCUGAGCACAAGAAUUUACUCUCAAACUCCCUCAACAUCACUCAUCCACUUAAAAAUUAGGAAUAAAAAACAGCAUAAACCCAUGAAGACUUACUUAAAAUGCGACAUCAAUUUGUAAAAACCUGUUCUUUAUUAAAUUCUUGGAUUUCUUCUUGUCUAUCAAUCAGUUAAUGUUCCUCUACAAAUACACGAGACACAGGCAGAACAAUUCGAGACCAACCGAAAAGUUGCAUUGAUAUUAAGGAGCAUAUAAAGCGCCUAACUUUACACAGCUUUUCAAAAACUUGGCCAGUCAAACAUUGAACCGAAUUGCAAAAGUCUUUAUCUAUUCUGUCUUUAAUGAUAAGGUACAAAAGUUCAGACAUUAUAAUUGCAUGAAAAACUUACAGACUUUACGGUGGGAAAGAAUGGUAUAUAAACCUUCUGCCACUUGGGUUUUGGCUCCACUUUCUGUUUUCCUCUGUGGGAUUUGAUAAGAGAGGAGAGGAGCGGGCGAAACUGAGAACUGAGAAGACCACCAGACACCACCUCUGCAUUUCUAUUUCUUAAACAUGCCCCCCACCCCCUUCUUCAUCUUAGAUUUAUUCAUAUUAUUUAAAGCUCCCUUUACAUUUUAGAAAUUCAUCACUUCCCCCUGAUAGUUACUGAACUGAUCUUCUGUAUAUGGCAUUUGAAAUUUUAAUUUCAGCACUCUUAAGUCUCAAACUGGAACUAAUUUUCAUUAUCAUAAUUGAGUGUCUGUCAAUUUGCUCAAAAUAUACUGAUCGGACAUCAAUUGAUUCGUACAUAUUAAUUUUGUAUUUUUGAAUAAUGUGGUCAGCAUUAAUUAAAAUUUUUACUUAAUCUUGAAUUCAUCAUAAAUAGACUAGGAUAUUAAUUGAAUUAAAUUAUAUAUUAGUAGACACCGAUAAACUUCAAAUUUCAACUUUUAGUCCUAAUCUAGCACGAGUUUGAUCUUGGAGUUAGAAUUUUUAACUUUUUUUCUUUUUUAGAAUCUAUAAACCAUAAUAAGUAAUCAAAUCAAUAUCAAAGUAAAAAUAUGGAGCAUUAAAUUUAGUGGAUUAACGAAUUUGCCCUUCUUUAUCAUUUUUCUUCAUUUAUUUCUUUUUCCUUUUUAGUUUUUAUCUUCAAUCGACAACUAAUCUUUCUUGACUUUUUUUACAAUUAUAUUUAUAAAUGAACUUUUCUAUUUAACCCUAUUUUCAUUCUAUUAUAAAAUUUAACAUGUUAUUUGAUUUUUAAGAAUCAAUUCAUCAUCAUGUGUUCAUUUAAUUUGAAUACUUGAUUAAGUGGGCCUUAAUCUAAAGGUGAUGUAUUUUCAUUGUAUAUGUACUUUUAUUGAACAAAAUCCAAAGAAAUAGAAAGAUCAAAAUAAAAUAAUUUAAUCUAUUUCCUUUCUAAGACAUUGAAAAGGAAAUCUUAGUAGACGAAUCAGUAUCACGAGAAACAAAAAAAGAAAAAGCAGAAAUUGACAUUUUUAGUUACAACAUAAACAUUUUCUACUAACCAAUAAAUCAUAUUCUGAAAGUUUAACUUAUUAUAUGUGAUGAAUCAAUUAUUUCAUAUGAAAAUAAAUUAACUAAUAAAAUUGAUUAUUAUGAUUUGGGAAAAAUAUACAGAGUACUCCAAAUUACAAAAAAAAAAUAAGAUAGGAGAGAAUGUAGCGACAUGACAAAAUUGAGAAGGCAAAACAAAACGAAAAAGGAACUCAGCUAGUCCAAGAACUAAAUUCUUAAUGGUAAAUAAGACUAUUUGUCAUGCUUUGACAAAAGUUAAUCAAUAACUGACCCAUUAAUUUUAGGGGCAAGCUGAUGAUAAAAUAAUGUCAGAGAGGCAAAGCACAAAUUACCCUAAUUGUGAGGAGUUUUGUGCAAUUGAACUUUAAGCGAAUAAUUUUAGAAAACCGAAAAGAAACAGGCGUGAAAGGAAAGUAGCUUUGCUCCGUUGAUUGCUCCUGGGCUGUCUGGUGGGGUUUAAAUUGUGAUAACUUCUAGAACAACUCACAGAUCAACGCCCUCGAUUCCGCCUGUGUUUCUGCCACUCUUCACUCAGCCAGCGGUGCAUAUCCGAUCAGGUACUCGCACCGCUUUCUUCUUCUCCGUCAGUUUCUCUGCUCUACUGUUAUGAUAAAUGAUGCAUCGUUUUUUAUGUUUAUGUCAAGUAUAGCGAACAAGUUCAGUGUAAAAUUGAGUUGAUGUGCGACUAUAUUGACAAAUUGUGGAAUUAUGGAAUUGAAAAUGUGAAUCGAAGGCUUUUAUUUUUACUUUAUUUUUAAUUUGAGUGAGAAAUUUUGAUAGGAUAGCUGAAUGGUUCAGUGGAAAUGAAUACAUUUGACAAAGUAAUUAUUCAAGAAUUUGUGUGAAACAUAACAUUCAGCUGAUAAUGGUACAAAAUGCUAUCAUGAUAUUUGAACGGGCUUGAUGUGGAUUUAACUUAAAGUCGCUUGGGAGUGAUUGAAAGGGUAAAGAGUUUCAAAUAGUUGUGCUUGCAGCUUUACUGUACAUUUAUGUGGAUUUAGUUUCUGAGGUGUGCUAACUAGUCUAAAAGGUAAAGGCUGCUUUUUUUUUUUUUUUAAUCGUGGACAUUGUUUUGGGCUAUCACCAAAUUUAUUUUUAGGGCUAUUACAAAAUUGCUUAAAUAGAAGAAUUAAUGUUCUAGCAGGUGUCCUUUAACACUUUAAACCUUAUUUAUAUGAUUCAGAAGAAACCUACUAGAAGGAUUAGUGGAUUUAUUUAUAAUAAAUAAAAACAGGAAUGAUUUGUCAAUCAUGCAAAGGGACAAUUCAAUGGCUGAAACUUGAGGUGACAUCAAUUGAUGCGCAUAUUAAGAACAAAAGAAGAGGGAGAGGUGGAAAAGUAUGAUGUCAACUUUGACAUGUUUGGAAACUUAGAUUGGAGGAUUUUUACCCUUGUUUUUGAGAGAAUUUAUGGGGAGAUUUUUGUUUUGGAAGCACUUAAAUUUCAUAGAAAAUUAUGCUUAGCUAUUCAGCACAAGUUUAAUGAUAUUGUCAUGCAGUGAACCCAAGUCAGGGCUGCAAAAAAGGAAAAAAAAAAGGUUGGAAACUUUAGCUUUUGGCAUCUUCCAAAACAAUUUUGACACAAUUCCUGUCCUGGUUUUCUUCUGCAAUUUUUUGGAAAAUGGAGUUCUUUCAGAGUCAAAUGAGCAAUUUUGAGAACAAACUUAAAAUACACUGUUUACUCUCGCAGUCUAACGUCUUUCAUUCAAGUAAACCAGAGAGGACAAGUUACCCAAGAAUGUCAGAUUUAGAGAGGGCAAAGAAAGAGAGAGAUAGAGAGAAUGAGAGUUGAGGAUUGCCAAAAACACUUGAAUGAAACACUUCUGUUGACUUACCUUUUCCAUGUAGUCAUUACUUCUCCUCACUAGAGGAGAAAUGGAAGGACAACAUGAUGAGGUCUGGGCUUCAUUAGUGGCAGAUGGAAUUUCCUAGGUGAGAAACUGAUUUAUGUCAAGAUUAAUCGCAUAUGAAUGGGGCUGUAGAAUGUUGGCUUAGAACCUCAUCAGAUGUGAACCAAUGAAGUUUGUAAAUGACCUCAUAAUGUUGUCCUUCCAUCUUGUUUGUGAUUUUAAGCUUUCAUGCACAUUCUGCAUUAUGAGGCUUUUGCAAUUCUAGAAAAUGAAUCAUGUCUUUUGCCCUUAAUACAAAAUUGUUUUGCAAUUUGUCUGCCUUUGCGAGAGAAGGGAACUUACUUUAUGUUGGUUUCAUGCUUUUACUCCUUGGUGGCAUCUUGCAUCUGAAUUUUUUGUAAGACAGUUGUCUGAAAUGGUUCCCCUCCCCCUGUCCCCAAAAGGGAAAAAGAAACAGAAGCCCUUCCAUACAAAAAACCAUUUAAGGGCUGUGGGUACCAUCAAUUUUGUAACUGAUGUAAUUGUCAGUUUUGGCACAGAUCAUGAGACCAACAAUGUUCAUGCAUACGCUUGCAGUGAAUCAAAGUAUAUUUCCUCUCAUCUCUUUUUUGCCUGAUAAGCUGGAUUGGUGGUUUUCAUUGUACUGUAGGAAAACGUAUUGCAACCUGUGGAAUUUGGCAAAGAAGCUCAUUUUUUAGUUCUCUAUCAAGGAGAAAGUUUAUUAUGCUUUCAAAGCAGAUCCAACUGCAGGUACGUGAUCUUUAUAGGUGUGCUUUUGCAUGAGAGACUCAUUUAAUCACUCCAAUGUCUGCUUAUUCUUAUUGGGAAAUAAAGUAUUUUUCAGGAAUGGUCUAGCACAGCAUCUGCAAUAGUAGUCUGUGUUAAAAAGAAUAUAUUUUGUUAUCACAAUUUUGUUAUAGUAGAGGAAGGAUGACAUUUUGGCCUUAAAAAAAGGAACAGAAAAGGAAAAGAAUGGAAUAAUUGUGAUCUUGACCAUCGUGAACAGUUCUGUUGUUUAUCAAUGUUUAAAAAAGUGUUGUCUUUUCUGUGUCCUGUUCUUAUCAGGUAUUUCUGAGACUGCAUAUUUUCCCUCUUCAUUAGCUUUAUGUAUUAAUGACUGGAUGUCAUCAUUGAUUUUCUCUUUGCAGGCAGAUUUUGCUGCUACAACUUUUUCUUAGGUGAAGAGUUCUUGAAUUUAGUUCCUGUUGGAGAUAGAUAUGCAACCCACAGGUGGUAAAGAUACCCAACUUCGUGAUAACAAUAGCCAGAAGGUCCAUCCACAACCCAUGGAAGAGGCCAUAAAUCAAAAUCCUGAAGCAUUGGAAGCACUAAUUUCUAGGAUUUUUACAAACAUUUCCUCCCUGAAGUCGGCCUACAUUCAGCUUCAAACUGCUCAUACUCCCUAUGACCCGAUAAAAUUCAAGCUGCUGAUAAACUUGUGAUUUCAGAGCUGAAGAAUCUCUCUGAACUCAAGCACUUUUACAGGGAGCAUAAUCCAAAACCUGUUUGUGUCUCUCCACAGGACUCUCGCUUGGCCGCAGAGAUCCAGGAGCAGCAGAGUCUAUUGAAAACUUAUGAGGUUAUGGUGAAGAAUUUCAGUCUGAAAUUCAGAAUAAGGACUCUGAAAUAAAUCAAUUGCAGCAGCAGAUCCAGGAGGCAAAUCAGAAGCGAGUAAAACUGGAAAAGAAUCUCAAGCUGAGAGGCUUGUCAGCCAAAGAAUCAGAAGGCUCAGGUGAUGAAAAUGGUGUCUUUUCUAUGGAUUUGACCCCUGACCUUAUCAAGUCAGCUGUGGAAGCUGCUUAUAAAGCCAUUCAUGAUUUCUCUAAGCCGCUAAUCAACAUGAUGAAAGCUGCUGGGUGGGAUCUUGAUGCAGCUGCAAAUUCCUUAGAGCCUGAUGUUGUUUAUGCUAAGAGAGCUCACAAAAAAUAUGCAUUUGAAGCCCAUAUUUGCCAACGAAUGUUCAGUGGUUUUCAGGAAGAAAGCUUUUCUCUGAAACUUGACAAUGUGACCAUGGAUAAAGGAAGUUUUUUCAACCAAUAUCUUGCCUUACGUGAUAUGGAUCCUCUGGAUGCUGUUGGGCAAAGCCCAGAUUCCCCUUUUGGAAAGUUUUGUCGGAGCAAGUACCUGGUGGUGGUUCAUCCAAAGAUGGAGGCUUCAUUUUUUGGCAACCUGGAUCAGCGAAACUAUGUGAUGGGUGUGUGUCAUCCAAGGACACCUUUCUACCAGGCAUUCUUGAAACUAGCCAAGUCUAUCUGGCUUUUACAUAGAUUAGCAAAUUCCUUUGACCCUAUGGUUAAGGUUUUCCAGCGUCAAGAAGGGGAGUGAGUUCUCUGAAGUGUAUAUGGAUAGUGUAGUGAAAAUUUUGUUAUUGAAGACGCUGACCAAAAGCCUAGGGUCGGUUUAAUGGUUAUGCCAGGAUUUUGGAUUGGAGGCAGUGUGAUACAGAGCCAAGUCUACUUAACAGGUGUGAUGGUUGCAGAAUGACUUUUGUUUGUACCAGUUGGAGUUCUGUCAAAACCUGCAUGUAUGUGCUGUGUUAAUUUCUGUGUUAUUUCUGUAUUUGGUAAAAUGUUUCUGUUGUAUUAUCUGCAUUUGCUAAGUUGAUAUGAUAUGUGAUUGAAGUUACUAUAUUGAUAUGAGGUGUAUUUUGGUCUUCUGCCAUUUUCUGAUUUGACGGCGACUCUUUUUCACACACACGCACAACAAGAGAGAGGCUAUUUACCUUCUGAGCGUUGGCAGUUAGUUUUGUGCUUGAUGUGGAGUUUCCAUUCCUAACUGGUAGUAUUAUGCAGAAAAUUCGUGAGCAUGCAUUUUCCUUCUCAGAUGUUUUAGACUUUAGAGAGCUUAUCAACUUGAAGUAGCUGACAAGGUAAACUUUGCCAUGACAUGAAGAAUUAGCAUUCUUAGCUAGUGAGGUUAUACGGACACAAUCCUAUUCCCAUGCUCUGAAUGUUCUUUUCCUGUUGAAGAAUUGCUACCACAUGAAUAGGUAAACUGAUUAUUUUUCAAUGCUCGAGUUUGAUGCAUGCUAUGUCGAUAGUUCCUUAAAUCUUUUAAAACUACUGCAACAGCUAUGCUGUUAAUAUACUCCGUCUCACUGCAUGCGUGGGUGAUUCCUGUGAAAUUUGAUCCAAUUGAGCCUUCUGAGAAGAGCCUCAUCAAAUUAUUCAGCUGUAUAUUGUUUCAGAAUUGGUACGAUUAAUCUCUCUGGUGUAACUGCAUGAGACCCACCGUGUGCACCUAAACUAUGAUUUUAAAGCAUGGGAUCUGUUUCCCCAGAUAUUUCUGAAAAAAGGGUGAAGAAAAUUGAUGAAUUGUCUUGUUGGGAGGGAUCUUGUUGCCAAUCAAGAGUCAGAAGCGAACGUCCUCUGUCAAACUCUCUAGAAGAACAGAAUUGCAAAAGUUUCUUAUUUCGAUUUUUAGGCUACAAGAAAUUAUUGACCUAGUGCAAGAUGCGCUAUGCAUGGACCAUGGUGUGUGCUGCUCACAGUUUUGAGCACAUGCUACAAAAGAGGGUCAUUAAUUAUAAAACCUCUAAUUUGGACGGGUUGAAAAAACUCCCUUUGAUUACAUCCAAAUCAAGCAUGAAAGCUCUUUUUUAACAGCUGACAAUUCACGAAAAGAAUUGGAAGCAAAGUUAUGUAGGGCACUAAAAUUUGAGUGAACAUAUUAUCCUUAAAUUAAUCCUACCUUGAACCCUUUUUUUGGUUUGAUUUUUCUGAGCAAAUCGUUCUUUGAACUUAUAUGGCAGUCAUAUUAGAAUAAGAGAGUCGCAAAUUUACUGUUAUAUGUAAGCUAUGAGUUUAUUUUGAACGUCAGUUAGAAUGAGUUUAUGGUACAAAAGAAAAUGUACCACAAGGGGAAAAUUAAGUCAGGAACAAAGAUUAUUGGGAUUUCUUGGGAUUGAGAACUUGAAACUUUACGCUAACAAUAAUAUCUUCUAUUGCUCAAGGGCCAGUUAAGGGACUUGAUUUAAAAUGAUUGGCAGCUGCAAGCUGAAGCCACUGGCCAAAUAAUCACACCAAAGCCAGCAAGAUGUUUAUCAAGUAAAGCUCUCUUCCUGUGAUAUUCCUGGCGCCGACAACUUGCCGCAGGCAUCGAUGGCGCUGCUUAGCAUUCAUUCUUGGUCAAACCAAACCAUAGGCGUUCAAACAAUAAUAUAAUCUAUAGCUAACGCCAUCGUUUUAAGAUCACUGGGAGAAUUAAUUAAUUAAUUUCAAUGACAUCUACAGCAACGGAUAUGCACUACAGCUGUUGAGUCACAAUUAAUGUUAAAUUGAGUACAGACAAAAUAAAUGCAGGAAUUAAUUGAACAUUUGAGAUCUCAGAAUUUAGAGAUUUUGGAUUUGAAUCGCAUCUCCUUUCUUCAUUUUUUUAAUUCCACUCCUUUCCUCCAAUAAACUACCAUGUAACUUUUGAUUCUUUUAUCUUAAAUGAAUUUUUUCAUCCCUUAUAUUCCCUCCGUCCCACUUUGAUAGUCCUGUAUUCCUUUUUCAUCUGUUCCAAAUUAUAGUCCACUUUCCAAUUGAAAAAUGUAGUUGUAUUUUAAUUUUUCUAAAAUACCCUUAUUCAAUGUGAGUAGUUGUUACUAUAAACCUACUCCAUUUAAUGAGAGUUGAUUCUUUUUUUACCAUCAAUUCAAGUUCCCAUAAAGUUGUAUCAUAUUUAAUGUGAGGUUAUUUUAGGAAAAUAGCAAUCUAAAUUUACUUUUCCAACAAAGUUAACUGCUUUUUCUUAAACUGUGUGAAAAAAAAAACAGGACUAUCAAAGUGGGACGGAGGGAGUAUUAGUAUUGCAUUUAUCUUGUGUAUACAUACACACAUACAUAAGUACGUACCGAUUAAAAUUUUUUCGAUAAAACUUUAAAAAAAUUUUCUAGCUAGGUGAACUUAGAGUAUAAAUGCCUAUUCUAACGCUAGGACAUGCAUGGAUGUGCACGUGAAUCCUAACGACAAUCUUGCCAGGCAUGACCUAUUUGGUCCAUUCGAUCAAGAUAAGCAUCAAUUUCAAACAGAUCAGAUUGCUUAGUUACCAGUGUACUUGUACUUAAAUCAUGGUUUCUGCUGCUGCUGGAGCCCUAUUCUCAUCAGCUUCCUGGAAGCUCCUCGCGCAUGUGCAAGGACCGGAUAUUUAAAACCCCAAACGUAAAGAAAAUAGUGUAGUAAACUUUAAGCUAUGACUACACGAGGAUGACUUGUGAGACUUCUAUAUAAAUUCUCAAGUCUUCUCACAUUUUCCCAUCACGAAAACCAUCGAAUCAAAUCGUGCUGGAUUUUUUUUUUUUUUUUUUAAAAACAUGGCAAAAAUUAGCUUCUCUUUCCUUCUUCUCCUCUCUGCUAUCUCCAUUGCAGCUGCAAUCGAGCUGACUUCAAAUCGAGGCUCUGGUUUCAGGGCUUUCAUCGAGCAAGAAUGCCGAGGCACCCAAUAUUUCCAGCUAUGCGUUCAUUGCCUUUCAAUUUUUGCGCAUUCCACUACACAAACACCAGAGCAAUUAGCCCAAGUUGCAUUGAAGGUGAGCUUGGUGAGGGCAAGAUAUGCAAGAGCUUAUAUAACCAAAGUUGCUCAAGAUUUGAGGCUAAAGAAGACCAAAGAUUACCAAGCCGUGCAUGAUUGCCUAGAGCAAAUCAAUGAUGGUGUGGAUCAGCUCACGAAUUCGGUUAAGGAGUUGGGAAGAAUGUCUAUAGCUACUGAAACUGAUUUCUUUUGGCAUCAAAGCAACGUUAAUAGCUGGAUGAGCACUGCAGUCACAGAAGCACUAACGUGCAUGGAUGGGAUCUCAGGGCAUGCAAUCGGAAGUAAAGUGAAAUCUACCAUUAGAGCAAAGGUCUUGAACGUGGCACAGGUUACUACCAAUGCUCUAGAUUUUUUUAACCGAUAUGUGUCAAGACAUCGAGCCUCUCAAUCUCAUAACCCCAAUCCCUGAGUAUAGAAACUCCCCCCUAUCUUUUUUUUUUUUUGGGGUUAUGUUUUUCUGAGUCCAAAGUUCCUGCUUUUUUUUUUUUUUCUUUUUUGGGUUUUGUAUUUUAAUUCAGACACGUGUAAGGUGAAAGACAUCUGUGAAUACAAAAUUUUGUACAAGAAAUGGAAUUAUAGAGGUUCUAUUCUUUCUUGUAGUUGAUUUAGCGAAUUCUACUUAAUUAUUUUACAUCUUCAUGUCAUCAUGUUUUUUAGAACUUUUAUUAUAAGUGGUAUUAGAAAAUUAUCCUUCGAGGUUUCUUUUUCUUCCAAUUUGGAGCUAACAGUCUGAACUUUGACAAAGCCUUAGUAGUUUAUGAUGGCAACACAAUUUACUGCUAAACUUAUAUGUGGGGUUGAAUUGGAUCAAAGGAAUCAAUCGAAACAAGUCAAUUAAUUAUUCGUACUAUUUUCCUGUCCACGUGAUUACCGAAACUAACUACGAAAUUCAAGUGAAUUUGAGAUCGUUGUCAAAGAUGUUUGCGAAGGAAACUUAGAUCAGCAGCAGCUGGUUAUGAAAGCUGCAAUUUCUUAAUUCACCUUUUUAUAAUUUCGAAAUUGUAAAAGAUUGAAAAAUUAAAGUUAAGCUUGUAAAUUCACACUGAUACUGGAAGCAUGCCUGCGUAGUGCGUGAAGGCGAAAACUAAGAAGACCACUCAAUAGUUUGAUGCCACAUUUAGAUUCCGUUCGUUUGGUUUCAGAUCAUGAAAGGGAGUUGCAUAGUCUAGCUACAAGAACAACAUUAAUCGAGAGACUUCCAUAUGAGACGCAUAAAUUCCUGGUGCCCUUUGCACCCUAUCAGGUUACGAGUUACGACACCAGUAUUUCUCUCUUUUCCACCCCACCCUUUCCUCGAAGGCAAAUCAUCAUGUUUCCUGAUAGUGUUUUACAUGCUUGUUCAUAAAUAAUAAUGCGCAUGCAAACGAUAUUUUGAUUUGGAAGAAGUCAUCAUCAGAUCAUCUCUCUUCUCCCAUCAUUCUUACCCUCCUUUUUUUCUUCAUAAUCCGUGGGGCUUAGUCUUCGUACCACUGGCUGAAGGUACCGACAACCAAUACAACUAGGUUAUAGUCAACCGCAAAAAAUUCAGUCUUUUGAAUACAAACCUCAUUUUCUGGGGCUUAUGCCGAUCACAUGAGUAGGAUUUUCACUGCCUUGUUCAUCAUGUUCAUUACUACCUUAGUUGGGACCGUUCCCCAUAGAGAGGUGAUAUAUAUCAUGGUUUUUCUGGAUCAUCGUCAAGCCAUCAUGACUUGAAAUCUCUCCAAAACAUCUGCUCUAUAGACAGUUAGUCUUGGUGGAAAGCUGUUGGUUUCUUGCAUUAUGUGGAUUUAUAUGCUCCAAAUUUGUACAGGCGACAGCUGGUUGCUUAGCUUUAGUUGGGAUUUUCUGCUAGUAUUUUUCUUCAAAGUUGAUGGAAGUAAUUUAAGAGUUUAGCUGAAGUAGUAGUAUACUAUUUUAUAUAGAUGGCUCUUUCUCUGUGCUCUUCUUGUGUACAUUCAAGCCCUAUUGAAUAAAUAUUCGUUUUACCUAAAAAAAAAAAUAAUAAAGUAAGAAAUCUAGUGCUUCACAGCGGUCUUACAUUAUGCCUUGAUAUGUCAAUCAGUAAGAAGAUCUGCUAUUUUAGUGCUUAAUUACUUUCACCCUCGGCAGUUGAUAAAUAGGUAUGAAAGGAAAGAACAGGUAUCUAAGAUUUUCUUUAAUGAUUUUUAGUGGCAAUUGAUAGUGUGAGAAAACUCUGCAACAAUGGAAAUCAAACUAGGAAGUAAAGAAGCGCUACUCAAAAUUCUCAUAAAUAUUGACUCACAAGCUAAUAGCUCCACAGCAUUUGCAAAUAUUACCACAUUUCCCCUUCGUUUGCAUUCCUCAAGUGCCACUAGAUCCUGACUGACAUCUGUAUCCCGAACAGGAAAAAUGUCAUUACGUCAAAAAGUGCUAUUGAAGUUUACACAUCAAUUGGCAAUUCUAAGUGCUAUUAAAAGCCAAAAUUUCUUGUAGUCUUUAUCUCCAAUUUUUGCAAAUUAUAACCUUAAUUAAUUCAUACUUAUUUGGGAUGAGACAUUGACCUAAUGAUCAAGGUUGAGACCCCAACAUUAAAUCUCUUGAAAACUAAGCUUUACAAAAUGUGAGUUUACCCUAAUUAUAUGUUAGUUUACAUAUAAUCUGCCACAGCUCCCUUUUUCAGUUUUAACAUCCUUGAGCCGGUGGAAGCAGUCUAGACCCGCCUCUGCUAACUGCUGAAGUGCUCACUAGUACUAGACAAGCAUCUUCGCAGGUUCAUUCUUGUGGACUAUUACAAGUAUGUUAGUUUUCUAUGUAUCUGUGUGAGUACAGAUAAUACAACAUCAACAGCAUAUAACACCAUAGGCAGCUACGUUAUAUGCCAGGAGAUGGACCAACUCUAAAUUACGUCAUUUUUUCUUUCCCUUUUUCUCAACGAUGCAACAAUCUAUACUGCUCGUCUUAUGAGGGAGAGGGAGUUCAACUGGAGCUUGUCUGAAGGUUGUAUUGCGGAUGCUCUAUCAAAUUAAGGUAUAACGAGUAAAUUAUUGUAUCUAAAAUUGCAAAAUGGUAAUUCUCAGGAAGUAUUUGGUAAGACACACUGCCCUGUUUAAGUACCAAUUUUCUAAACAGAAUCAUCUAUAUAUGCAAUUAAUUGCAUAAUAACUCACUACAAAUAUACCUACAAAUAUAGCUACUAAAUAGACAAUAAAAUAGAUCACCAGAAUUUAACAAGAUUCGGCUAAUUUGCCUACAUUCUCGAAUACCAAUGACAACUUAAUAUUUCACUAGAAGAAAUAUUACAAAGAGAGAGAAGGAAACAAGUUAUAAUUCUCUUGCUUGGUAUAUUUUAUCCUAUCAAAGGAUUCUUCUAUUUAUAGUUCACAAAUGAGAAAAUUUCUAACAAAACUAACGCUAUGGGAUGUAGAGUUUGUGCACGAUUGUCAACAAUUGUAACUUUGUACAAUUGAUAAUUGUGGCUAUUGAGCCAAUAAAUCAACAAAUCUUCACCUUGGCGAAAUCUCUACAUCUUCAAUGCCUCACUCUUCUCCAAACAUUCGAUGGUGUAUUCAAAUGCGCUGUUAAGUGUCAAUCUUCAAGUUGUGCACAACAUUUAUUAAAUUCAAACAAUGUUGGAAUUUGAUAUUUGUUGUGCACAACUUGAAGAUUGGCACUUGACAACGCAUUUGAAAACACACCGAAUGUUGGGGGAAGAGUAAAGCAUUGAAGAUGUAUAGAUUUUGCCAAGGUGGAGAUUUGUUGACUUAUUAGCUCAAUAACCACAAUUGUCAAUUAUGUAACUCUACAAUUAUUGACAAUCGUGCAAAACUCUACAUCCCACAUCGUUAGUUUUGUUGGAAUUCUCUCAUUUGUAAACUAUAAAUAGAAGGAUCCUUUGAUAGAAUAAAAUAUACCUACAAAUAUAACUACUAAAUAGACAAUAAAAUAGAUCACCAAAAUUUAACGAAGUUCGGCUAAUUUGCUUACAUCCUCGGACACCACUGACAACUUAAUAUUUCACUAGAAGAAAUAUUACAAAGAGGAAGCUCUACCAAAUUAAGGAAUAAUGAGUAAAUUAUUGUACCUAAAAUUGCAAAAUGGUAAUUCCCAAGAAAUAUUUGGUGAGGCACACUGGCCUGCUUAAUUACCAAUUUUCUAGAUAGAAUCACCUAUAUAUACAGUUAAUUGCACAAUAACUCACUACAAAUAUACCUACAAAUAUAGCAACUAAAUAGAUAAUAAAAUAGAUUACCAGAAUUUAACGAGAUUCAGCUAAUUUGCAUACGUUCUCAAACAUCAUUGACAACUUAAUAUUUCACUAGAAGAAAUAUCAUAAAGAGAGAGACGGAAGCAAGUUAUAAUUCUCUUACUUGGUAUAUUUUAUCCCAUCAAAUGAUUCUUCUAUUUAUAAUUUACAAAUGAGAGAAUUUCUAACAAAACUAACGAUGUGGGAUGUAGAAUUUGUGCACAAUUAUCAACAAUUGUAACUUUGCACAAUUGACAAUUGACAAUUGUGGCUAUUGAGCCAAUAAGUCAACAGGUAGGAGGUGAAUCUCCGGACCAAAUAAGUGCGAUACCGCGCUCUCUAAAUUUCUUAAAAUAAAGGAAGCAUGGUGCUUCCUGUAAUGCACUAGGCAGGCGUCACUUAACUACGUUACUUAGCCUUGAGAUUUUAACACUUAAUAGUUAGUUUAUGUGAAUGGUUGCCGUCCUUGAACCCUUUCAGAUCAUGAGUCAAAAGACUUUUCUCUCUUUCUGUUUUGUUGUCAUUUUCCCCCCUUCUCCCUUGACAAGCUGAAAUUAUAAUGUUUCCUGAAAGCGCUACACACUUUUUUAUUUCAAAAGAUAUUCACAAAUUUAAUUUGAAUGAAGUCACCAUCAACUUUUUUCCCUCUUCAUCCCUUAUUGUAACUAUAAAUACAUGCACAACCUGUGAAGCUUCAUUCACACCACUAGUUACAGGGUACCAAACUAUCAACACAGGUUGCCUAUAAUCAGUGAUGGAGCCAGGGUUUUUUUGGAUGGGGGCAAAAUUUUUUCCUAAUAAAAUUAUCUUAAUAUAUUAUGUUCGAAAUAAUUUUCUUCUAUUUAAAUAUAUGACAUCUAAAAAUAUCAAAUAUUAAAUUUAAUUAUAAAGGUAUAUCUAUUCAUAAAUAUGCGGUACAGUCAUAAUAAAACUUAACAAAAAAGAUAAUCUUUGAUUAAAUAUCUUAUAACAUUACAAACCAUUUAAUUUAUACAUUAUGAGAAGAUGCUCUCCAAUAUAUCACCUAUGCAAAUUUCAACAUCUUUUCUUAUAAGUAAAUUGAGCUCUACGCUCUUUCACAGAGUUAAAUUCAUCUAUGAUUGAAUCACUGCUAAAUUUUCAGCAACUUUCUUUUAUAUAUAUACAGUUGGACAAUCAUUCAAGAAAUUAUCUUCCAUCUUGUUUUGGAGCUUUGUCUUGAUUAUUUUCAUAAUUGAAAAUGUUCACUCUGUAGUUGCAAUUGAUACAGAAAGAGUAAAAACAAAUCUGAUCAAUCUAUCAAUAAGAGGAUAUGUCACUGAUUUUUUGUCUUCACUAAGUCUUGACAUAACUCAUGAAUACCAGAUAAUUCUUGCAAGUCAGGAUAAUUUGAAAUGUUGAGUUCAAAAUAUUGAAAUUCUAUUAUGAGACCUACUAGUUCUUUCUCCAUAAAAUCAUUCGGAUAGAACUUCUCUGCAAGUUUACAAAUAUCAUCAAUCUUGAACAGCAUAAAUCCAUUUAUAGAAUCUAAAGCAGUGCUCAAAACAAGAAAUUCCACGGCAUGAUCAUUAAACCUGUUAUGUAACUCUUGCAAUUGAUAAUCAAUUGUUGCAAGAAAUAUAUCCACUCGAUAAUAAUGCUCCACACUAAUCUCAUCAUGAUGAUUUCGAGAUCUACCACGUCUUGCAAUAUAUUGAGCAUUCAUAUCCGGGAUAUCAAUUUAAUGUUGCUCACAAAAUAAUUUAAUUUUCACCAAAAAAUCAUCCCAUUUUGAAUCUCGAAAAUUCUUCAGUAGCUUUGUUGUGCUUGAGACAAGAUGCAUUGCAUUCAAAAUAUCUUGAGAUUUACGUUGCAAUGCUAUACAAAGAAGAUGAGUAAUUUUCAUAAUGUCUUUUUUAAAAUGCAAAGUGAAAACAAGCUCAAAGGAUAACAACUGAUUCAAAGCAAAAUUUGCAUCUCCACGUUAAGAGUAUGAACCUCCAUUUACUGCAAUGUUACUUAAAACCACACAAGUAGCAUUGAACAUUUUCAGUAAACUAGAAAUAGAAUUCAAAUGAGAAUCCCAACAAGUAUCUCCAACUCGUUUUAAAGUGGCAAUUUGAUUAAGCCCCUUUCCAGUUUCAAGUUCACCAUUAGCAAUCUUAGUAGCAAUUUCAAUUGCUUGAGCCUCCUUUAAUUCAUCAUUACAUUUGCUAGAUGUAAUAACAAUGUUGAUAAUAAAAACUAAAUUGGAGAAGAAUUGGUGAACAGAAGCUACUUCUCUAGAAGCUGCAACUAAAGCAAGUUGAAGUCUAUGGGCUAAACAAUGAAUGUAAUAGGCAUAUGGACAUUCAUGGCAAAUUAAAGCUUGCAAGCCAUUCCAUUCACCUCUCAUAUUACUAGCUCCAUCAUACCCUUGUCCACGAAUGUUAUGAAUGGCCAAAUUAUGUUGAGAGAGAGUAGAAAAAAUAGCUUCCUUCAAAGUUAAAGCCAUAGUAUCACGGACAUGAAUAACACCAAAAAACUGUUCGCGGAUGCAUCCUUCCUUAUCUACAUAUCUCAAAACAAGAGCCAUUUGCUCUCUUUAGGACUCAUCACGAACUUCAUCAACUAUAAUGCAAAAUUUUGAAUUUCCAAUUUCUUGGCAAAUUUUUUUUCUAACCUUAUUGAAAAAUAUAUAAAGAAUCUCCUUUUGAAUUUCAGAAGAUGUAUAGGAGGCAUUGGAUGGAGCAUUUUCUUGACCAACAUUUGCAACCUGUCCAUUAAUAGAGCAUAAUUAUAAUUUUAUAAAGAUAAUAACUAAAUGGAAGCAUAUUAUGAAUUAAAAAGAAUUCUUUUAAGCAUGGAUAUUAUAUAAAUUCAAGAAAGAAUGCAAAGCUGGAAGAAAAUCAUUCUUACCUUAUCAUUAUAAGAAGCCAACAACUUGAUAAGUUGAUGAAAGUUUCCACGAUUAAGAGAUUUUUCACUCUCAUCUCGUCCUCGAAAGGCACAACCUUGAAGUGCAAGCCAUUGCACUACAUCAAUUGAAACUUGAAGCCUUAAUCGAUUAAUCUCAACUUGCUCAAAACUUUGUUUCUCAAUGAAAGUUCCAAUGUGUUGAGAAGCAUACAUCAAAUCAUUGCAUGCAUUUACCGCAAUUCUGUGAAAUGAGUUAGGACUUUUCCCCACAUGUAGUAAGAAAGCACAAUUAUCUCCAUUAUUGACCUUCUUCCAAUUGUUAAAGCCACCAAGAACAAAUGCACUUAAUUCAACUCGUCAAUUUAAUUCACAUUUCAUAAGUUAUAUACAACUCUAGCAAAUUAUCAUAAUAAAUUAUAUAUAUGCAUUAUAUUAGUAUUUCUUUGAACCACAAAUAAAGUAUGGAAUCACAAUUUUAAAUGAUACACACUUAUUAAACAAUAAAAUACUUUAUACAUGUCAAAUUAUUUUUCUUGAGAAAAAUAUACUACAAAUGUAGUAUAAUAUCACAAUUUUGAUACUAGAAAUGUAUUUUACAAGAGCAUAAGAUAAUUGGAAAGAGGGAAAGGUUAAAUUUCAUAAUAAAUUAAUUAUAAAAAGGAAAAGGUUUGGUACAGGUACUAAAGAAUGGAGCCACUUCACUUCAAUUUAUUAGAUUCUACUUUCUAGCACCAAGUGACCAAGCCACGGAAGCCACCAAACGGUCCAAUUGUCCAAACCAAUCACCCGACACCUUUGAUGAAUCUUCUUUGAAUCUUUAUUGUAUUCUUUUCCAGUUCUCUUGUCUUCUUUGCUCUUUUCAUUUUACUUUUGUUGGCAACUACCAAGUACCACCGUGAAAGAAAGAAAGAAAUGAAAAGUGACCCACACUUUCCUUUUUGAUCCGCAGAACAGAGAAGUAGGCAAGUAGCUUACUUUGUAAGCUUUUCUUAGAAUAGUAAAGAUAAAAUAAUUUUUUAAAAUCCUUUAUCCAUUGGGCUAAGUGAUAUAUUUGUAUUUGGGCCAACAAAAUAAUUAUUUUUAUUUUAGCCCAUUAACAAUUAUGAAUUGGAUCUUUUUAGUCUAAUACAUCAUAUUGGAUCAAUUUACUAUGGAACAUCAAAUUAUAUGUUUAAUUUUUGAAAGCUAAAUAAUUAGUACAAUAAAAAAUAAAUAAAUAAAAAAAUUAAUUCAAAUAUGACUAAUUCAUAUAUAUAUAUAUAUAUCAACUUUCAUAAUAUAAACUAAAAUUAUAAAAAUUUAGGGGGGACCAAUUUUAUUUUACACACAUAUUUACAUAUUAUGAAUUAAAAUUUUUAAAACUUAGGCCCCCCUCUGCCCCCCUUGGCUCCAUUAUUGCCUAUAAUCAACUGAAAAAAAAGUCUGUCGAGGAUCAAUACUACCAUCAUCUUGCUGGCAGCGUCGUUGAAGUUGAUUUUAGUGGCCAUGUAAAAGUACUCGCUCAACUACAAAGGUAUUAUUGGGCUUGAAGUGAACUGUCUAUGGCGAUCAAAGUUUUCCUUUGCUUUUACACAUAUCACAUUUGUACCCAUGGAGCCUUUGUUUACCACAACCAACUAUAGAAGUGCACGAGCUAACGAGUCCAUUGUUCUUGCUAACACCUUGAGAAAGAUCAAUCCCAGUGGAGUGGAAUCGUAUUUAUUUUUCUGAUUACCAGUAUUGCAUAUCGCGGGGUUGAACAAGUUUAGGAAGGUGCCAUUCUUUCAACCAUCUUUCAUCCACAACACAUUUUUAAAGCCAAAAUCUUAAUUGAACUUACACCGCUCCAAAUCAUGCAAGAGAGAACUUGUUCAUUUUUUUUUCUUCAAUCUCUCUGUGUUUUUUUUUUUUUGGGAACUUAUGUAGUUCAUUGACUUGUGCACUCCAUAAAUCAUGUGACUUGUCAAAAAGGGUUAGGUGCUAAAGAGUUUGAAUUGUUAACUCACAAUUUUGCCUACAAAUAAUCAGGUCAUCCAAUGACAAAUGGACCAGUUUUUUUCUUGUUAUAAUUAAGAAUUUUAAAGCAAAGGAAGCUGGCGUCCUCUCAAGGUCAAGCAUAGCACAAGCACACUUAUAUAGCAAUUAAUUCUUAUACAUCUUCACGGACUUCACUCUCAAGAGAAAGAGAGGACAUGAAUAUUUGUCAAUUAUCUCAACAUGAUAUACUUCAUUGUAAAUAGUUUGUCCAUUUCUCAUACAUGCUAGUUGUGUAACUUAUUUAUUUUUUUAAUUAAGCAUCAAUAAUUUACACCUACUUCUACUCUUACAUUAUGAGAAAGGGAACAAAUCUGAUUGAAUCAUUAGAAAGUAAAAAUUGGAAGGGAACUAAACUACCUUUGAAUAGAGCUGCUAAAUGGAACGAGCAGCUCGGAAGUUCAAUUGAGUUCAACUCGGUAAGGCUCGAUAAUUGUGAUAAACGAGUCGAGUUCAAGUUUGAAAUAUGCUCGUUUAAUUAACGAGUUUCAUUUGUUAUCCGAGUAAUUCUAUUGGACUUGAUAAAGAAGGGCAUGUAUGUCAUUUCACAAUUCAAAAGAAUAAAAAUUAAAAAUUAUAGAUUUUUAUUGUGGUUAAACUCAUGCAAGUUCGAUUCAUUUGUGAUAAACCAGUUGAACUCAAACUCGAGUUAUACGUCUCAUUUGACAAUCUGACUUCAAACACAUUUUAAAACUUGUCGGCCUAGUCGAGCGAGCUUGAGUCGGCCUCGAGUUUAGCUGGCAAUCAAAUUCUAGGCUUGAUUGACAGCACUACCUUUGAACGAGACAAGUACCCUUCGGCGCGGUUGAAUUUGGAGAAGUCACGUAUGCCAAAUUAUGUGCUCGGCCCAUACUGAUAGGAAGCAAAUUAAUACAGAAAUGAGAAGGCAUCAUGUUGAGUUGAGUCCUGGUGGAUCCGGGAUAUAGAAUCGGAGCAGCAGUGCUAGCGGGAAAUUAUAUACAAAUCAAAUCACAUUUCAGAUUUUCUCUUUUCUUCAGUUGCUCGUUCUGAGAUAGAAUUCAAUUGUCUCUCCCUCCCAAGAAAGAAAAAGAAAGGAAAAAAAAAAAGAGAGAAGUAAAGAGAGAAUGGCGGUGGCGACUAAGGUAGCAAUCGAAGAUGUAGUGAAGCAAGUGGUAAAUGAAGACGAUGACGAACGAGAUACUUGCCACAUCGUUAUGCAGAGAUACUUCCUCCAAGAAUGGAAGAUCGUUAAGUCCCUUCUCGACGACAUCGUUGCUGCCGGACGCGUCUCCGACUUCUCCUCUGUUCGCAAGAUCGAUCCAUUGUAAAUGCUCAAUGCUCAAUGCUCACCUUCACCUCACACUCAUCCACACACUUGAUUCAUAUUAUUAGAAUCGAAUUAGAUUUUUUUUUGGAUGGAAUCAGCUGAAGUAUUCAAAGACAAUCUGAUAUAGGAAAUGGAUGUAAGAAAGUUUUUUUUUUCUUUUUUGGGUCUCGCAAUUUUUGGGAUAAUAACUUGGGGCAAUAAAGUGGGAAUCUUUCGUUGAGAUUCUCUAAUGGAAUGAUUGUCAUUGUACAAAGAUUAUUACUUGGGCAAAAUUUGUAAGUUUCGAAAAUGUAGAUUAAUACUUAUCGACUAGCUCCUGCUAUCCUAGUUGGAUAGAUGGUCAAGUGCUGCUUUCUAAUUGAUAACGGGUGAUUAACUAGUAUACAUAAUUACUUAUGCACGUCUAUCCUUCUUACAGCUUGUUUUUGGAGGAGAUUGUCAUUUGCGAUUACAGCUAAUUUCUGUUUCAGCUGAAUAAUUGUAUUGCUGCGUUCUUUGCUGCAAGUAGCCAACUUUCAGAAGCACCCAGAGCUGCUUCUGGAAACAGCCUUAGUUUUUUUGAACAUUUAAAGGAAAAAUGUGGUUUCAUUUUGUUUUCCGCAGAUUUUCUGUAAACUUCUUAGUCUAUUAACCAAUGGACAGGAUGUCUUCACAUAUUGUACCAUAGUUAUGAUUAUAAGUAAAGUGCUUUUUACAAGAUUACAUGAACUUGUUUGGGAGAAGGGGUAAUAUUCAAUGUGAAGAUUCUUAAGAUGGUUAGGAUAAGGCGGUGAAGAGGAUGUUCUAGGACUAUCUGAAUAAAUGUGUUAGAAUUUCAGUUUCUCAAAAAUUUGUUACUAUAUGCUUCAUAUGUUUUGUACACAUAAGGAGAAGCUUCUAGUAUGGAGUUUGUCGAUUGAAUUAUAGGAACUGUGGUGGACAAUCAGUGAUAAACUCUGUCAGAAAAUUUACUCAUCUAUUGGCUACUCCAGUUUGCGGGAAAAUCAGUACUCUGUCAUCUUAUGUCUAUUUAAAUUUUUUUGAAGCUCUUGUAGUGCAUGGGUGUAGCUAUUCCUUGACAUUCUAGAAUGUGCGCUUUUGCAGCUGGACAAGUAUCAGGAACAAAGUCAACUGGUAGAGCCUUAUCUGGAGCACAUUGUUCCUCCAUAAUGUUUAUUAUUCGCUCUCAAACCGCUGAACUAGGGGUGGCAUCAGAGGGAAUUCUUGAUGUGAUCAAACCUUUAUCCAUCAUAAUUUAUUCGUCGUAACAGUCUGUGGUUAUAAGGCUGUCAUCAAGUUCUUCCCACACCAGGUUUCUGAUUUAGAACUUGCAGUCAGUCUCUUGGAGAAAUGUCACAACACUGAUUCUGGAACAUCACUGAGGGAAGAAAGUACAGGAGAGAUGGAGGCAAAAUGCGUGAUUCUACUCUGGCUUUCAAUUCUUGUGCUGAUUCCUUUCGAUUUAUCAUCUGUUGAUACUAGUAUGGUCGAUGGUAAUAAUGUUGACAGAGGAGAGCUGCCUCCCCUUGUACAAAGGAUUAUAGGGUUUGCAAAAGAUUAUUUGUCAAGUUCAGGUCCAAUGCGUACAAUCGCUGGAUUAUUGCUCUCAAGGCUUUUGACUCGCCCUGAUAUGUCAAAGGCUUUUUCCAGGUCUCUUUCUUAUUUAUAGUAUCUCCACCCACUUGUGUCUUAAUUAAAUGAAAUGGUUUAGGCUGCUUAUUAGAUCAAGUGAUUACCAUUGCAGAGCUCUUGAUUUAUGCUCUCUUGAACUCUGUAAACAAAAGGAUUAUAGAACUUGGAUGAAUUUUUUUUUUUAAUAUUUAUCAGGUUAAAGGCAUUUAGUAUCUGGGAUUAAGAAACCUGCACAAAUGGCAAACACUCUUAAAGAUGUUAUACUGGUUGAUAGUGGACUGGCAAAGGCUAUAGUUAACCUUUUAUCCCCUUUUUUGACUUAAAGGUUUAUUGAACACUAAAAUAGAUCUAAUUAUUUAAUCUUCUAGACUAAACGAGGACAGUAAAUGAUUAUAGUGAGGUUUACCAGUUUAUCUGUUUAAUUUGGUGUUUUGAAGAGAUUUGUUUCAUCUUAGAUUCAAUCAACUUUCUACAACUUUGUUGCUUUUCUUAGUUAUUUAUUUUUUCAAAUUAAUUAAGUUGGUAUUCUUUCUUUGUUUCUUUUCUUUUCUGUUUUUAUUUUUUAUUUAUGUAUUUAUUUAUUUGUUUGCAGCUUUACUAAUUGGACCCAUGAAGUUCUAUCUUCUCAGACAAACGAUGUUACUGAUCAUUUCCGAUUAUUAGGUGCAGGAGAAGCUUUGGCUGCCAUUUUUAAGGUCUACUUUUGGUUCUCUUUGUCACUAUUCUGCAAAUAAAUGAUUUCUGGUUUAAAUUGGGAAUAAAAAAGGAUGUUUUUAAAAGUGUAACUGAUGUUAGCUUUUGGCAUUGAUGUUUCAUAUGUAUAUAAUUUCCAUUUGAUUUUGUUUAUGUCAGCUAGAUGUAUUAAUGCUAUUUGGUUUUGGAUUUAUCUUACAUCAAAUCCUUGGUUGUGGUACAUGUCCUUUUUUCCCUUUUUUUUUGGGGAGGUGGGGGGUGUUGGCAAGAAGGGGUUGGAGAGGCUAAAUUUUAGCUUGUCAUUGGCUCCUUUCAACUUAGUAUCUGCAUCUAAGAUGUUGUCCAUUUUUUGGCUAAAAGUCACCUUUGUGUUGCCCCUUUACAUGGCAUGCAUGUUUCAAGGCCUCAUUCAAUCUUCUUAUUACCAAAGCAAGGUACUAAAAAAUUGGACUUAACUUCACUAACAAGUAGAAAGUGAAUCAAUGCAUAACUGGGGAAAACACCUGAAGAACUAAAUUAUUUGUUUUCACUAAUACAUCUAUCUCAACAGGAACUUGGAUGUUAAUUUUCCAUAGUAUCCUUGUUUGUUAAUAACUGUUUGUAUUUUUGAGUCUUGGGAGUCCUAUUUUCAGAACUUUUUUGAAUAUGCAGACUGGCAGCCCUAAACUGCUACUUGAAGUGGUUCCAACUGUUUGGAGUGACACAUCAGCUUUGAUGAAGUCGAACACUGCAGUUCGUAGUCCUUUACUUCGCAAAUUCUUAGUGAAGCUAUCUCAGCGGAUUGCACUUGCUUGCCUGCCUAACCGUCCACCAUCAUGGCACUAUGUGGUUAGAUAUGCUUCAUUAGUUUUAAAAUCAAUCUAUUUACAUCUUACAGUUUCUUCCUUUGAUUGUCUUUGAGUUUAUGGUGUCACCUCCAACUUUUCUUUCCAUAUAUUCCAUUCUCGAUGUCCAGAAUUGUUUUCAAACAAUCUAUGAAACCUAUUCUCAUCGCUUUCUUGAAUUGCCUCCCAUCCUUUGUUAGUAAAAGAUGAAAUACUUCAAAUAAAUGUAUCCCAUAUUAAGAUUGCUAUGUGGUAAGGGAUCAGAAUGCCUGAUAAUGUGUUGAACUAUUCAGGGGUGGCUUCUUGCACAAGUCAUUGAUGUGACAAGGCAUUCUGCUUCUGUUUUUUGUCAUUGACUACUUCAUCAUUCUUCCAAAAAUGACAUCUAUGGUGGAAUCUUAGAGGCUUUAAUGGUUUUGGGAGCUUUAGAUCUUUUGUCUUGGUUUUUUUUUGGUUCUCUAUUUAUGCUAGUAUUCUGCUCUCUCUGUUGAAAACAAGCUAUUAUUUUUAAAAAAAUUCUAAAGUUUCUGUGUACAAGAAUCAUGUUUUAACUAAGACAUGUUUUGUGUGUAGGGUAGAACUAGCACUCUUGAAGAGCAUAUCCCUUCAGGUGUCCCCAAAAGUGAUCAAGGCAAUGAUUCUUCAAAGAUUUUUUCUAACUCUUGCGACCAAGAUGAAUGCUGCCCUCAAGAGGAAGAUAUGGAUGUUCCAGAAAUAGUGGAAGAGAUUAUUGAACUACUGCUUUCAGGACUGAGAGACACGGUAUGUUUGCAGGGUGAGAUUCUACCAUAAUCUAACAAUUCUUUAAGAGCUGUCUCCAGCAGUUUGUUUGAUGAUGACCUAUAAUUCAGGCAGCGGCUGAGACUGCUGCACUGAGGCAGCUGUUUUCUGCCUUCUCACUCAUUUCCUGAGAAGCUGUAAACACCAUUUAAGUAUUUUCCAAUCAUGAGGUCCUUUUGCUGCCACCCAAGUGCUGGCAAUUUGAAGGGCUUGCAACUCCUGUUUAUAUCCUAUAUUCUCUUUGCUUGUAAUGUUCCUUGCAAAGAUUGUUGUAACAUGCAUUUGAAACUGAAGUUUGUGUCAAAAGUUUAUUAUGCUUGACCCCUUACGCUAAAGUAGCUGUUCUUUUUCCAUAGUGAACAGUAGAUGACUUGAGCUGAGUUUUCAGACUCCCUAUGUAGCUUAUGUACCAGCAUUGAAUGAUGUAUUUCAAACAGACAGUCAUGAAUGACAACCUAUUGGGUUUUUGAGUGGUUGAUAUGUGCUAAUUGUUUUAGUGGCUGGGAUUCUGUAAUUGGAUGUAUGACCAAGCUUCUUUCACACUUAGUAUUUUCUCACCAUGUACACGUGGUUGUGGUAAAAACUAGAAUAAGCAGAGUGGAUUCAUGGUUGACAGUAAAAGUAGAAACACCGAGUGAAGGUUGUCUGGCCUGCUAGAUAGAUUCCUGGUAUUUCUCUCAUACUUGUGACAAUUGCGAGCUUGUUUAGAUUUGAUAUGGUAAGUCAGCAAAUGUUGUUUUCUGCUACAAAUUAGGGCAUUUGCAAGGUUUGAUGGCAGCUUCUAGAAUCAAAGGUUCACUUCUUUCAAUGCAUUGUGUCGUAUCUUGAAAGCAUGCUUAACAAUUGUGACUGCUGAGUAAUAAGCAUCUAAAUGAAUUUUGAGAUAAAUUGUUGGGAAAUUUCCAAAGAAUCAAGUUCUUGAUGAAUAAUGUUUUCAUAUGAAGGCCCCAAAAAAAAGUAUUGUAUAUGAAGUCUUAUGAGUUAAUGUAUCCAUUGAAAUGCUCCUUAAAUUUGUUAUCUGUUACAAGUCAUAGAAAUUGGAUGCAUUCUCUUGCUUCAAAAUUUUGCUGUGUUUUGUUUAUCAAUUUUCCUUUAGUAGAUUGCACAAAGCAUUUCAAGAUGUUGACAAACAGGUAACAUUUAUGGAUAAAGUAAGCCUUGUGAUUUCUGUUUUCAAUGAUGAUGUGAAUGAGUAAAUCUCCAAACCAUAUUACCAGCCAAAAGUGCCAGCUAUUAGCAUGUUGGAAACUCAUAGUUACUAAGGACAACAACAUUGGUUUUGCAUGAGAGUUAUAGCUUGACCAGUUUCAUGCGUUUGCCUUGUUAGUUGGCCUAGAUGGUCAAACCAAGAGCUGGUUAUUCAGCAUCCUGCAAAAGGAGUUGUAAACUUCCUUUCCCUUCAGGUCUACGGGGCCAAUAGUGGGACUGGUUGCCUGCCCACAAACUGAGAAGGUUAAGUGCUGAAUAAAUUCCUAGGUGCAAAUGUUAGGAACUUAAUUUGCACCUGAUGGUUAAAUCGAUAACAUGUAUAAAUAGGUAUACAACAUUUUAUUAUAAUGUGUUAAUAGGAUUACUUUUUUCUAGUCUAUUACAAGCGAACCUGAUAAAAGGAUUUCACUGGUGGUUGCAUGGUAAUUAUCCCGGCUUGCGUGUGUAAAGAAAUUUUUCCCUAAUGAUGUGUUUGAGAUUUAUUUAAUGCUUUUAUGAAUACUAAGGAGCAACAACAUAAAUGGUAUGCAUUUGUGGGCUAAGGCUGUCAGGUUACUUAUUACUUUGGUAUAGUUACUUAUUACUUUGGUAUAAAGGUUUUACACCUUUUACUUUAUCCUUUGAUAUUCAUGGCUUAGAGCUUCAUGAUAUUCUUGACUAUUGCCUUUGAGAAAUAAGCCAUUUUAUACUCUGUAACAGGGUAUAUUUUUUUAAUCUCUUGGCUUCUCAUGUACACAAGCCUUAAGUUUGUGCUCCUUUAUUCAAUUUAUUAGUGCUUUUAUGUGGUUAAGUUUUCUGCAUUUUAAACAUUCACAUUAUUUACAUACAGAAAUUACUUAUCCUUAGUUUCUUCCAAUGUUUGUGUAAGUCAGCUCUCAUCAAGUGACAGUUUUGACAUUGGUGACUUUUUAUGAUUUUUAUGAUGUAGGAUACUGUUGUGCGCUGGUCUGCUGCGAAAGGUAUUGGUCGCAUUACUUCACACUUAACUUGCACACUUGCAGAUGAAGUCCUUGCAUCUAUACUGGAGCUAUUUUCACCUGGCGAGGUAAGCUGAUGCAGUGUUAUUUAGUCUGUUCAUCUACAAUUUAAUAAGUAGGAGCAGUUUUUCAAAUAUAUUUUGACAAUACUAAAGUGAAAUUGUAAUGUAAAUAUAAAUUAAAGGAAAAUAUAGAUAUGUUAACUAAAAGUUUGACUUCAUUAAGGCUUUGUUUGGAUGGAAAGUGUAUCCCUAGGUUAUUUGAAGUGAAGCAAAUAGUUUGCUUUACUUUCGGUGCUUGUGUAACAAAUUGUUGGGCAUUCUCAUGGUAAAGAGUAUGAUCCUUGAUGGCUUUCUAUAAAAUCUUGAAAUUCUGAAAGACACAAUGUAUAGCAAUUUUCUUUUUCUUUAGGAAAUUAACCAUUCACUUUCAUGGAAACCCUGGAUGCUUGCUGGGAAAUUUAGCAAACUUUGCCAUUCUUUCCUUUUCCUUUCCCAGAUUAUUUGUUUAAGAAUACCUGUGGAUAACAAUUAUUAAGUUUGUGCUUGAGUGCUUACCUCCUGGUAAUGUAUGAAUCUAAGCAAACUUUGCUUCAGUUAAUCUCUUACUUUUAUAUGUUAUACUGUGUCCUCAUUUGGUAGGGCGAUGGUUCCUGGCACGGUGGUUGCUUGGCCAUGGCUGAAUUGGCACGAAGAGGAUUACUUUUGCCAUCAAUUUUUGUAAAGUUGUGCCAGUUGUUGUGAAGGUUUGCAGCUUCUGUCAUCUCAUAUUUUUCUCUUAUUGCUUUUUAUCAAGAUCGUGAAGUUGUUUUUUUGCAUUUAACUUAUAAUAUUGUCCAUUGUAACUAUUGUCCCUAUUUGUAGUCCAUUGCUGUUAAAGGGGGAUAAAGAACUACUCUCUCUGUCCCACUUUGAUAGUAAGCUAGAUUUAUUCUUCCAAAAAAGUUAACUUUUCUUAAACUAUGUGAAAAAAAAAACCAAACCUAUCAAAGUGGGAUGGAAGGAGUAUAUUGAAAAUGCCUUAUUCGUCUAAGGAGGAAAAAAUGAAGCUGUUUGUGCUUCAUUAAAUUUGCAAGGAGGAAAUAAACAGCUCAGUUAUAUUUGUGGUUAUGUUAUAUUAUUUUUUUAAAAAACCCAAUAUUGCUAAGUGUUAUCCCUUCUUCUGCCCCAUGUAGAUAGCUAAGUGUUUAUCAGCUGGAAGCUGUAUGAGCAUUGUCGUCCAUGUCAGGUUAUGUGAGAAUAUUGCUUAGCGUUUGUUGUUUUGGGGGGGGGGGAGGGUGUGUGGGGGUGUUGGGGCCUGGCUUUACGGAGGGAGGGUGGAAUGUGGUUGCCAAUUUAGUAUAUAUGGCCCUGCAUCUGAAGUUCUUGGCGCCCUUCAGGAGGCUACUUUUGUGCAUUUUUAUGCAAUCUGUAUAUUUUAAGCCUUUAAGGUGUAGAAUGAUGAGAAACAAAAAAAAUUCGUGAAGUAGUCAUUGGAAAAUUAGUGACUACACCUGAAAACAAAUGAAAAUAGAGCCUGAAAGAAUUCUCAUUGCAAAGAAUUUUGAAUCUUUUUAAAUUGGAUUAAUUGUGUUUAUUUGUUUGGAAGUUUGGAAAUUGAGCAUGAAGAACAAACUGUAAGUGUGUGUGCUUGUGUGUGUGUGUGAGAGAGAGAGAGAGAGAGAGAGGGAGGGAGGGAGGGGGAGAGAGCGAGAGAGAGAGAGAGAGAGAGGAGAGAGAGAGUCAAGGAAAAAGAGAAAUGGAAAUAGGCCAGCAGAAGGUGCUGAGAGCAAUUCUUUUGGGGUUUUGGAAGUGUGUGGGCAGGGUUUGGGGGAUUGGAACAGAGGAAGAAAGAUAUUUUGUUUGAUUAUUAGAUUUACAGAGGUUGUCAUCUUUGCUGACAAAUUUUCAUGCUGUCAAAGUGAACCGUGUAACCUAUUUGUUGGUGAGAUUUUAUGUCAAUCUGAUACAUUCUAUGCUAUUAUAGACAGUUCGACCCUUUUGAUUUUAAGUCAACAAUCAGACACUUAGUAGUCCAAAAUGAUUAUUUUGAAGAAGCAUAUGCCUGAAAUUUACCCUCUGCUCAAUGCGCUUCAGUAUGACAUGUUUUCUACGGCGUUAAUUAUUCUUAAUGAUUUGACCUCAGAGUUUAUUUUACUUGAAUUUUUCUUCUUCUAAUUCAUGCUUUGACACUUUAAUCUUGCUACGCUCAAUUCAGACCAUACUCACUGAAUUAUUGUUUUGGAAGAAUUCUACUUUAGUGCAACCUUUACACCAUUUACAAGAUCUUAUUGGGGGCUUGUGAAACCAUCAUGUGCUAUGUUCCUACUAUUCCUGUCCCUGGUCUCUUGUUUUUCCUUUUUGUCUAAAGUGUAUGACUUUCCCCAGGAGCUUGGAGUGGUUGUGCUAUAUUACUUGAUUAAUGUCAUUGAUAAAAAUACUGUGUAACAGGCAUUACAUUACGACAUUCGAAGAGGUCCACACAGUGUUGGAUCCCAUGUACGUGAUGCUGCUGCAUAUGUUUGUUGGGCAUUUGGCCGCUCAUAUUAUCACACAGAUAUGAGAAGUGUACUUGAACAGCUGGCUUCCCACCUCUUAACCAUAGCUUGCUAUGACCGUGAGGUGCUCAAAUCAUGAUACUGUUUUCUGCUUUUCUACUGUAUUUAUGUUUGUCCUAAAAAGAUACUUAUUCAUUUACUAAAGAUGGUAAAAUUAUGAUUCUAUUAAAAGGUUAACUGCAGAAGAGCAGCAGCAGCUGCUUUUCAGGAGAAUGUAGGGAGACAAGGGAAUUUUCCCCAUGGCAUUGAUAUUGUGAAUACAGCUGAUUACUUUGCACUCUCUUCAAGGGUAAACUCCUAUCUCCAUGUUGCUGUCUGCAUUGCUGAGUACGAUGACUAUCUUCACCCUUUUGUGGAUGAAUUGCGGCAUAGCAAGAUCUGUCAUUGGGUAUGCUAUAUCUUUCUCCAUAUCAAAAGUUGGUCUUCAACUAUCAUUUGCCCUAUUUCUUUAUUCUAAAAGUUAAAUCAAGAAAGUUCUUAUCUGUAGGCCUCUUGUAUGUUUUUAUUAGAUUCCAAGCUUUAAAAGAUUAGGACAAAUAUAGUAACUUAUUUUGAUCAGAGCUAUAUAAUCAACAACCUAGAAAAUUUUCUUCAGAUCUUCUCCUAAUGUUUCCUUGUGCUGCUGAGUUCAUCACAAUUUUGUAAAAUCAGUCAAAAAUCUCAUCCUGAUCGCAAUAUAUUUUUAUUGGAUAGGCCUUUGGAUAGAGUUCAAUCUAGGCAUUUAAAGCAAAUCCUUAUUGUAGGGAGUGGGCCAAAUGCCUUCCAAAUGAACAGUUUAAUAUCAUUUUUUAUUUCCCAAAUUAGUCUUGCAUUGAAAACUAGAGUACAUGUUCAGUGUUAGUUGCCUUGUUUUUUCACUAACUAACUGACAUUCCAGUCUCCUCCAUUUGAGCACACUCAUUGGUUUUGCCUCGAUCACUAGUGCUAAGUUUCUUAUUUUUAAGUAUUUCAUCUUCUUUGACUCCAUUUUGUUCUCCUGAGUACAUUGACCAAAAUGAAAAUUAGGCAAAGUGGAAAGGAGAAGCCUUAGUCCUACAACAGUGUCUUAUUCUACUUGUCUAAGUGGGACAAGAUAGGGAUUUUGCAGAUUUCCUGUAAUUUCCUGAUAGUGCUAUUGUCCAUAUCGAAAAUUACUGACAACUAAGUUGUCUGUUUAUUUUUUUGUGAACUUGAAUCUUGUUUGAAGAACUUAAUAGCUGUUUUGUGCCUCAUAUUGUUGCUUGGCUGGAUAUUCCAUAGAAGCUCAAUUUAUCAUUGCUAUAUACAGGACAAAGGUUUGAGAGAGCUUGCAACAAAUGCUCUUUCUGCCCUUGUAAGAUACAAGCCUGAUUAUUUUGCGGGUGUCAUUCUUGAGAAAUUAAUUCCUUGCACCCUGUCAUCUGAUUUAUGCAUGCGGCAUGGUGCAACUUUAGCAGUUGGAGAAGUUAUUUUGGCUUUACACAAGUGUGGCUAUCUUCUUUCAACAGGUUGGUUCUCAUCUGCUGAUUUGAACCUCACUUUGUCUAAUUGGUUCUUUGCUUUGUCUAAUCGGUUCUUAUCAAGUGUUACUUCAUAGUUUUCUUAAUGCAGUUUUCUUUAAAUUUUUGACUUGCCUUCAAGUACUUUUGGUGCUGGUGUUGGUUUCUUUAACAAUUUACUUCAAUGCCCAUAUCUAGUUAAAGUUAUGAAGAAAAAUUUGUUCAAAGAGUUGAUUUGUCUCAAUAAAUAUGUGUAUCAAUACUGAGAAGUUAGUGGCUGAUCAGCGAUGAACGGUUUAUUGUCAUUUCUCCUUUUAGACUUUGAUUCGACAGACUAAUAAAUAGCCAAACUCAACUGAUACUUGUCUCAUUUGUACUCAAAAGUUGAGAAGCAGUCAACCUGAGCUUGUUUAUCCCUUGUUUAACAAUGCAUCAGGGGUUAUGUUAAUUAAGAAUUAGUAGGAGAUAUGGACGUUCCAUGGCUAUCUGGGGAUUUGUCACACUAUCUUUAUAAGUGAUACCAUCAUUUACAUUGCUUAAAUGAAUGCAUGAGAACUUCAGAUCUGUUAGUUCAUAGGUGAAUUAGUUGGUUUUUUACCUUAGAUGAUGGGAUAAAUUUCUCCUAAAUCUUUUUAAUUACGUAGAGCUUGUAGUUUGUCUUUAGUGUGUUUGUGCUCACAAUGUUAUACCAUAAAAUUGCUGACCCUGCUUCAUUAAUAUGAUGCAGAUAAGCAAAAGCAAAUUGCUGGUAUAGUUCCUGCAAUUGAGAAAGCGCGUCUUUAUCGUGGGAAAGGUGGAGAAAUAAUGCGCUCUGCUGUUUCACGCUUCAUUGAGUGCAUUUCCUUGGCUCAUAUACAGUUGACAGAGAAAAUAAAGCGAAGUUUUCUUGAUACUCUUAACGAGAAUCUGAGACAUCCUAAUUCUCAAAUACAGGUUUUGCAACUUGUGGAAGUAUUAUCAGUGGUUUUAUGAAAAGUUAAUUUCCUGUAUGAACUCUCUUCAUUGUGAUGUACAGCAUGCUGCUGUUGAAGCCCUGAAGCGCUUCGUCUGUGCUUACCUUGUUGGAUUGGGAAAUAAAAGCAUUUAUGACAUUUUGCCGAAAUACCUUGAACAAUUAAAUGAUGCUAAUGUGGCUGCAAGACGAGGAUCUGCACUUGCACUAGGUGUUUUGCCUUCAGACAUUCUUGCUAGUCAAUGGAAAGUUGUACUUUUGAAGCUCUGUAGCUGUUGCGAAAUUGAGGUAGAGAUUACUUAUGUUGCCUCAACUACAGAAAAUCUAUAGAAAGCCAUACCUGUGAUUGAACAAUUCUUGAUGUGCAGAAUAAUCCUGAAGAUCGGGACGCUGAGUCACGGGUGAAUGCUGUCAAAGCACUUGUCUCGGUUUGUGAAACUUUAACUCAGGAAAUUGAGCAUUCUAGUUUCUUCUCUAGUGAAGAUACUGUUUCUUUUCUUUUAUUUGUGAAAAAUGAAGUUAUGCAGAGUCUGUUUAAAGCUCUAGAUGAUUACUCUGUGGACAAUAGAGGUGAUGUAGGCUCUUGGGUUCGUGAGGCUGCCAUUUUUGGCAUUGAAAAGUGUACAUAUAUUCUAUGUCGUAGAAGUUCCUUGGUAUCUAUAAGUCAAUUACAAGAAAGUAAAUCCAUUCCAGAAUGGCAAAACGAAGAUAAUAUUCCAGAUGAUGAGGUCCAAUCAUAUUUUGAUGCAAGUCUUUCAACUACUUUGGUUGGUGGCCUUGUUAAGCAAGCGGUGGAGAAGAUGGAUAAGAUAAGGGAAUUAGCUGCUAAGGUUCUUCAAAGGAUUUUGUAUAGCAAUACGGUACCAGUUCCAUUUAUAGCUUGCCAAGAGAAAUUAAAAGAUAUAAUUCCUGAAAAAGCCGAUUCAGAAUGGGGGGUAAGUAAAGCAAGUUAUUUUAUAUGAAAAAUUCAACUUCAAUAUAUUUUGCCAAACAUGCCAUUUUAUUUUUAUUUGCAGGAACCAGCUUUCUUAUAUCCUCGGUUUAUUCAGUUACUUCAGCUCAGUUGUUACAGUAAAUAUGUGAUAUCAGGGUUGGUUAUUUCUAUUGGUGGACUGCAAGAUUCUUUGAGAAAGGUGUCACUGAGUGCUCUGUUGGAUUAUCUUCAAGGGAAAGAAGCAAAGGAUGGGGAGUUGAGUCUCGCCUCUGAUAUUCUUUGGGUUCUUCAGAAUUACAAAAGAUGCGACAGAGUCACAGUACCAACUUUAAAGGUACUUGGGGUUUAGGGUUCUCAAAAAAUGAUGGUUAUAUUUUGGUUUAUGUCAGUGUUGGAAUGGUCAAUUUACUUUCUGAAUUAUGUAAAAGCAUCUUCUAAUAUUUUGUGUACAAACAUGGCUCUCAAUACUUGAACAAGAAAAUAAACAUUCUCAGAUUAAAAAUAAAAUAGAUGCCUAAAAUAAUUCUCAGGUAGGAGUGCAAUGAAACAGAUGUGGACCUCUUAGUUGGAAGGCUGGUAUAUUUAGAAUCAUCUGCACUUCUAUUUUUUUUCUUCUUCAAGAAGUAAGAGUAAAUAAAGCUUUUUUAUGAUAGGCAUGCUUGUAUGGAGUCAAUAACUUUUGUAUGAUUCAAUUGUAACUGCUAUUGAACCAUGAAUUUAAUUUUAUGCUCAACAGAAGAACAUCAUUUGUUAAAGAAAGAAUACGAAUAAUUUAUUCUUUUAUUCAUUCUGGUGCUAGAAAACACUCAUCCUCAUGUUCUGUUGAUGUCCUGAGAAAAGUGGAGUUGUUUUCUUUUCUUUCUGCAGCUUAUGGUAAGAAUAUGGAAGUUUUUGUUACCGUUAUGUUUUAAAUUUUUAAAAAACUUGAAGAAAUUGAAGAAUGAGACAUUUUGUUUGUUAUACCUGGAUAUGAGGUAGUCUACCUUCAUUUCAUCAUCCUGUCCAUGGUGAGUGCUGGUUAUAAAUCAUGGAUGAGUGAUCCCUUUAGUAGGCUCAAUGCUACGCUGAUAAAUGUGUUGCUGUUUUAAUUGUUAUUUAAACGUGAUGCGUUUCGCACUGCAGGCAUUAAAGAGAGUAUUUAGCCCUUAUUCCCUAAGACCAGUUGACAUCUCAAUUAUAACAAAUUUUCAUUUCCUUUAGAAAAUUGCUUUUCUUAGCUCUAAAUCUGUAUUAACUCCAUUUUGUGUGUUUGAGUGGUCAAUCUGUUGCACUCAUGAUUCAUUUGGCUGUUUUCUUAUCUCAUAAUUUUUCAUUUUUCAUGUUUAUAAUUUUCCUUUUCAGACUAUUGAGAUUCUUUUCAGCAAAAAGGUGUUCUUAAACAUGGAGGUCAGUUGAUUCUCCAUAGUGAAAUGACAUAGCUUUCCGUACUUCAUUUGUAAAUAUACUUUAUUUCUCCCUUCUCCCUAAUAAAAUGGCUUUCUUCCUAAUAAUCUUUUAGGCAUAUACUCCAAUCUUUUGUGCUGGCAUUCUGGAUUCCAUCACAGUAGAGUUGAAAGGAUCUAAGGAUUUUUCGAAGUUAUACUCUGGGAUUGCAAUUCUUGGAUAUAUUGCUUCGCUUUCAGAUCUCAUUAAUAAGCGGGCCUUCACGCAUCUUCUGACUUUUCUCAGCCAUAGAUACCCCAAGGUAUACAGCACUAGAAGGUUCUUAAGAAAUGGUCUAUGAUGUAGAAUUCUCCUACUGUUUUUCCAGUGUUGAUGUGAUUUCUUCUGUGGCUGUUUAUUCAUGCACUGUGAUCACCUUGUGUGUGCAGAUUCGCAAGGCUACUGCAGAACAAGUGUAUCUUGUCCUCCUGCAAAAUGGGAGUUUGGUAGCAGACAUAAAUUUGGAGAAAGCACUUGAUAUUAUUCAGAAACCUGUUGGGAAGGUGACUUUGAUGAAGUAAAACGUAAAAAGUUAGAACUCUGUGAUAUGGCAGAUGUUGAAGCUGGUCAGCUUCCUAAAGCUACCAGUGAACAAAACAACACUGUACAGAGGCGUGAAACACUUGAUGAAAACGCGUCAUAUUCCUCAUUAGUUGAAUCAGUUGGGUUUUAGAUUAUUCAGUCAAAACCAUUUGAGGAAGGAGAAAGAUGGUAGGGGUGUUUAUUAUGUAAGAAAGAUGCUGCGAGGAAUUGAAAUCUAUUGCGUGUCUUUUCUUUUUCAGUAUGUGAGUGCUCAUCCGAUCAGCCACCUUUUAUUUCAAGAAUUCUUGCUAUUGCUAGGACUUUGCAUCAGUCUAAUUGCAGCUUGACCUGCAACUCUCUCAUCUUGGCAUAUUUAAUUUCCUCGUGUUCGAAAUGACUUUGGCUUGGGUGCCACUUUCUGAAAAUAGGCUUGAACGGGCUGUUAUUGAGGCUGUUGCCGCAGAUGGUGUGAGAGCUGUUAUUGAGGUAACAAAAGCUUUCAUGCUGGUGCGUUAGGUAAGAUUCUGAGACUGCAGUAGCGCGGAUGGCAAUUUGGCUGGCAGAGCCUUCUGUUGUGUCAGGUUUCGAAGGACAAGUUGAUGCUCUUAAUGUGAUCUAUAUACUUCAUCGGUCCUAUUGCUGAACAAAAUUAAGGGCUGUAUUGUAUGGCUAGAGGUUAGCAAAGUGUAAAUAAAAUAGAGAGGGAGAAGUUAAGUGCUGCAGACAGGAGUAAUGAGAGUGCAUUAUAACAACGUAAUUAUUGAAUCAGCAUCUUUGAGCUUUCUAAAUCACAUUAUAAAUCUACAUAGACUGUAUUAUUAGCACACAGUCAUUUAACUCCUAAGCAAACCAAUAUUAAAAGCGGACGCUAUAGCAGAUUCUUAAGAAAAAGAGAACUUAGAUCUUUGAGUGGCUUGUAGGUGCUUCUACAGCCAGACACAUUUCGAACUACAAACCUUCUUAUCAAAUUUUCAAUCCAAUAGAUUACAAAUGCAAGUCAAUUUGAUAAAGUAGUGUAAAAAAAUCCAGCAAAAAGGUAUGAUAUUCCCCCGAGAAUGCGAAGCGGGUACCACUGGCUUCUUGUCAAAGCUCUAAAGCACAAAAAUAGGUUGAGAUUGAUCUGGCUGGAUGAUAUCGGUUAUGAGUGUAUCCAGGGGAACACGUUGGGGGAUGUUGGCAAGCGUGCUGUGAGAACUUCAACCCCCGUCUCCGUCACCUGCAAAAUUGCACUUAAUUAUAUUGUGCAUCACUAGUUGAAAUUAUAUUAUCCCAAAAAAAAAAAAAAGGGUUAAUCAGAUGCACGACUUUUCGUUGCACUUGGCAUACAUCAGUUUCAAAGCAAAGAGACCAUGCUAGAAUGAUAAUCCUAGAAAACUAAAUUGUUCUGUUGCAGGGAUGUUAGUAAACACCACAAAUGCCUUGCAACUUUUGUAAACUUUGAAGACUUCUUAGGAGGUGAACCUUGGGUCUAGUCUAUUGCCACUAAAUUAACUUUAGCAGUGAUUCACAAAGGUGGCAAGGCACUUAAGGAAUACAGUCAAGGUGGAAAUGCAUACAUGCAUGAGAUAUUGUCCCUCUUGAAGGAGUCUAAAUUCUCAUGUGGUGUACGAACUCAUUGCAUCACUAAAAUGGACCAAUUUCAUCAGCUCCCAAGUAUAUGAAAGAAUAUCAAGGACCAGUAGCAAACAAAUCAGUAUUAAUGUGUUCAACACUAACAGAUCUCACCAAAAGAGUGUGUUCAAACUGAGCACUGCGUUUUCCAUCUGCAGUAACAGCUGUCCAUCCAUCAGGCCACAUCCGGUCACGCCAAACACCUGUCAGUGGGAAGUAGCUCAAUAUAUAACAUUGAGAAAACCUAAACCUAUACAUAUCGGUUGUGAUAUCCUGUGAAUGAAACUAGUACCUGCAUUGAUCAUUGGUUCUAUAGUAAAGGUCUGGCCAGCCUUCAUUAUACCAACUGCUUUAUUUCCUGCUCGGAGUUAAAGGGCAAAACCAGAGAAAUGGGAAUUCAACAGCAACGGCAAUCAAUCCUUUCUAUCUUCUAUAAUUUAUCUAUUUAGUACCAUUCAGAUUCACUGUACCCAAAGACAGAUUUCAUGGAGAAGCCAUAUUUCAAACCUAAAACUGGGAACCAGAAGGUUUCAAGCGAAAAAGAUUUCAUAAUGUCAAGCAGCUUUUCUCAAGGAUACUAGCAUAAUGCGGAAUAUUUGGUGCACAAUGGAAUAGCUCUCCAAUACCAUGACCACAAUAAGAUUUGACCUGUUUUACAAGCCAGAAACGCAAAAAAAUUUUAUAAAAAAUGAAAUUGAAGAAAUAUUUUAAAUUCUUUAAGCAAGACGUGGGGAACAAGGUACUAGCAGUUUACCACAGAGAAGCCUGACAUCAAAGCGUGUCGAUUGAUGACCUCUCCAACUUCACGAAAUCGUACCCCAGGCUUGACUAGAAGUAGCAAUACAAAGUAGUUUAAAAAAAAAAAUGAUACUCACUGAAUCUACAACUUAACUUCCCAAGAAAGUUGGAAUUUUGUAAGCGCAGCAUUCCAAAACUGAAAGUAAUAUCAGAACUUUGUGGACAGAUGCAAAUUGAAACAUGCAAAACCGGGAUGAAACAAAGCACAUGCAAUAUUACUUCUAAAUAAAUCACAACUUUGUAUCUCUCCUUUAAAGUAACAAUAUUUUUCCAGAUGGAAGAAUUUUUUUUGCAAAGAAAUGAGAUGCAUCAGAAAGGAAAGAGUACACGUCACAGAUAGAAGGAAAAGAGGGAAAGAAACUGCAUAAUAAGGCUACUAGAAAUGUCAAGUGAUGGUAAAGUUCAGCGCUGAUCUCUAAGAAACAGUUCUGGGGCUGUCAGGAGAUGGAAUACAACUUUGAUGUACAAAGAUCUCAAAGCAACACCCACCAAUAGAUAUUGCCUUCUCCAAACACUCGUAUGUACAUUGCACGAGCCGCUGAGAUGCUUCAUCAACGUUGCCCACAAAGAAUGUUUCAUUGAGAUCACCUGCAUACUCAGCAUAACAGACCAGUUAAUCUUGUAAGUUUAUAGUAAUCAGAUUAACACAACAAAAAAAUCAAUAGUACCAAGAGUUUACCAUGGACCCCUUUAUAGUACACAGUUACAUCUACAUUUACAAUGUCGCCAUCCUCUAAUUUCCUGAGAAGAUUAAGUAUAUAGCAUAAUGUAUAGAGGCUCAAUCCAACUUUCAGCGAGGCUUAGAUAUAAAAUAUAACAGAUUGUUACUAGAUCCUCCUUUCAGACUGUAUUACAUAAUAAAAAGCAACAUGAUCCCAAAUUAUAUAUAUAUAUAUAUAUAUAUAUAUAUAUAUAUAUAUAUAUAAGCAAGCAUGAAGCACCUCAUAAAAUGGAACAUAAACUAAAGAAAGUAAGACAAAAAUGCAGUGAUCAGCAGCAUUCUUUUACCUGCCUUCUGAUAUUGUGGAAUGAACAGAAAAAAGAAUUUCAUAUGAAAGACUAAUUGUGCAGAGAGAACAUAGUCAAACAAUUUUAAUCGAUAUGUUAAAUUCAGAAGUCAGAAGACAUGGUUAGGAUCAGCAAAAGGACAUCAAAAGAAUGUACGAUGUUUAACAGAAAAACAGAAGCGACUACCAUGAAUAUGCUUGGUUUCAAGCAGGAGGUACCUUGCAUCCGGAAUUCCAUGGCAGAUUACCUCAUUAACUGACCUGUGACCACAAGGCAGAAAAAUGUCGAAAAUGCAGGAUGAUAACAAGGAAACAUGAAUGUACCGUGCACAAUGUGGAAGUACCUACGUGCAGCAAGAUUUUGGGAAGAAAUGAUAGUUCAGAGGCGAUGGUAUCCACCUGCAGUGGAUAAAACUGAAAGUGUCAUGAAGGUCACGGAUAGUUGCCAUGUGCAAUAUCAUAUGAAAGAACCAAGAAUAAGAAACAUAAAAAUUGCUACAAGUCAAACAACAAGAUAGGACCACCUGUGCAAUAAUAAUUAUAGUACCUAACAAGAAAAGAGAAAAGAGAGGGAGUGGUAACAUCUAAGAAGGGGUAAGAAUUUCAAGAAAAUUUUACUAUCAUAAGAAGGAUCUCAGACUAUCUACAUCACUGAGAAAACUAAAAUGACUAAUCCUAAUGUACAAUUUUAGACUUGUUUGCCUAUCAUAUCAAUAGUUUAUCUAGAUAACCACCAAUCAAAAGAAACAGGUAAGUUUUCUAACAAGAUGUCUGCCUUGCUCAAAUGUGGUAGAAAUACAUGCCAGUGAUCUAAAUCCAAAAAUUGGCUUGAAGCUAACAAUGCAAAAAUGUCUUCCAAACUAAAACAAGGCAGAGAAACAAGUUGGAUUGUUCGCCAACACACAUCUGGAAAAAUAAGUAGCCCAGAUGACAAAUUUAGUGUACCGACAAAUUCAAGUUCUCAAUAUAAAAAUUCUUCUCAAAACACAAACAUGAGUGUACAAAGGCACAUGAGAGAGAAGGAAAAAGCAAUAAAUUUGAAUAGCAUCCUAAAGGAAAAACACCUGCAGAAACAGUAGCUUCAUGAACCACCGCAUCAAUUUCAUCAGUAGUUAUGCCAGGUCGAAUAACACGGGCAGCUGCAUCCAAAACUUCUCUUGCAAUCUGCGGGUCACAAACAAUACUCAUAACCAAUUCAAAAAACUUGUGUGUUCAACUAGCAUCUAUAGUAAGGUUAACGUCAAAUUUUAUCUUUGUCAUAAAAGACUGAAGUUCUUCCAAGGAUAAAUACAUAGAAAAUAAGAUAAGCAAAAUAUGAAAAUUGCAUGGAAGUCAAGAUGAAUCCCCCCCCUCCCAAAAAAAAAAAGUUUUUUCUCAGUCUCAAUCAAGUGUAAGAUAAUUUACUUUUCUUCAUCAGUUCCAGACUACCUUCUUCCUUGACCGAGAUAACAUAAAACAUCAUAUUCAUAUUUCUCUCUCUAACUUCAGAUAAUGUUUUCCAUGAUCAAUUCCUUGCUUUGUCCAUUUUUUGUUCUAAAGAGCCAUUGUGCCUCUUGCUUUUUAAAAAAAAAAAUUGAGGAAUGGGAUUUAAGAAGUGGAGAGGUGGAAGGGGGAUCAGAACCCAGGACUUCUAAGUCGUGAAGCCUCAACCUCAGCCACUAGACCAAGGCCUCUUUGGCUUACUGUGCCUCUUGCUUCUUAAUGCAGAUUAUUUAUAAACAGAGACAUAAAUUCUGCGGCAUGUACUUGGUUGAUGUGAUUCACAACUUAUAACAUAAAGAUUGAUAUCUCAAACCACCAAAUAGAACAAUGUACCAAGUUAAACAAAAAGACAAUUACUUACUCGACAAGUUUCUCGCAUUCUCUCAAUUUGGUCGGGAGUCUUGAUCUUCAAAUUACGUGUAUUUGCAAAACAUAAACAAAACUAAGUCACAACUCUCUCUUGUGCAGAAAUUUGAGACUAAAAUGUUUAGCUUCAAUCAGAGGAUACCUCAACAGUGUGCUGCAGGUCACUAUUUGGCUCAACCUUUGGGAUUCCCUGCCAUGUUAAACAUACGAAGUUAAGCAAACUCAAGAAUUAUAGCAUGAAGUUCCAAUGCAAAGUUAAAAUUACAGUCCACGAGCCUAACUGAAAUAAAGGAUUACAAUUUCCAUAUAACAACCAAGGAGAUAAAUUAGUAAUGAAACCAACUGAUCAUUAAAAUCACAUUCAUUCAAAUAAAAAAACUCUGCAGAAUUUCUGCUCUAUACUUCAAAACCUAUAAGACAAAAACAACAUUUGAAUGGGAAAGUGAAACACUCACAUCACUUGCCCAAUCAGGUUGUUCAACGUGAGCAGGAACUUCACGCUUUUUUGAUAUAGGAUACGGCCUUAGUGUCCUGAGCCAAAACAGAAGAGAUAAUUCAAAAGAACAUCCCCAAUAAAUCAAGGCAUUGGCCAUUUUGAGUCCCUAGUUAAUCCAUUGCUCUCAUUCUAACACUUUUUCUUUACAUGAAAGGAUUACAAUGUUCCUAAAUUUUUGGCGAACCUGAAUCUCAAGCAAAAAUUACAAUGACUUACGAGAGAAGUUGCUAUCACAACAUACUUAAUUGCACUUGCAUAAAACACGUAGAAAAGGAGAAAUUUUUCCUCCAAGAUCCCAACUCUUUAUUCAUUGGAAACAAUUUAUGGAACAUUAUCACUAGGAAAGGCAACUUCUUUAGCAAGAGGAUGAGAAGAAUUGGCCACACCAGGAGUCAAAAUUGAGUAAAAUACCCUGUCCAAUCAAAGUUUGGCAUUUUCAGUGUACGAGCCUGUCCUUUCUUCAAGCAAUAAAGCCAACUGCUUGCAGGAGAGGUAGCAUCUUGCUCAUUGCCAGGUGAAAGUUCCAAUAAUUUCGCUUUCAAGUGAAUUGAUUUAUGAGAACCCCAGGAUGCCUUGAAACAGUCCUGUGUGCUAGUAACAAAUGCAUCUCCGUCAAGGUAAAAUAUAAGCCAUGCCAAAAUAUUAAAUGUUUGAAUACAUUCAGGCAUACAUACAUGUUUCAGCGGCUCUUUUAUUGUCAAAUUUAUAAAACUAAAGAGUAGCUGUUUUCAGAAGUCUUCCUUCCAUUUUUUUUUGUUUCAGCUCUAUCUUUGCUAAUUGACUCUUUCAGGAAGUUAAAACCCAGAAGCAUGAAUAUACAAUUCACAGGUCAGAAUUACAAACCAGAAAGCAGCACCUUCACGGGAAGCUUCAGCUCUACACAUUUGGGGCACCUGCAAGGGAAAAUCCCACUGCUUAUUAUAUAUGAACCAGCAAGACAAUCAUCAAUUUAGUGUAAUAUACACAUGGCCCAUAUAAGAUUACUUCAGUAAGGAAAAAAGAAAACGCAUGAGUUUCUUCACCUUUUCACCAUUUUUAAACAAAAAUGCUUUUACAGCGAUGUGAAUCAUUGUACAACUUUGAAUUUGUACGCAGAAUGAGUAAUGAUUAGUGUAAACAAUUUAAGAAAGUAUAUAGGAUAAAGAUCACUAACUGAAGAUGAGCUGGUUUGCCACAUUUAGCACAGCACAAGGCUGCAGUUUCAACAGCAUCUGCUCCUCCACCCGCCAUAAAAAAAAAUCUGAUUUUUCACAAAUUAUCAAUCAGAUUUUUGAAUAUUUUUCAAAAAUUUUAUAUGGGUUCGAAAAAGAUUGCAUCUUUUUCGGUUGUUGCACAUGAAUAACUGACCUGGAAUCUGGGUUCUGAUCGUUUCCAGUAGGAAGAUUUAGGAAUUUAACGGAGCGAGGGUUGAGCUAGGGUUUUGAGCUCCGUUUUGAAGUUUGUAGAAAAAGGAAAUUUAGUAGCAGAAUAGCAACAAAACGAAAGAGAAAAGAAAAGUAGUUGAACAGGGCCUCUCUUUUCUUUUUCUAAUUCGGGUGUGGAAAUUUUUACCAUAUACAUAUUAGGAUUACUUUCAAUAAGGCCCGCCUCAAAGAAUGGCCUCUUACUCCAUUGUUUUAGGAGAAUUUUCGCUUGUUGGACCCUCGUGGGAAAAUACCGGUUUUCAUCCCUAAACUUUGGGCACAAGACACAUUUCGUCCCUCAUCUUUUGGGCAUGACACAUUUGGUGUCUGAAUUAAUAAUUUUUGACCUAAUGUCAUCCUCAGACAGCAAUUUAACCAACCUUUAACGGACCGUUAAGUAAAUGUGGCUAAUCGAAGCAAAAUUAGGUGGAAAAUGACGUUGUUUUCACUUCCUCUGCAAAUUUCCAAGACUAAGCUCCUAUUGCAAAUUUCUCUGAGAGUAAACCCCCUCUUCCAAUUAUAAAUAUAUAAUUAUAAUUAUAUAAUACAUAUAAAUAUUACUUGUAUUAAUAUUUUAUAUAAUUAUAAUGUAUAUUAGAUAUUAAAUUUAAUCAUUAUAUAACCUUAUAUUCAUAAUAAUAAAUAUAAUUAUAAUUAUAUAAUUUAUUGAUAUUAUAUACACAUAUAUAUUAUAAGGGAUAAUUACAUAAACCUCCCCUAAAUUAGCUUAUGGAAAAAUGGAAAAAUGGAUAAUUUAUGGAGAAAAGCCAUAAAGAGCUGGUGUUUUAUUAGAGAACUGGUUUAUUUUUAUUUUAUCCGAUAAAUAAAUUUGUUUAUGAAAAAAUGGGUACUCUGUUCUUAUAAUAGAGGAAAGCCAUAAAGAGCUGAAGUUUUAUUGGAAAACGAGUUUAUUUUUAUUUUAUUCGAUAAAUAAAUUUAUUUAUGAAAAAAUGGGUACUGUGUUUUUAUAAUGGAGGAAAGCCCUAAAGCGCUAGUCUUUUAUGGAAAAGCGAUACUUUACAGAAAGUGACCGCGAUUUGGUUUAUGAAAUUAUCCAAAAAAACAAUUUAGAAUGAAUUUGUUUAUUUAAUUAAAUAAUUAUUAUAUAUAUUUAUAUAAUGCAUAAUAUAAUUAUACUAAUAUAUUUUAUGAGUAUAAAGUAUAUUAUAUAUUAAUUAUAAUUUUUAGUAUAUAUUAGUAUAUUUAUCAUAAUAAAUAUAAAUAUAAUUAUAUAAUAUAUUAUUACUAUAGACACAUAUAUAUUAAAAUAUAUGCAUAUAUAAUAUACAUUUAUAAAUAUAUAUAAAUAUAUUAUUAGGGUAUAUACCCUAAUAACUAUAAUAUAUUUAGGGUAAUAACUAUAAUAACUAUACCCUAAUAACUAUAAUAUAUUUAUAUAUAUUUAUAAAUGUAUAUUAUAUGUGCAUAUAUUUAUAAUAUAUAUGUGUAUAUAGUAAUAAUAUAUUAUAUAAUUAUAAUUAUAUUUAUUAUUAUAAAUAUACUAAUAUAUACUAAAAAUUAUAAUUAAUAUAUAAUAUACUUUAUAAUCAUAUAAUAUAUUAGUAUAAUUAAAAUUUAUAUAUAUAAUAUAGUUAUAAUUAUAUAUUUUAUAAUAAUAUUAGUAUAAUUAUAUAAUGCAUUAUAUAAAUAUAUAUAUAUAAUAAUUAUUUAAUUAAAUAAACAAAUUCAUUCAAUUUUUUUUGGAUAAUUUCAUAAACCAAAUCGCGGUCACUUUCUGUAAAGUAUCACUUUUCCAUAAAAGACUAGUUCUUUAGGGUUUUCCUCCAUUAUAAGAGCAGAGUACCCAUUUUUCCAUAAAUAAAUUUAUUUAUCGAAUAAAAUAAAAAUAAACUCAUUUUCCAAUAAAACUUCAGCUCUUUAUGGCUUUCCUCUAUUAUAAGAACAGAGUACCCAUUUUUUCAUAAACAAAUUUAUUUAUCGGAUAAAAUAAAAAUAAACUAGUUCUCCAAUAAAACACCAACUCUUUAUGGCUUUUCUCCAUAAAUUAUCCAUUUUCCCAUUUUUCCAUAAGCUAAUUUAGGGGACGUUUCUGAAAUUAUCCCUUAUAAUAUAUAUGUGUAUGUAAUAUUAAUAAAUUAGAUAAUUAUAAUUAUAUUUAUUAUUAUGAAUAUAAGUUUAUAUAAUGAUUAGAUUUAAUAUCUAAUAUACAUUAUAAUUAUAUAAAAUAUUAGUAUAAAAUAUUUAUAUGUAUUAUAUAAUUAUAAUUAUAUAUUUAUAAUUGGAAGAGAGGGUUUACUCUCAGAGAAAUUUGCAGUAGGAGCUUAGUCUUGGAAAUUUGCAGAGGAAGUUGUUGAAUUGAAAGAAAAAGGGAAAGUGAAGACAACGUCAUUUUUCACCUGAUUUUGCUUCAGAUAGCCACAUUUACUUAACGGUCCGUUAAAGGUUGGCUAAAUUGCCGUUUGAGGAUGACAUUUGAUCAAAAAUUGUUAAUUCAGACACCAAAUGUGUCAUGCCCAAAAGAUGAGGGACGAAAUGUAUCUUGUGCCCAAAGUUUGGGAUGAAAACCGGUAUUUUCCCGACCCCGCUGUAUGAAAUUAUUAUUUCAUCCUAAUUUUGUCCCUCUUGUUCAAAAUAUUAGGACAUUUGAUAGCUUAUCUUAUAUGAAAAGAAAAAAAAAAAGAGACUAAAGCGCAUUUCCCCCCUCCUUUCUGGUUAAUGGGCUGCAAAAGGAGGGAAAGAAACAACUAACAUGAAAGAGCGGAGGAUUUUAUAGGUGAACAAACCUCAUUGUUAUUAACAUUCUAUUCUUACUAAUAUGCUACUUCCAAUUAGUAAGGAUGCUUUUGCGAAACAAUUAAACAGUCAAAAUGUCACACCUGAAUCAUAAUAUCGAAACAAAUUAUUGCAUUUAUUAGAUUGACGUCUCAAUUCUCGUGCAAAGAUGAUCGCCUGCCUGCCUCGUUUACAGAUUGUGAUUCUUGAAGCACUAAUAAGGGGCAGUUUUCACUUUUGUUUUUCCACGAUUCAUUGAUUCGUUAUAUAGUACUCAGUUAGGUGAAAUGAAAACUGCAGGAAGGAGAGAUUUUAGCUCCGUUGAGGAUUUUGAUUUUUAGGCUAAUGAAAUCCAAUUAAACUAGCCACAUUCCGAGUGGAAUAUAAAGUUCUAACUGCCAAAAUACAAGUUAAACAAGAAGGAGGCAUAUUGUCAAAGCUCUCAAACUUCAAACAUCAAGCGAAGAUGGUACUCCGGUGGCAGAAAGCCACAGGUCCCCCUGGAUGAAAUUUCUUACAGAAAACCAACUAGCCUCUCGGGGAUCGUACAUUGGAUGAAAUCCAGGCCAUUUCACCCUGUUUGCAGUUGAAGCUCCACGUCCUGUGUUCAUAUACUCCCCAUAAUACAGUGUUGAAAGAGCAAAAUUUCCCGCCCAUUCGCUCCAUCCUCGUGGAUGAACUAAGCCACCCAAGUCUGUCUUAAGAAAUACGGUUCUUGAAUAUUGCUUCCACGGCCGACCAAGGUAACUAUUGAACCUCCCCGUAAAGGGGCUGAAUUCAGAGGAUGGUGCAACUCGACAGUUUAUUAUUGAAAUCCCGUAUACUGAUCUGGGUGAUCCCUCCCUUGUGCAGUUAUCAUGUUAGACUGGUCAUCCAUUGGCCUACGCACGAAAAUGUCGCAAUUUUGGAAGACUGCUGAUGCAUCACCAAAGAUGAAGUCGAUGGUCCCAUGUAUCUGGCAAUCGCGAUAGAAUUGUCUUAGCGAAUGAACCAAGAGGGUGUCUUGGUAACCUUUGAAACUGCAGCGAUAGAAGACCGAGAGGUCUGAGCCUACCCUAAGUGCCACGGCCUGCAUUUUUUGAGGUCCUGCUGUGUUCUCAAACGUUAUGUCUCUUGCCCAAAAGCCGUUUCCAGAAAUACCUACGUGCAGAAAGGGUGAUCAUUCAAUAUUUGUGAAGCUGACAUACAACUAUGUCAGGCAUUUUACGUAUUAUUCUUAAUGGAAAAUAAAACAUCUUUAGCUGGAUCAGCUUUUAAUUUAUCUGGCAAAUUCAGAAUCUGGUUAGUAAAGUCUUCAUGGGAAUAGUGAACUUUAAGAAGAAUACUAGAUUUCAAGCUUACCAAAGGUAGCAGAGCUCAAGGUACUUGCACCAUCAACGACAUUUUGAUUGCCAGUGACAAUUGUUUUGUCGAUACCAUCCCCAACAAACAUGACAUUCUCCAAAUUUCUCGGAUCUCCACCUUCUCAUGGUAUAACCCCGAUUUCACGUAUACUACUGCUCUUCCUGGCCUAUUAUGUCCCAUUCUGCCAAGAGCAGCCACUGCCUCCUUUAUAGUCUCAAAGUUUCCUGAUCCAUCCUGCGCAACUACAAUAUCAGCCUUCGACGUUGCUGGACUCCAUGAUGCUAAUAGCCCCCAAUAUUGAUCAGUGCCUUGUUUUCUUGGAAUCCCUGAAUAAAAAAUUAGUUAGCAAAAGGAUUAUAGCGAGCAUCCCCUGCUUAGUGUAACUUUUAACGAAAGGAGCGAUAUUUCCACUCAGAAACAGUAAAUAUUUCACCAAUACAUUUUGUAGGGGGAGUUCGUACGUUACUUUUUUAAGCGAUCAUGCCCUGUUUGUUAGGCAAUUUUACAUGAAUAUAGACACUCACUAACCAUUCUGCCUAGACAUGUACUAGACGGAUAAGUUGCACAAAAGGCCUAAUUACUCUGAGAAGCUAGCUUACCAUGCGUUAGUGGCCUUCCAAAAUUGCCUUGUAGCUUUACGCGAAGCCAAAGCUGGUGAAGCAACAGAGUUAAGUUUUGUGCUGCCUGAGUAUCAAAAGACAAACCCUUCUCCUCCAAGCCAUCCAAAACAACUUCUGUGGCUAGCCAAGGCCGCACUCAACCAGGUGACUGCAUCAGCUUGGCUGUAAUUCUUGCUAGACAAUUCUAACGCAUGCAGCAAUGGCUCAGACUCCUCAUAAAGCUUCAAGCAAUCAGCUCAAUAGCAAUAUCACCAAAUCUUGAGCCAUGAUCCAAGUGAUCAUGAUAUCUUCUCAAGCUUUGAGCCCAGUUAACGGCUUGUAAAAAUGCCAAACCUGGCCGCUCGGACCGCCUCAAGUUCUUGCUCGCAGGAGAUAUAGCUGGGUACUUGCAAAGACAAUGAAAAGGAAGAUCGCAAACCCUGAAGUUUUUGAACAAGCAGACGGCGGUGAAGUUUGGAGCUGUUGGUUUCCCACCAUACAAGGCACUUUGGAGAAUUCUUAGACAUAAGCGGUGCCGCAGCAUGGGUCACUGAGAUGGAAUAUUUUUCUGAUUCGUCCUCCUGAGUGAAACUUAUUUUUGUGUCAUAGUAACCGUUAAUCAUUUAGAGGUGCAUAAAUAGCCUACUACUAGCUGCCAAUGUAGGUUGAUACAGUCUGAUUCUCCUACUCCUCAUGACAACUAAAUGUAUUGCACAAUCUAUAUAUGGCACUCAUGGUCAUGUAUAUGUUAGUUCAGAGUUAUUUCGUAUACAUUGUUUCCUUUGCGCUUUGUUUUUUCUGUUUUAAAUUUUGGUAAGAAUUCUUAAUAUUUCUGCAAGGAUUAUACUUUCUCAGGCUUCUUGGCUUAAGUACCCUUUUCUAUAUUUUCCAUUUUCUUUUUUGAGGAAAUUGGAUUAAUGUCUUUCAAGGAGUUAUUUAAGAUGAUUAAUUGACCAACCUUUUUUUCCAUUUGGGUGAUUACAAUUUACAUGCGUUACUUAACCGAUUACUGGAGGAUAUUAGUAAAAUGAGUUAAAGAUUUUUAGUAAGGGAGAAAUAAAACCAAAUUAUCAAAUAACUAGUGAGAAAUCAAACUAGCAUUAAACAAAAAAAAACAAAAACAAAAAAACCAAAUCCAUUGACGUUUAUCGAAAAAAAAAGUUGGAUGAUUAUAUAUAGCCGUUGGCUCCUUAUGGAUUAGAUGUUUUUAAAAAACUUUAUUGUAGCAUUCUAUUUAAAAAAUUUUCUGUCAUAAAUUGUCCGUUUGAAUUGUGUGUUUUUGGGAUGUUUUUAAAAUUUAUAAUUUUCUUAGGGUUUUUUUUAAAGAAUUUGUUAAAAUUACUUACCACAACCAUCCACCACCCUUCCCCUUCUCUUCUCUCUACCACUGCUGCCUCCCUCUUCUUCCUCUUUUUCCUCUUUCUCCCCUCUCCUCCUUCCUUGAGGAAGGAAAGAGGAGAAAGGGGAUGGCAGUGGUGGAGGAGGGAAUACAGGAGGGGGCGGUGGUGUGUGAUGAGUGGUGAACUAGUGGGUGGGAAAAAAAAAGGGUUAGAUUUAUUUUAUUUUGUUUAUGUGUAUUUGAGAUUGUAUGUAUUUAAAGUGUUAUUAGGAUAUUUUUAAAGUGUUUUAUUGUAGGUUCCAACGAUAAAAACUAGUUUGUGUCAAUCCAAUUGUGAUUGCUAUAAGAUCUAUUAAUGGCUAAAAGCUCAUCCCAGGCACAAUCUGGUUGCUCUUGGACUAACAGAACUAGCAAGACGGUAACUUGCUUACUGAUUCCAACGAUCAGAAUAUGGAAAAACAAAUAUGGCAGCAGUAGGAAAAUUGGGAUCAUUCGUAGUGAUAAAAUCAAACCAGAAAACUCUAGCAGGUCAAAAUUAUAAAUUAAAAAAAAACAGCAUUUUGAUCAUUGAUUGAAUAUAGAUGUGAAAUAGGCAUCACAGUUAACCUCAAAGUCUCGAGCAAAUGCAUCAAUAAGUAACAUAAUAUCAAACUGCUUAAGUAAAAAAAGAAUAAUAGCCAAAUUAUUGUGUGCUAUUUUAUUUGAGUUCCAUAAAGAUGAUACAUGUCCACCAAUCGGCAAAUUGCUAUAUGUUACGAAUUCUACAAUAAUGAAGCUACAACAAAUUACAUCCCCAGGACUGGCAAAAGGUUGUUUUCAGGUUUCUUUUGAAACUGAUCAGGAUGCCCAGCAAAUAAUUGUCCAUUGACCACCAACCUUAAAAACACCUUCAUCGUGGGAUUGAAAUUGCCUCCUUAGAAGGCACCAUGAGAUAUAUGCGAACAAGAUUAUGGGGCAAUGAACACAGAUAUGUUAAAAAACAAUCAUAAGAAUCAAAAUGAAGAAGAAUCAACUGAUCCUAACCACACAAAUGAAAGAAUAUAUCACUGGGAACUCUUUUUGCCAUUACCAUAGUAGCUGAGAUACCAUCUAACAAACUUCUUCAAACCUGUUUGUAGAUCUGUUGUAGGCUUAUACCCAAGCUCCCUCUGAGCCAAGCUUAUGUUCGCAUGCGUAAACUGCACAUCCCCAUUCCUUGGCAACUUCAUUAUAGUUCUCUUAGCCUUCACCUUCAACAACCUCUCCAAAAUGCUAACAAGAUCCGAAACUGGCACAGGUGAAGUAUUCCCCAAAUUGUACACCCUCAACUGAGCUGGCCCUUUCUUCUUCCCACCACUGCCAGUACUCUUCUCUGCCGUAUCCAAUGCUGCCAAACAACCCUUCACAAUAUCAUCAAUAUAGGUAAAAUCUCUAGCAACUGUGCCAUGAUUAGCUGCCUCAAAAAUCUGAAUUGCCUUCCCCUUCAAAAUAUCCUUCGUAAAAAAGAAAUAUGCCAUAUCUGGCCUCCCCCAGGGUCCAUAAACUGUGAAGAACCUCAACCCUGUUAAUGAAAGCCCGUAAAUGUGAUUAUAAGUGUGUGCAAUCUCCUCGCCAGCCUUUUUAGUUGCAGCAUACAAACUUGCGGGGUUAUCGGUCCUAUCCUUUUCUGAAAACGGGACCUUAGUAUUCAAUCCAUAAACAGAACUAGACGAUGCCCAAACAAUCGCAGGCUGAGGAUUCACGCUUUUGCAAACCUCGAGAACGCUAACAAGCCCAGCAAUAUUACUAUGCACAUAUGAGCUAGGAUUUUCCAUGGCAUAUCUGACGCCAGCCUGAGCAGCCAAAUGCAUAACAUGGGUAAAUUGUACAAUAUCAAAAAGCUUCUUCAGGAGGGCGACGUCAUUGAUAUCACCCUCCACAAUGUACACCCCAGAGCGCUCCAAAAGCGCUUGCCGGGCUCUUUUCAAUGACUGAUCAUAGUAAUCAUUGAAAUUAUCAAGCCCCAAAACGCCGUCCCCGCGGCGUUUUAAGGCAGCAGAAACAUGGGUUCCAACAAAACCAGCAGCCCCGGUAACCAAAACAGACAUACCAUUUCUUGACCUGACUUUAGCUGAGGCUUUGAUCCUUUUCUCCCAAUCAGGGCCACCAUAGGAGCUGGUUCUGAGGGACCUCCUCGAGGGAUCUGCGGUGAGAGAUUCUGGGGAUGAUGAAGAAGGUGAUCUGAAGAAGAAGACAAAGAUCAGGCCCAAGAAAACAAAUGACCAAAAAGUCAGCUUGGCCAGAGAAGAAUGGAGCCUUAAUCUGUUAUAAGGGGAUUUCUCCAUCUUGAACUUUCCUGGGGUUGAUGGGAUAUUGUCAAUGUGCUUCAUUUGGGACAUUUAUUCCGCAAAAAUCUUGCAGAUUUGAGCAAUACCCUUUCUGGGUUGCUCUUCGUUGGGGCCAAUCUGGUGGAGGGGGCGUUACUUAAAAAAAAACCAAAACAAAAAAAAAAAAUUAAGGAUAAGGGUAAAGCCAGAAAAAAAUGAAUCUUUUUUUCUUUGUUUUGAUUCUCUUGUGUAUUUGAUUGGUUUGGUGGGUGGGAAGAAGGCAAAGGGAUAAUGGGUUGAGGAGAAAGAUGAAAAUGGGGGGGUGUGUGUGUGUGGAGAUGGUGAUAUUGAAGGUGGAUGAUGGAGGUGGUAAUGGUAUGGGGAGUUUUAAAAGGCCUCUGGAUUUUCUUUUUUUUUUUUUUUAAAGGGGAAUCUUCUGGUUUCUUGGGAGGGACUGGUUGUUGUUGGUGGUGGUGGUGAUGGUUUUACUUUUGUGGGGUUUUCUUGUUUUGGUUCCAGAGAGGAAAGAAAAAAUGCUUUCAGAUUUUGAUGAAUGAUCAAGGAAUGGGUGAUUGGAGAGAGAAAUGUGAAAGAAAGAGAGAUAGAGAGAGAGGGAGAGAGAGAUUUGAGGGGAGUGGACUAAUGGUGGGGAGGGAGAAGAAUCAGGUUUGAAGCGUUUUGAAAAAUGUGACUGUAAUUAAGAUCGGUGAUGAUGAAGAUUCAGACUGCAGAGUUGGAUUAAGCAAAGAAGUUCAGUCAAAAGAUGACAGUAAUUAAUGAGUUGGAGCAGACUACCAAAUGUUAGUAGUUAAUCUUGAUUCAACUUGAGGAGAGUUAAUUUAUUAGGGUUUUUAAUCAUUAUUGCCAUUUUAGGAAAACCAGAGUCCACAUGCAAGCUUGGGUGGAAUGAGUUACAGCAUGGAGAAGAUAAAAUGGCCAGUACAAGUAGUUUCAAUGGUUGAGGAUGCCUCUUCAAAUUAAGGCCCCUUUUCAUGCAGCUCCCCUGUGUAAGUAAGACUUUUUUUUUUUUUUUUUUAUGCUGGUUUGGUAUGGGAUUUGUUAGAUUUAUCCCUUUUUUGGUGUGGGAUUUGUUUAUUUUGAGUUUAGUGGAUAGAUUUUGGGAUUUGAAGUUUGGUUUUGGGAGGUUGUUGGAGGUUGUGUGGAGUAAAUUUUUAGGGUAAUUAUGAGGGGUUACUAAUUUUCACAUAUCAUUGGAUGGGAUGGUGUGUGAGAUUUGUGGGGUUUGAGAAUUUUUAAUUGCCUCAUUAACAACCUAAUCAUUCAAAGCAUUUUGGAGUAGACCAUGUUCAAUGUUUUCUUCCUAUAAUUUUAAGGUUUGACAAUUAAUAGGAAUUGUGAGUUGGCUAAAAUUAGCAUUAUGGUAUUAGACCUAUUGAGUAAUUAUUAUUGUUGUUGUUCAACACAGGGGAGAAAGAAUUGAGUGUGCCCUAUUUAAUGGGUAACGUUACAGACUUACAGCUGUAUUUUUUUUUUUUCAGAGGAGCAGGAUAAAUAAUUCUACUCCACUAUCAAUCAAGAGGCAGCUUAGGUGUUCUGUAACUUCUUCCUGUCCAUCCCUUCAUCCAAUGCAUCAUCAUGCAUGGCAUCCAAAUAAACCAUUGAAUUUUGACCCUAAUGUUUUUUCAUUUUUCUCAGAUAUUAAUCCAGUUGAAAUAUGUUUGGAUAGCAGAUUAUUUGAAAUAAUUACUGUAGUAUUUUUUGUGAUGUGAUGUGAUGUAUGUGAGAUAAAAAGAUAAUUGUGAAGAUAAAAAGAUGUAUUGAAAAUUGUAUUUGUGAUGUAAACAAAUAAUUUUUAGCCAUUAUUUGGCUAUCCAAACAAAUAAUAUGUCUUUUUUUUUUUGUCUGUUUUCGGUUGAAGGAAGAAUAAUCCUAGUAAUUAUAUGUAAAAGUUUCAAAAAUUUCCCAUCAAAUUAACAAUGAAACAUAACUAGAAUCGAUCGUCUCUCAAACACGAAAAUAAAAAUUAAAAAAAAAUGAGGGGAAAUAGAACUAGGAUUUGAAGGCAAUGACAUUUAAAAAAAAUUGGUGAUAUAUAAUGCUUUUCAUGUCCCAUAUUAUCUAAGUUGAUGGCGAUAAGAAAAUCUGAGAUAUGAUCCUUAUGCAACGACCGAUUUUGAUAAUGUCACCCUGAUUCUCGUAACUAUAAUAGUUACAUUAAUGAUAAAAUGUGCCAUAAUUAUUUUUUUUAUCAUUCAUGAUUGAGAGACCUAACUCCAUUAGAACUUCAUAGCCAAACAUCUUAAGAUACAACGCAGUAAUUCAUUCUAGAAAAAGCAAAACCAUAAGAAACCAUCAAUUUAUGAAAAGUUGAAAAUAUAAAGAAUUAGUUCUCGAAUUCAGUGAAAAGAAUCAAGUAUUGCACAUGAUAACUGGAUACUAAUAAUACUAUAGUAAAUCACAGCUAGUCAUAAGUCAUUUCAUGGCCAAGAAUAACAUGUGCAUGUAUGUGCCUACUUAUAUUCUAUACUAUAUGGCUCGACAUUAGUAUAGCAUGUGGGUGUAUAAGUGGAUAUUAUUAUAGUGUGUAUGUAUAUAUAUGUGUGUGCGCGUGUUUUAGCGUGUAUUCACGUACAACAAAAGUUUAGGGUUUAAAGUUUAUAUCUAUAACAUGUUUUAAGGUGAGAGUCGAAUAUCAAGUACAAGACGCUCAACCACUAACUUCAUUUCCCAUUUAUCUAUAAUUGAAAAAGAAAUCAAAUUUGUAACGCCAGUCAUAUAUAUAUAUAUAUAUAUACAUAUAUGUAGUACAUAACAAUAAUUACACAAUAACACAUUUUGGAAUUCAUUUUUGCAAUGGCCAGCAAUAUGUGAAGAGGGCAACUGCCGAUGUUUUUAUAUUUUUGUCUUUUCCUUUUACAAAGGGCUAGUAAGCCAGCAAUAUGUGUUACUUAUGGAUUCAAUUUUCUUGCUUCCUUCUUUUUCACCUUACUAAAGGAGAAAAGAAAAUCUACACCAAGUCUAUGAGUAUAAGUUGGUGUAAAAUGACAAUAAUAUCAAGCUUAAUAUGUAAUAUAUAUCACGGUCAUAACUCGGUAAAAAGAAGCAUAAAAUUUGGUUCUUUUGAUAAGAACAAAAGAAUGAAGGUUAAUAAUGAUUUCAUCUUUUCAUAUAUCAUUUUCAGCCAAGAUUCAUCCUACCUAUUACUAUUGCCUUAGAAGGAGGCAAAAGGGAAAAUUUUCCAUGUUUUGGCUGUUUGAUGAAACUAGAACAAGCCCAACUAACUAAUAUAAAGUUAAAAAAAAACAAGCACUACUAUCUUCUGGUUACAGAUUAUUUCGAGCAUUAUUUGAGUGCAAAAAAAGGGCAACAAUUAGUUGGAAGGUUAAUUUUCAAGAUACUUCAAUUUUGUAUUGACUUUCAGUGCUCGAAGCAAACCCCCAUUUCUCUUAUAUAUCCUCAUGAUCAUAUCCAUUAGAAACACUACUUCAAAUUUUUAGAUCCCAUAAGAAAUAAUGACAUUAAAGGGUAGAUGAUUAUGGUAGGUUACAAGAAAUAAUAAAAAGAAAAACACAAAUUAAGCAAAAAUCUGUUGCAUUACGUUGACUGAUCAUCCAUCCUUAUAACUUCUGCAUGUCAUUUACGUUAGGGCGAAUAUAUAGUACAACUCAAAACUAAGAACCGAAACAUGCACGCACGGGAACUUUCACUAGUGUUUCGUAAAAUAUAUAAAUCUCUAAAUACGUUUCUUCAAGCAUUGCUACAAGCAAAAACUCAUACUCAGGCUGCAAAAGAAAACGUCAUUUUUCUUAAAGAUAACGUUAUUUUACUCUAGUAUCAUGUUUUACUCCAAAAAAGCUACACAUUAUCCUGCUAUUCUCAAAUAAAAAUACUACAAAUAGCAGCUGAUGAGUACGAGGGAGAAGAGAAGUAUAAUGGAUUGGAACUAACAAAAUCAAUGGGAAAGAAUUGCAUGCUUUCACUAUUAUCUUUCUUGAGAAUCAAAACAAAGAAAGGCUUUUUCUUUUUCUGGCUUGGAAUAUUUUGAUGAGGAAUAUAAUUCUCAUAAGAAGCGGACUUUCGACAGUACUGUUGAUAUGGACAGCAAGACUUUUGAUCUUUUCCCUCUGCAUGAUUGAUAAUUAAUAUGUUUUCUUCCUUUCCACCGGCUUGCUGCAUUCAUUUUUUCUUUCUCUGGAAACCCGAAAUUUUGGACUUGGGUUUUUCCUUCAAAACAUGGCCCUUAUCUUCUUUCUCUGCAUUUGAUCAGUUUGAGGUGGGGGUGGGUCGGGUGAGAUUUGGAGGUGAAUUAAUGGUAGAGAGGAAAGGAGACAAAAUCAUGUGAGAGUUGGGGUUGUCACACUUUAGUGUGUGGUAAUACUUGAAAGGAAGGCAAAAGCCCCCUUUCAAGAACUCUUUUAUUUCUAGUGUCUUAUGUCCCAAUUUUGGUUAGGCUACUGCUAGCAUCAUGUGAUGAAUGUGUACGUGCAGAUUAUUGGUUAGAAAAACAGCACUAGACUGCUAGACUUGACCAAACUAGCUAGUGCUAGUUCCCUUCAGCUCAAAGCUCAUUGUCACCUUGUAAGUAAAAUGGAGUGAUCUCCAAGAUACUCUAAAAAAAGUUUUGCCACCCCAAAUUCCUCACUAGCUACCAUACGCCUUAUAAUAAUUCUAUUGUUGUCAUCUAUGGAUUAUUAAUUAGGACUAAAAGUCCAAGCAGUAAAGCAUCUCCUUGGUCCUCUGCAGUAUGUAAUAUAGGGAUUGAGAUCCUCUGCAGUCAAUGACUAUAUGGGGUGUUUUGAAAUUGGACUAUAUUUGUCAUGUCAGUGUUAUAUCACUUUGUUUGUUUUAUUUUUUGUGAUAUUGGUGACGGUAGAAACCACACCUUUGACGUAUUAAUAUCUAUCCUUAGCUCCUACUACGUAAAUCAUAGCAAAUGCUGAGUAUAAAACAAUAGAAAUCUGCUUGUGCUCUUGUACUAAAAUAGUAGGAUAAAUUCCUAGAGCAGGAACUGACAGUUUGUUGGGUAUCCUAUUUUACAAGAAAAGUUAAAUCUGCGGUCGAUGUGCAAAACACUAGAAAAAUAUGAAAUACUAACAUGAAUGAGACGGCCACCGUCUGCUACAUGUGACUAUCUGAAGCGGAAGGUAAGGGAACCAUGCCUUUCCUAGCAGUUUCUUUUAUAAGUCAGCAUCAUGUUCCCUGCUUUUCUACUUAAUAAAACCCACGCAAGCAAGAUUGAUAGAUAAAUGAACUUUACAGAUCUGAAAAGCAUGAAGACAAGCUCAUAGAAAAAGAUGGAUUUGUUGUUGUUAUUGUCGGUUCCCAGAUUUUCAGCUCCUCUUCAGGUUCCUAAAUGCACAUUGUCAAAAAUUCCAUAAACAAUGUGAGAAAAGACUGGAACUUCUUGAAGCCAAAUUCUGCACUCUUUGUUUUCUUCUGUUUGCUUGUUUUAAGGUGCAAACAAACUUAUGACAUAGUCAUGGAAAGGUAAAAGAAAAGUCUGAAAGUUCAACAAGCGCAGGGGGCUUGGAUGCCUACUUUAACCUACUUAACGUAAGGAAAAUGAAUUCUGCCUUCUCCGCGAAAGACUCUAUGCAUUUGAUUAAAGCCAGCUAAGUUUGUCUGGUUUCCAGAAGGUAUAGUUAUUGCAUUCAACCAGUAUCACGGUCUGUCUUUGAAAGGACUCGGGGCUUCUCUUGCUGGCAAAUGCAUUCAAAGUCAAUACUCUCAAGUUUCCUUGUCUAGCAGCCUGGCAGCUCACAAAGAGCCCAUCAUCAGCCUACCAAACUUUUUAAGAAGUUGCAGACUGAUUGCCAUGUAGCAUGCUGCGGGAAUCUACUUUCUUCCAACUGUUUUCUACACGGCUUUAACUCUAUCUGCAUGUCCCACGUUCUUUUUAGUGUCCAUUCGUGCAAAAUACAAAGUUUUCACUUUCCCACCGCGCGAGACUCUGACCAAGUAAAUAUAAUACGGAUAUCCAAUGUGAAACUAUCAAUUUUAAUGACUUUCAUUCAAAUGCAGAGCCAACAAAAAGGGAUCUUUCCAUGUAAUAAGUUGCUAGAGAUACACACGCGUUUACCAAGAAUUUGAGUUAAACCAGUACACAGAUUUUAAUCUAUCCAUGGCUUCAGCAAAACAACUUGACUUCCUGACCCAUGUUGAACACUCUCACUAAGAUAAGGGGCAGCAAGCAUCCAACAUCUCCUGCACAAAGAGACUGGAAACUCCAUUCUUGUAGCAGCCCUCUAAAAUUGUUCACAUUCUUUAUGUGAUGCUACAUAUCGUUUCAAAAAGUUUAUUCAGUGCUUUGAGAACUUUUCAAGGACAUCAAAGUAAUCAGGGAAGGUUUUGCGUGUGCAGCCAGGAUCCUUGAUGGUUACAGGAACAUCUGCACAUGCCGCAAGAGAAAAAGCCAUAGCCAUUCUGUGAUCAUCAUAAGUAUCAAUUGAUGUAACAUUUAACUUCUCUGGUGGAGUGAUUAUGCAGUAAUCUGGCCCUUCUUCAACUGUAGCCCCUAACUGAAAUUGUAGGAAAUGUAUGGAUGAGUGUUACAAGGAGAAUUUUCGAGAAAACAUGCAAGGCUUGUGAGAUUGAAAAAUAAUGAUGCAUCACAAAAUUAACCUUUCUAAGCUCUGUGCAUAUAGCAAUCAUCCGCUCAGUUUCCUUCACUCUCCAGCUAGCCACUGAGAACAUAAAUUAAGUCAGACGAAAUAUCUCAGGGUGAUGAAGAAAUAGCAAAGGAAACAGACAGAGUAUUAAAACAGAAAAGAAAAGCUAAAAGCAGAUUAUUGGAUCAUGCAUACUGACGCGGAGCUAGGACUGGUAACCGAUCCUAACCUCAAAAAUCUAUUGGAUUCUAAACUCAUGUACUGUUCAAGAUAAUCCAGUUCUCAUAAGUUACAGACCAGAUUACCAUACGAUCCAAACAUUUUCACAUUAUGCUGUAGACAAAGAAAACUGAAAUAUCAAUUUUCAAGGAUGAAUUCAAAGAGGUAUCCUUAACACGACAAUAAGUCCUAUUUUAAACUUGCCGUACAGCAUUAAUCAAGGAAUUCCUAGUUUUCUCAAAAGAAUUCACUUUGCAUAAAGUAUUAUAUUAUGGAAUAUGAUUCCAAAUUAUUCAUAUUAUAUAGCUUAUGAACACCAAGAAACUAAUGGCAUUUUGCUUCUUGUUAACGAAAAGCCAAUUAUGUCCUGAUCAGUGAUCUAGAACUUCUGUUAUUCCAAUGAAAUUUGAAACAGCUUUAAUUAACUCUUAUAUUCGGUAAACCAGUAACAUUCAUACCAUCUCUUAUUGCAGUGGAACCAUCCGCGAAAAGUGCAACUACAGCAAGAGUCAUGGCAACAUCUGGCAUUUUGUUCAUGUUGAUAUCAAUGGCACGAAGGUGUUUUCCUCUGGAAGAAUCCCUCCGCGGUCCUUUAACAAUAACACUGUUUUCUGUCCAGGUGACUUCAGCACCCAUUUGCUCAAGAACCUCAGCAAAUUUCACGUCACCCUUUAGAAAGGAAAGAAACAAAAAGAAAUGAGAUGAUGAAUGCCAUGCAAUUUACGUGCACAAAACAUUCAAAACCAUGUUAGCAAGGUGAUACUGCAUAACCUAUUUAAAUCCAAGAUACUUUAAGUUUGCAGCAACACAACAUUCACUUCUCAAUAAAAGACAAAAGUCAAGUUUUCACCAUGGACAUAACGCAGAAAGGGCCUUCUUGUCUGAAUGACGUAAUUAUCUUCAGAACAAGAAAAAGAGAGAUACAACAUGCCAGCAUGCAUUUUACCUGUAAACUGCCAGUCCCACAACCUUCGACGGUAAUGGUACCACCAGUAACAGCUGCACCAGCUAAGAAGUAACUGGCACUUGAGGCAUCACCUUCAACAUAAGCUUUUCCAGGAGACCUGACAAAAUGAUAAUCUUUUUACUUGCUACACAACAAGCUACUAAAGUCCAUUUUACUCAAUACAAGUACACUUACUUGUAUUUCUGACCCCCAUGAACCAGGAAUCUGUCCCAACUACCACUAUGCUCUACAGUGACCCCAAACCGUUCCAUCAGUUUCAAAGUCAUUUCAACAUAAGGAACAGAAAUGAGUUUAUCAAUAAUUUCAAUCUCAACAUCUCCUAGAGCCAGUGGAGCUGCCAUGAGUAAAGCAGUUAGGUAUUGACUACUGAUAGAUCCAGAGAGCUUCACCUGCCAGUGAUGAUCAAAAUACAUGUUCAUCGUCAAUCCAAGUAACCUAUUUCAAAAUAUAGUAAGAUAAGAAAAAGAGAGCCCAGCCCCACGAGUCCCAUGCCUUUCUUGGUAGGCCAUGCCAUUUGUGAGAAGUCUUUCUUCAUUCAAAGGCAGAAGCAGAAUUGCAAGGAUGAAAUGAAUAGUGAUUCCCAGUACUAAACCCAAGAACCCAAUAAAGAAAUUUUACCAUUGUCCCAUCCAAUGCUGUGCAUAUAUGAAAUUGUAUUUCUCAUUCACAGAUUCAUGUUUGUUUAGACUAAUCACCCACACUUUGGUCCUGCUUUUGAUUUUGUUACUAAGAGGGGAAGAAAAUCAGGACCAAAUGCUUGGCAGUUCCUGGUGGAGCUUAUUGAGUGCUGAACCCAAUAAGAAAGUGUAAAAUAGGUGGUCUUUGCAAAAAUGUUUUGCAAAAAUAUACCCCUUGCAUCUUGGUCACUUUUACAAUUUCAUUUAUAAGCAGUCUCAUUACUUUGAAUCUCUCAUUUUCUAUACUUAAUUGUCUAAUUAAGUAUCCGUUUCUUGAAGCAGGACUGAAGCUAAUCCAAGCUUCACAACAAAUUGAAAGAAGAAAACAGAUUGGCGAAAUGACAUUGGGCCGGAGCCUCGACAAGGGGAGGUGAUAGUGGAUAUUCUGCUUGUCUUGGGGUGUACAGUAGCACCUGAUCAACCCCCAGAAAUUAAUAAAAUAAUUACAUUAGCCCAGAAUCCAAAAACACAAAAACAAAAGAGUAUGGUGAACAUCAUUGUCUGCCCUGCUAACAAGAGGAAUGUCUCAGAAGUGGAGAAUGACAAGUCAGCUGCAAUGUCUACACAGCUCUUCUUUUCUCAUGCAUGCGUAUAUUAAUAAAGCAUGGAUUGUCCUCUUUGCUUUUCUUUUAAAUCAAGGAAUAAGCAAUUAAGCAUGUUUAGACAAUGUUAAACUCACCUUUCCCCCAGGAAGGCCUCCCUUUCCCACUACACGAACUGGGGGGCAAUUUGUACCAAGAAAACAAUCAACAUCAGAACCAAGCUGCUUAAGACCAGAGACCAGAUCACCAAUUGGCCUCUCCCUCAUUCUAGGAACUCCAUCAAGUACAUAGCUGAAACAUAAAAUUCCAGUUUGAAUUUAACUUCACUAAUUUAAAAAACAAAGUAACUGUCCCGAAAAUGCAAUCAUGGCGAGCAAUCACUAAUUUCUGAGGAAAAUUUUAAACCAAUUUGCAGCAUACAUAUUAAUAUAUAAAAGUUGGGUGACAUUUGUAACUAGAAAAAUAAGGAUAUGGACCUUGAAUUCCCACCAGCAGCAGCAACUGCAGCAGUCAAUGGGCGCAUAGCUGUUCCAGCAUUUCCCAGGAAUAGUUGAAUUUCACCUUUAGAUUCUUUACCAACAGGAAAUAGACCACCACAACCUUCUACAAUUGCUUGCUGUACAGCGCGAUUAUCUUCCACAUGCAGACCCAGUGUCUUUAAAGCACCGAGCAUGUAAUGGAUAUCAUCACUGUCCAACAAGUUAUCAACAACAGUUCUUCCCUGGGAAACAAGCAGAACGGAAAUCCAAUAAGUUCUUGAGAUUGAGGAUUAUUGUGAUUCUUUAACAGAAAUACUACUUUGUAAAAGAACUAAACCAAAAAGCGAUUAGAAACAUUUUAUGUAUGCGUUGCUAUUGUAAACAAUAGCCAAUCCUGGGGACGAAAUUAUUAUAUAAGAGCAUUCUGUUAGGAUAGCGAAACUAUAACAUAAUGUAGACUACAGUUAAGUUGCAUCCAUCAGAAGAGCAAUCUACAGAAUUAUCAAUAUCUUAUGGUCUGUUUUGAGGUGGAAAACUUCUCAAUUCUGAAUGAAACUACGAACUGUAGAACCAGCAUAAACAUGCCACAAUUUGGUCUCUUCUUGCAGGCAAAAGAUUACAGGAGCACCUUUUCAAAUACAAGAAAAUGUCAUUUCUUUCUUGCUUUUCCAUAUUCUUUUGUUUUAUUUUCUUCUGAAUGGGUGGAGAGGGAGAAUAGAGUGAGGGGCGGACUUAAACACAUAUUGUAGAAAAUCAGUUCUAACAACUUUUAGUGACCAAUUUUUUAUAGAACUUCUUUCCUUAUAGAAACAAAGUAAAAGACAGAUAAAGUCUAGUUAAUUUCGUAUAAGAACAACUAAAGACAAAACAUGAAGAACCCAUUAAAUUUUUAUCCAAUAACUGCAAAUUUAGAGACAGAAGUGCAUGAAAAUGCUGCAACUCAAGUUUCCAAUCUCAGAUAAUAGACUAAACAAAUAUACAUAUACAUAUACAUAUACAUAUAUAUAUAUAUAUUAAAAGUUGUGCUUGCAUCUAUAUAGCACUCUUACAACAAUUAUGAACUUCCAAAAGAUUGCUCUCAAGAGUCUUUCAGCUCUCGUAAAGUCACCAUGACUAGAAUCCUGAAUCAUCUCCAACACACUUGGCAAAACUAGAAAAGUCAAGUGCAAAAGGUGCUUAACAUUCCCUCUUAUCUUUUCAGUCAUUAAUCUGUAAUAAAAGCAAGUGAACACUGAACAAGAUUUGGUUCUUUUGAAUAUACGCUCCAAAUUACUUGCAUCGUCUGACUGAAAGUGCUUUAACUACAGUCCUUGAACCUAACCAGUCUCCAUUAGCCAACUUUUGUAAAAUACAGCAUUCUACUGCAUGAAGUCUUUCAAACACACGUACUCCACAUCCCACAAUGAACUGAAUCAAAACUCCAGGUUAAUUUGAAAAAAUAUAUAAUUCCUAUAGAGGAAAGAAGUCAAAAUCAACAAUUCAUCAAGAGUAUAAUGAUUAAACAGAAAUGUAUAGCACAAAGAAGAAGAAAAAGUCACUCAUAGUAGCUUUUACAAUCAUGGUUCGCAGUCGCGUCUCGUCUCGGUCUCGACCGAGACUGAGAGACUGAGACUGAGACCGAGACCGAGACCGAGACGACUCGGCCGAAUCGUCACCGUCUCUCGAUCCCUACCGAUACAAUAUCGUGACGAAACGAUACCGAAAUACUUGACUCGUCGAGAAAUCGACCGAGCCGCUAUCGCAACGAAUUGACUCGACCAAGUCAUAUCGAGUUACUCUGAAUUAUCCCGAAUCAAGACAAAAAAUUAAUCAAACGAGAAAUCAGCCGAGUCAUGCCGCGACGGAUUGACUUGGCUGUUUCUUUUGCUAAUUUUUAAUUAUUUUUAUUUAGUAUACCUUUUUAUAUUAUUAAUAAUUUUAAAAUAUUAAAUACUUUAAAAUUUACGUCUCACCGAGACGGUGAUCGAUAUGCCGAGAUCGAUGUGGAACGUUUCGAGCCGCAACACCGACCGCAACUGUGGCUUUGAACCAUGUUUACAAUGCUUAGCAGAAGGGUCGUAUAACUGCACGAUUCUUAAAUAUUAUAGAUUACCUCAGCCAGGGCAGCAAGGAGAAGAAUGCGAUUGGAGAGGGAUUUUGAGCCAGGCAGCUUGACGGUGCCAGAUAUCUCUUUAAUAGGCUGAAGCACAAUCUCCGGCACAGUAGACGGCUUCUCAGCCGCGGCCACUGAAACAAAAACCUUCAAAGGAGACCUACCUCUAGUCAACAUCGAAUCUCUACUCAAAACCCGUGAAUAUUUUGGUGAACUUUUCGCAAUUCUUGACCCAAGUAUUAAAGAAUGUGGUGAAGAAUACUGGUUUUGGAGUUUCGAGACUUUAGGUGUAGUGAAUUGAGGAGCUUGGAUUGCUUGAGCCAUUUCUCUUUUUGCCGCAGAAUAGAGGGGACAAGGAUGAGAAGUAAUCCCUCUUUCUUUCUUUAUGUUCUUUCAAUUUAAGCUCUGAUGCAGCUACCUACCGGAAAUGGGGAUGGAGGAGGCGUUAGGUAGGCAGGGCAGGGAAGGGAAGUUGGAUUGGAAGACUAACUUGGGGGGAGUUUGGUUUGGUGGGGAUCCAUAACAAUAGUGAGAAAAUAAGCAAUUCGGCAAGAAUGGUCCCAUGACAAUAAUGAUCCCAUAGAUUUGACUGUCACCAACCACUUCUGUCCGUUAAACAAGCACAUGGACUAUCGCUGGAGUGGUGCGGGUGCCUAAUGGUUUGCCAUAGCUUAAGAGCAUUACAAUUUGAGUCACUUCCAACUUCAAGAACCUUUUGCAUUCCCCCAACUACCCCUUAAUCCCACGCCACGCCCGGGAGGAAAGAAAGAGAGAGAGAGAGAGAGAGAGAGAAUCUUUCUGUUUCUUUUUAUUUUUUUGUCAUUUUGAUUAUACGAAAAUAGCUGUCAAUCAUAUACAUUCAUUCAACUUCUGGUUUAACAAUUCGGCCAAUGUUUGCUUCGAGAUAAUCAAUUAUGAAUUAAUGUUACUGACAGUAUAUACGGUUUUGUUAUUGAAUGUACGUCACUUAAUUUCAAAUUAAAUUUGAAUAUCACUUUUUUUACAUACGUGGCAUAUGUUAAAAAAAUAAUAAAUUAUCGGCUGUCAUUUUUAUCAUUAUUAGAUGCAUGUCACUUAAUUUUAAAUUGAAUUUUAAUAUCAUUUUGUACAUAUGGGACACAUAUUAAAAAAUGAUAGCGUAAAGAUAAACUCAAUCAAUCGUAGUCCAAGUUUAAGUACUUUAAGAUUUUCUUUUCGCUCUUCCAAACACUUUAAGAAUGUAUUAGGAAUAUGUAAUUAAUAAUAUAAAAGUUAUUAGUAAUAUGUUAAUUAAUAUGCUUUUAAAGUCACAUAUUUGUUUAUAAGCAUAAAUUAUAACAUUAUUGAUUAAUACAUUAAUAAUAUGAUAUUAGUAGGCAUGAAAUAUAUUUUUAAUUAAAAUAUGAAGUUCGAUCAUUUUGAUCGGUGAUCUGGAAUUCAAGAAUCGUAUUUCAAUAUUCAUUCCCAAAUUAUUUUACCAAAUUUUAAGAUUAGACCUUAAGCAAUUUUUUCGAAUUCUGCUUUACCAAUAUCCAAUUUUCGAUCUAAAUUGAAUCGGUCAUUCAAUUCUUUGGAAGUGUGAACCCUAAGUUAAAGGGCUGACAAAGCAAAUCCUUUGUCUUCGUUAAAAAAAAAAAAAAAAAAAAAAAGUGAAAUGGGUGCUGAAUGGGACCUAAUGAGGUGAGCAAUGAGAGAAAGAACAAGCAAGAAUCAAAUUCAACAACUUGCUGAAGGUGCCAAGCAAGCUUGCUCGAAUGGUUUGUUUGGAUUGUAAGUUGUUUGGGAUAUUUUUACUGUAAUACUUUUUGUAACGUGAUGUACGUGAGAUAAAAACGUAAUUGGAAAAAUAAAGCAGCAGAACAUAACAGGGAUGGAGACUCGUCAACAUUGGAGUUUCUGACAAAAAUCUACUACAGCAAAUCCAACCUAUGGAUGCAUGGACAACAACACAUUAAUACUCCUUGUUUUACAAAUACUCCUUUUGCCUAGAAAUAGUGAAUAGAAAUGAUCUAAAUGUUCAGUUUAGUACCUUAAUUAUCAAGAUAUAAAAUGGAUUAAUCCCAAUCUUUUGUGCUAAUAGCACAUUGGAUUGUAUCGAGUCAUCAUUUAUUUUGUAAAUACUUUUGUUUCAAGUAAUACAAGCGAGUUAUUUUGGUGCUUGUCUAAAACUUUACUAUUGAAGUUUUUAAAAAAAAUUUUAAAAUAUAUAAAUUUUUAAAUAUUUUAAAAUAUAUAGCUUAAAAUUUUUUAAAAAUUUCGAGGCUACUGUAACUGAGCAAACGAAAUUUUUAAAAAACUUGUAGCAGACAAACUUGGUAAAAAACUCAACUGCCAAACAGAGGUUCGACAAAAAAAAAGGGCUUAACAACUGCGCGGUGCAUGGUUGGGCCAUGAACCAGGUUCACUCGACCUUUUACCAACCCAACUCCUCCUCCCUUAAAGGCUUAAACCCUAACAGUCCUUGAGUUACUGCUUUCCUUUCCACGACUCCAUCUCUCCCUCUCUCUUGUCUCUCCCAUGGGAGUCUGAGCGUAAAACUUCAAUCCCUCACUUUCCCAAAUCCCUCCCGGAUCAAAGUCAAAACCUUAAAAAUCGAUUCGAAGAAUGGCGUAUCUUUCAGCUUCGAAACCAUCUCAUUUCCAUCCCAGAAACCUCUCAAAUGUCUCCACCCCACUUUCGCUAAAAUCCCUCUUCUUCUUCUGCUCAUCCCCAGGUGGUAACCCCGAUCAGGAAACAGCGGCCAUUUCACCAACUGAAUCCACUGGGCCAGAAACACGGAAUGUUGAUCCUGCGGCAACGCCAUCCAGAAGCCCAAGAGGUAAGCAUCGUCGUCUUCAGAAAAACCCAGAAAAAUUAGAAGAUAUUAUCUGUAGAAUGAUGGCUAAUCGUGCUUGGACUACCCGUUUACAGAAUUCUAUUCGCAAUUUGGUUCCUAGCUUUGAUCAUGAACUUGUUUAUAAUGUACUUCAUGGUGCGAAAAACUCUGAGCACGCGCUCCAGUUCUUCAGAUGGGUGGAAAGGGCUGGACUUUUUCAGCAUACUAGAGAAACCCAUUUGAAAAUUAUUGAGAUUUUAGGCCGAGCUUCGAAGCUCAAUCACGCCAGGUGUAUUCUGUUGGAUCUGCCACAAAAGGGGGUCGAGUGGGAUGAGGAUAUGUGGGUUCUGUUGAUUGAGAGCUAUGGUAGCGCGGGCAUUGUGCAGGAGAGUGUGCAGCUGUUUCAAAAAAUGGAGGAGUUGGGGGUUCAGAGGACGAUAAAAACGUAUGAUGCUUUGUUUAAGGUUAUAAUGCGCAGAGGGCGGUAUGGGAUGGCCAAGAGGUACUUUAAUAAGAUGUUGAAGGAGGGGAUUGAGCCCACAAGGCAUACCUAUAACCUUAUGAUUUGGGGGUUUUUCCUUUCUUCGAAAGUGGAAAGUGCGGUAAGGUUCUUUGAGGAGAUGAAAAGUAGGGAAAUUUCACCUGAUGUUGUCACUUAUAAUACCAUGAUCAAUGGGUAUUGUCGUGUUAAAAACAUGGAGGAGGCUGAGAAGUAUUUCGUGGAGAUGAAGGGGAGGAAUUUAGAGCCAUCAGUGAUAACUUACACGACUUUGAUUAAGGGUUUUGUUUCUGCUGGGGGAGUUGACAAUGCAUUGAGAUUUCUGGAAGAAAUGAAGAAAUUUGGGAUUAAGCCAAAUGCUAUUACGUACUCAACCUUGUUGCCAGGGCUGUGUGAUGCAGACAAGAUGUCGGAAGCUGAUAAGAUUUUGAAGGAGAUGGUCGAAAGACAUAUUGCUCCAAAUGAUGACUCAAUCUUCACGAGACUGCUGUCUGGACAGUGCAAGGCAGGUCAUUUGGAUGCGGCUGCUGAUGUGCUCAAAGCAAUGAUUCGCUUGAGUAUUCCAACAGAGGCUGGGCAUUAUGGUAUCCUGAUAGAGAAUUUCUGUAAGGCUGGUGCGUAUCAACGAGCUGUUCAAUUGUUGGAUAAGCUUAUAGAGAAGGAAAUCAUCUUAAGACCACAGACUACUUUGCAAAUGGAGCCUAGUGCUUACAAUCCUGUCAUUGAGCAUCUAUGCAACAAUGGACAGACAAGAAAAGCUGAGAUGCUUUUGCGACAGUUGAUGAAAAUGGGUGUCCAGGAUCCAGUUGCCUUCAACUAUCUGAUUCGUGGCCAUUCAAAAGAAGGUACUCCUGAGUCAGCUUCUGAACUUUUGACAAUCAUGGUUAGGAGGAAGGUUGUUUCAGAAGCAAGUGCUCACGUAUCACUUAUCGAAAGUUACUUGACCAAGGGUGACCCUGCUGAUGCUAAAUCAGCUUUGGAUACUAUGAUUGAAAAUGGUCAUCUGCCAGACUCGUCUCUAUAUAGGUCAGUGAUGGAGAGCUUGUUUGCAGAUGGAAGAGUUCAAACAGCAAGCAGGGUGAUGAUGACUAUGCUGGAGAAGGGUGUGAAAGAGCACAUGGAUUUGAUUGCUAAAAUCUUGGAGGCUCUCCUUCUGAGGGGCCAUGUUGAGGAAGCCCUGGGAAGAAUUGAAUUGCUUAUGCAAAAUGGACUUGCACCUAACUUUGAUAAUCUUCUGUCCAUUCUCUGUGAGAAAGGGAAGACAAUUGCUGCUUUGAAGUUGUUAGAUCAUUGUUUACAGAGAGAUUAUAGUGUUGACUUCUCCAGCUAUGAUAAAGUUUUGGAUGGCCUUUUAGCUGCUGGAAAAACUCUUAAUGCAUAUUCAAUUCUGUGCAAGAUAACGGAGAAAGGAGGAGUUACAGACAAAAAUAGCUAUGAAGACUUAAUCAAGACCCUUAAUGCAGAGGGAAACACUAAGCAAGCAGAUAUUCUUUCAAGAAUGAUCAUGGCCUCCAAUAGCAAGAAAGGAAAGAAACAAGCGUCUAUGGCAUAGUUGGCCUCUUUAUUCUGGACUCUUUGAAUUUCAGGGUUACAGCUUUUGAUUUUAGCUUACUUUAAUGGGAUAUUAUGGGUUUAGCUAAGUGGCAGAAUAGUUCAGGUCGAAUUGCAUGUCUUUUUUAAUCUUAAAUAGCAGCAGAAUCUAAUUGUUUUCUGUAGAAAUUAUGAAAGUCUACCUCUUCAGAAUAAAUAAAAGAAGGAAAUAUGCUGCUGAGGUUUUCAUAAAAGCAUAUAACCUUGCAUUCAUAUUAUUGACACUUUGACACUGUACUGUAUACAUGAAAGCCAAAUUUUUGCAUUUAAUUAUCUGGUUAUGGCUGUUGAGAAAUGAGAACUGCUAGAGCUUUGCAGGAUCAUCUCUCAUUGAAGGAUUUCUCAUUCCGAUUUACAUGGAAAGCAUCCGUCUUGAUAUCUAAGAGGCUCUCUGCGUAGGAACAGCCUCUGGGUACAUUGUGCUUCAGCAUAUGACACUAAUAUUCCAGCUCGUGGAAAUAUAAUUACAUUGUUGUCUCUGUGUUUUGGUUUUUGAUAAGGUCAACUGUUUCGCUAUUUUCUUAACUGCACCUUGAUGAUGAGUGAAGUAUGGCUUAUCUUGCUUUGUUUUCUACCUUUGUUACUGUUGCCUUGAUAAGGAUUAAAAUUGGAUUGGGCAAAGUAAUUUCUGCUUUUGUUGAUUAAAGAUAGGAUCAUCCAUCGUGUGGUAUGUCACCGUCACGUUAGUGGUACCUCAAGAGUUUUUUUUUUUUUUUUUUUGGGUCACACACUUAUUUCUACAGUGUGAUUUACCUUUCAACAGCGCAAAGAAACACACGCACAUAGAAUCUAAGGUAAUACGCACAUAGAAUCUAAGGUAAUUUCACCAGUUUACUCAAAAGACAAUUGCUGACUUCUGGAUAAAUUCACGGACUUUAAAUCCUAUUCACACACCUCUUACAACCGAUGUGGAAACAAGGAGUUGGGGGAAAGGGAACACAGGAAGCUUAAGAGCCUUGACUAAGAACCCAUACGGACACUGACACUCCUCUCCUGUUUUCCUUUUUCUUUCAACAGCAGUGUGAUUUACCAUAAUGUGGUUAUCACAUCACUCUGUAGAAUUUUCCUUAAAAAAAUGUCUACAAAGUAAAUAAAGAGAAAAGGCUGGCAACAGGUCAAAGGGCUCAUUCUAUUUGGCACUUCGUUGCCUUACUUUCAAGUACGCCAAUAGGGCAGUUGAACACUAGCUAGCUUAUGCCAACUGGAGUUUAGUUGGGAUGGCAAUAUCAGUUAGCUCACGAGGUACUAGAGAUUGUUCUUCUAAACCAAUUCAAUUUUGGGACUCUUGAUUUCAACUGACUGUGUUACAGAUGCAAUGGGACUCUUGAUUGAGGUCGAUUCGAUUGUAGUUUUUUUUUCAUUCAGAUUUCGGCAAUCUUUCGUCUCUGUGAAAAGGAAAAGGAAAAGAAUGGACUGGAAAUGUCUGAAUUUGAUAUGAAUGAGGGCUUUGAUAUGAAUGAAUCUUUCGUUGCUUUGGCAAAUAUUACACUUAUGCUCGGUGGGAACAGCGGAUGGACGAUUGCCCAUGUGACACUCUCCUGUUAAUACUCUCAAAGAUCUACACCUAACGCAUGAUUCUGCUUAAUAAACAAUUAUACAGAACAUCACUGAUCUGAAGUUGUUGGAUAGUACUAAAGUCUUGACUUCGAAGUUCCCGGUAAGGUAGGUGUUGAAUUGUUCUAUGCACUAUCACACGAUUCUGUACAAGAGUUUUUUUGACUCGGGGGAAUUUUUUUAAUAAACGACCAUAAUUGGAUUAUUCUUAAGAAACUGGUUAUAUCUAAUAAAACUCACUCGUGAGUGUCUCACCAUUAAAUCAUCCUGUGGUAGGCCAUUGGACGUUUGUAAUUAAAUAAAGAACUGCGUUGCAUUUUGCAUAGGAGGAGAAUAUGCCUUUUACCAUUCUCAAGGCAUAUUAUUCCAUGGGAGGAUACUUUUUUCACGGUCCAUACCAAACCAUACUUCCAACUUCCAGGGAAAUAAAGUGCAAUAAUUUGAGCUCUUCAGCUAAGCUAAGGUAAACCUGUUGCCUCUGCACAAGAAAAUGGUACUCUGGUAUAAUACUAGUAGACAAGUACGUACGUUGAGGAUAGGCAGGUUGAGAGCCAGAAGUUCAACUACCACAUAUGAAAUAGCCACACCCGCAACAUUCAACAACCACAUAACAAUGGAUGGAUCAUCAUUCAUCGCCCCACUCCCGGUCCCAUACAUUGUUUGUUUGUUUGUUUCUGGCUUAGGAAAUCCUCAUUCUCAGCCUAAAGAGAUUGGGUUGCCCCACACAGGUUUUGAAAGGUUUGAAGCUCCGCAGCAGUCCAUCUCAAUACAAAUUCUGAAAUUUACUCUAUGUGUUUAUCCAAGAUAUCAUAUAGCGAACAUUGGAACUCUUAUUGGUCCGUUUAAUAUCGUUAAGAAGCGCCGGACAUCACAUUUCCAAUCGCAGCAAAAUGACUCAGAAAAGCUACUCACUAUUCAAAGACUGCGAGCAGUUUUGAUGAUACAUGGCAAUGUGGAGGAGAGCUUAUUAGUCUCAUUUAUCUCUAUUAAAACAUGAGAAAACAUAAUAAAGAGGGGAAAAAAACAAACAAACAAACAAAAAGGACCUCCAAUCAAAUAACCACAUCAAAUUACAAAAACCACGUUCCAGUGUACAAGUUCAGAAGCAUCCUAAACUGCCUCCUCUCUGCAGCCUCAAAUUGCUCCACCGAUGAAGGCAGCUGCUAAAGCAAGAAAUUUUUCUUCUCUUAUUAUGAAAUGUCAAAUGGCAGUCAAUUGAGCCAAGAACCUCACCAAGGGUUUUUGCUGUAAACUGCAGCCUCAUAUAACGAAUCCAAAAUACCUCAGCACAGAACGAGCAACUGGAAAUCCCAUUUUCUGAAGCCUAAGAAACACUUUUUGCUGCAGCUACAACAGCCUCUGCUGUAAUGCCAAGCUCCUUGUAUAUUUUUCCUGCAGGAGCACUAGCACCAAAUCGGUCAAUUCCGAUUGCUUUUCCUUUAGGUCCAACAAUCUUCUCCCAUCCGAAUGUUGAUCCUGCCUCGAUGCUAACCCUAGCUGUUACAGCCGCUGGAAAGACACUUUCCUUGUACUCAGCUGAUUGCUCAUCAAAAAGCUCCCAUGAAACAAGAGAGACAACUCUGACGGCCUUCCCUUCCUUUCUUAGUUCAUCAGCAGCUUUGGCUGCAAUUUCCAACUCUGAACCAGUUCCAAUCAAGAUCACAUCAGGCUUGUUGCCUGAAGAGUUGUCUGAUAUAAUGUAGCCACCCUUUGCCACUCCUUCAAUAGAAGUUCCAGCAAGUUGGGGCAACUUUUGCCUUGAGAGAGCAAGGAUUGAUGGUCUCUUCCUAUUGAGGACAGCUACCUUGUAAGAACCAGCUGUCUCAUUCCCAUCAGCUGGACGCAACAUCAAAAUAUUAGGCAUUGCCCGAAAACUUGCCAAGUGCUCAAUUGGCUGAUGGGUGGGUCCAUCUUCUCCCAGCCCAAUUGAAUCAUGAGUCAUCACGUAGAUAACACCGGCCUCAGACAAGGCAGAUAUCCUAAUGGCAGCUCUCAUGUAGUCAGUGAACACAAAGAAAGUUGCACAGUAGGGAAGUAGGCCAGGGCUGUGGAGAGCAAUCCCAUUACAGAUGGAUCCCAUACCAUGCUCACGUACACCAAACCUAACAUUACGCUCUUCUGGUGUCUUCUUUUGGAAGUCACCAAACAUCUUAAGAAGGGUCAUGUUAGAGGAGGCAAGAUCAGCACUCCCACCAAGCAGACCAGGGAGAACCUUAACAAGGGCAUUAAGAUUUUGCUGAGACAGGUUUCUGGUGGCAUCAGCUGGGCUCUCAGGAGUGUAUGCCUGAGGGUAAAAGUAUAAAAAUCACAACUGAAUUAAACCACAGGACAAGGGAAGGGAAUGCAAUGCCAGGUCAAUAGAUCUGACUUGAAAGCAGACACUAAAUAUAAUUGAGUCCAAUUUGUUUAGUCCAAAAGAAAAGUUUCCAAAGACAAAGGAUAAUAUAUAUGCAAAUUAACAGAAUGAAUCUCGAUGUCACAAGGUGAAAUAAAAGAGCAAAUCUGUUUCUUAGCUACUUACAGGAAGCGCUUUCUCCCAUCCAGCUGGCAAUUCACCAGUUAUGAGGGACUUCAACUCAGCAGCUUCUUCUGGAUAUUUUUUUUCAUAUUCAGCAAAUUUGGCAUUCCAUUCAGCUUCAUAAGCAGCACCCACAGGAACAUGGCGGCUCCAGUGUCUGAAGAAAAAAUGAUCACAAUUGUAAGUUUUCAAGAAAAAGUUAGCUAAGUUUUAUCCAAUUCAAGAAGCAGGCGAGAUCAUUCAUACUUCUUGACAUCCUCAGGAACAUGGAAAGGCUCAUAAGGCCAUCCAAGGUUCUGCCUAGUGGCCUCUACUUCCUUGGCACCCAACGCACUGCCAUGUACACUGUAUGAGUUUGCCUUGUUGGGGGAUCCAUAACCAAUUGUUGUGGUUACCUGUAUGGAAGAAAUAUAUUUAACAAAAAUAUCCCAAUUUGAAGAAUGCAGGAAGAAACACCAAGCAAUCAAGCUGGAAAUAUUUCAAAUCUACCAGCCCAUUCAAUUUAGCGGAGGAACUGUUUUAGAGAUAAAUGCAGCAACAACUAUAGGAAAACAUGAAGUAAGGCUCAAGAUGAAGCAUAAUCAGUAUCUGACCUUGAUCAAGGUAGGCUUGUCUUUUACAGCCUUUGCUUCCUUGAUGGCAGCACGAAUUUCAUCAUAACCUGUAUUACCAUUCUUGACCCAGAUAACAUGCCAUCCAAGAGCCUCAAACCGGAGUUCGACACUCUCGGUGAAAGCAAUUUCAGUAUCACCAUCAAUUGAAAUAUGGUUAUCAUCAUAGAAGGCAAUCAGCUUUCCAAGUCCCCAGUGGCCAGCAAGGGAACAAACUUCAUUGGAGACCCCCUCCAUUUGACAUCCAUCACCAAGGAUAGCAUAUCUAUAUAAGAUGUAAAAGUCCCGUCAUUAAACAACAUAGAGAACUGGUAUUUGAGACCCACCAGAAAAUUGAAACAACUAUUAACAAUUCAGGAAGUCAUAUUACGUGUAGUGGUCAACAAUCUCGGCAUCCGGUUUGUUGUAACGAGCAGCCAAGUGUUUCUCAGCAAGGGCUAAACCAACAGCAUUUGCAAUACCUUGGCCAAGCGGACCUAAUCAAAAGCAAUGAGAGACAACGAUUAGUCCCACCACUCCGUUCAACGUCCAAAUAUACUAGCUGAACUAAAUUCUAACCAGUGGUGACUUCAACACCAGGGGUCUCAAAGUUCUCAGGAUGACCCGGAGUUUUGCUUCCCCAUUGGCGGAACUGCUUCAAAUCUUCCUCCUAAAUAUCCCAUGGAAACACAUUCAGUCCAACGGGAGAAAAAAAAACCCACUCCAUAACUCAAUCCAGCACAAGCAAUGUCAUGAAAACAACUUGAAACCUUCCUGCACAGGACAAUAUCACCCCCAUCUUGCUACUUUAAAAACCCAGGCUCCAUUUACUAGCUCAAGUAAUACAAUCAUCUUAUACCAGGUGAAUUAAACAAACUACAAGCAGACCAGUGAAAAAAAAUCAGCAACCAACUCUAAACAGUACCAAAUAAUUGAAAAGGCAACAGAAAAUAAUAAAUGUAAGCUAAUUAUAAAACAAGAUCAGAUAUAAUCCAGUAAAAUUCCAUUCAAAAUCCAAUUGUUACCAGAUUCUCCACCAAAACCACCUCCAAAAUGAGGUGCAAAAGUCAAACAUCACAGCAAAAUGCAUUGAAAAUCCGAUCUUCAGCAAUGUUCUAACAAGCCGACCUCGAAAAUGACAUGCAGAGUUGGAAAACCACAAAUCCAAGAAAAAACCAGAUCCAAAAUCCAAUCUUCAAACCCAAAAAAAAAAUAAUAAUAAUCUGGGACUGCACCAGUUAGAUCGGAUAAAAGGAUGAAUUCACACAGAAACUACGAUUAAUAAGUUUUGACCUUGACAGAGUCAUAUCCAGCAAGGUGAAGCAAAGCAUACUGAAGCAUACAUCCAUGGCCGGCUGAGAGAACAAACCGGUCCCUGUUGAACCAAUAAGGAUUCUUGGGAUUAUACUUCAUGACCUCAUCAUAAAGAAUAUGACCCAUUGGAGCGCAACCCAUGGGUAGACCCGGGUGACCGGAAUUAGCCUUCUCGACAGCAUCGACGGCCAAGAAACGGAUGGUAUUGAUGGACUUUUCUACAAGGGCCGUGCCGGUUUUCUCCAGAGUUUCUACUGCAGCUGAGGCCAAGACCUGGGCUUGGCGUCGACCCGCUGCUGGGACGGAGGGACUGCGGCGGCGGGAGGCAGCAGUGGUGGUUGUGGAGGGGGUGGAUUUGAGGGCAGAAAACGUGGGGAAGGAAACAGAAGGGAGGUGGGGGUUGGAAGAGCCAUGGCGAGGGAUGGAGCCGGCGAGAACGGCCUGGGAGAGAGUGAGGGAAGAAGAAGAAGCCAUGACUCUCUUGUGGUAGUGG
rnacentral:lncRNA from 1 species